UCCUGCACCACUUAAGAACGCAUGGAUCUAGCAAAAGCUCGUCAAAGUCUGCAGAAGAAGGAAAUAGACUUGUGGAUGAAGGGCUUACGGUGUCCAGAGAAUCGGCUCCCAGGUAAGCGAUUUUUGACUCUCCGUUUACAACAGCAUCUUCUGGCAAAGCUAGCUGCUUCCUCACUAUUUCGCACACUUUAUCUAGCGUCUCCUUUUUAGCCUGCUCAUAUAUCGAGUUGGUCAUUCACAAGUUUAAAACCUACGUAUGGGCUUCGCUCCGAGCAGCUACAAAAUUGGCAAGACCAAUUCAAGCAUUCCCCCAUGAGCAAGACAAUGAUAGGCUUGAACCUGGUAUGAACAAACUCCUGCUCAUCCCCUUUCCCCAGAAGCAGCAUCUUUCGAGCGACACAAUUAUAAUCACACAGCAAGAUCGUUUGAACCAGGACAAACAUAAUGACCCAGACUUCAGAAAUACGUAAGUUACUUGCAGUCACUUUGCUAUGGUUGUUGUUAUAGUUGACAUGACAUGGUGGACUACUUACCGCACAUGAAACCUGGAAACGGCGUGCUUUCAGAGAUGGGAAACUUCUGCCGCCGACAGGGAGGGAGACGGACCUGACAUUCGAUAUCUUGCAGACAGGUACCUGUUAAAAAUGUCAACAACUAGUUUUCAGAGAUGCGGUCUCAUUCAAAGUGCAGAACCUCAGCCGGGUCAGCCAAGCUCUCUGCCUAAAUUGCAGAGAGUAUUUGGUAAAAUUGCAUCUUGCACCCUAGUUUUCGGGAUAGCGGCAAAUUACCCCUGUCGUUUCGAUAUUUGCAAUUUGUUAACUGACUUUUUGAAUGGGAGGCCAUGUGCCCUCAAACGUUGACUUUGGCAAAAAAUUUCUCACAUAUCUGACAACGUGACUUGCUAUUGAAGGUAAGCUGGACAUUUAUCAUUUACGUGAAAAAAAAAAUAUAGAGACUACCCAAAAAUAUAUUUGAGAGCUAUAUAUUGAUGUACAUUUGGUAUUGAUUUUGGUCAAAAUAUUGCCGAAACUUUGGUCACAUGCUCUCACAUGUACUAUAUUUCUGAAUUUGAUAUUCUACUUUUCAUAUCCGUUUACUUAUAUGAUGAAUUUUCCCUUCGUGGUCAGUCAUGCACUGUCGCGUGGUCGGAGCUCCAAGAAAAAUUUGACCGGAGUCAACACGAGGGGACACAUUGAUACGGACUUCUAACCUUCAGGGGCUAGAUUGCAAAAAUUGGAACCCCCUUUGGCAAUUUGCAACAAACUCAGAAGUUAGAAAAUACGUAGUUUGCCCCCAGAAAAUUUACUGAGUUUCCGGACCACUAGAUCGGUAGCAGGAAGCCAAAACCGAGUAAUGCCGGCCUGAACUCAGUAUCAAUCUCACACAGUUCAUUGUAAGUAUCUGACAAGCUCAUUUGGCAGCGCUGUAUCUUUUCGAUGCAGUUUUAAAUGCACGAAAAACUCAGCAUUUACCACAACUCAAUGGACAUAAAAGCCUCCAGCACCAAAACAAAAGCAGAUUCAUCCUAGUCCGGGAAUACUUAAUGUCAAGCUGAUAACAUCCCUUGAAAAUCUAAAACUGGAGGAAGACAAAAAAGUGCCGCACCCGCAUUUAAUAUCGAUCAUAAAACUAUAUCCAGCGGCCACAGUGAUCGAGCAUCAAAACCCAUCACAAAGAAAACACAAGUCAAGCAAUCUCGAACCGACUGAUACCCAUUUUCAUACCUGCGCUGGCUUCAAAGUGAAUGAGGCGCGAGCAGGUGUUGCAGUGAAGGUGGCCAUUCUGAGCUCCGGUUCAACAGAAGGUGAAGGAAACUGUUAGAAUUUGAAUGUGCGCGGAAGCAUGGUUUUAGUUAUGGAUGAUAGUUUUUGAUUAGUGAGGUGUGCAAGUGUUGGUAUUGAUGAUAGUUUUUGGUUAGUGAGGUGUGCAAGUGUAUGGUAUAGUUUGUAGAGGAUGGACAAGGGACAAUAUAUGAUAAUUGAAGGAUAUAGAACAUGGGAAAAAUAGUUUCAUUAGUUGAACAAAAUAGUUUGAUGGAGGUACAAUAGAGAUCUUGACCUCUCAUGGUGGAGGGUUCACCUCACACACAAGGUGGAGGGUUUACCUCUCACUCUCUAAAAUGAAUGAACUACAAGCCUAUUUAUAGGCAUGAGUCACACCUUAGUAUAACAUUCUAGAUUUCUAUAGAAUGUUGUCCAUGUAGGCUUCAUCUAGGUAAUUCUAGAUUGUAGUUCUUCUAGAGACUUCUACAUUUUCUUAGACACAUAAGCUUGUAGACAAUUCUAGAAUUUUUCUUGAAUCUUCUAGCUCAAAACUAUCUUGAAGUUUCUAGAAUUGGAUCACAAACUCCAACACUCCCCCUUGAUCCAAUUUCGGGAUACUCCGGACUUGUAUCAUAAAUCCUCGAACGUACCUUGAAAUUCUCCUUGUAGUUUGUCCCAUGCCUUUUAUGUCGUCUUCAUUCCACGAUCCUUUGCAUUCUCUUGUCGAAUCACUUGCACCUACCUUGGAAUGUGCAUGUCUUUUUUCGGCGAUGUCCCAUAUGUCUCGGGCCAUCAAAAUUUUCUUAGUUGUAGUUGUUAGCUCGGGCUCUGGCUCUGGCUCUCGUAGGCUCUGGCUCUGGCUUCGGCUUUGGUUCUGGCUCUGGCUCCGGCUUUGGCUCUGUUGGCUCUCGCUCGGGCUCUGGCCUUUGAUUCUGGCUCUGGCUCCGGCUCUGGCUCUGUUGGCUCUCGCUCGGGCUCUGGCCUUUUUAGUUGAGGAUGGUGAGGACAAACGCCCAUAAUCAUCCGAUGUGCCUAUCUCUGGCUUCACGAUCCUUUACACCUGGCUCAGUUACGAACCUGGGUGCAACUGGCUCUGAUACCAUGUUAAAAUAUAUUUCGGAUGUGAGCGUUGCGUGGUUUUAGUUAUGGAUGAUAGUUUUUGAUUAGUGAGGUGUGCAAGUGUUGGUAUUGAUGAUAGUUUUUGGUUAGUGAGGUGUGCAAGUGUAUGGUAUAGUUUGUAGAGGAUGGACAAGGGACAAUAUAUGAUAAUUGAAGGAUAUAGAACAUGGGGAAAAUAGUUUCAUUAGUUGAACAAAAUAGUUUGAUGGAGGUACAAUAGAGAUCUUGACCUCUCAUGGUGGAGGGUUCACCUCACACACAAGGUGGAGGGUUUACCUCUCACUCUCUAAAAUGAAUGAACUACAAGCCUAUUUAUAGGCAUGAGUCACACCUUAGUACAACAUUCUAGAUUUCUAUAGAAUGUUGUCCAUGUAGGCUUCAUCUAGGUAAUUCUAGAUUGUAGUUCUUCUAGAGACUUCUACAUUUUCUUAGACACAUAAGCUUGUAGACAAUUCUAGAAUUUUUCUUGAAUCUUCUAGCUCAAAACUAUCUUGAAGUUUCUAGAAUUGGAUCACAAACUCCAACAGAAACGAAUGAGAGAGAGAGAGAGAUCACAGGGAGAACGCGAGAAGUUGUGAGAGGGAGGCGAUGUGUAUAUAGGGGAGAGGGAGGGAGCGGGAGCUUGUAGGACGGUGUUCGUUUCAAGUUAUCUGAAAAGCAAACAUUUUAAAUGAGCACUUUGCCAACGUUACAAAAAAGAAAUUCAAAGCGGAGCAAAAGAACAUUAGAGAAAUUGGCAAUUUGCCACUUUAGGGACGGUCAAGGAAUUUAGGUAAGUGCACUUUUAAUGGAAAGGCCUAGUUAACUUCUUCCUAAAAUUUCACCAUUUUAUCCUGCCUUUUUCUUUUGACAAUUUUACACUUUCGUCUCUCUUUAAAGAUAAAUUGUAUUACAGUAUUAACGUAACAUGGAGAUGAGUGCCAAAAUGAGAAAUUUAAAGAGCGAGAUAAAAUGGGGUUUUGGGUUUUAUGUAAAUGGAUAGAAAAGCCAGUUUCUUUUUCUUUUUUUUUCCUACGAUAAUCAAAACUAGAAGAAUAGUUUUAACAAAAAAAAAAACUAGAAGAAUAGUGUAUUUCAUACUGCCGUGGCUACACUGUGAUGUGUUGAAAUACAUGUGUACGUGUUUGGCAAUGCAUCUUUAAAAGUGGCCAUGCUAUAGACAGCUAUGAUGAUUAAUAUGUUUGAUCACUGUAGCUAUUAGAACGAAGAAAAGACCUUUUAAUAUGGUCGCAGAGUUUUUACAACAUUUAUAUUUGUGUUAUUAGAACUUUUGCAGGAUACCAUUUUCACCAUAUGAUGAUGAUGAUGAUGAUGAUGAUGAUGAUGAUGAUGAUGAUGAUGAUGAUGAUAGUUGAAUCUGGAAUAGACAUUUUGAGAGGGCUUCAUUUCCAACUGAAAUACCAAAGCAAUACAUGUUUAUACAUGAAAUUGCAGUAAGAAAAUGUACGGCAGUACAAUGCUGAACCCUAGAAAUGCACAAUCUACUACAGCCCAACGAUGCGGGCAACCAUGCGGAUCCAAUUGCAAAGGGCAACGAGAGCGACUGUACAAUCACACAGGAGAGGAAAUCCCACUUGUCUUCCUCAACAUCAUCUCCUGUUGAACACAGUAGCAUCUGUCCCUGUGAGCUUAACUAUUCAGAUGUUGAAAGGAUGUAUUAUGCACCAUGGCUUGGAGAUACAGCAAGAUUGGCAUGAUGCCAGGUGAGGGGUAAAGAUAAAAAAGUUCACAUUACUCGCCAUGCAAGUGAUGGGGGUAAAGAUAAGCGCAUCUCUGCUCUNNNNNNNNNNNNNNNNNNNNNNNNNNNNNNNNNNNNNNNNNNNNNNNNNNNNNNNNNNNNNNNNNNNNNNNNNNNNNNNNNNNNNNNNNNNNNNNNNNNNGGGGGGGGGGGGGGGCAGAGGUGGAAAGAAGAACAGCAUUGAAGAGAAACGGAAAAGCAGACUUGCAACAGAAGGCACGGAAAGCUGUUUGCUUUAAGAUACACGACAACCAUGCAGAUGGCCAAUGUUGUCUUCACCACUUAAAAAAUUCUUUCUCGUGGCCCGUAAUGGAAUUUUGUAUGAUUUGCAUUUAAAUAGGAGAAUAAUGUCGUACUUUAAGAUCAUCUACCGCCUGCAAAGUUGCUAUUAUUUUCGUUGAAAAUUCAAAAGAGGGGGGAGGUAUAGAAAGAGAAACAACGAAUGAAGAGAAAGGGAAAGCACAGGCUCUCAACAGAAGGCACAGGAAAGCAGUUUGCUUUAAGAUGCAUGAUAAACUACUAACGAACGAUUUGACGUGGUCUUUAAUAUAAUGUUAUAAGAUUCUACAUCAAUGAUAAUAGUACUUUGUGCUCCACUACUGCCUGCAAAGUUGCUAUUAUCUUUUUUGAAAACUCAAAAGAAGGGGCAACGUAGAAAGAAAAACCGCACCGAAGAGAAAUGAACGUCACCGACUGUCAACAGUGGGCACAACAAAGAUGCUUGCUUUAAGAUGCAUGAUAAUCAUUUCACGUGGUCUCUGAUGAUAUUUUAUAAGAUUUACAUCUGAGUACCAGAUCGAUAUCGUACUUUAUGCUCCACUACUGGCUGAAAAGUUGCUGUUAUCCUCUUUGAAAACUUCAAAGAAGGGGGGAGAGGCAGAAAGAAAAACAACAUUGAAGAGAAACGAGCAUCACCAACCCUCAACAGAAGGCACAAGAAAGCUGCCUGCUUUAAGAUGCAUGAUAAACUACUAAUAAACAAUCAUUUCACGUGGUCUCUGGUUAAAUUUUAUAAGAUUUACAUCCAAAUACAGAAUCAAUAUCGUACUUUAUGCUCUACUAUUCCCUUGAAAGUUGCUAUCAUCUUCUUUGAACGCUCAAAAGAAGGGGAGAGGCAGAAAGGGAAACAACAUUGAAGGGAAACGAACAUCGCAAACUCUCAACAGAAGGCACGAGAAAGCUGUUUGCUUUAAGAUGCGUGACAACCAUGCAUAUGGUCAUUGUUGAAUUCCUACUUAAAACCAAUUAUUUCUCUUAGCCUCUGAUGAGAAUUUACAACCAUUACAGCCAGAUGGAGAAUGAUAUUUUACUUUAUGCUUCAUUACUAUAAUAUAUGUACAUAUCUAUUCAACACAACCAAAAGAAUCAUGUUUCUCACACAUAAAUAGGACAAGUUUUUGGAGUGUCUGAAAUUUUUACAUUCAAAAUGUUAUUGUUUUGCAUCGAAAUAUUGUGACUUGACGCUGGAGAAUUGAAAUUCAAUUGUAAACCUAUCGUAUGAAUUCAAAUUCAAUCCCAAACAUUUUAAUUCAAACAAUGUUGUUUUAAACCUUAGAGUGAAAAUGUAAUCAACUCCUCCUAGUCAAGUCUCGCCUAAAUGGCAGUCCAAUCAUUUGUCAUUGUACGUGUCCCGACUAGUGAUUUGACAUGGACAAAUUUACUCGAAACGGUGCCAUUGUUGCUCAACUCCACAAGCUGUCAACCUUGCCUAGAACUGCCCUCUCUCAAGUUGAUUUCUAUCAACAGUCACAGCUCAGCUAGAGCUGGCACCUCCAAAUGUGGAGGCUCGGCAGUCGGUCACCAUGCCCAUCGGGCUCCUUGGCCCCUCCAUGGAAGAUGAUUGUACAAUCCUGAAAUUUUGAGCGAUGUUUGUUUUCCCUCCCUGACCCUUCCAUGCCAUGCAAGAUGAUUGUAUAACCCUUAAUUUUUUUUGUGACGUAGAAUUUUUUGUUUAAUUUUUAAAUAAUUCUUUUCUUUUCUUUUUUUCUUCCUUCUUCUUCCUCCUCUAGAUGGUCAUGGGACCUCGGUGACUAGCCAGAGACGAGUUGACAAGGCCAACCUUGCCCAACCAUCGCAAGGCUCCCUCGAGACUGGUGAGGCCACCCUUGUCGGCCCUCCUCUCUAGCCGGUCACCGGCUAUCAUCGAGGCUUGACGAGAAGAGGGAGAAUAAGAAAGGAAACAAAAAAAAAAAAUGACCUUCAUUAGAAACUGUUCCUGAGGGCAAAUAAGUAAAUUCCUUCUACUUUCUGUUUUCGUUCUAAAUCUAUUUUCUGACUAUUGAUCUAUUUCGGAAAAAAAAAUUAACUAACAUUAUCAAAUAAUUUUUUUUUUCUGUUUUGGAGAAAGAAAUAACAGAAAAAUAGAGAAAUAAAAUGAUCACCAAAUAGGACCUAACUUUAUAAGUGAAUUUGUAAUUCUUCCCACUCAACCUAUGCCUAUUAUAAGUUUUCUUUUCUUUUAAUAAUUCUUCCUCUCUUCUGUCUCCUCUCUUCAUCGGUAUAAAAUGGGUAAUCAGGGAUGGGUGGCUUGUGUAGUGGAAGAGAAACCUAUUCCCAAUGGUCGACACAGCGAAUUUGGAUCCAAAUUCAAAUACACCAGGGGAAGUCAACUGACCUCUUUCACCAUUACCUCACCACGUUGAGUGUUGAUUUUAACUCCGUAAAAUCCUCUUGUUGAUUUUAACUCCAUAAAAUCCUCUGACACGUCUGCCCCUCGGGACCUUCCAGAUUAUAAAAGCAAGAGCAAAAGUCAUGCUAUUAUUUCCAAUCUUUACCGACACAGAAACGGAUUCGUGCAUAGUUAAUAUGAAAAAACAGCUACCCUAUACAUUGGCAUUUAGUUGAUAAAAAAGGUUGAUCAAUUUAUGGAUGACAUGCAGCGACUUGAAUUCCAUCCACACAUAGAUAACGUGCAGCCAAGGCUAUGUCAAAGCCCCAAUACAUUUAUUAGAUACUAUGCCAUCUCAUUCCACCAAGAGAAGAGGUAUGCAUUUUCGACUCCAGCAGAUGAGAUAUCCUUUGGGAUGGUAGUCUCGGAAGAUGAAUCUUGCUUCUGGUCUCCAUAAUUUGGCAGCAAUGAUGGUGAUUCCACUGGACCGGUUAGGACUACUUUUAUCUUCCUCUCCUCUAUGUAUUUACCACUUUCUUUAUCAAAUUUAAAAUUUAAAAGAAAACUUCUCAGGUUACUUGACCCAAAAGAUUAUGGAACACAAAGCAGCAAAAUCUACCAUGUCAGCAGUAAUGUCCUCUUCAACUGUAUCAAAACCUUGUCUCGACGCUGCAAGACAGGUGGAGCUACCUGCUGUGCUUACAUGGUAACGGCAUCAAACAGAAGAUAGGAUGAAGGGCCUACCCUAAUUCUUUCGAAGUAUCAGGACAUAGCUUCUGAGGCCUAUUGUGGUUUUCCUCUGUCUCAAUGUAUAUUAGGCUACUAUGGUAGGCAUUCAAAAUCUUAUUCAAAGAUGAUCCUUACUGCAAUGCGACUGACAUUGCCUUAAGCAGUUCAUGUCCUAGUAAUAAUACAGUCUUACAGACAUGUCGUGGCAAAGAAAUUGCAAAAUAAUCGUUCAGCUGAUUCAAGUACUGUGGGCAUGUCCAUCCUCACAAGUAUGUCAGUGGCUUUUUAGUAAGUAUGUGAACAUGAUGUUUCACUGACUUGAGCAGAACAAUUUCGAAUCAGAUUAUCCAUUUGGUUGAUGAUGCCUACAUUUGGCCGCACACAGAAUUUCUUCUGAGACGUAGCCUUAGCCUGGAAUGUUUUGGAUAUCCAAUAUAGAUCUCAUAAUGUUUCUCCACAAUAGAGAGUUCUUAAUGCGCUGAUGUACUACUCUGAAAAUUAAAUUACAUCAAGAGAAUACAAGAUUGAAAGGAUAUUGUCCACCCGCCAUAGCCUAAAAAAUAAAACUUGAUCACGGUGAAAGAAAAGGUCCAAAGAAUAUUCACCUUGAAAGCAACAUACCGAUCAGUCUUAUUGCCUAGCGGAAUGAGCAUGAGCUUUGUUUGCUCAACUCAAUUGCAUAAACACGGAGAAGAGGCUUCAGAUGAAAGAAUUUAAAGAGAAAGGGGGCCUGACAUGAGGACAGGAUGUGAUGAAAUGGACCAUCUUACAUUUUCUUUGAUAUAAUGCAGUAAUGCAAUCUCGUCUUGUUCAUUCAUUUUCUCUACUAAUCAUUCUCUCGGUCAUUUGGUUACAACAACCAUUCACCUACUUAAUCUCCAGAAAGAAAUUUACCGCAGAAGUCAUUCUAAGAGUUUGUGGUGUGNNNNNNNNNNNNNNNNNNNNNNNNNNNNNNNNNNNNNNNNNNNNNNNNNNNNNNNNNNNNNNNNNNNNNNNNNNNNNNNNNNNNNNNNNNNNNNNNNNNNNNNNNNNNNNNNNNNNNNNNNNNNNNNNNNNNNNNNNNNNNNNNNNNNNNNNNNNNNNNNNNNNNNNNNNNNNNNNNNNNNNNNNNNNNNNNNNNNNNNNNNNNNNNNNNNNNNNNNNNNNNNNNNNNNNNNNNNNNNNNNNNNNNNNNNNNNNNNNNNNNNNNNNNNNNNNNNNNNNNNNNNNNNNNNNNNNNNNNNNNNNNNNNNNNNNNNNNNNNNNNNNNNNNNNNNNNNNNNNNNNNNNNNNNNNNNNNNNNNNNNNNNNNNNNNNNNNNNNNNNNNNNNNNNNNNNNNNNNNNNNNNNNNNNNNNNNNNNNNNNNNNNNNNNNNNNNNNNNNNNNNNNNNNNNNNNNNNNNNNNNNNNNNNNNNNNNNNNNNNNNNNNNNNNNNNNNNNNNNNNNNNNNNNNNNNNNNNNNNNNNNNNNNNNNNNNNNNNNNNNNNNNNNNNNNNNNNNNNNNNNNNNNNNNNNNNNNNNNNNNNNNNNNNNNNNNNNNNNNNNNNNNNNNNNNNNNNNNNNNNNNNNNNNNNNNNNNNNNNNNNNNNNNNNNNNNNNNNNNNNNNNNNNNNNNNNNNNNNNNNNNNNNNNNNNNNNNNNNNNNNNNNNNNNNNNNNNNNNNNNNNNNNNNNNNNNNNNNNNNNNNNNNNNNNNNNNNNNNNNNNNNNNNNNNNNNNNNNNNNNNNNNNNNNNNNNNNNNNNNNNNNNNNNNNNNNNNNNNNNNNNNNNNNNNNNNNNNNNNNNNNNNNNNNNNNNNNNNNNNNNNNNNNNNNNNNNNNNNNNNNNNNNNNNNNNNNNNNNNNNNNNNNNNNNNNNNNNNNNNNNNNNNNNNNNNNNNNNNNNNNNNNNNNNNNNNNNNNNNNNNNNNNNNNNNNNNNNNNNNNNNNNNNNNNNNNNNNNNNNNNNNNNNNNNNNNNNNNNNNNNNNNNNNNNNNNNNNNNNNNNNNNNNNNNNNNNNNNNNNNNNNNNNNNNNNNNNNNNNNNNNNNNNNNNNNNNNNNNNNNNNNNNNNNNNNNNNNNNNNNNNNNNNNNNNNNNNNNNNNNNNNNNNNNNNNNNNNNNNNNNNNNNNNNNNNNNNNNNNNNNNNNNNNNNNNNNNNNNNNNNNNNNNNNNNNNNNNNNNNNNNNNNNNNNNNNNNNNNNNNNNNNNNNNNNNNNNNNNNNNNNNNNNNNNNNNNNNNNNNNNNNNNNNNNNNNNNNNNNNNNNNNNNNNNNNNNNNNNNNNNNNNNNNNNNNNNNNNNNNNNNNNNNNNNNNNNNNNNNNNNNNNNNNNNNNNNNNNNNNNNNNNNNNNNNNNNNNNNNNNNNNNNNNNNNNNNNNNNNNNNNNNNNNNNNNNNNNNNNNNNNNNNNNNNNNNNNNNNNNNNNNNNNNNNNNNNNNNNNNNNNNNNNNNNNNNNNNNNNNNNNNNNNNNNNNNNNNNNNNNNNNNNNNNNNNNNNNNNNNNNNNNNNNNNNNNNNNNNNNNNNNNNNNNNNNNNNNNNNNNNNNNNNNNNNNNNNNNNNNNNNNNNNNNNNNNNNNNNNNNNNNNNNNNNNNNNNNNNNNNNNNNNNNNNNNNNNNNNNNNNNNNNNNNNNNNNNNNNNNNNNNNNNNNNNNNNNNNNNNNNNNNNNNNNNNNNNNNNNNNNNNNNNNNNNNNNNNNNNNNNNNNNNNNNNNNNNNNNNNNNNNNNNNNNNNNNNNNNNNNNNNNNNNNNNNNNNNNNNNNNNNNNNNNNNNNNNNNNNNNNNNNNNNNNNNNNNNNNNNNNNNNNNNNNNNNNNNNNNNNNNNNNNNNNNNNNNNNNNNNNNNNNNNNNNNNNNNNNNNNNNNNNNNNNNNNNNNNNNNNNNNNNNNNNNNNNNNNNNNNNNNNNNNNNNNNNNNNNNNNNNNNNNNNNNNNNNNNNNNNNNNNNNNNNNNNNNNNNNNNNNNNNNNNNNNNNNNNNNNNNNNNNNNNNNNNNNNNNNNNNNNNNNNNNNNNNNNNNNNNNNNNNNNNNNNNNNNNNNNNNNNNNNNNNNNNNNNNNNNNNNNNNNNNNNNNNNNNNNNNNNNNNNNNNNNNNNNNNNNNNNNNNNNNNNNNNNNNNNNNNNNNNNNNNNNNNNNNNNNNNNNNNNNNNNNNNNNNNNNNNNNNNNNNNNNNNNNNNNNNNNNNNNNNNNNNNNNNNNNNNNNNNNNNNNNNNNNNNNNNNNNNNNNNNNNNNNNNNNNNNNNNNNNNNNNNNNNNNNNNNNNNNNNNNNNNNNNNNNNNNNNNNNNNNNNNNNNNNNNNNNNNNNNNNNNNNNNNNNNNNNNNNNNNNNNNNNNNNNNNNNNNNNNNNNNNNNNNNNNNNNNNNNNNNNNNNNNNNNNNNNNNNNNNNNNNNNNNNNNNNNNNNNNNNNNNNNNNNNNNNNNNNNNNNNNNNNNNNNNNNNNNNNNNNNNNNNNNNNNNNNNNNNNNNNNNNNNNNNNNNNNNNNNNNNNNNNNNNNNNNNNNNNNNNNNNNNNNNNNNNNNNNNNNNNNNNNNNNNNNNNNNNNNNNNNNNNNNNNNNNNNNNNNNNNNNNNNNNNNNNNNNNNNNNNNNNNNNNNNNNNNNNNNNNNNNNNNNNNNNNNNNNNNNNNNNNNNNNNNNNNNNNNNNNNNNNNNNNNNNNNNNNNNNNNNNNNNNNNNNNNNNNNNNNNNNNNNNNNNNNNNNNNNNNNNNNNNNNNNNNNNNNNNNNNNNNNNNNNNNNNNNNNNNNNNNNNNNNNNNNNNNNNNNNNNNNNNNNNNNNNNNNNNNNNNNNNNNNNNNNNNNNNNNNNNNNNNNNNNNNNNNNNNNNNNNNNNNNNNNNNNNNNNNNNNNNNNNNNNNNNNNNNNNNNNNNNNNNNNNNNNNNNNNNNNNNNNNNNNNNNNNNNNNNNNNNNNNNNNNNNNNNNNNNNNNNNNNNNNNNNNNNNNNNNNNNNNNNNNNNNNNNNNNNNNNNNNNNNNNNNNNNNNNNNNNNNNNNNNNNNNNNNNNNNNNNNNNNNNNNNNNNNNNNNNNNNNNNNNNNNNNNNNNNNNNNNNNNNNNNNNNNNNNNNNNNNNNNNNNNNNNNNNNNNNNNNNNNNNNNNNNNNNNNNNNNNNNNNNNNNNNNNNNNNNNNNNNNNNNNNNNNNNNNNNNNNNNNNNNNNNNNNNNNNNNNNNNNNNAAAACCUCUGACACAUCCAGCCCUUCAGGAUGCUGGCAUCAAAAGACAAUCCUUCUGGAUUAUAAGAGUGAGAACAGAAGUCAUAUUCUAUCAUGAGUAAUAGAAAUGGAUACAUGUACAGUUAAUAUGAGAAAAAAGCUAUCCUAUACACUCGCAUUUAGUUGCUAAAGAGGUUGAUCAAUUAUAGAUGAUGUGUAGCAACUUGAUUUCCAUUUACAUAAAUAACAUGCGGCCCAGCCAAUGCUGUGGCAAAGCCCCGAUCCAUGUAUUAGAUACAAAGCCAUCUCAACCCAGAAAGACAAUAAAGUGACAUAUUGAUGUUUUCUGGCAGUCAUACCCUGAGAAAAGGUGAUGCAUUUUCGACUCCAGCAGGUGAGAUAUCCUUUGGGAUGGUAGUCUCGGAAGAUGAAUCUUGCUUCCGGUCUCUGUAAUCUGGCAGCCCUGAAGGUGAUUCCACUGGACUGGUUAGGACUGCUUUUAUCAUCCUCUCACUUAUGUAUUUACCGCUUUCUUUAUGCAAUUGAAAAUUCAAUAGAAAAUUUCUUGAGUCGCUUGACCUGAAAGAUUAUGAAACAUAUAGCAGAAAAACCUACCAUGUCAGCAAUAGUGUCCUCUUCACCUGUAUCAAAAACUUGUCUCUGCACAGCAGGACAGGUGGAGCUACCUGCCGUGCUUACAUGGUAACUGCAUCAAACAGAAGAUGGGAUGAAGGCCUACUCCAAUUCUUGUUGCCUAGCGGAAUCAGGCAUGAGCUUUGUUUACUUAACUCAACUGCAUAAACACAGAGAAGAGGCCUAAGAUAAAAGAACUUAAUGGGGCAUGACAUGAGAGCAGGAUGUGAUGAAAUGGACCAUCAUACAUUUUCUUUGAAGAUAUAAUGCAGCAAUGAAGUCUCAUUUUGUGCGUUAGUUUUCUCUACUGAACAUUCUCAGUCAUUUGGUUACAGCACUCACCUACUUUUAUCUCUAGAAAGAAAUUCACUCACAUGGCACUAUAAGAGUUUGUGGUGUGAAGAUAGAAACUAUGCAAAAAGAAAGAACCUGACCAAAUAUUCGAAAACAGCACAAGGAAAAGAACUUGAAAAACAGGGCGACCAAUGACCGAUUCAUACUCGCCAUUGAAGCUCAUGCUUUUAGAUAUUUUUUUUACCAUUAUUUAUGAUGUUGAACCACAAUUCUCAAGCAAAUUAUUGUAGAAUAGAGGANNNNNNNNNNNNNNNNNNNNNNNNNNNNNNNNNNNNNNNNNNNNNNNNNNNNNNNNNNNNNNNNNNNNNNNNNNNNNNNNNNNNNNNNNNNNNNNNNNNNNNNNNNNNNNNNNNNNNNNNNNNNNNNNNNNNNNNNNNNNNNNNNNNNNNNNNNNNNNNNNNNNNNNNNNNNNNNNNNNNNNNNNNNNNNNNNNNNNNNNNNNNNNNNNNNNNNNNNNNNNNNNNNNNNNNNNNNNNNNNNNNNNNNNNNNNNNNNNNNNNNNNNNNNNNNNNNNNNNNNNNNNNNNNNNNNNNNNNNNNNNNNNNNNNNNNNNNNNNNNNNNNNNNNNNNNNNNNNNNNNNNNNNNNNNNNNNNNNNNNNNNNNNNNNNNNNNNNNNNNNNNNNNNNNNNNNNNNNNNNNNNNNNNNNNNNNNNNNNNNNNNNNNNNNNNNNNNNNNNNNNNNNNNNNNNNNNNNNNNNNNNNNNNNNNNNNNNNNNNNNNNNNNNNNNNNNNNNNNNNNNNNNNNNNNNNNNNNNNNNNNNNNNNNNNNNNNNNNNNNNNNNNNNNNNNNNNNNNNNNNNNNNNNNNNNNNNNNNNNNNNNNNNNNNNNNNNNNNNNNNNNNNNNNNNNNNNNNNNNNNNCCAAUGGGCUAAGUUACUGAGAAUAUAAAAAUAAAAUUUAGUUGUUUCUGAUGUCAUAUGGAAAGUCUUAUCUAAAACUGGCAUAUGAUAAGAAAUAUGUCUCUUAUUCAGCUAAGACAAUUAGACAUAUCUUAGCUGCAACAUGACAGCACCAAGUCAUAUCUUGCUCUUUCUGAUAAGAAAUAUGUCUCUUAUUCAGCAAUAAGACAAUUAGACAUAUCUCAGCUGCAACAUGACAGCACCAAAAGUCAUAUCUUGCUCUUUUUGAAUGGACAAGUGAGCAACUCUUUGCCUUAAACGACUCCACCACAUGAACACAUUCGUGAUGGCAACCAAAAUGAGCUUUUGCUCAUGUUCAAAGCCUAAGCAUGCAAGAAAAUUAAAGAGCUCCGACUCUUGAAGAGCAAUGGACUUCUUCUGCAAACCUCAGAUUGCUGACAAAUCGAGGAUUAGCCUUAAAAAACUGUUCCUCUCAUAAACAUAAGUACAAUCACAACAUCUCAAUUCACAAGGCAGUGCAUGUAUUAAUAUACACAUCAUGGAUAUUCCAAAGAACUUACAAGAGAAGAUAACUCCUAGUAACUGCUGGGUACAAUGGAAAUGAACAUUCAAAGCCCAGGAUUAUUCCUGGGAAAAAUGGAAAAGUGGGGAACAACAGACUUUUACAUCACAUGAAGUAAGAACGACAUAAUGAGUGAAUUUAACCGUCCCAUAGAAUUCUAUUAGCAAUGGCAGUGUCCACUGAUUCCAGUUCUUCCACUACUUCAGUCCUGGAAGGCUGCUUGUUAGGAGUCAUUCGGAGGCAUUGUAAAGCAAGUUGUGCUAACUGGAAUCCAGAAUCCAUAUAUGUAGGGUAUAGGGACGGUAUAAAUUUGGUUCCCAAUUGCAGCAGGUUGCAAUAUCAUGAGCGACCAGUUUCCUCUAAAAUAACCAGUAUUUCUUUUUUGGUUUCUGAGGAAGGGGAACAUCUGCAGAAAAUGAAAAGUCAUGUAGGCAAUGCAACUGUGGAUUCCAUGCCAAAUGAUUUAAGUAGCUAAAAGGGAAACACACCUUGUGUUUCAUAGAGGGGAUUAUAGUGAACUCAUAUCCAGAAACUCAACCAAAGCUCUGCAUCAAUUGAAAGUAAGGUUAACAAAAGGAAAAACUUAAAAAGAAAAUGGAGUUUCAAAAGACCAGUUGCUCAUUGAACAAAAGCAAAAGUAGAUCAAUUGCAAAUGUUUACAUCUAGGUUCUAAAUCAAUCAAUAUAUUUAACCCUACCCAAGUAGCUGUUCCAAGCAAGCAAAAUAACAAAUAUUUAAUUUCAGAGACCAAAAACAAGCAAAGCAUCACAAAGGAGGGUCUAUGUGUAUAUGUAUGCAAGCAACGCUCUUUUUUCCAAGACAACCAAGGAGUAAAAUAUACCCAUUUGGAAUUUUAACAAACCAAACCCAAGAACUUCACAUUUAUCACAUUGCACCUACUGACGAUUUGAACCAACAAAACAACUAUGAAGAAGAAGACAAGCAAGCAAUACCCUCGACAGAGGGAACUUAUAAAUCCAAUUGCCAAACAAUAAUUAGGCUGCAAAUAUAAGUAUCAUCUAGGGGCUUUUUCCCUCCUUCAUGCUCUCCAACAACAACCAAAUAAGCAUUGAACAUCGGUGACUCACUGGAAUAGAUAAAUUCAUCAUUCUUCAAAAUCCUACAUUCCAACAGCUGCUCACUGCCAUCAUACGGCAUUACCUAACAUAUAUCCGACCAUCAAUCACGACAUGGACUAAUCUACUCAAAACAAGCUCAAUCACGCAGAGUAUUACAAUCAGAAGCACAGAACAGAACAAUCCGUGAUGAUGGAAAUAAUGAAAUCCCAAGCAGCAUUGAGCUGCUGUCAUUCAGUUCAAUUGAGCAAGCUAAACUUGGGAAAAAAAGGGUAAUAAAUCGAUAGCCACUGCAGUUUUCACAUAGAUUAGCUAGUCAAACCGAAUCACGUCCUACCCAAUCAAAGGCAACUAAAUUGCCGAUCGGGUUGAGCUGGACAUCAAUGGUAGAGAUUAGUAGUGAAAGCAAAGGUACCUUGCUGGUGGUGGCGCGGAGAGAGAGGAAGCUGUCGCAAUAGACCGUGCGCUUCAGCUUCUGCUUCAGGUGCUUCUUGAAGGUGACAUUCCAGCAAGCAUGGUCUCAAGCACAUAGUUCAUUUCAUCAAACACCAAAAUUGCACAUGAUCACCAAACACUAGACAGGCAAAACUUAGAUGGUUCACACUCACACAAAGCAUAAUUCAGCACACUAAUUACAAACACAAUCCAAGAGCAGUUCAGGAUUGAAAAAGAAAACCAGAGCACAUCUGUCCAUUCCUAGAACUUGCAUUACCAGCUCAAAAUGCAAGCAUUGAGUCCAUCACAAAGGAGUCAUACUGGAUUCCUGAAAGCUCUGACGUAUUCAUCUGUGGGAUUCUGCUGAGUCUGGAUGUUCUGUGGAAGGGCAACAAGGAUGUCGAUGCCAGAUUUCUGUCCCUCAAUAUUCUGUUUGAUGUGAAGUUCGUUUUCCUAAUCAAAACUCCAGAGUUAAAGCAUAAGCUGGUAGACUUGGGUGCAAUUUCUCCCUCUCUGCCCAGCCUUGAUUGAGGAUGAGGACCCCAAUACCAAUGUGUGUGCAGAAGCUCCUUCCGAUGCUCAUAGAGUUCAACUUGACUAAAAUUUCUGAGAUUCUACAACCAAAGACAGUCAGCCACUGCUUCAGAUUCUCACUUGGUGAUCUGUCCUGUGCAAAUGUGAAUGAUGGUGAGCUGCGCGUGGCUCUGGCAUCGGCUCUGGAAAUGGAUCCCAAGUUGCUUUCUCAGCUGAAAGUAGUAUGGCAUAUUGGAAACCUUUUGGAGUUUGUGCAUGAGAAAAAUAUGGAAGAUUUUCUCAAAUUGAUGCUUGGCUUGUGCAAAGCUCUUCUUUUUUGAUCACUAGGUUCUAUGAAAGGUUCCACAUACAUGGAAGAGCCAAUACUACUUGAUGAAAGUUCUUCUAAGGCAGUGAGUAACAUAUGAUACAUAACUGACUUUGGUGGCAGUGCCAGUGUUUUCCGGGAAUUUAGUGGUUCUCAUGACAGAAACAGUGCCAAUAUUGCUUCUAAAUGCACAGCUCUAUUACUGAAGGCAGCUCCAAGGGAAGGUGCUCUCUUUUUCUUACCAAUCUCCUGUAAGCCAGUGCGAUUCUCGAGUCUCAGCAAAAGGGUGCUCCUUCUCUACUGGUACCAACGAAUGCUGCAUUCUCUCAGUUACUCCUGUAGGCGAUGUUUACUGCACGGAAUGACUUUUGUCAGUGUGCCUGUCAAAGAUUGCUAUGAUUGAAGGCAUCAUUGCUGAGAUAAAAUAUUCUGGUGCUGCUGCUUUAGCCAGUGCUGCCACAUUGGUAAUCUCAGAAUUGCGGUGGCUACCUCAUUUAUGACUUCUCCAUAACAUCUGCAAGUCCCACUAAGAAGCACACCUUUCCCGAAAAAUAAACUGAACUUAAGCAUGGCAAUACAGAGUGUCUGUCUAAUUCAAAAUCGCAACAAUGAGUUGAUUGUGCUUUCAAGUCCCAGGAUGAGAACCAUAGUUGUAUGACCUUCCAACACACAUUCCAUCUAUUUGUUUACAGCAUAGCGAAUUUAUCUCCCAUGCAAAGUGAGGUUAUCAAUUUCAAAAUAUGUGUGAAGCAGCAAAUCAACAACGAUCUCUAAUAAUUUGUUACAUAUCAAGUAAAAAUGAUGCAAUUGACAUGCAUAUAUCUCUAGGAGAAACCAUCCUAAGAAAAUGUAGCUAAAAAAGCCAAACCAAACUAGGAAAAGAACACAAUACUUGUACAUAAUUAAGAGCCCUCUGGCUGUUCGAAGGCAUCAUAAUUUAAAUACCUUCAUCAGAUUUUCAGAAAAGAAUCCGCUAAAAGGUCAUUAAAAAGUGCAUGCAAAACUUCUCUGUUCAUAUCUGUGAAAGAAUUUGAUUGCCAAAAAAGGAAAACAUUGGUACUUACCUCAAUUUGUUUAAGGUUUGAACACAAGGGAACAAUUUGUGGUCGCGCAUCAAAAAGCUUCCAAGUGCAAUGUGCACUUAUUCAUCUUCUUCAUCGUCUUCUUCAUCAGAUUCGUCUUCUUCAUCGUCUUCUUCCACAGAUUCGUCUUCUUCAUCAGAUUCGUCUUCUUCAUCGUCUUCUUCCACAGAUUCGUCUUCUUCAUCGUCUUCUCCCACAAAUUUGAUUGACUGCUCCGAGCAAAGCUGAGAAAUUUCCUGCACUGCUAAUUUCCCACAACGUAAUAUUGUAACCUCUCGCACACUCUUCAAGCUUGAUAGAUCAGGCAACUUCUGUAAAGAUCCACAAUCUUUAAUCUUCAAUAUAUUCAAAGAUUGGGGUAGUUUGCCUUGAAUCUCAACCAGAUUAUGACAAUGUACUACUGAAAGAUAUGUUAUUCCGUCCAAAUUGCUAAGAUCAGGGAUCUGCAUCUGUUUAAAGCCAGAAAGCAGCAACCGAUGUCCACCACUAUAUUCAAACUCCUGAUUGCGAAAUUUUAUAAAAACAUUUGCCUUACCCACUAAGCUGAACAGAUCAGGGAACUCCAGAAACAAAUCUAAUUUAUCUAAUUUAUCGCAUCCUCUUAUUGUGAACCCCCCUUGCAGUCUCUUCAAGCUUGACAGCUCAGGCAACUUCUGUAAAGACUUACAGCAUUGAAUAUCCAAAUGUUCCAAAGAUUGGGGUAGUUCGCCUUGAAUCUCAACCAGAUUAUGACAAGAUUCUACUCUAAGAAGUGUUAUUCCAUCCAUCUUGCUUAGAUCAGGGAUCUGCAUCUGUUUAAUGCCAGAAAGCUGCAACCGAUUUCCACUUAAAUAUUCAAAAUCCUGAUUGCCAAUAUGCACAUACACAUAAACAUGUGUCUUACCCAUUAUGCUGAACGGAUCGGGGAACUCCUGUAACGAAUCGCAGGAACAAAUUUUAAGUUCAUCCAAAAACCGUGGUAGUUCGCCUUGAAUCUCAACCAGAUUACCACAAGUGAUUACUUCAAUAUGCCUCAGCUUGUUUAACUUGCUUAGAUCAGGUAGCAUCACCAGCUGUACGACGUCCCAAAGGCGGAAAUAUCGUAGGUUCUCCAAACAACCAAGGCCUUCAAUCUUUGCAACUGCAGAGCAGCAAAUGUCGAGAUCCGAUAGUUUCCUCAAAUUCGAUAGAUCCAUCGAGCCAAGUGAGUCGCAACCAGAGAGACGUAAGACGGAUAAACUUGAGGGAAGCCUCGGGGGGAGAGGCGGAUGAGGAGGGAGGCUGAGGUCUGUCGAUGAGGCGGUCCCCCCGAAAAAGCGCAAUAGCAGAGAUUCCAAUUUGCUUAAGUUCCCAAUCCACCGUGGUAUCCGUUUUUCCAGGAGCCCAUCAGAUUUCCCAUCACAGUUAGGUGGGCCAAAGCCUAGAUGCAAUACCUUUAAGUUAGCGAGAUUUGAGAGAUCCGGAAACGUGUCCACCCUCAACUCCUCCACUACUAAUUCGAUGAGACUUUCAGGAAACCUUGGUAGGGCGUGUACUCCCGGCCAUCCCAAUAUCUCCUCAAAUGGACCCCCGUAUAAGCAAUAGCCACUUAUUGCGUGGGCAUGUGUGACAUGAUUAUAACGGUCGGCGAUUUCCAUUCCCUUGACCUUCCCCAUCUUCUUCUUACAAGCAUCAUUGUUCGUUCUGUUUUCGAAACCAUUCUGCAUCUUCAUUACUUUCAAAUUCUUCAACAUUCCAAUGGAAUCGGGUACUUCUUCGAUGCUCGUGUGACUUAUGUCCAACUUAGUUAGCAAAUCCAAAUUUCCAACCGUCUCCGGAAGCCUCUGAAGAUUCCAACAAUUGCUUACAUCUAAGAAAAUUAAGCGUUUCAACUGACAAAUUGAUCCAUCAAUUUCGAUUAAUGAUUCACAGCCUGAUAGGAUCAAACGUUCUAAAUUUGAAUGAGCUGAGAAGUUGGGGAUUCUCUUCAAGUGUCGACAAUGGGCCAGAUUCAGAACUUUCAAAUUCUUCAACAUUCCAAUGGAAUUGGGUACUUCUUUGAUGCUCGUGUGACUUAUGUCCAACUCAGUUAGCAAAUCCCAAUUUCCAACCGUCUCCGGAAGCCUCUGAAGAUUCCAACAAUUGCUUACAUCUAAGAAAAUUAAGCGUUUCAACUGACAAAUUGAUCCAUCAAUUUCGAUUAAUGAUUCACAGCCUGAUAGGAUCAAACGUUCUAAAUUUGAAUGAACUGAGAAGUUGGGGGUUCUCUUCAAGCGUCGGCAAUGGGCCAGAUUCAGAACUUUCAAAUUCUUAAUCACCUGUGAAAGAAAAAUCAUGCAAAGUUUACUUUCGAAUUUAAUGAGAUGGAAGAAUAAGUGUUCUCUAGCAUAUAACAUACCUUCAUGUGGCUCCACCCCUUCCAAUCAUGUGUAAUUUCACUCUCAAAUAGAUCAAGGAUAGUCAAAUUCUCUACGGAGAAAUUUGCAAUCUCAAAUGUUGGGUGAAUAUUAUGCCAAGAAAGCCAGCGUAAUUCUGGAAGGAGAUUUGAAUCCAAAACAUCAGUUGGAAGAAGCAUCUUUUCUACACAAAAAGUUUGCUCCGAGUCAUCAACUUCAAGGAACCUUAGCCUUGAUAGGCUCUUAAAGUCCUUGUAGGUAAAACGGUUCUGAUGGUCCAAGCGGAGGCGAAGAGCUUCAACUUUUUUCUUCGUCUGCCCAAGGGAAAAUUUUUAAAAACAAGAAAGUUGAAGGGAAACACAUUUAGCCAAAUUCACUAUUUUAAAGGACUGAGUUGAGUACUACCGUUCCAUUAAUCUUAAAAAAGCAAAAAUGUCCAUAAGUAACUUGGAAAUUAAUGCACAGGGGAUUUUACCUUAGGGCUCUUCAGCAAAUCCAACGCUUUCUCACGAUCCCACACCCUACUUUGUUUAUUUAUAUUGGUUUCUUGACAAACUAUUUGUCUUCCAAGGUCUCUAAGUUGGUCGUGCAUCCACACUUUAUUAUCCUCUUUAAUCUUUACCAAAGACAUGUUCUCCAAAACAUCCAUGGCAUAUUCCGAAUGGAAUUCAGAUUCCCAAAAAUGAACUACAAUGUCUUUAUCAUAUCCAAUUAAGAGACAAGCUAUAUCAAGGAACUUUUGCUUUUCCUUUUCUUCUAAUUCAUCAUAACUUAUUUUCAAUCUACUCUGGACAUCCUUAUGAGGAUCACUUUCCCACUUACGUAAUUCGAAAUCCCACUUUUUCUUUUCAGUAGUGCAAGAUAAAAGUGAACCCAUGAGCUCAAGAGCUAGUGGAAGACCUCCAGCAAUUUUUAUCGCCCUCUCAGAUUGGUCGAUAUACUCGUCUAAAGGAUGAUCUCUUCUAAAGGCAUGUUUGCUAAAGAGUUGAAGAGAUUGAUCAUGAUCCAUGCCCGAAAGCUCAUAACAGCUGUCCACUUUAAGAACAUCAAGAACUUCUUUGUUUCUAGUAGUAAUAAUAAUUCUGCUCCCUUUACCAAACCAAUCACACUCACCAACAAGUGCAUCGCUAUGAUUCUUUUCAUGUACAUCAUCGAGAAGGAGGAGGACUCUUUUAUUAGACAACCAGGCUUUGAUGGUAUUAAUCCCAUCAUCAAUGUUUCUUAUAUAUGUGCAUUUGUCUUUGAGAAUGCUGGAGAUGAGCUGAUUCUGCAAGGAUUCAAUGCCCUCGCGUUCUGACAUUUCACGGAUGUUGGACAGAAAGCAACAAUCCUCAAAAUUUUCUAAAAGCUGAUUGUAGAUGAUUUUGGCAGUUGUCGUCUUCCCGAUGCCACCCAUCCCAUAGAUUCCUAUAAUCCGUGUUUCACUUGUGCGAGGACCUAUCAAUUCCGUGAUUGCAUCAACAUGGUUGUCGACAUUGACCAAGCAAUUUGAUACUACCAAAUAAGCCUUUUUCAACUCAUUGAAAACCUUCUGCAUGAUUGUUUUUGCAAACUGACCUUCUUGCCUAUUAUUCGUUGAAAGUCAAAAGGCAAUGAGUUAGAAAAUUGAGUUAAGCCAAACUAUGCUCUAACAAGACCAAAUUGAAAACUACAGACCUAUUCUAAAUGCGUUCCUCAACGAUUUAUACCAUUUUGAUAAACUAGCACUGGAACUUAGGGUAAAUGAAUGACCUGAACUAACGGAAAAAUGUUGCUUGCUGGGAAUGAAAUGGGACAAAAAUUGACAUGGUGAUAUUAUUUAGCCUGAUUUUGCUGCAUAAUUUCAAUUGCAUACAAUUCAAUUUCAACAAGACUAACACAAAUUUAGAAAAGAAACCAAUUUAAAUGCAUCGAGUUUAACGAUACAAGGCACAUGAGAUGGAAUGCUAAAAGUAGUCACCUGUUGGGCAUGCUUUGCAGGUCCCAUCCAUUUAUAUCCGCGACUGUAGUGAGAGCAUCCUUCCACUCCGCAAUAGUCUUUUCGUCAUAUCGCCUCUUUCUUUUGUGUGAAACAAAAGCUUUUUUAAAACUCCCGGUUUGGCGUCGAACAUCCGAAGGUGUCACAUCAUAAAAUAUGGGCAUGAUCUUUUGUCCUUCAUUUUUCUGGCACUUGACCAUUUGAACUAGCUCUCUGAGACACCAUACGCUAGAGGCAUAACCUUUUGAAAAGAUAGGUAUUAAGAUCUUCGACUGAUUGAUUGCUUCAGGAAGUUCUGGGGCAAACUCUUCCCCGACACGGAGCGCGUCAUCGUCCCUAAAUGUGCGGAUUCCUGCAUCUAUAAGAUAAUUGUAAAGGAAGUCGGUAAAACCUGAUCGUGUGUCAGGCCCUCUGAAACUCAAGAAUACUUCAUAGUCAUGUCCGGAAGAUGUUGCCGUUUCCUCAACUUGUGGUGUAGUGCAAGUAUGAGCAGCCCUCUCUACGGUACCAUUCUGUGGAGCUGAAUCAUUAUCUGCACUGCCCUCCACAGCGGUCUGACCUGCUCUUUUCUUCAGGAAUCCUUUGAACAGGAUGGCAGAGAGAGAUAUGGCAGCAACUGUCACCAUACAGGGCAACCGCAAGUGCUCAAGCAUUUUGUGAGUUAGCAAAGAGAAGGUUUUUAGUUAGAAAUACAGGGGAAUGGUGGAACAGCAGAGAUGAGAGGCGGCACUUAAAGAUCAGGAUGGAGUAACGAGGAACGGCUAGAAAUCGCCAGAGAAAGAGUAGAGACUGAGGCGAGGGCGGCCACUGAUGCUGCGACGGAACAUCGACGAGGCAGACGAGGAGAAGGAUCGAGAGAANNNNNNNNNNNNNNNNNNNNNNNNNNNNNNNNNNNNNNNNNNNNNNNNNNNNNNNNNNNNNNNNNNNNNNNNNNNNNNNNNNNNNNNNNNNNNNNNNNNNAUCACCCAUUCUGUAUGCGGUAAUUCCGCUCGGGGUAUAACAUUCAACUGCAAUUUCAUAAAAGGUUCUGAAGGAUUAUUCUCUACACAUCAGAAAAGGUCACCAUCUUUCAUCUGGCAUUUCCUAAACAUUGUUCACACUGCGCUAGCUUUGAGGAAGAAAAAAAAAAUAGUAGCAACAACGUUUCACGUGCUAUGAUGCAUAACAAGUUGGUCUCCAAGACCAACCCAUCACAUCCGCUUUGAUGUAAGUUGUCUCUUCUCAUAUCUUAGGAACGAAAAUUGUCCCUUUCUAAGGUUGAUUCUAGAGAUUUGGCCCUCCACUUUCCUUUUUGAGUUCAUAUUUGAUCACAUCCUUUUAUUUGAUGAGCAAAACUAAAAUACGAAUCCUACACUUCGGUGACCGUUUGAAUUCUUGCCCAAGGCUUUCAUAUUACAAAAAAAAAUAAAAAAUCAAUGUAUUUAAAAAAUACUUCAGCUGUGCUUGCAAACAAGUGUAAGCUGAAGUAUUAAAGUGGUGGAAUGUCAUUGGAAGGUUAAACCAACGAACAGACCAUGGCUAGCAGAGUAUCCUUCCAAAUGUCACUUCUAGAAAUAUAGACAUAGCACAAUGUAGAGUUUUCUUCUUAAAAAAAUUUGGCUCGAAUCUCAUGAACUUAAAUAAUUCCCAAAGGGUCUUACAUCUCAACAAACAACAUGAUUGCAUUUACAUUGGACACAGCACAGUGCAAAGUUUCCGGCCGGCCACCCCGGAGGAGUUGCCCUCCUCCGGGACCUUUCAUUGGAGGUUUACCAACCUAGUAUGCUAGGAGAAGGCAGUGACCUCCCUCCAGGCGGGAUCCCAGCACUAGAAGUGCUAUGGCCGGAGAGCCCAAUGGGGACUCUAUCCUGUUUUCCUCCCCUCACUUCCCUGUAAAUGGGUUGUGGGAGGAAGCACCCUAGGAUGUCCUAUUAAGGGUGGAGCACUUUAAGGACCUGCUUAGGUCCUCACUUCUAGAAAUAUAGACAUAGCACAAUGCAUAGUUUUCUUGUAAAAAAAAUUUGGCUCGAAUCUCACGAACUUAAAUAAUUCCCAAAGGGUCUUACAUCUCAACAAACAACAUGAUUGCAUUUACAUUGGACACUGCACAGUGCAAAGUUUUUUUUUUUUUUUUGGUUAGUGCAAAGUUUUUAUUCCCCUUAAAAUAAAAUUAAGAAAAAAGACAAAAAGACAAAAGUUCGAAUCUUUUUGAAUCUCUAUAAUAUAAAUAAUUUCUUCCUAAUGUCACUUCCAGAAAUAUGGACAUCUAGUCUCUCUAGAUUAGAUCAAAACAUUAUCCAACGCAAUUCAUUUGAUGAAUGGUUGUAGUUUGAAAUCUUACAAAGUUCUAAAAUUCCGCUGGCCAAAAAGGAGUUUUGAUAUAUGCGUUGUAAGUUUGAAUAAUCAAAUAAUAAAUUUCAAAUAUAGCUGGUAAGUGAAAAUUACAUAUGACUUUAUAUAUAUAUAUAUAAUAGACCAAGUAACGAUUGCAGCCAUAAGGACGUACUUAAGCUGAACUUGCACCGAGAGCAACCAUGUCUACUGAAGAGAAAAUAGCCGACCCUGAGGCGGCGAAGCCGGCUGAAGCGCUGCCGCUGAAAGAGGAGGCCCUGCCUCCACCCACGAGGCCUCCCGACGAGGCGAGCUUGCUCACAGCGGACGUGGCUCUUCAAGGGUUGCUGUUUGCUUCGAUGCUAAUCGCGCUCUUGAGGACCAUUCUAAGUUUGGUUCUGGAGAUUUGGUCCUCUACUAUCCUUUUUGAGUUCAUAUUUAUAUUAUUGAUGCACACCAAUACACACGCUUUUACUUGAUGGGCAAAAUUUAAAAAAUCGAGCAAGUUAAUUGAGUCGAGCCCCGAUACCGCGGCCACAUGCAACCACGGCCGUGCGAGGCCAGCAACCUCCGUCUGUCGCGACUUCUAUUGGACAUAGGUUGUGAGUUCCGUGCGGAGAAAAAAAGAGACCAUAGGAUAGCAAACAAGUCAAAUCGGUGAGGAGUUAAUGUCGCCGGUGGAUUCACACAUGAAGGUGAGGGCUUGUGAUGGCAAUGGGUGGGCGACACGUAAAAAUCCUAAACUAUAUUAACUAUGACACUAAUUAUUCCAAAUUUUUUUUUUCAUCAUAAAAAAUCGAAACUCGUAUCAGAAAUCCAAAAGUACUCUCCAUCCAAGUUGGUCAUUAAAAAUUUAAUGUGCCUGUUUGCGUGGACAACAAUAGACAAAUGAAGCAGACAUGACUCGGGAGAAUUCCACCAAAAAGCCUAAACCUUGCCUGGUGUGACAACGAAACCCAAUUUUUUUACCUGUUACUAAUACUAUAUAUAAACUUGUACCAGUGACUUGCAAAUAUUAUGCAUCACAGUUCCAUUCAAGACGGCCGUUAAAAAUCCAAUGUGACCGCUUGCUUGGACAUCGAUAAGCAAAUGGAGCCAAUGUCGAUAUGAUGUGAUUUUAGUAUGGUCUAAAGUGACUUUAGACCACUUGCCAAAGUUAUAAGUUUUUAAAAAAUUAAAUCUCCGUGGUAACAAGUUGUCUCUCACAAUUUUUAGGGUCCAGGAAGUGGUAUAAUUUGGAGAUGCAGUUUUUUUUAAGGGCUAAUACCCUAAAAAACCCCAAACUGGUACACUCGUGAUAAAUUUACCCUAAACUAUUUUUUUGACCACAAAAAAUCCCAAAUUGGUAUUACUUUUGACAAAUUUACCCCAAACUGGUAUAAUUGUGAUAAAUUUACCCUCUGUUAGUUUUCGUUAAAUUUUAUUGUCAAAUUAUUAAGUUAAAUGACACGUGACAAUUAAUUAAUAUAUCAAUUUGAGAUUUUAUGAUCCAUUUGUCAUAGUUUACAAUUUUUGUGAUUUUUUUGUAGUAUUAAUCCAAUUUAGCGAAUAGUAUAUUUGUCACAAUUUAUCAGUUUGGGGCUUUUUGUGGUUGAAUAAAUUAGUUUGGGGUAAAUUUGUCAUAAAUGUACCACUUUAUGGUUUUUAAUGGUCAGUCGGGGUAAAUUUGUCACAAGUGUACCAAUUUUGGGUUUUUUAUGGUAAAAAAAAUAGUUUUGGGUAAAUUUGUCCUAGAUGUACCAGUUUGAGGUUUUUCAGGGUAUUAACCCUUUUUUUUUAAUAAUAAUUGGGACGAAUUCCUCUCUAUUUAACUUAAAGCGCUCCGAGCUUAAUUUGAAACUAAUAUGCAAAAUAAACGAGCUUCAACUUAUUCUCCAUUUAUUUCGUAAAAAAUGAAUGAUUUGGAAAACAUUUUAUAUCGUUCAUAAAAAUGAAUAAAUUAAAUAUAUUUUCAUUAUCUAUGAAAAUAUUUAGAUAUAAAUUAUUAUCGAUAGUAAAAAAAUUUCAUUAAUUAAUUAUUUCAAGAAAUAUAAACGAUGAUUAUCAUUCAUUUUUCACGAAAUAAACGGAGUGCUAACUUUAACAAAAGUGUAAUGAAAUAUAUUCUUGCUUUGCCUUUCUUUUCCUUUUUCUCUAUGCACUUGAGACCUUACAUUCGUCCACCUUCUUUUUAGCAUUUCACUUAUGUUCUUCUCCUUUUCGGGACAAGAAAGAAUAUGAAGGGAUAUGAUUGUUCACUUUGGAUCUCUUUAUUGGCAUCAAUUAUAUGGUCUAUCGUCAUACCAAUCUGAUAUCUAUCAACGUCUUUUUUUUGGAUAUGGAUUCAUCAACAAUGUUAGCGUGCAAACACUCAGUACAAUUUUGUGCCGAAGGGUAAUACUUUUCCCCAAAAAAAAAAAAAAAACUGGAAUCCCUCACGAUCUUCCUUCUUUGUUCGAUGAAAAAUCAUUUCUGGAAAAUUUCUUUCCUUACUUUCCAGUUUUUGAAUCACGUAAAGCUACUCGAUCCAUAAAAACGUUUACCAUGGGCUAAAAGUAAUAAAUAAGCUUAGAGAAAAAUGACUUGGCAAGAAGAAUUGUUUUCCCUGAUUUUUUUCCUAAUUUCUUUGUAAAUCGUUGUUAUUUUCAUGGAUUAUAGAAUAAACGGUGAUGAUAGUCAUCACAUGUUACUUUUAACUAUAUAAGCCACCCUUAAUGAAUUCACUUAUUACCAAUUAUGAUAAAAUCAAUUUCUUCAACUUGUUUUCAGCACGAUCAAAAUUUUGUGUUUACUUUUUCUGAGAUUGAAUUUCCUAAAACAUUUUCCCUCAAAAAAAAAAAUUCUUAGUGAGAUAAACACAACCUAAGAGUUUGUUUUCACAUGAUGUUAUUCGAUUGAAAGAAAUAGUAAGAUGGAAUUAUCAAUGGAUAUGAGAAUUGGACAUUGAUUUGUUGUCAUAUGAUUAUUGGGGGUUGAAUAAGAGAAUAAUGAAUCGGUGUAGCAUUUUAUAGAAUGAUCUUAGUGAAAUAAUUUUACGAUAAAAUCUCUACGUUUAUGGAAGUCUGAUUGGGAGGCACAGAGUGCCAAAUCAAUGGAUCAUUGAUGUGAUUCCUUCCUGAGCAAGCUGGUUCAUCAUGGACUCUUGGUAGUCAAAGUCUUCGUUGAUUUUGACUUUGCCAUUCUAAUCCUGUGACGUUUCCUUCUCGUUGCACCACUCCAUACGCUGUUCUAUCUUCUUUUUUUUCUCUCUUUCUGAGAGUGGUAGCUAAUGCGAUUUUAAAUCUAAUGAUAGUAUUUUGACGCAAGGCAAAAUUAUAUGUAUACUACAUUUUUAUUCUUUCCAUUCAAUUAAAUUAGAUUUUAUCAACUUUUCUAUUGAUUGAUGACACGAUUGGCUAGAUUAUUUAAAGAUAAAAUAUCUUCUGAACAUAUGGUAUUUGUUUUGCAAGUAUUUUUCAAAUUUCUAAAUCAAUUCCAUGGCUACUAAACAUUUUGUAUUUCACGAGAGAAAGUAGCCACUUCGCAACUAAAGUUUCAUGAUAUCGACUCGAUAGAAACCAAAAUAGCCAAAGUCAACUUCUUUCAACCAUUCUUUAGCCAACCAAAGUCACUCGUAAAGAGUUGGCCUUUAUAAUAUCAUAAGCUUUUCAAGAUCGGGAUAACGAUCAAUUCCAUGAUGAAUAAACAAAGCAUUACCUCCUCUUCAUUGAUCUCUCUUGAUCUUCUCUCCGAGAAAAAAAAGUCGAACUGUAUAACAGCAAAAUCAAUGCAGCACAUUGCGAAAUCUAAAUCACUUUUAGAAGCCAAAAUUACAAAUGGAGAUCUCCAUGGGUCAAUAAAAGUAGAACACAGGAUAUGUUGACUAAGCUAAGAGCCGGGGGCAGUUCGUAUUCUAAUGAUAUGUCUUUGUAGAGUUUGCUUUCACCCUGAAACAGAACCGCACGGUGUCCAAUGCGUCUUCCUUCUUCCAUUGAAUCAUAUCAUCCGAGAGCACCGUGUCGCCAUAAAUGCCCCCGCCCUUGCCCACAAAUUAACAAGAAUGACGGGGGCACGGGGACCCACUCGUGGCUUUGCUUGAACAUAAUUGUAGUGUCGCCUUCAGGACAGGGGUGUGUCCCAUUCGGGGAAAAAGUAUCAUGUCUAUUUUGAAGAAAACGCCCCGUCUGUUUUUCGUGCUCUCCAAACCUCAAAAAUACAAAGGAAGUUUGGGAAAAUAUGGCAAUUUCAAUGGGGACGCAUGGGCUAAAAAUCCAUGAUUUCGGGGUUGCCCUGCCAAAUGCGGCGUAUGGACUAGAUUACACCUCUCUUCACUUCCUCCCUAUUCUUCGAGCAGGUCUUGCCCGCUCGAGCCGCAGGGCAUGUGAACCUGACUCGUGCACAACUGGAUUAUGUGAAUUCUCUAUACGUUCCAUCUCAUCCAUUGGUACGCAUGACCCUAGAUUGAUUUAGCAUCUUCUUCCUAUUAAGUGGCUCCCGCUUCACCGCACCCGAUAUCAUCAAUCUCCUCAUGUGAGUCAUGUGACCACCGACAGUUGACAAGUUUAUGUUCCAUCCGCCAUGUGAGUUAUGUGAUCACCAACAGUUUAUAGGUCUAUGUUCCAUCCGCCAUAAUCAUGGCCCCUUGUCCUUUUCCCUCUGCUCCUCUCCUUUCUUCCCUAUCAAUUGUGUUUUGUCUUUUUUAUGCUGCCAAAAUACCCAAUGCCCUCUUGGCGAGGAAUUUAUUUAUCCUUUUCUUUAUGGUAUUGAUUUUAAUGAUAAACUGGGAUGAUGGCCUUUCUCUGUUCCUAAAAAAAUCUCUAGAUAUAAAUUUGGGAGUUUAAUAAAUAUACUUUAGGGGAUUCAAUGCUCUCAUGCUUUAUUCAUGUAUAGAUUCUCUGCCCCAGUCUUAAUGAUGAUCUUAGGAGUUUUAGCAUCUCGUUGAAUUACAAAGAUUUAUUCCUCCACACAUUAGAUCUGUGUUUAUCUAACAUAUUAUGGUUGUUUUCAUACAAUGAUGGUAUAGAGGAAGCUGAAUCUAGGCAUGCACCAUCAACUAACAACAUCAUAAUUAUUGAAGAAUGAAUUUUUUGGCGUGUACUCAUCACUGACAUAGACUCGAGAUAUGGUGAUUGGUUGCCACUUUUGUUUGACAUAUCUGUUCAUGUGGAACGAGUUUGUGUUUAACUUUGCAAUUGCUCCAUCAAUCCUCCUUAUGUUCUGGAUUUGGCUUUGUUUUUUAGUAUUCAUGCUCUGUUUUGAUUUGCUUUGUCAUGAAAAUUAUGUACUUCUGCAUCCUUUUGAGUAAUGAAUACAAUUUUCUUUCGAUCGAAAAAAAAAAAAAAACUAAGUCAAGCCCCGACACCACAGCCAUUCAACCAUAGAUUUGUGGCUCUGGCGACCUCUGCCAAUCGCGAGUUCCAUGUACAUAGGUUUAUGAGCUUUGUGCAAAAAGAAAAAUCCCAACGCUGAGUGCGCAAUUCCAUAAAAAACCUAACCUUUAUAUUUACCGUAAUACCAAUUAUCCAAGCUGUAUUUUUAUCAUCAAAAUCCCAAACUUAUAAGGUAACCAAAAAAUACGUUCCAUCAAAGUUUGGUCCAAGAUAAAUGUUGAAAAUCUAAUGUGGCGUCUUGGAUGGCGAUGAACUUAAAAAUCUGAAUAAAGCUUUUGAAAGAAAACUGGACUUAGCAACUUUUAGGGUCCAAGAAGGAAGAUAAUCCACUUGGCGGUCCUUUUUGUAAAAGAAAUGAGCUACAAUUUUAACUUCAAAGGAAAAGUGUGAUGGAAUACAAAUUCUUGCUUUGCUUUUACCCUUUUCCGCUAUGCGCUUGAGACUCACAUUCGUCCACCUUGAUUUUAGCAUUUCACUUUUGGUCUUACUCCUUCUCGGGAGAAGAAAGCAUAUGAUGGAUCUCUCUUUAUUUGGAUUUUUUUUUUACGACUCUCUUUAUUUGGAUGAAGAGACCAAAAUAUUCAACAUGCCCCGGUUUAGAAUUUUUUUAUCUUUCCUUUUAUUUAGUUUCUUUUCUAGGUGAACUUCGUUUAAACUCCACGACAACUCCUUCCACAUCAUUCCUUGACCUUUUCGCACGUUUCUUCCUUUGCUUCAAAUCCUUAAUCUUCCCCUCGUUGGCACUGCUCUCUGCUCACACGCCUCCAAAACCCUAACCCCAUGCCCAUGGCCAUGGUCAUUUCCGGUGAUUGACGAACUGACCUCCUCAAAGUUGCCGGGGAGUGCAUGAUCGAUGUGAACGCUCCAACACCAGCAAGACCUUCAGACUUCGAUGGGUACAGAUGUGGACUAAAUGAACCUAUUGGUAUUUGACAAGGAUGACAUGGAGGAAACACGAUGAGGCAGCCAAGGAGGAAAAAUAAAAUCCCGCAAGAUCCAAAGGUGUGAAACUGUUUGGUUCUAGAAUUCAUGGGCUCUUAAGAGUGCGUUUGGUAACGUUUCUGUUUAAAAAUUGUUUAUGGGAACAGAAAUUAAAAAAAAAAAGUGUUUAUGUUCCAGGGAACAAUUUUUGAACAAAAAAACGCGUUUGGUAAAUCUGUUCCAGAAAUACAAAAAUAAUAGAAACACGUUUGGUAAGUUUGUAUAAUUUUUUUAUUUCUUUUAAUUUUUUAAUAUUUUUAUUUUUAUUUUCUAUUUUCUUUCUUAUUUUUCUUAUUUAUUUUUCCUUUUUUCUUUUUUCUUUUUCCUUUUUCCUUUUUUCUUCUUUUGGCCGGCGGCCUCGCCUAGCCACAGCGAGGCUCGCUGGCCCCUGGCAAGGGGCGGCGUCGUUGGCCGCUGUGUGAGCUCGGCCUCGCCGGGUUUGGGCGAGAUCGAGCUCGCCCAGCCAAGCGUGAGGUCGGCCUCGCCGCGCCGGGCCGACGGUGACCCAGAGCCACACCGUCGUCUCCCUCCACCGCAUCGGCAACCGCGCUCGACGCCUCCUCACCGCCACCGCAUCGGCGACCACCCCUCCGCCUCACGCUCGAUCGACGCAUCUGCAGGUCUCGAGCCUCCGUUCGCCACCGCCGCAUUAGAUCUCACCGCGCCAUGACCCACGACUUUGAGAUCCGCUCGAUCGUCGACCCCGCGCCGGCCCACGACUCGACCGGCCGUCCUCGCCGCUCCGCUCCUAGACGUCCGCCGCUUGAGACCCCACAGCCGAGCCCCGCACCGCAGCCGCCGCCGCCGCCGCCUAGCGACCCGCGACCCAGCUCCGUCACCCGCUCGCAGGUGGAGACGCUUGCAGCGGCUGUCGGUGCCAGAGAGGACGACGGUGGAGAAGCCAGAUGGUCUCGAGACAGAGGCGGCUAUCGGCGCUGGAGAAGACGACGGUGGAGACGCUUGCAGGAGGAGAGGCUCGCAGGAGAACAUGAUUUUGUUUCUUUUUUGUUCUUCAAAUAUGUUUCAGAAAUAAGAAACAAGAAUUUCUCAUUUCUUAUUUCUGUUCCCUUUUUGUUUCUGGGAACAAAAAAACAAAAAAGGAACAGAAACGCACCAAAACGCGUUUCUGUUCCUUUUUUGUUUCCAGGAACAAAAAAACCAGAAAUUUUUGUUUCUGGGAACAGAAACACGGUGCAAACAAACGUGCCCUAAGUCUUUUCAUACGUACAUCCGAAUUUGACAAAAGCAAAAUUUAAAAUUGAAGCAAUUAAUCACGAUUGACUUGAUGAGUCAAAAAAGACUCUUGGGAAGUAUAAAAUUCAUCGAUUCGAGACCAACGGAAGAUCAAAUUUGUUUUCCGAUAGCUUUAGCUUUGAUUAAACUCCACUAAACUUUUGUUUUAGUAAAACAAAACUCCAAAGGUCUCAUUGCAAUUUUUUUUUUCAAAAUCGGACUCCUUCCAUUUAAAUUGAAAUUGAGUGUCCUCCAUUAUAGCUCAGAAGCUCCAGGAAGAAGAGAAAAUAGGUGGGAUCCCAUUGCCUUAACUCAUCUCUUUAUAAUAAAAAAAAGAGAGAGACUUUUCGUAUUAGAUGCAGGCCUUAACUAUCAAAGACCACUCCUUCACCAUAGAAAUAUCAAGGAAAUAAAAAGGAAAGAUCUUUUUCAAUGACUUUUGGGUAGGUCAUUGAACUUAGAAGCCAUAGGAUUGGCUGAACAUGCAGAGAGAGCCAGUUUGCUGCAAAAUUUGGUCAAUAACGAUGAUUCCUUGAAGCAUCGGUCAAGCUUGCCAAAGUUGACAAUUAUUUAUGUUUCUUAACACAAAAAAAAUCACUAGACCAUGUGAUGCAAAAAUUUUGGGAUUAGAAUCGACUUUUGCGCCCCCCCCCCCCCCCCCCCAAAUAAAUGGCAUAUUCAUUCAAAGUCAAGUCAACAAAAGCAUACACCAAAUUUUGGUAAUUGACGAGUGUAUUAAUUUGGAGUUUUAUCAUUUAUUUGUCACAUAUGAUUGGUUUGUGCUUUUUCCUAGUAUUAAUCCUAUUUAACGGAAACUAAUGGAGGGUAAAUUUGUUACAAUGUGCCGAUUUGAAGUUUUUGGUUAUCAAAAAAUUAAUUUGGGAUAAAUUUAUCACGGGUAUAUAAGUUUGGGAUUUUUCGUGGUAUUAACUCUAAAAACAAUAAGAUUUAGAGAAAAACAACUUGGCAAGAAGAAAUCAUUACCCUUAUUUUCUUGCUACGCUUUAAAGUGAGAAGAAUAUACUUUAUCAAUGCUCAAUUUUUCUACAUUCCCAAGCACGAUUAAUCUAAUAUUUUACAAAUAUGAUUUCAUAAUUUCUAUCUUGAUUUCUUUGUAAUCGUUUUAUUUCAAUGGAUUAUAGAAUUAAUGAAGAAGAUAUCAAUUCUAGUUUAUUAGUCAUUCCAUGUUACUUUUAACGAUACAAGCCACAUCUAGUGGAUUCACUUAUUACUAAUUACAAUAAAAUCAGUUUUUUUCAACUUGUUUUCACCAUAAUCAAAUUUUUCCGAUUCCCUUUCUCUGAAAUUGAAUUUCCUAAAAGCAUUUUCCCGCAGCAAAAAUUAGCGAGAUAAAGAAAUCUUCAGGGUUUUUAUUUUUAUUUUUAUUUGAUUUUCUAAUUUCAUAUGACAUUAUAUGAUGGGAGGGAAUUGUAUGAUGAAAUUAUCAACGAAUAUGAGAAUUGGAGAGCAAUUUGUUGCCAUGUAAAUUUUGUGGUUGAAUGGGAGAAAGAUCAGUAAGUGUUGGAUUUUACAGAGUGAUAUGGUGACCUUUUUUUUCUCUUCUUUUUGAUAAAAUCACUACAUUUAUGGAUGUCUGUCUGCAAGGGACAAAGUACCAAAUGAAUGAACCAUUGGUGUGAUUCCUUCUUGAGCAAAAGCUGGUUUAUCAUGGACUGUUGGUAGUCCAAGUCUUUGUGGACUUUGACUUUGCCCUUACUGGUAGACUAUUCUUUUAUUUAUCUAUUUUCUUUGGAGAGUGGUAGGUAAUGCAAUCUUUAAUUUAAUGAUUUUAUUUUGAUGCAAGAUAAAAUUGUAUAUAUACUGCACUUCACAUGAUAACUAAAAAUUCUAUGUUUCACGAUGGAAAAAUAGCCACUUCACAAUUGAAGUUUCACAAUGCUAACUCAACAAUAGCCAAGGUAAGUUGCAUAUACCAAAAUCAGCUUUUGUCGACCAUUUUUUAGUCAAUAAAAGUCACCCGUAAAGCGUUGAUAUGUACGAUAUCAUAAGCUUUUCACGGUCCAAAUUAUGAUCAAUCCAAUGAUGAAUAAACCAAGCAUUGCCUCAUUUCCGUUGAUCUCAUUUGAUGUUUUCUUUGAGAAAAGAUUCAGACAUGGAAAAAAGUUCAGGAGCCCUACUUAUCAAGUGCUGCUAGGCCGGAAAAAAUAAAAAUCCUUGAUCAAAUGGUGGCCGCCAAUCAAUCAACUAUCAAAGUAAUUAACUCAUUGGGGACCUCAACCAUCAUUCAUGGCGAAACUGGCCCGUGAGGAUCCAUGAAAAUCUUGUCAAAAAAGCAAAGUGAUAGUGAAAAGAAAUAAAGCAAUACGGAAAAGAAAAAAAAAUAUGGAUUCUAGUGUGGAAAAGAAGACCCGCCUUUGCUUUAGCAUGUGCAUUUGGUAGUCCAAGUCUUCGUAUGCUUGGGUCAAUCAUUGGUUUGAUUCCUUCUUGGAGUAAAGCUGGUUCAUCAUGGACUGUUGUUAGUCCAAGUCUUCGUAGACUGACUUUGCCCUUCUAAUGCUGUGAUGUUUCAAUCCAAUGAUGAAUAAACCAAGCAUUGCCUCCUCUCUGUUGAUCUCAUUUGAUCUUUCCUUCGAGAAAAGAUUCAGACAUGGAAAAAAGUUCAGGAGCUCUACUUAUCAAGUGCUGCUAGGCCCAAAAAAAUAAAAAUCCUUGAUCAAAUGGUGGCUGCCAAUCAAUCAACUAUCAAAGUAAUUAACUCAUUGGGGACCUCAACCGUCGUUCACGGCGAAACUGGCCCGUGAGGAUCCAUGAAAAUCUUGUCAAAAAAGCAAAGUGAUAGUGAAAAGAUAUAAAGCAAUACGGCAAAGAAAAAGAAUAUGGAUUCUAGUGUGGAAAAGAAGACCCACCAUUGCUUUAGCAUGUGCAUUUGGUAGUACAAGUCUUUGUAUGCUUGGGUCAAUCAUUGGUUUGAUUCCUUCUUGGAGCAAAGCUGGUUCAUCAUGGACUGUUGUUAGUCCAAGUCUUCGUAGAUUGACUUUGCCCUUCUAAUGCCGUGAUGUUUCAGUUCUCUCGCACCUCCCCUAUGCUGUUCCGCCUUAUUUUUUCUCUGUUUUAGAGUGGUAACUAAUGUUAAUGCCAUGGUAAAAUGAGGCACAGGGAGCUUAGAUUUUAGAUUGUUGGCAUCUAUAUCAAUAUCACAUCAAACAAUCUCAUGCAAUUCAUAAUCUAAUGAUUGUAUUUCAGUGCAACGCAAAAACCAAAUAUAUGCAGCACUUUCGUACUUUCCAUUAAGUUAAAUUAGAUGGUAUCAACUUUUUUUUAUCGAUUGAUGACAUAAUUGGCAAGACUAUUUAAAAAUCAAAGUAUUUCUAAAUAGAUAGUGUUUGUUUGCAAGUUUAUUUUAUUUUAUUUUAUUUUAUUUUUCUAAAUCAAUUUUGUGGUAAUUAACAUUCCAUGUUUCACAAUAGAAAACAAAAUCUCGCUAGAUCAGAGGUAUAAAGAUGUUCCAUUCUGAAAUUCAUAAGUUCUUAAAUCUUUUCAGGCAUAAAUCCAAGUGUGAAAAAAACCAACAUUUAAGAUUGAAGUUAUUAAUCGCGAUGACUUGAUGAGUCAAAAAACACUUUUGGAAAGUAUCGAAUUCCCAUUUGAGUAGCAUCUAUUUUCACAAAUCUAUUUAUUCACUUGCUAAAUAUUAAAUCAUGAUUUGAUCAUAUCACUUAAUGAAUCAAUUUUAGUAUACUUAUUUAAAUUACUUGUAAAUAACCUAGAUUUAUUUGUUAAACUUCAAAUGAUGAAGAGCUCAUGCUUAUUGAGCUUCCUCCUUUAGCUCAAAAGCUCAGGGAGAAGAGAAAAUAUGUGGGAUUCCAUUGCCUAAUUCUUACUCUUUUUAAAGGAAGAGAAAGACUUCUCAUACAAAUGUGGGCCAUAAUUAUUGAGACAUUUUUUCCUUUACCCUAGAAUACGUAGGGAGUCAUGGGCCAGUUUUGCUGCAAAAUUGGUUGGCAAGCAUGCUUCCUUGCAGCAUCAUUGCGGCCUGUCAACCGUGACAAAUAUUACGUUUCUGAACACGGAAAAUCACUCGACUAUGUGGUGCAGAAAUUUUGGGAUGAAAAUCUACUUUUGCCCCCAAAUAAUUCAUUCAAAGUCAAGUAAACAAAAGCAGACACGGAACUUCCAAAACAAGUUCGUUUCCCCCAUUCUAAUUAAGGUGAACUCCAGUCGGUCCAGUUUAAUGGGCUGAUCAGGCCCAGGCCCGGAAUAACUCUGAAGCAUAAAGCCUAGUGGAAUUAUCACGCUUGAUCUUCAUCAAAGCACUCCCUAGUGGUCAAUUGAAUUAAGAAAAUAUUACAUUUUAUUUCGGAGGUGAACCAUCCUUUGCAUUUAACCUGUCGUUAGUGUCAAAAAUUGCUUAUCACAAAACGUUUUAGUUGGACAUUAAAUCCAUGCAUUGUGCUGAUUAUUAUAUAAAACAUUACUAAAAUAGAGUACACAAAACCAAUGUGUAAGCACAGUCUUGUGGCGUAUUAAAACUUUGAGCCACCAACAAGCGUGGUAAAUAAGCUCAUGAACAUGAUGUGACCUAUUAGAUCUCAUUUGGAAUUUAACUCAAUUAGCAUUUCCACAUUCACAAUUGAACUCGAAAGCCUCUAUGAUGAUUGGGAAAAGUUUAGUGAAGCCUUUCUAAUGACUAUAAUGAUUAUAAAAAAAAAAAUAUUGACUCCCCCUGAAUUCAAGUAUGAAAGUUUUCUAUUUCAAAUAAUGUUUCGGAGGUGUGGCUCUUUGAUCUCUCAGUUAAUGCUUGUGGAUUAUCUAUUACAAAGGGGGAAAAAAGAGGCAAAAAUAAAAGAACUUAUGGACAACACGAGACUAUUCCAUGUUAAAAUUUGAGAAUUGGAAAAAAUUUGCCACGCUUCUAUUAAUUUGAAAUUAAAUGAUUUGGGUUGCUAUUUCAGAUUUACCUUGACAUUAGAUGAUGUCAAACCAAGUCCAUUUGCAGCUAGAAACAUUUUUUUAGUAUAAUUAAGAAUUGAAAUGGCUCCUCUUCAACUUCUGUGAAUCCAACUUAAGAGCCAUGCUUUACUGGAAAAACAAAUUGGACAUGCAUUUACCGAUGUAGAGUAUUAAUUUUCUUCACGCCACAAUUUUGUGUUGGUUAUUGUCAUAGAGGUGAUGCCAUAAGUGCUAAGAUACUUUCACACACAUUGUAACAGCUACUUUGAUGUAUAUAGUAUUAUGAAGUUAUCGUUCUCUUGCGUGAAGAAAGGAAAAAUGAUGCUUAGCUCUUUGUUGGUUGAUCUCCAACUUGAAAAGUUUGCUUUUUACAUGGAAAUGAACAAAUAUUGGACAGGGAAGAAAAAAGGGGAAAAACUCAAGUCUAAGUGCAUAUGGCACCAAAAGGAAAUCUGAUUUUGAUAAGACUAGAUAUGAAUCGUAGUUCAGAUUCAAGUUGAUUCAGUGAGGGCGACUGCAAAAGUCACCGAAUGGAUCAGUCUUUUCCUUUAGUUUUUGUCCUAUUUAAUAAAAUAAAAAAGUGUGGGAGGAUGUUGCAGAUGUCCAUGAUGGACACGACUUCUUGUAACACUAGAAAACCACUAGAAGACACUCAGGACCAAAGCAUGUUGUGAAAGAAGCACAUUGGGGCAUUGACCAAUUUCAAAUAUAGUAAGACAAAGCAAUAAAUUAUAAGAUAUCUAAAAAUCACCACAUAAUAUAUUGACAAAAUAAGGCACUUGGAAUUUAUAUAAUUUGACCCAACCUCACUAGGUAAGUUAAUUAGCAAAUCAAGCCAUUGAAACAUAUAAACCAAACCAAACCAAAACAAAGAAGAUCUGAACAAGGUUAUUUGCAGAAAUAUAUCACUAGUCAACAUGCAAAGUGCACAAAAAAGGAAGAUUUACAUAAACCUCUUUGUAAGUCAUAUGUUUAACAGGAUAAGAAGCACUUCUUAUCAGACAAAAAAAGUACUCAACAGGGCAGAUGUCCAUUUUUUUUUUCUUCCGCAGAAAUUUGCCAAGUUUGAUCAAGCAACUCCUUAAUGUGCUGAGUUUCCAAAUCUCCCGUGGUGAAGAAUGCCUAUUUGUUUCAAUUUCCUCCACAUUGAUACAUCAGAAACAUCAGGAUAGAGUUGCCAGAGAAGAUACGCAAAUUGUCUAGUGAUUCUGGUCAACCAGAUUACCACAAUGAUCUAAAUGAAAAUCCAUUAGUUUCUUCAAGCCACUCAGUCGGCCAAUCUGUCCAGUCGGUUGAGUUCGUUCAGCUCCAAAUUCCAGAUUUAGUCUGGUGGCAUCUUUAUCCACUUGUAGUUUCUCAAAGACUAGCGUUCAAGGCUUAUGAUGGUAACCAAUCGAGUGAGGAAGCUCCAAGAUCCCAGUUCCUUACAGAGAAAGCCUCAACAGGGAAGUCGGGUAACUGAUUGAAGGUUUUGUAGUCAGUGAGGAACGAUGGCAAGCACAGAGAAUUUCUAGACUCUUCAAUCCUUGACAUUCAAGCAUAUGAUUCAUUGAUGUCCCAUCAAUCAAGGGUUCUCUCAAACAUUCCAUUUUACUAGGCUCCUAGGGAGAUGGUGGAGAUCAAUCUUUCUAAAUUCACAUGUAUCUGAAAUCUAGCAUCUAACAUAACCAUUUUGACAUCGAAAGGUCCACCUGAUCUGACUGAAUUGAGGUCAUAUAGCAAUCUCUUCCAAGGCAGUAAGCCCAUGUCAGACUUUCCCCUUCCAUCUUGGUAGUUUGUAGAUGUACGUUCCCGAUAAGUUAGAGACUGUUGAUGUCUGUCCAUCUUGGUAGUUCUUACAAUAUUUUCUGUUCGUGUGAAGUCCUCCGAGAUGCACUAACCGAGACAUACUCCUUUGAUCAUUUUAUUCAAAUCAAUUCACUGUUCCCGCUGCUCCAUGGUUUAUAGCAGCAUCGUCAUAUGGACCACCCAUCUCCAGUGAUCUUACUUGUGCUUAGACUCCUCUGGAAGAAAUAUUUGAACAGAACAGCAGAAGCAACGAUGGUAGCAACUGUCACCACACACAGGACAACCUCAAGUGCAUCAAUCGUUUCACGCCAGCACAAGUGGUCCACCUUGGCAGAAACAACAAUUGUUGAGCUGCUGCCCCACGUGUCGGAUUCUGAAUGGUCUUUACCCUAAGCCUACGUGGAGGGUAAGACUCACCCAAUAUUUCCUCUGGAUCGGAAUCCGAAGUGACGAUCUGGAAUUAAAAUGGGAGGAGGAGAGUCGGAGAGGGAUGGUGGGAUAUUCGAAGUCGUAUCGGAGUCAGUGUCGGAAACUGGAGGAAGCAGAGGAGGGUUCUUUACGUCUUUUCGUAUUUUUGUUUUAAUUUCUUUUCACGCUUUUUCCUUUUUAUCUUUCGGAAUUUGGUUUUUUCCUUUCGGUUGCUCUUUUCCUUUUUCGCUACAUGCGAGUGGCCCGAACAUUUUCCGCCAGUAAGAGGGGAAAGGGGGAGGGGUCAAAAUUGUAUUUUCGUUUCCCCUGCUGCAGAGUUGAAGGCAACAGCGUCAGUUCCCGCGCGAGAUGGGACUUGCGGCUCGAGGAUUAGAGGCGGUCCGACCUGCCCUUGCUGCCUGACGCAACCAAUUCUUAACGUUGCAGUCUCAUGUACACUGUGGAAGAUUAAGUUCGAACCAAAACUAAGUUUACGUACGUAUACAGGCCUAUUAUUGCUGUCUUGCCAGCGUGCUAGAAGCCAGGAAAUAUCUCCAUAUGAGGUAGCGAUAUAUACAACCUCGGCCAGGAUUCGCUCACAAUGUGAUUCAAAUUAUUCAAUUCAUGGAAAAUAGUGUGACCUACCUAAUGUUAACGGUGCCAUGACAACAUUUAUGUUUCUUUAUUUCUUUUUUUUUGUUCCCCGGAACAUGUUUAGAACAGAAAUCUAUUUGGUAACGCAAUUUCAUUUUUCUAUUUCUAGAAUAUAUUUAUAUUUCAGAAAUAAAUUUGGAGCGGAAAUCAGAAGUUAAAAUUUUUAGCUUUUCUAUUUCUGAAACAUAAAUGAGAAAUCAAAAUUUUUCGGGAGAAUUACCAAAAAAGUCCUAAACCUAUUGCAAUUGUGUCAAUUCAGUCCUAAACCUUUUACUUUUGUUCCAGUUCAGUCCUUCCGGCCAAAAUUAGCCGGCCGGCGCUGACGUGGCAGCCGGCCGGUGCCGGCGAGCUUUUUUUAAUAAUUUUUUAUUUUGCAAAAACAAUAUUAAUUUUUUUCUUUUUUUCCCUUUUUUUUCCUCCUCCCGCCGGAUCGCCUCAGUCCGGCGACCGGCCAGGCUGGCCGGUCGUCGGAGCCCAAGGAAGGAGGAGGGAGGAGGAAAAAAAAAGGAAAAAAAGAAAAAAAUUAAUAAAAAAUUUUAAAAAAUCAAAUAUUAUUAAAAAAAACUCGCCGGCACCGGCCGGCUGCCACGUCAGCGCCGGCCAACUAAUUUUGGCCGGAAUGACUGAACUGGAACAAAAGUAAAAAGUUUAGAACUGAAUUGGCCAAAAAAAAAAGUUUAGGACUGAAUUGGCACAAUUGCAAUAGGUUUAGGACUUUUUUGGUAAUUCUCCCAAAUUUUUCUCAUCAUUCACUCUCAUCACCACCUGUCGCCCACUUGCCGCUCGUGGGAUGCUAGACGCCCACCGCCGGUUGCCGACCGCCCGCCAUCAGCCCUGACCACUAGCCACCGACCGCCAGCCACCAAACUCUAGCCACCUGUCGCCAACUGCCGGUCGCUGGAUGCCGAACGUCCACCGGUUGUUGGCUGCUCAUUGCCAAUCAUUGGAUGUUGGAGGCUCACCACCAACCACCGGAUGUCCGCUACCAACUGUCUGCCGCUCGACACCGGCCGUUGAAUGUUGGCCGCUUGCCACCCAUCGCCGACCUCUUGUCGUCGGACUCCGGACAUCGGACAUUGGAUGUCGAACUUUGGACGUUGGACGCUAGUUGCUGGUCGUCGGACUCUAGACUUCAGCCACUCGCCACCGAUCGUCGAACUCUAGCGCUGGACGCCGGACUCCAGACUCCGACUACCCACCGUCAGUCACCGGACGCCAAAUGCCGAUCGUUGGACGUCAGACUCCGACCACUGGAUGCCGAUCGUUAUUGCUUUGAGAAAUAAAAAUUUUAUUCUAUUAUCAAACGAAUUUUUAUUUCAGAAAUAGAAAUUUUAAAUUGUUAUCAGACGCGUUUUUUUGCUCAAAAACCCGUCCAUAGAAUAAAAAUUGAGAAAUCAAUUUAUGGCCAUAAAUUGAUUUCUAUUCCAGAAAUUUUGUUAUACGCACCCUAAGUCACCGCAUUUGGGGGUGGGCUACAAUUUUUUCACUUUCAUUGUUCUUUCUUUUUCAAAUUGUUUCACGUGAAUGAGUCGUGUAUGAAUUUGAUAAAAGCGCGAGAGGUGUAUAAAUUUAUUUCGUGCUUAUUAACACCUAAGUUUGACGAGUGACCGAUCUAUCAACACUGGCCAUAAAUGAAGAGAUUAGGGGAUUGUUCUCUGCAAAAAGUUAUUGUCACACCCUUCACGCUCUUGAAUCGCACCUUGUUCUUCACUUCCGUUGUUGUUUUGUGUACUAACUUCUCUGUAUUUUGGAAUAAGACGAAUUUUUAGAUUAAGCUUGAAUCUGAAAAUAUUUGACUAGAGAAGUUUGCCAUCAUAAUGAAGUAUUUGCAAUUUCAUAUACCUCCACUAAUAUAAAUAGACAAAUGAAUUAUAUCAAUUUUAAUUUGAGCGUAUAGUAACCAACUAAUUGAACUGUAGAGCACCCAUUUGCCCAACAGAAUGUCUCCUUCUCUUUGGCUAAAAUACAACAUAAGGCAUCCCCACGCAAUCUUUCUAAAUGUUCCGAUUUUAGCAAAACUUACUUCAGUGCUCUGAUGCACACGACGUAAAUCACCAAAUGUGACAUUGAAAAAGCCUGCCAACAAAAUAAGAUCUGAAGGGCAAAUCAGGAAAGAUCGUAAAGAAUCUAGAAUGGAACAUAUCGCAUUUGAGGGUGAUGGUUGUUCUGACAUGCUUGAUUGCUGUUUUGACAUGCUUCAUUGCUGCAAAGUGAGGCGAUACUCAAGCUUUUCAAGUUCAAGAGAUUGGAAAUGCUAUCAUCAGCUCGUCGCUCGGUAUGAAUAUGUAGACAGAGAAGAAUUUCUAGGAGUCUCGGCACUUGGUGUAUCUCAACACAUGUCGGUUUCAAAAUCUUCCAAGAUGAACAUCUCCAGAUAUCAUAGGAAUUUCUGAUUAGAAAAUUUUCACUAAGCUCUGCAUCUAUUCUUCUAGCUAUUCCUGCUUCCAUACUGCACUAGUUAUUGUUCUCAUGAUAGAGAACCUCAUCUUCAAUACUUUCAAAUACUUCAUGUUCCCGACCAACCAGGCAGCUUCUCUAUGUCCAUGUUCAAUUUAUCGAACUUAGCAAGUGAUUCCAAAUUCCAGAUUGAGUCUAGUAGUGUCUUUAUUGACUUGCAAUUCCUGGAAGACUAGUGUUCAAGGCUUACAAGGGAUCCACUUGAGUUGGGAAGCUCCACGAUCCCAGCUCCUCACAGAGAAAGCCUCGAUAGGGAAGUUAGGUGACAGAUUGAAAGUUUUAUAGUCAAUGAGGAACAAUGGGAAGCACAGAGGACCUGCAAGCUCUUCAAUUCUUGACAUUCAGGCAUAUGCUUUAUUGAUGUUAUACAGCAAUCCCUUUUUAAGGGAGUUAAUUCCAUGUCAGACUUUCCCCUUCCAUCUUGGUAAUUCGUAGAUGUAUAUUCCCUUUUAAGAUAGAGAUUAUCGAUGUUUGUCCAUUAAAACCAACAUGUGAAAUUGCGAAUCGAACAAAGUCAACGUCUAGCAAGCUAGUCGCAUAUCUUUCUCCCAAAUAUCAUGUACUUUUAUUCAUGUGAAGUCCACCAUCAGGUACUAACUGAGUUAUCCAAAGUUAGAUUCAUCUACUAGUAAGAAUACUUUGAGGGACCUUGUUUAGCUUUAUUAUACUUGUUUCAUCGUUUGAUUCCGUCAUUUCUCGGUUCACGCUGUUCCAUGGUUUAUAGCAGCAUCGUUAUUUGGUUUGCCCUCUCUAGUGAUCUUGCUGCUCUUAAUCUUCCCUGCUCCAUGGUCUAUAGUAGCAACUGUCGCCACACACAAUGCAACCACAAGUGGUGAAUCGUUUUGCACCAGUACAAGCGGUCCACCUCAGCAGAAACAACAAUUGUUGAGCUGCACGAGGAUUGGGGGUCGUCUGACUUGGCCUCCCCGCCCGAGUCGCAAUGGGUCAGGAUUUUUUCUUUUUUUUCCUUUGAUAAAUUAUAAAGUGUGGGAAGAGAGGACCAAUACAGUUAUCCAUUCUUGUUGUUACAUAAAGCGUUAUGUACAUUACAAAAUAUCUCCAUUAAGCCAUAACCACUCGAUUCAUCGACAAGUGUGCGAAUCUAUCACCAUAACUAAUAUGCCAAAAGCCUAAAAAUCUUUCUACAUAAUGUUGUGAAUAUCUAAAAUAUUGAGUGGUGAAAAGUCCACUCAUAACAUGAUUCGAACUCAUGAAUUAAUAGAAGAUGGCGUGAUCCCUUCAUCAUUGGGCUACUUUUUUUUUUUUCACUUUCAAAGUGAGCCUGAUCCAAAAAUGAGUGAUCUAUAAAUCUAUUUUGUGCUUAUAAAAUUUGAUUUAAGUCGAAUGAGGUGUUGAUGUGUUAAGGUUACCAAUAAAAGAAGAGGUUUGAUGACUGGUUUCUAUAAAAUUGAUUGAUUUAAUCUUCAUAGUUUUAUUGAGUUUCACUUAUUAUUUAGGGUUAAUACCUUGAAAAACCCCAAACUGGUACACUUGUGACAAAUUUAUCCCAAACUAUUUUUUUGACCGCAAAAAACUUCAAACUGGUAUAUCUUUGACAAAUUUACCCAAACUGGUACACUUGUGACAAAUUUACUCUCUGUUAGUUUUUGUUAAAUUUUAUUUUCAAAUUAUUAAGUUAAAUGAUACGUGACAAUUGACCGGUAUACUAAUUUAGGAUUUUACGCUCCGUUUGUUACCGUUUACAAUUUCUGUGAUUUUUUUUGUAGUAUUUAUCCAAUUUAGCAUAGGGUAUAUUUGUCACAAAUUUACCAUUUUGGGGGUUUUUUGCAGUCGAAUAAAUUAGUUUUGGGUAAAUUUAUCAUAAAUGUACCAGUUUAGGGUUUUUUAUAGUCAGUCGGGGUAAAUUUGUCACAAGUAUACUAGUUUGGGGUUUUUCAUGGUCAAAAAAAUAGUUUUGGGUAAAUUUGUUACAAGUGUAUCAGUUUGGGGUUUUUUAGGGUAUUAACCUUAUUAUUUAACUUCCAUCAUUUUGUUUUGUGCACUAACUUUUCUGUGCUUUUUAUAAACAUUUGACUGUGAAUAUAAAUCCGUGAGAGCCACCAAACAUCACGCAUGCCAUGCAUCAGGGUUCUUAUAUUAUUUUGUUUGCGUGAGCUAAUUGCGAUUUAAGGGGAAAAAAAAAUGUUCCACGCUCUUUGAUAAUUUGAAAAUGACAUUUUGUGACUUUUGUUGUAUAAGGUUAUAGACUAUUUUUACUUCGAACACAGGUGAUGAAAAAGUCCAAUGACUUUUGUUCUCAAAGAUUAUGGACCUUUUUACUUGUUUAAAUCUUUUACAUGUAAAGUAUCAACUCAUACAUCCAAUAAGCAAUUAUGAAAUGACGAUGGCAUCAUUCUAUAAGAUAGUGAUCAGUCUGAUCAUAUUCACACUAAAUAUUUUGUAAAUUCUAAAUAAAACAUAUACGUUCAUCUACAAAUAAAAACUAUCAAAUCCACUUCCAUAUAAAUUUUAAAGAAUAGAAUCGAUCUGUCAUGAUAAGUCACGUUCUGGAAUUCUCUCUCAACCCGAGAAAUAUGGGCUCCACAAAUAAGCAUAAUUCACUUGUCUCGCAUGUUGAAUAAUAUUCUUUUCAAGUUUGAAUAUUAUUGGCAAAGAAAAAGUUUGAAUAAUUCGAGUUAUUGGAUUGAUUCGAGCUUGGAAUCGGAAAAAUUUUACUCAAGCAGCUUGUGAUCAAAGGAAGCGCCAAAAGAGGAAGAGACAGAGAACGGAAAUUUGUCCAGGAGCACGCCUUAUUUUAGCCAAACUUCCUUCAUUGCCCUCACGGAAACGACGAAAUCACCGGACGUGACACCGAAAAUGCCCACCGACAGAGCAAGAGCCCGAGGUCGAAUCAGGAAAAUUCGCAAAUCCGUCGUCCUCUCCUUCCUUUCCCCCCCACCCAAAAACAAAAGCUCGCCGUAGCUUUCGAUCGCCAUCCGCCGCGAACAUCGGUACGGAGUCCACGAACGCUGCGACGACCAGGAUUCGAGGUUUGAAUUCGAGCAAUGCGCACGAAGAACGCAAUCGAUCUCUCCACCUCGCCGGGCGAUCGCGCCAUUUUGAUUGCCUGAGAUUGGAAUGAUGUUGUUGCGCGGAAGAAUGUGGAGUUGAGGGUGAUGGUUGUUCUGAAGUGCUUCAUUGCCGCGAGUGAAGGCGAGAGGUAAUUGCAAUUCGUGUUCAUGUAAUCAGUUACGGCUCUGAUCCUCCCACUUGAUUGGGAUUGGGAGUCUAGUAUCGAGCAUGUCGGUUUUGAGGUUGGACAGUGAGGUUUGUAGUGUGAAUUUGGCGGAUUAGGCACUUCAGGGUUGGGGGGGAUCGUCGACCGUGUUGUGGAGCUGUAGUGCCUGAUUUAAUGGGGCAUACUAUUACUGAAUUAUUUGGUUGGAUUAGCUAAGCUCUUGGAUUGCCGAGUUUGGAUCAAUACUACAACUGGAAUAUGGUCUGAUUGAAUUUCCAUAUAUUUGUUCGAUUCAAAUAUUUCAUCCCGCUGUUUCUACUUUGGGGAUAAAAUUUGUUGAGUGUCUCACAGUAGUGAUUGACUAUGGCUAUUCGGCCUUUCUCCAGUCGAGUAAUGGACUGUAGCUUGUAGGUUUUAGCAACUAGCUUUAUGGGAAAGAGGAGCCUUAUGCUUUUCACUUAUUCGCCUUUCGUUGCAUUUGAACAUAUAGUUCUUUAAGUUCACGAACAAGGAUGGCAGAAAUAUACUGAAAUAUUAUUUUGAGUUGAUGUUUCCUUGUGAAGUGUUCCUCUUACUUGAUUGUCGAAAUAGCUUGCUAGAGACAUAAGAAACUUGCUCCUUUGCUUGUCAUUAAAUGAGUUUUUGACCACAUUUUCAAUGUGAAAUUUUCUCAACUGGUAAAUGCAGAACUCAGAGUGAGGUCCAAGGCUUGUAAAGCUGUUUACAAUCGCACUCUUGCCAUGAUAUCGGCGGAGUAUGCAUCUGCUGUAAGUGUUCUUUAUAAGGAUUUUUACAUUUACCUAGAGCUUGUUGUUGUUAUUACUCUUCAGGUUUCACCAUUUAAAUACAAUAAUAUUGUAACUAGAUGCACAGCUUUUUAUUUUGCAUGUUUAAUGUCAGAUUUGACAGAACUUAGUAGUCGGACUUGUCCUAGAUGUGAUGGAAAGACCAAGGUAAUUUAAGAUGGUUUAAUAUGACAUUGUUGCUAAGAUUGCCUGAACAAUGGAUCCUCAGUACAGUAUUAAAUAGUCAAUUUUGUGGGCAUAUGCCGCCUCCUCUUAUUAGCUUCUAAACUGGUAGUUAAUGCCUUUUGAUAUGAAAGCUGGGGUUCAAAUUCAUUGGAUAUGAUAGUGGGCAUUCAGCACUGCUUACACGCAAAUCAUUUGGUUGCAGUGGCUUAAAAAUCUGCAAUGCUUGCGAUGCCUAUAUGUUUAAAUUGCAUCUAAUUGUUUAUAUCUAUUUCUAAACAUACAUAUAUGUUACCUGUAGGCAUACGUUGGGGUGGCCAAGGAUCUUAAUGCUGUGAUUAUAGCUUUUAGAGGUGCACAAGAACAUAGGUAUGCAUGUUAACUUUAGCAACUCUUCCCCUUACAAAUGACUUGCAAAGGUUUUGAUGAAAAUUUAGGCUAAGAAGAGCAGCCUCCUGUGAGUGCGUACACAAGACCCAUGGGUCGACUGUCCAUAAGAAGGGAAAAGGGUGAAUCAUUUCCACCAAGAUGCAAAAGUUACCUUCUUGUAAUUUUAGAUUGGUUCAUGAGAAGAUCACAUACUUCACUAAUUUUGUUCUGUGAAAAAUUCUAUCACCUUUCUUUGUCAUUUGAGCUUUUCAGGUAGUGAUUACUUCUAUUUAUGUCUACAGCAUACAGAAUUGGGUUGAAGAUCUCUACUGGAUAGUGGAAACAGCUUGACGUACUACCCUGGCAUGCAUGGUGCCCUGGAUAGCUCUAAAGAUGAUUAUGCCUCUUGCAAGCUGUGGAUUCUUCUCAUUUGGAUUGAGUUACAGUCUUACUCUAUUGAUUUCUGCUUGGGUUAAUCAUGGAUUUUACUAUUCUUAUCUUGAUAUGACAAUUCAACCUGGUAUUUUGGAUGCUGUUAUAAGAACCAAGGAUUUAUAAGAGGACAUCAAUGUCACGGUGACAGAGCAUUUUAUGGGAGGGGCUAUGGCAUCUUUUUGCGGAAUUGAUCUUGUGGUAAGAUAGUUAAAAACUGCUAUGGUCUGGAAUUGUGAAUUUUAUCGUUUUUUUCCUAUUGCGUUCUUCCAAUAUUCAGAUGAUAAUCUGUUAAGAGUCAUCUAGAAUUCUCUGUCAAAUCUGUGUUGAAGAGUCUAGACUCUUUAUGUGGAUCUUGAACUUUCUAUUGCUCUCAUAUUUAUAUUCACAAUUCAUCAUAGACAGCAUCUUGUUUUCUUUCAGUUUUGGUAAGUCAAACCAUAGACAAAACACAAGCAGAAUGGGGUGCAAAUAGCCAUUUACGCUAACCACCAAUUGUUUAAGUAUCUAGCAAUGUAAAUUAAGUCUUACCCAUAAAGCUAUGGAGCUUCAAGUUGGUUGAAUACCUAAAUAUAGUGGAUAAGGUUACUUCCAACUAAUCAUUACAAGGUUUACUUGCUGGAAAAUUUAUGGAGUUGUCGAUAUGUUUAUGGUCUGGACAUAUAACUUUUUAAAGCACUUGAAGCUCAAGUUUUAUGUCAUGUAAUCUUGAAGUGCUAAUGCAUUUUAAGAUAGAUUAUAUAUCAAUCCUAAAUGUGUGUUUGGUGUACUGUUUCUAUCUAAGUCUCUCUCUAAUCAAAAGAAGCAGCUCCUCUUUAGUAGGACUACAAGGCCAGAUAUGUUGUAGGCUGGAGCCAAUGUUAAGAUGUCUAAAUUAUGCCUUUUCCCUCAGCUUUAUUGGACGGAGUGUUCCAGGGUACAUUUGGAGGCACCUGUUGCUCAACUGGUACCAGAAAUGGUGCCCAAUCCAAAAUCAUGUCCCAUUGAUUCUCUUCUCCAUGACAAGUGGUGAUUUUUUAGAGUUAAACUUUAUCUUGAAGUCUGAUUACACUCAUGUUCACUUGGCCUAUGAUAGGAUCAUAGGUUGCAUGGACUUUAGACUAUACCCUUUCUCAAAAUAUUAGUAGCAAGUAUAACAUCUUGUCCUAAAACUUUUAAAUGAUUUAAAAUUUUAUUUUUGUUUACUGGUUUCUUGCUGAAAAUUUUGUCGAGCCAAUUGUGACGUCCUGCCCAUUCGUUGCGAUCCUUUUUAAGAUUGAGUUUCUCCUUCGCUACUUGUGACAGUAAGUUUUGUAGUUCAAGAGGCAUUUUCACCAUGAACCAGGAAUUUUUUGUUUAUGUUAUUAGCAGGAUGUGACUCACCCCACCAACAUUCAAGUGCUUCUUGUGGAAGCAAUUAAAUGCGCUUCUGUUGUAAAUUCAUGUCCAAUCCCACUAUUCCAUAUUAUUAAACACCUUUUUGUGGUGCUGAGGGUGGGUUUGGUUUUGUUGUGUGUGGGGUUUGGUGUUGGGAAACUUAUGGAUGGGAUCUUGAUGGAGUUAACACUAGACCUUCGACCCUUAUGGAGACAAAGGGCUGUCUAUUGUUCACCUUUGUAUAUGAAAUGCAAUUUAUGGUUAUUGAUGCAUAGUGCUUUUUUCCCAUCUUGGAAGGGCUAUUGAUGUAUUGACAUUCAAGUUAUUUGGCUGUCUAAUUAUGUGUGCUGAAACUGUCUUUUCCAGAUCAGCAUUCGCCUGAUUUACUUUACCGAAACACUUUAUUUCCUGGUUAAUCAUGAAGCACAGGAUAUUCAGGUUUUAACAUUUGGACAACUCUGUAUUGCCAAUGCAGUGUUUGCAUCUUACUACAGUGACUGCAUACCAAAAACAUUACGUACUCCUCCUGGACAAGAUUUUUUGUCUUAUUUGCCUCCGUACUAUUUUUGGUUCCCACAGAAGACGUACCAUCAAUUCCCUAGAGAGGUAUGGUGUUGAUCUUGACAGAAUAUCAAAUAAAUUAUGGGAAAUUGUUAGGCUGCGCAUGAUAAAAUUUUUGUUUCUUAAUUUCUCUAUUUCUCUGUUCCCGAAACAGGUUUAGAACAGAAAUCUGUUUGGUAACGCAAUUUGAUUUCUUUAUUUCUUAAACAGAUUUUUAUUCCAGAAAUAGAUUUGAAGAAGAAAUCAGAAACUAAAAUUUUAGCUUCUCAGUUUCUGAAAUAGAAAUUGAUAAAUUAGGGUGCGUUUGUUUGCGUUUCUGUUUAAAAAUUGUUCCAGGGAACAGAAAUAGAAAAAAAGUGUUUCUGUUCCGGGGAACAAUUUUUGAACAAAAAAACGCGUUUGGUAAAUUUGUUCCGGGAAUUAAAAAAUAAACAGAAACACGUUUGGUAAAUUUGUAUUAUUUGUAUUAUUUCUUUUAUUUUUUUAAUAUUUUUAAUAUUUUUAUUCUUUUUUUUUUCUUUUUUUCUUUUUUCUUCUUUUGGCCGGUCGCUGACCUCGGCCAUGGCCGGCGACUGGCCGACAAGGGCCGGCGGCCUCGCCGGAUCUGGGCGAGAUCGAGCUCGCCCAGCUCAGCGCGAGGUCGGCCUCGCCUUGGCUAGGCGAGCUCGAGCUCGCCCAGAUUCAGCGAGGUCGCCUGGCGGUGGCCCGGCGAGGCCGAGCCUCACCGGCCGCUGGGCGAGGUCGGCGCGAGGUCGGCCUCGCAGGGGGCCGGCGAGCCUCGACGUGGCUGGGCGAGGCCGACCCUCGCCAGGGGCCGGCGAGCCUCGCCGUGGCUGGGCGAGGCCGCCGUGCCCUCGUUGGCCGGUCGCCGGCCAUGGCCGAGGCCGGCGACCGGCGAAAGAAAAAAGAAAGAAAAUAAGAAGAAAAAGAAGAAGAAAUACAAAAGUGUUUCUAAGAUUUGUUUCAGAAAUAAGAAAUACAAAAUUUGUGUUUCUUAUUUAUGUUUCUUUUUUGUUCCUAGGAACAAAAGAACAAAAAAACAGAAAAAGUGUUUAAAAACAAAAAAAAGAAACAUAAACAAACAGACCUUAAUUUCUGGCCAGAAAUCAAUUUCUAUUUCAGAAAUUUUGUCAUGCGCACCCUUAAUGACUGAAUUUGAGGUUUGCUUCGCAUUUCUUUCAACUUGUCUAACAAGUGAAGUAUCAUAUAUUCCGGCAUUGUAUGUACUCUCUUUUUUCAGCUUAUAAAUUAUGACUGUCUUGUUUGUUUUUCUUCUUAACAAAGCAGGGUAGUUUGUAGGACUCAUUACGUUAUAAAUUUUUUUUUAGUAACUCUCGUUCUUGCAAAAGCCAUCAUGAGUUUUUCAUUUCGAUUCCAAAGUUUAAGACACAUAAUAAUGUUUAUUAUACUCUCUCUCUCUCUCUCUCUCUCUCUCUCUUACACACACACACACACACUAUGUAUGUCUACUAAUGCGUAUAAUUAUUAGUGACUAGCUCAAAGACAGCCACGGUUGAACAUAUUAAUGUGACAUGAAAAUGAUUUGAUUCCACCUGCUUCUCUAAUAACGAAUCAUACUCGUAACAGUUUUCAUGUAAUCGGAAUCUUCCCUUUAUUGUAGGUAUGGCUAUAUAACAUAGGAUUCGGUAGUUAUCAGGUUGAGAAAGUUUGUGAUACCUCAGGAGAAGAUGCAUCAUGCAGCAAGUGAUGAGCUAGUUUCAGUCGAAGCUACUUGUUCAAACAAUUAUUUUGUGGAUUUAUCAUGCAAGAUGCAAUAAGUCGUGAUGGACCAGCUUGUUCUAGAGAAUGUCUGUUCUUUGUUACUAGGAAUAUUUGUGGACAACUGAUCAGGGUAUUUUCCUGCAGAUUGGUAACCGGUAACAGCAUUGUGGACCAUUUAGUCUUUCUAUAGUGUGCAAUUAGUGGCUAAGACAUGAGAAUCGUGCAAAAUCGUCAUGGACACUAUUGACGGAAUGUGGAAGCGAAGAUGUCAAAGGUAGAUGUGUGAAUGUUGCAACUCUGACACUUGCAUGGUUAGGCAAUUAACCGGUUUUUAUAAGGUGAAACAAAGACUACGUUCACAGACCACUUCUCAAUCUAUGACACGUUACCUUCUCCUACAGGCACAUUGGCACAUAAGAUUUCUUGGCAGAACUAAGUACUUCAACUAUUUCCUCGUAGGGAAUUGUGCAGAUGAACUGUUAAAUCAAACCAUCUCGGAGACAGAUGAUGACUUUUGUCUUACAUCAUUUCCACUGGCAACCUUCGCAAAAUUUUUACUUUUAGGAGGUAAACAAUUUAUAUCAUCUUGGCUUUGAUAUGUAACAAUGAUCAUAUCAGCAUUUGGAACAAGAAUUGUAAGCUUUUACCUUCUUUUUCUAAUAUGCAGGAAUUAACAUUAGUGGAAACCUGAAAAGUAAAAAACUUGGGGGGAAACUUCUGCCACUGAUAAGAAGGGAAACAGAACUUUUGUCUUGCUGACAGGUACCUGUUCAAAACGUCAAAAGUGAGCAUUACCAAAGUGCUAAGUAAGCUCAUGGUGCUACACAAGUCAGGUCUAAAGUACAAUGCCAAAUGUUUACUAAUGUUUCAAAGAUCCAAUCUAGUUCAAAAGCAGAUACUCAACCAGGUCAGCCAAGCAACAUCUUCUUCAACAUGUACAAGCAAUUGUUCAAACUUUUCUUCACUAGAGUGCUUGAAGUUUUGCCCAUAAUACUGCGACAUCCUUCUCCUCAGUAACCUCUAUUAAGACCUCAUCCGUCAAAUUUAAUUCAUUUAAUAGAAUUAUGCUAUUUGCUUUUUUCAUUAGCUCUACCCUUUCAAAGGCUUUCAUGAUAAUAGGCAACUCAUCUUCGCCUUCCAGUACCUUGGCCAAAUCUUAUGUUAUCAAUAAAGCUCGCAUCUUGAUGCUUCAUAACACAAAAUUGUUACUCCCAUUAAAUUUCUCAAUUUCAGUUUUCUUCUCAUGAUUGCAAUAACAGAAUUUUCAGAUAAUAAUCAGACAAACAAAAUCUCCAAAUUAUAAUCAAGAAAUUCAACCCCAAGCUCUGAUACCAAUUGUUGGGAUAUAAUACGUGAAAACGACGGGAUCUUGCAAUUUAAGUCAAUGCGAAAUCGCCAGAGAAGUAAACAAGAAAUAAUAAGGAUACCAGAAAAUUUACGUGGUUCGAUUCAAGUAACGGUACCUACGUCCACGGGGAGAACUAGUAACAAAUAAUCCACUAUAAUCGGAGUAUCAGAGUUUACAAUCACUCAAUGAUUCAAGUGUUUUCCACAUUUAGAUUUAACCCCAAGUUCAAAGUGUUUAUAAAUAAAUAACUCACUUGGACAUAAACUCAUGGCAUAAAAUUACCACGUAACAAAACGCAGCUCUAUGUACGGCUUCGCGAGGCUGCAAAGACUUUGGCUUCAGAUAAACUCGCAGAUCGCGGCUUUCUUCUAAGCUUCGGAAGACGUACGUUCAGCGGCUCCUUCUUCUCGACUUGUACAUGCAGCAGCCAAGGAAAGAAAACCUCAUGUGAUGUCCGUUUAAAAUAUAUAUAUACGUGUGUGCCCAAGGUCAAAAGUUUGACCUUGGGCCCCACCACUUUAACUCCUUCACGUGCGGGGCUUCUUCCUUCGGCGGCAUCUUCCUUCUCUACGUGGGGGUGCAGCAGCUUACGAAAAAACGAAAGAAGACCCAAUUCUUUCUGCUUUUAUAUAUUUAUAUAUUUCCUCUUUUGUAGAUUUUGAAGAGUCCAGCGAAUUUCUUCUACUUGAAAAAUCUUUAUCAAUAAAAUUUGAUAUAAUAAAUCGUCAUCCGAAUUCAUACUCAAGACAUUGAUUUAACAGUAUCCGUGGUUGACAAAAGGAAGAUGUCUUUUUUUGCUGUGGGUUGAGGGUGGAGAGGAGACAGUUGCAGCUUAAGUUAAAAAGGGGAGUUUCUCCCUCGAAUCUAGAAAACGACAAUUCGUUUCUUAUUAUAGGUGGGGUUUUCCUUUCAUUUUUUCCAACCCAACCUUAGUUCAAUGAAAAAACAUACUUUAGAAUUAACAUAUGCAUACGUCCAAGCAAAAUUCAAUAUUGAAAAGACUGAAUUAUUCCUACUCAAAAACUUUAUUUAAGUCUCUCACUUCAUGUUUGAAUAAUAUAAUUUUCAGUUAGUUUUGAGUACUUUUGAUGGUGAGACUUUAGGAAUUGUGGAUGGACUUUUUUUUUUAGAGAAAAUGACAAUUCUUUUAUACAAAGGAACACAAGGUUAAUCGACCUCAUAAAUCAAGAUUCAUUUGGUCGUGAAACAUGAGAUUGUUUGUACUAAUCCGAUUGAAAAUUAAACUUACCUAAUUUUCCAAAUUCACAUAUAAAUCCUUUCAUGAACCAUUAAAUCAAAAUUAACCAAGAGUAGGUAUGUCAAAAAGCGAAAUAUCACCAAAAGAUGAAUUAUAAUAAUAUUAGCAAACAAAUAAUCAAAAUAUUACCAAAUAAUCCCACAAAUGCUUUACUUCCCAAAUGGAAUUUAAAAUUCUCUCAACUUGCCAUAAUUUUCUUUUCUUAGGCUAAAUAAUAAGCAUCUCCAAACAUAUAUCCUCUCCAUGGCUAAAUAAUAAGGAUCUCCGAACAUAUAUCCUCUCUAUAUAUAUUACCCUAUCUUUCUUUCAUCUCGAGAGUGUCGUUUGCAAAAGUUUUUAUGAUUGUUCCGCACCGUAAGUGAUGAUGGACGCCGCCACAGGGGAACAUGACCGUAUUCCCUUCUUCCUCCUCGUCGGAGCCCUGCACGCUGCCGCCGCUGCCGCGAGAGCUCGCAGGCUCCGCCGCAUUCCCAAGCCUCUGGUUCAUGUCAGCUCGGUUGGAUUCGUCCCUCUGAAUGACCACCGAGUCGCUGAAUGCGCUUGGAUUCGUGCGCAAGCAUGUCGAGAUCGCAGCUCCUCCUCCUCUUUUGCUGCUCAGUCCCUCGGUUUUCGCAGGUAGCGUGCUUGUUGUCGUCCGUUAGGCUUUUCUUUUUUCGGUGCUGAGGAAUCUCGGCGUGGAUUGUAUAUGCCAGACUGAUCGGUUCUUGGUCAGUAGGGGGCCUUCUUUAGGUUGAGUUUGAUGUCUAAAUAUGGGGCGGCAGGUGGAGAAUUUGAUGAUUGACGAGGAAGUCUGGAUAACUAAUUCGAGUGAUGUGUACCUGGUGGAGCAGUCGAGUUGAAGCAGAGGGAUGAUUAUGCUGUCAGGAUUGUGCUUGUUGAUUGAGACACCGUAUUUUUUUAAUCAUGUUCGUCGUGUUUGCUUUGUAUAUUUGAUAUUGGAGAUGAUUAUGUAAUAGAAUGAAUUGCGUCGUUGUUUCUUCUAGUCUAGCACUUCAUGUUCUUCAAUGUCGGUUCUGGGUUGAAUUAGUUUGUUGAUACAAAACGGAGCUGCAUUUCUCUUGGCGGUAUAAGGUUUUGAGGGAUAAGUACACUAAUAGUGUCAUAAGUUGUGUACGAUACUCACUUUGGUGCCAAAAGUUUCCGUCGGAUCACUUAAAUGCCAAAUUGAAGAAAAAACAAUCACUUUGGUGCCACCGGCGAGAAAUUCCGGCCAAAAUGAUUACGUGGCUUUUAUAUUUAAAAAAAAAAUCAACAUGGCUUAAGAUUGUCCACGAUGGAUAGCAUAAAACGACACCAUUUUCCUUUUUUCAUAAGAAACGACGUCGUUUCUUGUCAUCCACUGUGGAUUCACAUAAGAAACGACACCGCGUUGCUCCAUAACAAAAAACGAUGUUGCUGAAGAGGAAGUAAAAUAGGGUUCGUAUACAAUUCUCCUCGACGCCGGCCGUAGCUCGCUCACCCACCGUCGUUCACCCACCGUCGUUUGCUCGCCUGCCAUCGCUCGCUCGCCGUCGCUCAGCCACCGCUAUAGUUGCGCCGUUGUUCACGAUCAUUCAGGUUUGUCAUGUUCUCUACGUGGAUCAAUUUUGCGAAAAAUUUAAGGUUCCGAUGGGCAAGUUAGGGCACGGUAGGCAAACUGAGGGCUCGGCUUAGGAGGAAAGUAGUGGGGAAAGUGGUGGGGAUGUCACUUUUAUGGGGACGGAAUAGAAAAAUUAAUUCUUCCAUCGUUCGUUCGCUUUCUGUUGUGGGGACCGAAUAGAAAAAUAAGGUGCAGAGAAGCUUAACUCGGAGGAAAACAGUGGUGGGACCGAAUUUGUUUGUUUAAUUAAUUGGACUGCUUUUGUGGGGGACCGAAUGUGAAUGUGAUUGAAUUGAAAAAUGGGUGGUGGGGACCUCACUUUGUUUAUUUAAUUCAAUUUCUUUUGUUUCUAUAAAUGCACCGAAUUGGGAAGAUUUUAGUCGCAUUGUUCCUUGACAACAAAACGACAAGGACCUACAUGUGAAGUUAUCGAUUCUGUCAUGUGGUUCCAACAAAACGAUAAUGAUUAUUUUUUUUCAUUGGGUGUAGCAUUGACAUGGACGUGAAUCAGAUAGGCGUCAUUGUUUGCUAUGGUGGAGAGUUUGUUAUUGGCACUGAAGAUUGGGAAUAUAGUGGUAGAAAUGAUGGUACUAUUUAUGUCAAUGUUUAGAAGCCAUCAUAUAUUGAUUUUCUGAGGGAUUUUGUGUAUUUUUUACGAUGUAAAGUGCAAAAAUUACAUUACUGUGUUCCUAGAAAGGAAUUGAAGGAUGGGUAUUAAGGAUAUCAUUUACCAUUAUCUUCACAGUGAAGAAGUUAAGGUAUUUGUUGAGUAUUAUAGUGAGGAUGAGGAUAAGGAUGGGGAUGGGGAUGAGCAGACCACCACUGAAGGAGGAGAAGUGAGGGAUCAUGUUCAAGCGAGUAAUUAGGUCGGGGAUGAGUUUAGGUUAGAUGAAGCACAAAAUGAGAGGGAGAUAAGUCAUAUUGAUAGAGAUGAACAAAGAGGGAGAUGUCCUGAAAUCUUGGGUGAAGAUUUGAGUGAAGAUGUGGGCGAUGAAGACUUCAUUGGAUUAGAAUGAGAAAUUGUUUUAUCUAGUGAAUCGGAAGAUGAAUGUUUGGCUUUAGUAAAUUUCCCAAGUGACGAAGAUGAUGAUGAACUCCAUAGUCAAGACAAAAACAAAAGGAAUUUCUGAGAAAAAAACUUACAGCUUCAGCAAAAAGGCCCGAGCUAGUAAAUAGGGAUGGAGAUCCAGUUGAGGGUAAUAGAAGUGAAGAUGAAGAAAGCUGUGUCGAUGAAGUUGUUGGUUCGAAAAAUGAGCUUGACAAUAAUGAUGAAGAAUCUGCUCCUCGAAAAAAAAGUAAGUACCAUUGCUAUGAUCCGACUGCUAAUAAAUCUGUUUUGUUGGUGGGCAUGAGAUUUGACGAUGCCAAACAAUUCAAGGAAGCUAUUGUGAAGAACACAAUUGGUGAACAGAGGAGCGUUAAAUUUAUUAGAAACACGAAGGAAUUUGUGAGAGCUAAGUGCUCACAACCUAAUUGUUCGUGGAAGCUCUAUGCCGCACUUAGUAAGAAUAGGUCAUUCCAGAUUAGGUCCUUUUAGGAGGAGCAUACUUGUCCAAUUAUCUUUAACAAUAAAAGGGUAACAAGUGUGUGGUUAUCAAAGCAUUUUUUCAAUACUAUCAAAGCAAUGCCCGAGAUCAAGAGUCUUUAAUUUCAACAGUUAGUUAAGGAGCAAGUAGGGGUUAAUGUAUCGAGGAAUCAAUGUAAGAGAGCUAAGAUGAGAGUGAUGAAGAUAUUGAUGUGUGGGUAUAAGGAAGAAUAUGCGCAUGUAUGGGAUUAUGCUAGUGAAUGCAUAUUUCAAAACCCAUCUAGUAGAGUAUAUGUAGAGGUUGUGGAGAGGCCACUCCCUGAUCUUGGGCCUAGAUUUGAUAGAUUUUAUAUCUGUUUUGAUGCAUGCAAACGGAGCUUCUUGACUGGUUGUAGAAGAGAUAUAGGAUUGGAUGGAUACUUUCUAAAGGGUUUAUGCAAUGUAGAGUUAUUGGUUGCUGUGGGGAGAGAUGCCAAUAAUCAAAUGUUCCCGAUAGCUUGGGCGGUGGUAAAGAUAGAGAACAAGGAUAUUUGGUCCUAGUUCCCAAAAAAUUUAAUGGCUGACCUUGAGAUAACCGAUGGGGAAUGAUGGAUAUUCAUGAGUGACCAAUAGAAGGUAAUUUCAUUAUCAAUUAAUUCACUCCAUUUUAAUAUUAAUCACUUACAUAUUUUUCUUAACUUAUAUUUAUUGGUUUGAAUUUUUGUAGGGACUUAUUCCUGCAUUGGCUGAAUUGAUGCCAUAUGUUGAGCAUAGAAUGUGCGCGAUGCACAUAUAUGCAAACUGGUCAAUGAACUUCAAAAGAGAUAGGAUGCAGAAGCAGUUUUGACAGAUAGCAAAGAGUACGAAUAUGGCUGAUUUCAUAUUAGUCAAACAAGGAUUGUUGCAGCUGACAAAGAAAGGUUUUGAUGCACUCUUCCAAACAGAAGCUAAGCACUGGUGUCGAGCCUUCUUUAGCGAAGAGUUCAAAUGCGAUAUCAUUGAUAACAAGCUUUCAAUGGUAGAAUUUUAGAGGCCAAGUGCAAAUAAAUCAUCAGCAUGCUUGAUGAUAUUCGAGUUAUGAUUAUGACUAGAUAGCAUAAGUAACAAGAUGAGGCUACAAAAUGGAGUAGAGACUGUACCCCUAGGAUUGUGAAGAGAUUUGAUGCAAAUAUUGCUGCUAGUAGGUUCUACCAUUUAGUUUGGAAUGGAGAUAAUGGAUAUGAGAUUAUUCAAAAUCAGGAUAAGUAUGUUGUCAACCUAGAUAGAAGAAAGUGUUCAUGCCGAGCCUGGCAACUAAAUGGAAUUCCCUGUGCCCAUGCCAUUUGUGCUAUUCAGAUGAAGCAAAAAAAACCCAGAUGAUUACCUACAUGAUUGGUACAAAAAAAGUUCAUACCUUGCUUCAUACCAAUUCAUGAUGCAGCCUAUCAGAAGCAGCAAAUUUUGUGAGUCAACAAAUCAUGAAAGCCCUCUACCUUUAUCGCUAAAGAAGCAAAUAGGAAGACAAAAAAAGAGACGAAGAAUGCAGCAAGAAGAGACAUAAAGUCAAAGGAUGAGUAGGACUGGAUCAAAGAUGAAAUGCUCCUAUUGCCGCAAGGAAUGGCACAAUAAGAAAGGUUGUGAGCUGAAAAAGCAGCAUCAACAGCAAGAUGUAAUAGCUGAUUCAGUGCCAGGGACAGGACCUACUAAGAGUUUCUUGUUAGGCAUAUUGAAGGGAGGACAGAAGGCCCUGCUGUAAUGCCUACUGAAGGGAAAACAGAAAGCCAUGCUGUAAGGUAAGUAUCAUCUUUGUCUUAGUAACUUUACAGUUCUUAUUCGAUAGAGUUUGAUGAUUGACCAUGUGUACUGGCUUCUCUUGUGCUUUUCCUCUAUCAUGCACUUGUAAUUUGAGAAGUUUUCUCCAUUUGUUUCCACCGUGAAAAUGAGUAAAUGUCUAAUUAUUCGUUGUAGUUGGUCAUAAUCUUAAUACAGUACAUUGUUGUAAGGCCUACUAAAGGGCCAGAAAAAGGCCCUGUUGUAGGCUCAAGUGUAGGGACAAGGACUGGAAUAGGCAGGACAGCAACAACAACAACUGAGUCCACUGUUGAGCAAACAAGAAAAAAAUAUCUUGUAAGUUUUACAUCGUUGUGUUUGGUCUUUUAUGAGCUAAAAUUUACAUUUGUUAUGUGUUUCUCAGGUGAGAAGACGAGCAACUGCACAAGUUACAAAGAUUGCUACAAGGAUUGUUGUUGUUGAAAAUGAUGCACCACAGCGAACAAGAGGGGCUCUUGGAAAAAGAUUAAAGCAAUAUGGUUAUGGGAUUUACACAAAUGAACGUACUAGAAUGACUAUUUUGAAUGUAAGAUUUAUAAGUUUUAUGCAUUUAAUUUGUUGUACUUCAAUUCAUUUGGUUGACAAUAACAAUAUCACUAUGUUCUUAUAGCCUGGGAGAACUUCGGAGGUACUUCUCUCUCAAAGUGGGCCAACUCAAGAAUUAAGGGCGCAGCCAAAGAAGAGUGCUCCAAAGAAGAAGAUGACAGCGGAUAUAGCUGCGAAAUAGCCAUCCAAAAAGAACCCAACACCAGUUCCAUCUCAACCAACAAUUGGGAGCGGUAGUAAUGAUAUGGACCAACACAUGACACGUGCUAGAACAAAAAUAGCCGCCAUAAAAAACAAGGAAAAAGAAAAUGAGGUGACAGAAAGCCCAGUUAAAGAACCUGCACAUCCAGUUCGAAAGAGUGCUCGGAUUAUGAAUCAAUUCAAAGCUCCAAGAGGAAAAAGAGAUCAUGGUGUUGUCAAUAUUUACUAAUGGGAGGGUGCUGGACAUGGUCUCUUUUUAUGUGAUGCUGGACAUGGUAUCUUUUCAUGUUUUCUUUUUUUAGGAGUGUGCUGGAUAUUAUAUCAUUGAUGGUAGUUGCUGCAUGCAUAUUGCUAUUGUUUUUUUUUUUUUUUAAGAGAGUGCUGAACUUUCGAUGAUUGUGGAGUGAAGUUAGACAUGCUUUUCUUUUCUUUUGUAAACAAUAAAUUACUGUUAAUGGCAACUACAGGAAUGAUUAUUCAUUUUCUCUUGUGUUGGUUUCGGUUAGAAUGCUAGCAAGUCAGUUAUGCUGUAUAUUUUAUUUUUGAUGUUACUGUAAUGUUGUUGUUGCUGCAAUGUUACUGUUGUUGAUUGAAAUUGUGGAUUAUAAUGAAUUUGUGGGGUUCUGAGUAUAUGUGUUGCUACAAGAAUACUUUGGGUGCUGGUACAUCUUGUUACAUCAACACCUAUAUGGGCUGGUGCAAGAAGACCAAUAACUCAACUAGUGCAAGAACAAGGUGCAUUUGGAAUGUGACGUUUGGCACUAACAUGGUCUUUUUUAAAAAACUUGUACAACAUAAGUAAUCACUUUGUAAUCGUGAUUGGCACUUAAAUGAUCACUUUUAUAAAACUUGGCACUCAAGCGAUCACUAUUUACAACUUAUGGCACUGAAAUGGUCAAUCGUGAAUUUGCCACCAUCUUUUAAUUUCGGCUAGUUUGCAAUUGCAACAAACCAGCAAACUAGAAAACUAGCAAACCAGCAAACCAUUACCAAAUAAAAAAUGUAGCAAACCAUUACCAAAUAAAAAAUGCAGCAAAUCAUUACAAAAUAAAAAAUGGUUAAUAUCCUAAAAAACCCAAAACCAGUACACUUGUGAUAAAUUUACCCCAAACUAUUUUUUAAGUUAAAUUAAAUGUGACAGUUGACUAAUAUAUCGAUUUAGGAUUUUAGGCAUUGUUUGUCACAGUUUACAAUUUUUGUGAUUUUUUUAUAGUAUUAAUCUAAUUUAACGGAAUGUAUAUUUGUCACAAAUUUAUCAGUUUGAGGUUUUUUGUAGUCGAAUAAAUUAGUUUAGGAUAAAAUUAUCGUAAAUGUACCAGUUUAUGGUUUUUUAUAGUCAGUUAGGGUAAAUUUGUCACAAGUGUACCAGUUUUAGGGUUUUUUAUGGUAAAAAAAAUAGUUUUUGAUAAAUUUGUCAUAGGUAUACCAGUUUUGGGUUUUUUUUUAGGGUAUUAACCCAAUAAAUAAAUGCAGUAACCAUUACUAAAAGCUUUCAAUGCAGCAAACCAUUACCAAAUAAAAAAUGCAGCAAACCAUUACCAAAUAAAAAAAAUGCAGCAAACCAUUAUCAAAAUUUUUCAAUGCAGCAAACUAUAACCAAAUAAAAAAUGUAGCAAAUCAUUAUAUUUGAAGCAAAAAUUAAUCAAAACAAAUAUUGACAAUACACAACUAAACAAAAAAACUUUUAAGUGCUCACAACUAAUACAUUUCAAGUCCAAUCUUGCAUUUCUACCGAUAUAUUACAGCAACAAAAUAUUUUGCUCCAUACAAAAAUUGCAGCAAACCAAAAAACACAUUUUAUUUAUAAAUAAUUCAAUACAAGUGCAUAUUCCAUGUCUUCGACUAUGGUAGACAUACAAACUUCUUCUCAUUACUCACUUUACCUUUGAAUAAACUACCCAAGAGAAAAAGAACACAAUCAACGCUUGAUAAAAGUUUCUUCCAAUUUUUAGCCUUGAAAUCCCCCUCUUCAAAUGGUCCACCAAAUAUGUUAAACCCUUCAUUUGAGCUUGCAUUGAGUCGACAUCCUCCAACUCAUCCAUUAACAUAGGUGGAAGUUGAUUUUGGCUUUCAAGUAACUCCAAUAUCAUGUAUGUCGCUCGAUCAAAGAAUUUCCUAUCAACUCAUUUGAAGUAUUGGCACUUCGAGCCUUUUCUAUAUCUGCCGCACCCAUGGAAUCUUCUCCUGGGAUUCAAUCGAGUCCAAGAUGUUCUUCUCGAACUUGGUAACCCACAAUAACAGUAACACUCACCAUCUAAUUCGCCUUUUUUUAUAGGAAUGUGAGCCGCUGUUAAAGCUUUUGUCAUCCAUUUGCAAGAGCGAGUUGAUAACUUCAGGAGAAAAUUGAAGUAUGCACUCAAAAUGGUCAAAUUGGGGAUUUAGAGUUUUCAACUUCCGAUUCUAGUAGAAAUUGGGGAUUUAGGGUUUCUUAUGUGGGGGAAAAUGAUAAAAAGCAUCGUUUUGUUCUUUGUAUGCUGAUUGUAUUCUCUAGCGAUCCACGUCGGCAUCAAAAAUUAAUAAAAAACUGCCAUGUCAGAUUUCCGGUCAACCAAAUCGGCGAUGGCACCAAAGUGAUCGUUUUUCAAAAUUUUUGGCACUUAAGUGAUCCGACGGAAACUUUUGGCACCAAAGUAAGCGCCGUACACAACUUAUGGCACAAUUAGUGUACUUCUCCCAAGGUUUUGAUGUGAUUGUCGUUGGAAUUUACAGGGCCGUCUCGUGGCAAUAGAUUGCCUGCUUCCCCUUGUUUGAUAAUUUCUAGUUUACCGUAUUCUUCUGAAGCAAGUGCUGAAAUGGAGGAACCCAUAGGAUUUUUUGCUUUUUUCCAUCUAAUGUGUCUUGACACAUCGUGGAGUUCUUUUUCUGAUAUUUGGUUCUUGUAAUAUUAUGCAGAGACCGUGAAGGAGAUGUAUGAUAAAAUUCUUGAGUCCGCUAAUAUGAAAAGAACAAUGGCUCCAAACGCAUGGACGUGGUCGAUGAUUGAAAAUUGCAAGAACAGAGAGGAUAUCAGAGCUUCUCUUUGAUGUCUUGCAGAACCUACGUAGAUUUGUCUGUUGACUUCUUGCUCCAUUUGAGAAUUAAAGUUUUAGUUUGUGAGCAGUUGACAAACCAACUUGUUUUUUUCUUUCAUUGGGCAGAUUGUCAAAUCUUCAAAUUCAUGAGAAUUUUAACUGCAACCUUUGUCGGAUAGUCACAAAAGCAUGAGUGCAUGCAAGGGCUCUUGAUUUUGGGGAGCUUUAUCUACACAAGUUGUGUGCCAAGUUCAAAAAUUUUAUAUCUUGCUAAUAUAUUCACCCGAUUCUUCUUCUUCAUUCGAUUGUUGCUAUGUACCCUAUCAUUAGCACAAUCAUUUUGUUGUUAUGUUGUUUGCUCUCACAUGAUCUUUUUACCUAAAGUCUGUCAUGCUCGGAGAACAUAUUCAGUUGCUUAUGAAAACUUUUGACUAUCGCGCUGGUACCGGUAGCUAGUUAUGCUUUUUUGUUUUUUUUCCUUGAUGCAUCAAUUAUGUAAACCGGAAUUUUGUCCUACACGGUUGCUACACGUCUAUUAAGUGUGGGUAUUGAAAUAACAUGACACAUUCUUGCUAAUAGUUUUUCACGUUUGAAUGUGUAAAAGCACAUUCAAUUUAAAGUACAUAGGACAUUGUUAAAAAUGUAUUAACUUGUCUUGUGUGAGUAACAUGUUAACUUGCUCGACAUGCUUCAAUGUGUUUAAGUGGUAAAAAGGUCAAUUUAUUUUACAUGUACAAACUUGUUAACUCAUUGAUGACUCAGACAAUUUUAAGCUCAAUCCAACUUAGUAUGUGUCAAACACUUAUUCUGUAAACAGGUCUUUUCGCACAUUGCUGGCUCUGUAGGACUCUGAUUUAUUGAAUGACACCUCCACUUCAAGUUAUUGAAUUCAUUGUUGAAGCUUGGCAAAGAGCAUUCACUUUUUGCGGACUUGUUUUUAUGAACAUCAAGCUUCAGUAGUUGUCAGUUCAACCUGUUUCUAGUAAUUAAGCUCUUCAUAAUUUUCAAGCAAAAUAAAUCAAAUCAAUCUGCAGUUCCAAAGUGUAGUUCAUGUUAGGAGAUUGCAGCAAUUAAUUGUCACUGGGAGUACAUGAUUUAAUCAGAACCUAUAUCUGUAAAUCCUUAUUUAGGCUAAGAAAUUAAUUCGCAUGGUGCACUUAGUACUUGAUGAUAGAAACUAAGGGUUGACAAAAUUGUAGGUAAGAAGGCCUCGUGGGAGCAUAAUGUCUAUGGAUUGACCCCUACGAUUGGCUAUGCAAACCAUCUUUUGGUAAUGAUGAAGUGUAUCUAAAUCAAAAAAAUUCUUUUUUCCAUUUGUUUUAUUUACACAAUUCUUCCGCUAAGUUGGGGUAUUGCAAUGCAGCAAUAUGCUAAAGAGCACAAAGAUGCCACUCUCAGAAGAAGAAUAACUUGCCAUUGCAACCCAGCACAGCUGAUAGUGUUUUCAGGUUCACUUCCGUGCUGUUUUCCUGAGAAUGAUGUCAUUAUCAUGUAGGAAGCCAUUAUUGCACUUAAUUGUGUGAAAUGUACUACAUAGUUAUCAAGCAAUUUAUCCAAUUUAUAAGUGUCUUUUAUAUAUGAUUUAAUCAACUUGUUUUUAUUUUGAAUCAUUUUGUCUGCACUGCUACUCUCGAUCUAAUAGUUUGCUCAUGUUACUUGACAUCCUUUAUUUCCAUGGAAAAAUUUUGCAGCAUUUGUGAUGAUACAGACAAUUGGGGGUUGCUCACAAAGUAUUCAAAGAGAUUUGUCAAAAAGGGAGUGAAUCUGCAUAAAGCUGCAUUUGACAUCUGGAUGGAGUUUGCUGCAAAAGUAGGUGAGAAACACUCGCUCUGUCUCCCUUCACUGCUCUCAAGCCCUUGCCCCUCAACAAUCUUAUUUUCCAUUUCUCCCCACAAAUAGUUCUCUCAUCUAGGUCCCGCCACUUACUACAAAAGAUGGGAUGUGCUAGAAUAUUUUCUUACUGUACAAUGAUUUCUUUCUCUCCUUAAGCAAAAGGGUAGAAAUAAGAAUUGAAAAGAAUUUUCACUGCGCCAUGUCUUUCAAUGUCUUUGUUUCUUUAAUUGUUCUGAGAUUAUGCUUCUUUAUCCUAUUUAGUGGUUUGACGAAAAUUACCCUUUUCAGGAGACAUUGAAUCUCUAUGGAAAACUGAGAAGUUAAGAUGUGAGUCCAUGAAGCAGCAUACCAUGGGCAGUGGGUUCUCAUGUGCGAAGGUAGUUUACAAACACAAACUGUUGAAAUCACAAAUAUCAGACCCCGAAAGCACUAGGUCUUCUUGCAUUAGAAAAUCUGAUAAUGGGAAAAUAUUACUAUUGCGAUACAGAUCAGUACAAAGUUCUUGGUAAACCAGGUGAGAGGUCUAUGGCCAAAAAAAGCGGGAGUUAAUGCUUGAAUAAACCAAAUUUUGGCUCACAUCCUAGGACAUGAAGCACCUAUGGGCAUGAGAAUGCUCAUUGUCAUCACACGAAGGAGAUAUAACUACUUUUUUCGGUAUUUGGAAGCAUUUAUUGUGGCUUUUAGCACUCUGGUUUAAGAUUAAAAUUUAACCGACUGUCAUUUACUUGUUUUGUGGCAAACUAAAUGGUUUUAUAUUCAAUUUUUUGUGCAGGGAUAUUUACUUGAAGGCAAACCUGAGGAGGCUGCUACAGUCAUUCGCGUCUUGAAUCAGGUGCUCCUCACUUCUCAGAGCAUCUAUAGCUAUUAUUAAUAUGCUCAUCAUCACCAUCUGGCAUGAUUGCAAUCCUAAAUUACCUCAGCCUCUGAACUAGUCAUUCAAUUUUCCAUAUACUGUCAAGGAAUGAAGCAAUUAGUGGAAGAUAUACGGAAUUGUCCCCCGAAAUGUGCUCAGAAAAAUUACCAUGACAUAUCCUCUCUCGAGGGGGACUGGGUGAUUUGGGUUUCGUAUUUGGUGCCUACUAUACUAUUGAAAUAACACGAGUUAGUUCCAUGGAUCCUAAUAGAGUUUGAAAGAUCAUCUCAGACUCCUCCUGAAUUGAAUAAAGUUGGAAAGACACCAAUGUAGGCUCUGUUUGUUCAGAUGUCGCUUCUUAGGUGUCGCAAUGUGAAUGCCUUGGAUUGAUGCCAGAGUAAACCUGAUGCUAAGAGGUCCAGCAUCAUGGUUGAACUUCAAAAGCUUGUCAGUGAGUGGCUUUUCGAGGUCAUCAAAAGGAAGAAAGAAGAUGACCGCAAGGUACUUCCUUUGACUAAAUAUCCAUCACUUUGGGUAGAAGUAGAAAUAUUGCCUGUUUGGAGUUAUAUAUUGCUCUGGUAAUGUUUGAAGAUGACCCGUUGCUGGAUGUAUAUAUGCUGCUUUGAACUAUCUCAAAAUUUUUAAAACCUCUCAUUCUUUUCGCUCAUGUAGGCAUUGGCUGCUUCUCUCAAAUCCGAUAUCCCAGCCAUGGUUAGUUCCUUAUUAAACACGGGCUUGCAGGUGAAAGCGAAUAACCACCGAAGGCACCCUUUGUUAAAGUAUGACAGAAUUGGAGAUUGAAUGCACUAGCUGCAGAUCUGUCUCCUAUGUGGACCGCUAAGGUUGCCAUGUAAGUUUAAACCGAUUCCGCUGAGAAGCAAGACAAGCGCGGUACUCACGUCUCGAGCAACAAGCAUCUGAAGUUCUCUUGUAAAGGUCCCUGAACCAUGAAAAGAUCUGCUCCUUCUUGAUUUGAAUGCUGUCACUUCUGUACUUUCGGAUAAUGAUUUUUUUCUUUCCCAAAAAUAUCUGAAUGUAUUAGAGACGAUAGGUGCAUCAUCAGCAAUUGAAUUCUGAGAACAACCUCGGAUGACUAGUUUUUGCUGAGAGGACUCUUCUGGCUCACAAAUUUUAGAUUGGACCAAAUGGGCAGUUAAGAGAGACAAUUGAUAAGGUGGUCCUUUCAAUUUCAAUCUGAUUUGGCAGCGUUUUGUUAUAUUUCUGACAGAAUUUCGCUGUCCAAAAUUAAGAGAGUGAAUUUUAUGCCGACUCAUUCGAUCUUGGCAUACAGCGACCACCAUUGUUUCCUGAUUUAAUCGGAUUGAACUGUCCAAUCGUGGUGCCAGAGUGCAUAACAUAAAUUACAUGCCUUUUUACAUCAUGAAAGAUAACGAAGAACCUGAAUUACCAGAUUUGGCUUUGGUACCCACAUGCGUAGGUGCGUGCGUGCGUGCGUGCAUUUUGUGCAUAUAAGGUGUAAAAGAGGUGACAAACGCAAUCCUCUAGAAUUAAAACAUGUGCAUUAAUCGUGCGCAAGUUUUAGCAAUGAAUUGACAUAAUUGUAAUAGGUGUGACUUUUUUGAUAAUUUUUCCGUAUUCACACUAAAAAAUUUAGGAUUAUAAUCAGAUUGUAUAGGAUUGAAUUUGAAUUUAUACAAUAAGCUUAUGACUGAAUUUACGAUUCUCCCAACUCAAAUAAUUCUCCCCCUCUUCUAUCUCCUCUCCUCAUUUGUAUAAAAUGGGCAAUGAGGGUUGGCUUAGGUAGUGGAAGGGAAACCAUCCUCCCAAUGACCAUCCUGGAGAAAGUCCACCCAAAUUCAAAUCGCAGGGGAAGAAAACAAACCUCUUCUCACUUUGAAUCACCACACUGAGUGUUGAUUUUAGCUCCUUAAAAUCUUCCUACACAUCCAACCCCUCGGGAUCCUAGCAUCAAGAGACAAUCCUUCCGGAUUAUAAGAGUGAGAGUAGAAGUCACAUCCUAUGAUUUCCAAUCUUUCGCAAGACAUGCAAAUAGAUUUGCGUAUGGUUAAUAUGAGAAAAGAGCUAUCCUAUACACUCGCAUUUAGUUGAUAAAAAGGUUGAUCAAUUUGUAGAUGACAUGCAGCGACUUAAUUUCCAUUCACAUAUAAAUAACAUGUAGCCCAUCCUAGGUUGUGUCAAAGCCCCAAUACAUGUAUUAGAUACUAUGCCAUCUCAAUCCGAAAAAGCAAAAGGGACAUAUUGAUGUUUUCCAAUCAUCACACCUUGAGAAAAGACGACACAUUUUUUACUCUAGCAGGUGAGACAUCCUUCCGACGGUAGUCUCGGAAGAUGAAUCUUGCUUCCGAUCUCCAUAAUCUAGCAACAAUGAUGGUGAUUCCACUGGACUAGUGAGGACUACUUUUAUCUUCCUCUCCUUUAUGUACUUAUCACUUCCUUUAUCAAACAAAAAAUCUAAAAGAAAUUUCUCGAGUUACUUAACCCGAAACAUUAUGGAACAUAUAUUAGUAAAACUUGUCAUGUCAACAGUGAUGUCCUCUUCAUCUGUAUCAGGAACUUGUCUCUGCACCGCAGGACAGGUGGAGCUACUUGUGGUGCUUAACAUGGUAACUGCAUCAAAUAGAAGAUAGGAUGAAAAGCUACUCCAAUUUUUUUGAAAUAUCAGGACAUAGCUUCUGAGGCCUAUCACAGUUUCCCUUUAUCUAAGGUAUAUUAGACUACUAUGGCGGGCAUUCAGAAUCUUAUUCAAAGAUGAUCCUUGCUGUAAUGCGACUGACUCCACCUUAAGCAGUUCGUACCCCAGCAACAAUAUAGUCCAAUUGACAUGUCAUGGCAAAGAAAUUGCAGAAGAAUCUUUUAGCCGAUUCAAGUACCGUGGGCAUGUCCCUCCUCACAAGUAUGUUAGGGGCUCUAAUAAGUAUGUGACAUGAUAUUCCAUGGACUUGAGCUACACGAUUUCGAAUCAGAUGCUCCAUUGGGCUUGAUGAUGCCUACAUUCGGCCACACACAGUAUUUCUUCAAAGACGUAGACUUAACCCAGAAUGCUUUGGAUCUCUAGUAUAGAGUUCAUAUUGUCUCUCCCCAAUAGAGAGCUUUAAAUGCACUGGUGUCCUACUCUGAAAAUUAAAUUACAUCCACAAAUACAAGAUUGAAAGGAAAUUGUUCACCCGCCAUAACCUGAAAAGAGUAAAGCAUGAUCAUGGUGAAAGAAAAGGUCCAAAAAAUCUUCCCCUUGAAAGCAACAUAUCGAUCAGUCUUGUUGCCUAACAGAAUCGAGCAUGAGCUUUGUUUACCCAACUCAACUACAUAGACACGAAGAAGAGGCUUCAGAUAUAAGAACUUAACAGGGUACGUCACGAUAGCAGGAUGUGAUGAAAUGUAACAUUGUACAUUUUCUUUGAAGAUAUAAUGUAGUAAUGCAAUCUCGAUGGAUAUUCCAAAGAACUUACAAGAGAAGACAACUCCUAGUAACUACGGGGUACAAUGGAAAUGAACAUUCAAAGCCUGAGAUUAAUCCUGGGAAAAAUGGAAAAGUAUGGAACAACAAACUUUGAUUUACAUCACAUGAAGCAAGGACAACGUGAUAAGUGAAUUCAAGCAUCCCAUGGAAUUCUAUUGGCACCGGCAGCUUCUACUGAUUCCAGUUCUGCCACAACUAUAGUCCUGGAAGGCCACUCGUUAGGAGUCAUUUGGAGGCAUUGUAAAGCAAGCUGUGCUAUUUGGAAUGCAGAAUCUAUAUAUGUAAGGUAUAGGGAUGGUAUAAAUUUGGUUCCCAUUUCCUGCAGGCUGCAAACAUCGUGAGCCACCGGCUUCUUCCAAGAUAUCCAGUGUUUCUUUUUUGGGUAAUUGGAGCAUCUGCAGAAAUGAAAAGUUAUGUAGGCAAUACAACUGUAGAUUCCAUGCCAAAGGAUUUAAGUAGCUAAAAGGAAAACACACCUCGUAUUUCAUAGAGGGGAUUAUAGUGAACCUCACACCAGAAACUCAACCAAAACUCUGCAUCAAUUGAAAGUAAGGUUAACAAAAGGAAAAACUCAAAAAAUAUGGAGUUUCAAAAGACCAGUUGCACAUUGAACAAAAGCAACAGUAGAUCAAUUGCAAAUGUUUACACCUAGGUUUAAAAUCAAUCAAAUAUAUAUUGAGCUGUACCCAAGCAGCUGUCCUAAGCAAGCAAAAGAACAGAUAUUUAAUUUCCCAGAUGAACAACAAGCAAAGCAUCACAAAGGAGGGUCUAUGCGUAUAUGUAUGCAAGAAACACUCUUUUUUCCAAGACAAAUGAGAAGUAAAAUAUCAACUUCACAUUCAUCACAUUGCACUGACUGAUCAUUUGACCCAACAAAACAACUAUGAAGAAGACUAGCAAGCAAUACCCAAGACAGAGGGAACUUAUAAAUCCGAUGGCCCAACAAUAAUCAAGCUAUCAGUAUCAAGAGGUUUUAGACCUCCUUCAGGCUCUCCAACAUCAACCAAAUAAGCAUUGAACAUCAAUGACUCACCGGAACAAUUAACUUCAUCAUUCUUCAAAAUUAUGCAUUUUGACAGCUGCUCGCUGCCAUCAUAGGGCAUUACCUAUCAUAUAUCCGACCAUCAAUCACAGCAUGGACUAAUCUACUCCAAACAAGCUCAAUCACGGAGAGUAUUACAACCAAAAGCACAGAACAUAACAAUCCAUGAUGAUAGAAAAAAUGAAACCCUAGGCAGCAUCGAGCUGCUGCCAUUAAGUUUGAUCAAGCAAGCCAAAUAUGGGGGAAAACGGUAAUAAAUCAAUAGCCACUGCAAUUUUGACACAGAUUAGCCAAUCAAACCAAAUCAUGUCCAAGCCCAAUCAAAGGCAACUAAAUUGCCCACCAGGUUGAGCUGGACAUCACUAGAAGAGAUUAGUAGUGAAAGCAAAGGUACCUUGCUGGUGGAGGUGCAGAGUGAGAGGAAGCCGUCGCAAUAGACCUUGCGCUUCAGCUUCUGCUUCAGGUGCUUCUUGAAGGUGACAUUCCAGCACACACAGACUCAAGCACAUAACUCAUUUCAUCAAACACCAAAAUUGCACAUGAUCACCAAACACUGGACAGGCAAAACUUAGAUGGUUCACACUUACACGAAGCAUAAUUCGCACACUAAUUACAAACACAAUCCAAAAGCAGUUCAGGAUUGAAAAAGAAAACAAGAGCACAACACCGAUCCGCUCCUAGAACCUGUAUUGCCGGCUCAAAAUGCAGGCGUUGAGUCCAUCACAGAGCUGAAAGCUCUGAUGUAUUCAUCCGUGGGAUUCUGCUGAGUCCGGAUGUUCUGUAUAAGGGCAACAAGGAUGGUGAUGCCAGAUUUCUGUCCCUCAAGAUUCCGUUUGAUGCGAUGUUCAUUUUCCUAAUCAAAACUCCAGAGUUAGAGCUUAAGCUGGCAGACUUGAAAUCCAUAUCCUAGGUGCAAUUUCUCCCUCUUAACCCAACCUUGAUUGAGGAUGAGGACCACAAUACCAAUGUGUGCGCAGAAGCUCUCCCUGAUGCUCAUAGAGUUCAACUUGACUAAAAUUUCUGAGAUUCUACACCCAAAGACAGUCAGCCAUUGCUUCAGAUUUUCACUUGGUGAUCUGUCCUGUGCAAAUGUGAAUGAUGUUGAGCUACGGGUGGCUCUGGCAUCGACUCCAGAUAUGGAUCCCAAGUUGCUUUCUCAGCUGAAAGUAGCACAGCGGAUUGGAAAUCUUUUGGAGUUUGUACAUGGGAAGAAUUUGGAAGAUUUUCUCAAAUUGAUGCUUGGCUUGUGCAAAGCUCUUCUUUUAUGAUCACCAGGUUCCACGAAAGUUUUCACGUACAUGGAAGAGCCAACACUACCUGAUGAAAGUUCUUCUGAGGCAGCAAGUAGCAUAUGACACAUAGCUGACUCUGGUGGCAGUGCCAGUGUUUUCCUGGAAUUGAGUGGGUCUCAUGACAGAAACAAUGCUGAUAAUGCUUAUGAAUGCACAGUUCUAGUACUGAAGGCGGCCCCAAGGGAAGGUGCUCUCUUUUCCUUACCAAUCUUUUGUAAGUGAGUGCAAUUCUCAAGUCUCGGCAAGACAGCCUCCUUCUCUACUGGUACAGCAAAUGCUGCAUUCUAUCAGUUACAACUGUAGGCGAUGUUUGCUGCAUAGAAUGAUCUUUGUCAGUGUGCCCGUCAAAGAUUGCUAUGAUUGAAGGCAUCAUUGCUGAGAUAAAAUAUUCUGGUGCUGCUGUUCAGCCAGUGCUGCCACACUGGUAAUCUCCGAAUUCCAGUGGCUCCCUCAUUUAUGACUUCUCCAUAACAUUUGCAAAUCCCACUAAGAAGCACACCUUUCCUGAAAAAUAAACUGAACUUAAGCAUGGCAAUACAGAGUGUCUAUCUACUUCAAAGUCACAACAAUGAGUUGAUUGUGCUGUAAAGUCCUAGAAUGAGAACCAUAGUUGUAUGACCUUCCAACACACAUUCCAUCUAUUUGUUUACAGCAUAGCAAAUUUAUCUCCCAUGCAAAGUGAGGUUAUCAAUUUCAAAAUAUGUGUGAAGCAGCAAAUCAACGACGAUCUCUAAUAAGUUGUUACAUAUCAAAUAAAAAUGAUGCAAUCGACAUGCAUAUGUCACGGACCGAGAGAAGGCCGAUCCGUGAGGUUCCCCGAGGACGACCCCGACUCGUCCAUGGAAGACCUCCUACUCCAACUCGGGUUCCCAUCAAAGCUUCUCCCUGAAGCUUCCAAGGGAGGACGACACCGUCAUUUUGCCUGACUCUAGAAGCUUCCGUUAUUUAUGUCGGUAGACGGUAGUUAAAUAUUUAUGUCAGUAGUUGAGGCGGUGCGAUCUCGCCCGUCAGAUAAAAAGUAGAUCAACGGAUGUAAACCGAGGCCCUCAACUAUAAAAAGGGGUGCCCUCCUUCAUUUGUAAUCACCCAACAUUUCAGCAAUACAAAGUUCAUUUCCUUCCAGAGCUCCUCUCUCUUACUUUCUCUCUCAACGAUUCGGGUAAGCGAGCGGGUUAGCGUUCGAUCGAGCAACGCUUGGCCCGGGUAGUCCAAAAUCGCCCGAGUCGCCGCGCGGUCAUGAUCCCAAUUGAUCGGCCCGUGACAAGUGGUAUCAGAGAAAAAUAGAGAUUCGUUUGAGAGACCAAGGAGCGCCAACUGUUCGAAGGAAUGUCGAGCCAAGAAGCUGUCAUGGUUGGAGAGACCGUGCAAGUCCAAGAGGACCGCGGUCGUGGAAAGAAAAGAGACGCCUCGAGGGACGUCAUAGCUGUGUUCGAUGAGAAGAUCGCGAAUGUCCGGAGCGCUGUGCACGAACUCAUGGAAGGUCUUGACGACGUGCGAGACCGGAUCAUGGAGGUUGACAGUUCACUCUGUGAAGACUUCACUUCAUGCAUCAAUGAAGCUACCGCGCCAUUACACGACAAGGACGAAACCCUUGAAGCAUCGAUCGAUGUGUUGAAGGAGCGUGUCCAAGUGGUCGAGGAAGAAGCUCCGCGUAGGGACGAGGUCGAAGCCAUGAAGGCCGAGAUCCAAGAGCUCAAGACCGAGCUUGCCCUGUGCAAACUAAGCAUCACCAAUGGUGCUGUGCCGAACCAAGCGGUGCCCAAAAUUGAGGCGCCAAAGCCGAAAGAAUUCAAAGGCGAACGAUCCGCCAAGGAGGUGGACAACUUUGUUUGGAGCAUGGAACAAUACUUCGGUGCCGUCAACAUGAACGACGAGAUGACCAAGGUACGAACCGCGUCAAUGUUCCUGUCUGAUACGGCAAUGCUUUGGUGGCGCAAUAGGUGUGACGAGGUUAGACGAGGCGCUGAUCCCGUGUGCACAUGGGACGACUUCGUACGAGAGUUCCGGGACUACUUUUUCCCCCAGUUCGCUCAACAAGAGGCCCGUAGCAAGCUCCAUCCCUCGAGCAAAGAGGCACGAUCCGAGAGUACGUGAAGGAGUUCACCAAGCUCAAACUCUAGAUUCGCAACCUGAGCGAAGAGGAGGCUCUCGGAGCGUUCAUGGAUGGAUUAAAGCCAUGGACACUUCUCGAGCUCAAGAGACGGGACGUGAGUAGCCUGGCGCGUGCGCUGAGCGUGGCCGAGUCGCUCGUCGACCUCACCAAGACCGAACCAAGGAGUCGACAAAGAGAUUGGAGGACUGAUCGACCUUGCGAGGAUGAAGCUGGAAGAAACACUCCCCGGGCUGCGCAUGAUCAAGGCGGUCGAGCCAAAGCAUGGGGAGAAGGGUCUUCAAAGCCAGCCUUCCAAAAGGGUAGACCACCGACAGACUACGCGAGCAGGUUUGAUCAACCCCCGCCUUCUCCUUGUUUCAUUUGCCAAGGUCCGCACUGGACCCAAAAGUGCCCAAAGAAGGGUCGAAUCAACGCCCUCCUUGCCAUCGAGGAAGAAAAGGAGGAGUCCAAAGAAGACCGACGACAAAUCCGACUUGGAGCCGUGAAGAUGAUCAACUCCGUCCAAGCUCGGUCCCCAACCAAAGGAAAAGAAGCUGCGUCGGACAUAGAAAUGUUCUUCGUGCAAGUCAACGUGUGCGGCCGAACGCUACACGCCUUGGUCGACACGGGUGCGUCGAACAUGUUCAUGUCAAAGGAAGUGGCAAAGGCCUUGAACCUUCGCGUGGAGCCGACCGAGAACACCUUCAAGCCAAUCAAUUCGGAAGGCGUCCAUGGCGUAGGAUCGACUUCGAAUGUGGACGUCAAAAUUGGCGAUUGGAGGGGCAAAAUGGAUUUCGAGGUAAUCCCGCUUGACGAUUACGAUCUCAUUCUUGGUAUGCAAUUUUUCAAUAGUGUGAGAUCCAUGAUCGACAUGAGGACCAAAUGCCUCGUGAUUCUCGAUCCGGAUUACCCGACGACGGUCCCAAUGAUCAAAGGGAUGGUCGACACCAAGACCAUCGCGUCGAUCCAACACCUCAACAAGAGCUUGAAGGCCGUCAUGCGCAUCAACAAGUUUCCAAGGUGAAGCCGAAGGUCAAGUUGGAUCCUACUCCAACAAAUGCCAUGCCAAUCCAAGCGCUCUUCCCCGAGGUUGAGUACGCACCGCAUGCUCCGUCCAAGCCAAAGGCCGAGUCACGUGCCAAAUCCGACUUCAUCAAUGAAGGUUGCGGUCCGUCAUAUGAGAGCGUCCGCACCAAAUGAAACAAGAACAAGAGAGCCCGUGCCAAAGCCCGUGCUCGUGCCAAGAAGGCCAACCUCCGAGCUGUGAGCGACGAGGGCGUCGCUCGAAUGAGUGGGGGAGAAUGUCACGGACCGAGAGAAGGCCGAUCCGUGAGGUUCCCCGAGGACGACCCCGACUCGUCCAUGGAAGACCUCCUACUCCAACUCGGGUUCCCAUCAAAGCUUCUCCCUGAAGUUUCCAAGGGAGGACGACAUCGUCAUUUUGCCUGACUCUAGAAGUUUCUGUUAUUUAUGUCGGUAGACGGUAGUUAAAUAUUUAUGUUGGUAGUUGAGGUGGUGCGAUCUCGCCCCUCAGAUAAAAAGUAGAUCAACGGAUGUAAACCGAGGCCCUCAACUAUAAAAAGGGGUGCCCUCCUUCAUUUGUAAUCACCCAACAUUUCAGCAAUACAAAGUUCAUUUCCUUACAGAGCUCCUCUCUCUUACUUUCUCUCUCAACGAUCCGGGUAAGCGAGCGGGUUAGCGUUCGAUCGAGCAAGGCUUGGCCCGGGUAGUCCAAAAUCGCCCGAGUCGCCGCGCGGUCACGAUCACAAUCCCAAUCGAUCGGCCCGUGACACAUACCUCUAGGAGAAACCAUCCUAAGAAAAUGUAGCAAAAAAAGGCAAACGAAACUUGGAAAAGAACACAAAUACUUGUACAUAAUUAAGAGCCCUCUGGCUGUUCGGAGGCAUCAUAAUUUAAAUACCUUCAUUAGAUUUUCAGGCAAGAAUCCGCUAAAAGGUCAUUAAAAAGUGCAUGCAAAACUUCUCUGUUCAUAUCUAUGAAAGAAUUUGAUUGCCAAAAAAGGAAAACAUUGGUACUUACCUCAAUUUGUUUAAGGUUUGAACACAAGGGAACAAUUUGUGGUCGUGCAUCAAAAAGCUUCCAAGUGCAACGUGCACUUAUUCAUCUUCUUGCCCAUUAUCCUCUUACAUAUCUUAGUAUUCUUGUUACAUAUCUCAGUAUUCUUGCCCAUCGUCCUCUUACAUAUCUUUGUAUUCUUGCCCAAACCAGUAAUUUGUCUUCUUCAUCAUCUUAUCCCACAAAUUUGAUUGACUUCUCCGAGCAAAGCCGAGAAAUUUCCUCCGCUGCUAAUUUCCCACAACGUCUUAUUGUAACCUCUUGCAGUCCCUUCAAGCUUGAUAGAUCAGACAACUUCUGUAAAGAUCCACACCAUUGAAUCCACAAUGUUUUCAAAGAUUGAGGUAGUUCGCCUUGAAUCUCAACCAGAUUACCGCAGGAUUCAAUGUUCAAGUAUUCCAAAGAUUGGGGUAGUUCAAUCUCAACCAGAUUACGACAAUAUUCUACUGAAAGAUAUCUUAUUCCAUCCAUAUUGCUUAGAUCAGGGAUCUGUAUAUUCAAACCUUUGAUUGUGACCCAUCGCAGUCUCUUCAAGCUUGACAGCUCAGGCAACUUCUGUAAAGAUCCACACCAUUUAAUCCGCAAUGUUUCCAAAGAUUGGGGUAGUUCGUUUUGAAUCUCAACCAAAGAUCCACAGCUGUCAAUAUCCAAUGUUUCCAAAGAUUGGGGUAGUUCGCCUUGAAUCUCAACUAGAUUACCGCAUGAUUCAAUAUACAAUGUUUUCAAAGAUUGGGGUAGUUUGCCUUGAAUCUCAACCAGAUUAUGACAAGAUUCUACUCUAAGAAGUGUUAUUCCAUCCAUAUUGCUUAGAUUAGGGAUCUGCAUCUGUUUAAUGCCAGAAAGCUGCAACCGAUUUCCACUUAAAUAUUCAAAAACCUGAUUGCCACUAUGCACAUACACAUAAACAUGUGUCUUACCCAUUAUGCUGAACGGAUCGGGGAACUUUUGUAACGAAUCACGGGAACCAAUUUUAAGUUCAUCCAAAAAUCGUGGUAGUUCGCCUUGAAUCUCAACCAGAUUACAACACCCCGAUACUGUAAUACGCCUUAGCUUGUUUAACUUGCUUAGAUCAGGUAGCAUCGCCAGCUGUACGACGUCCCGAAGGCGGAAAUCUCGUAGGUUCUCCAAACAACCAAGGCCUUCAAUCUUUGCAACUGCAGAGCAGCAAAUGUCGAGAUCCGAUAGUUUCCUCAAAUUCGAUAGAUCCAUCGAGCCAAGUGAGUCGCAACCAGAGAGACGUAAGACGGAUAAACUUGAGGGAAGCCUCAGGAGGAGAGGCGGAUGAGGAGGGAGGCUGAGGUCUAUCGAUGAGGCGGUCCCCCCGAAAAAGCACAGUAGCAGAGAUUCCAAUUUGCUUAAGUUCCCAAUCCACCAUGGUAUCCGUUUUUCCAGGAGCCCAUAAGAUUUCCCAUCACAGUUAGGUGGGCCAAAGCCCAGAUGCAAUACCUUUAAGUUAGCGAGAUUUGAGAGAUCUGGAAACGUGUCCACCCUCAACUCCUCCACUACUAAUUCGAUGAGACUUUCAGGAAACCUUGGUAGGGCGUGUACUCCCGGCCAUCCCAAUAUCUUUUCCCAUGAACGCCCGUAUAAGCAAUAGCCACUUAUUGCGUGGGCAUGCGUGACAUGAUUAUAACGGUCGGCGAUUUCCAUUCCCUUGACCUUCCCCAUCUUCUUACAAGCAUCAUUGUUCGUUCUGUUUUCGAAACCAUUCUGCAUCUUCAUUACUUUCAAAUUCUUCGACAUUCCAAUGGAAUCGGGUACUUCUUCGAUGCUCGUAUGACUUAUGUCCAAAGUUAGCAAAUCCAAAUUUCUAACCAUCUUUGGAAGCCUCUGAAGAUUCCAACAAUUGCUUACAUCUAAGAAAAUUAAGCGUUUCAACUGACAAAUUGAUUCAUCAAUUUCGAUUAAUGAUUCACAGCCUGAUAAGAUCAAAUGUUCUAAAUUUAAAUGAGCAAAGAAGUUGGGGGUUCUCUCCAAGCAUUGGCAAUGGGCCAGAUUCAGAACUUUCAAAUUCUUAAUCCCCUGUGAAAGAAAAAUCAUGCACAGAUUACUUUCAAAUUUAAUGAGAUAGAAGAACAAGUAUCGUCUAGCAUAUGACAUACCUUCAUGUGGCUCCACCCUUUCCAAUCAUGAGUAAUUUCACUCCGAGAUAGAUCAAGGAUAGUCAAAUUCUCUACGGAGAAAUUUGCAAUCUCAAAUGUUGGGUGAAUAUUAUGCCAAGAAAGCCAGCGUACUUCUGGAAGGAGAUUUGAAUCCAAAACAUCAGUUGGAAGAACACUUGAUGGCCCUUUGUGCUGAAGAAGCAUCUUUUCUACACAAAAAGUUUGCUCCGAGUCAUCAACUUCAAGGAACCUUAGCCUUGAUAGGCUCUUAAAGUCAUUGUAGGUAAAACCAUGCUGAUGGUCCAAGCGGAGGCGAAGAGCUUCAACUUUUUUCUUCGUCUGCCCAAAGGAAAUUUUUUAAAAACAAGAGAGUUGAAGGGAAACACAUUUAGCCAAAUUCACUAUUUUAAGGGACUGAGUUGAGUACUACCGUUCCAUUAAUCUUAAAAAAGCAAAAAUGUCCAUAAGUAACUUGGAAAUUAAUGCACAGGGGAUUUUACCUUAGGGCUCUUCAACAAAUCCAACGCUUUCUCACGAUCCCACACCCUACUUUGUUUAUUUAUAUUGGUUUCUUGACAAACUAUUUGUCUUCCAAGGUCUCUAAGUUGGUCGUGCAUCCACACCUUAUUAUCCUCUUUAAUCUUUACCAAAGACAUGUUCUCCAAAACAUCCAUGGCAUAUUCCGGAUGGAAUUCAAAUUCCCAAAAAUGAACUACAAUGUCUUUAUCAUAUCCAAUUAAAAGACAAGCUAUAUCAAGGAACUUUUGCUUUUCCUUUUCUUCUAAUUCAUCAUAACUUAUUUUCAAUCUACUCUGGACAUCCUUAUGAGGAUCACUUUCCCACUUACGUAAUUCGAAAUCCCACUUUUUCUUUUCAGUAGUGCAAGAUAAAAGUGAACCCAUGAGCUCAAGAGCUAGUGGAAGACCUCCAGCAAUUUUUAUCGCCCUCUCGGAUUGGUCGAUAUACUCGUCCAAAGGAUGAUCUCUUCUAAAGGCAUGUUUGCUAAAGAGUUGAAGAGAUUGAUCGUGAUCCAUGCCCGAAAGCUCAUAACAACUGUCCACUUUAAGAACAUCAAGAACUUCUUUGUUUCUAGUAGUAAUAAUAAUUAUGCUCCCUUUACCAAACCAAUCACGCUCACCAACAAGUGCAUCGCUAUGAUUCUUUUCAUGUACAUCAUCGAGAAGGAGGAGGACUCUUUUGUUAGACAACCUGGCUUUGAUGGUAUUAAUCCCAUCAUCAAUGUUUCUUAUAUCGGUGCAUUUGUCUUUGAGGAUGUCGGAGAUGAGCUGAUUCUGCAAAGAUUCAAUGCCCUUGCGUUCUGACAUUUCACGAAUGCUGGACAGAAAGCAACAACCCUCAAAUUUUUCUAAAAGCUGAUUGUAGAUGAUUUUGGCAAUUGUCGUCUUUCCGAUGCCACCCAUCCCAUGAAUUCCUAUAAUCCGUGUUUCACUUGUCUGAGCACCUAUUUGUUCCAUGAUUUUACCCACAUGGUCGUCCAUAUUGACCAAGUUGUUUGAUACCACCAAAUAAGCCUUUUUCAACUCAUUGAAAACCUUCUGCGUGAUUGUUUUUGCAAGUUGACCUUCUUGCCUAUUGUUUGUUGAAAGUCAAAAGGCAAUGAGUUAGAAAAUUGAGUUAAGCCAAACUAUGCUCUGACAAGACCAAAUUCAAAACUACAGACCUAUUCUAAAUGCGUUCCUCAACGAUUUAUACCGUUUUGAUAAACUAGCACUAGAACUUAGGGUAAAUGAAUGACCUGAACUAACGAAAAAUGUUUCUUGUUGGGAAUGAAAUGGGACAAAAAUUGGCAUUGUGAUAUUAUUUAGCGUGAUUUUGCUGCAUAAUUUCAAUUGCAUACAAUUCAAUUUCAACAAGACUAACACAAAUCUAGAAAAGAAACCAAUUAAAAUGCAUCGAGUUUAAAGAUAUAAGGCACAUGAGAUGGAAUCCUAAAAGCAGUCACCUGUUGGGCAUGCUUUGCAGGUCCCAUCCAUUUACAUCCGCGACUGUAGUGAGAGCAUUCUUCCACUCUGCUAUAGUCUUUUCAUCAUAUCGCCCCUUUGUUUUGUGUGAAACAAGAGCUUUUUUAAAACUCCCGAUUUGGUGUCGAACCUCCGAAGGUGUCACAUCAUAAAAAAUGGGCAUGAUCUUUUGUCCUUCAUUUGUCUGGUGCUUGACCAUCUGAACUAGCUCCUUGAGACACCAUAUGCUAGAGGCAUAAUCUUUUGAAAAAAUAGGUAUUGAGAUCCUUGAGUGAUUGAUUGCUUCAAGAAGUUCUGGGGCAAACUCUUCUCCAAUGUGGAGGUCUUUGUCGUCCUUAAAUGUGCGGAUUCCCACAUUUGUAAGGCUAGUGUAGAGGUAGUCGGUAAAACCUGAUCGUGUAUCUAGCCCUCUGAAACUCAAGAAUACCUCAUAGUCAUGUCCGGAUGAUGUUGCAGUUUCCUCAACUUGUGGUGUAGUGCAAGUACGAGCAGCCCUCUCUACGAUACCAUUCUCUGUAGCUGAAUCAUUAUCUGUACUGCCCUCCACAGCGGUCUAACCUGCUCUUUUCUUCAGGAAUCCUUUGAACAGGAUGGCAGAGAGAGAUAUGGCAGCAAUUGUCACCAUACAGGGCAACCGCAAGUGCUCAAGCAUUUUGUGAGUUAGCAAAGAGAAUGUUUUUAGUUAGAAAUACAGGGGAUGGUGGAACAACAGAGAUGAGAGGCAGCACUUAAAGGUCAGGAUGGAGUAACGAGCAACGGCGAGCCCGCGAUGGCGAGAGACCGCCAGAGAAAGAGUAGAGAGUGAGGCGAGGGCGGCCACUGAUGCUGCGACGGAUCGGCAACGAGGCUGCAACUGCAAGUGAGGAAGGGCCGAAGGCGAGGCGGAGGAGGAGGAGAAGGAUCGAGAGGAAGAGGAGAGGAAGGGGGUCGUGUGGCGAGGAGGAGGAGAAGUAUCGAGAGGAAAAGGAGAGGAAGGGGGUUGUGCGGGUGCGGCGAGCGGCGAGAGGAGGAGGAGAAGGGGGCGCUAGCUAGGGUUUUGGAAACUCAAAAAGAAUAAAAUAAAGAGGCUGAUGGGGGUGAAGUGACAGCCUGUCACGUGGGUGGGGGAGGGGAAAGGCAAGCUGGUUCAUGAUGGACCAUUGGUAGUCCAAGUCUUCGUAGACUUUGACUUGGGUCAAUCAUUUGUUUCAGUCUUCUUGCACCACCCACAAGCUGUUUUGUCUGAUUUUUUUUCUCUUUCUAAGAGUGGUAGCUCAUGCUAAUACCACGUUAAGACGAGGCACAUGGAGCUUAGGUUUUGGAUUGUUGGCGUCCUUAUCAAAAUCACAUCAACCCAUCUCACGCAAUUCUUAAUCUAGUGAAUGUAUUUUGAUGCAAAAUUAUAUGUAUGCAACACAUUCCAUUUCUAUUUAGUUAAAUUAGAUGAUUCCAACUUUUUCAUUGAUUGAUGACAUGAUUGACUAAAUUUUUAAGAAAAAAGUUUUUUUUGGACAUAUAGUGUUUCAUUGCAAGUAUUUUUCUAUUUUUUGAAUUGAUUUUGUGAUAACUAAACAUUCCAUGUUUCAUAAUAGAAAACAAAAUCUCUCUAGAACUGGAGGUGUAAAAUUGUUCCAUUUUGUAAUUCAAUGUUCAUAAGUCUUUUCAAGCAUAAAUCCGAGUUAAAUCCGAGUGUGACAAAAAAAAAUUAAGAUUGAAGUUAUUAAAUCACAUGACUCAAUGAGUUAAAAGGAAGAAUCUUGGGAAGAAUCAAAUUUCUUGAAUUGAGAUUGAUGGAAGAUCGAAUAUGUUCUCUGAUAGCUUUAGCUUUCAUUAUCACUCCACUGAAAUUUUGUUUUAGUAAAACCAAAAUCUCGUCCCAAUUUUUUUUUUUUUUUUGAAAUUAGACACCAUCCAUUUGAAUCAAAAUUGAGCUUCCUCCAUUAGCUCAAAAGCUCGGGAAGAAGAGAAAAUAUGUGGGAUCCCAUUGCCUAAUUCUUAGUCUUUUUGAAGGAAAAAAAAGACUUCUCAUACAAAUGUGGGCCUUAAUUAUUGAGACAUUUUUUCCUUUACCCUAGAAUAUGCAGAGAGUCAUGGGCCAGUUUUGCUGCAGAAUUGAUCGACAAGGAUGCUUCCUUGCAGCAUCAUUGUGGCCUGUCAACCGUGACAAAUAUUACGUUUCUUAACGCGGAAAAUCACUAAACUAUGUGGUGCAGAAAUUUUGGGAUGAGAAUCUACUUUUACCCCAAAAUAAUUCAUUUGAAGUCAAGUCAACAAAAGCAGACACGGAACUUCCAAAACAAGUUCGUUUCCCCCAUCCUAAAUAAGGUGAACUCCGAUCGGUCUAGUUUAAUGGGUUGAUUAGGCCCAGGCCCGGAAUAGCUUUGAAGCAUAAAGCCUAGUGGAAUUAUUGGGCUUGAUCUUCGUCAAAGCACUCCCUAGUGAUCAAUUGAAUUAAGAAAAGAUCACAUUUUAUUUCGGAGGUGAACCAUCCUUCGCAUUUAACCUGUCGUUAGUGUCAAAAAUUGCUUGUCACAAAACGUUGUAGUUGGACAUUAAAUCCAUGCAUUGUGCUGAUUAUUAUACAAAACAUUACUAAAAUAGAGUACACAAAACCAAUGUGUAAGCACAGUCUUGUGUCGUAUUAAAACUUUGAGCCACCAACAAGUGUGAUAAAUAAGCUCACGAACAUGAUGUGACCUAUUAGCUCUCAUUUGGAAUUUAACUCAUUUAGCAUUUCCACAUUCACGAUUGAACUUGAAAGCCUCUAUGAGGAUUGGGAAAAGUUUAGUGAAGCCUCUUGACUAUAAUGAUUAAAAAAAAAAUAUUGACUCCCCCUGAAUUCAAGUAUGAAAAUUUUCUAUUUUAGAUAAUGUUUUCGGAGGUAUGACUCUUCGCUCUCUCAGUUAAUGCAUGUGGAUUAUCUAGCGGAAAAAAGAGGCAAAAAUGAAAGAACUUAUGGACAACGUGAGACUAUUCCAUGUUAAAAUUUGAAAAUCAGAAAAAAAAAAUAGCCACACUUCUAUUAAUUUGAAAUUAAAUGAUUUGGGUUGCUAUUUCAGAUUUACCUCGACAUUAGAUGAUGUCAAACCAAGUCCAUUUGCAGCUAGAAACAUUUUUUUAGUAUAAUUAAGAAUCGGAAUGCCUCCUCUUCAACUUCUAUGAAUCCAACUUAAGAGCCAUGCUUUACUUGAAAAACAAAUUGGAGAUGCGUUUACGUUGUAGAGUAUUCAUUUUCUUCACGUCGCAAUUUUGUGUUGGUUAUUGUCAUAAAGGUGAUGCUAUAAGUGCUAAUAUACUUUCACACACAUUGUAAUAGCUACUUUGACGUAUACGGUAUGAUGAAAUUAUCGUUCUCUUGCAUGAAUAAAGCAAAAAUGAUGCUUAGCUCUUCGUUGGUUGAUCUCCAACUUGAAGAGUUUGCUUUUACAUGGAAAUGAACAAAUAUUGGACAGGGAAGAAAAAAGGGGAAAAACUCAGGUCUAAGCGCAUAUGGCACCAAAAGGAAAUCCGAUUUCGAUAAGACUGGAUAUGAAUUGUAGUUCAGAUUCAAGUUGAUUCAGGGAGGGCGACCGCAAAAGUCACCGAAUGGGUCAAUCUUUUCCUUCAGUUUGUCCUAUUUAAUAAAAUAAAAAAGCGUGGGAAGAUGUUGCAGAUGUCUAGGACGGACACGACUUCUUGUAACACUAGAAAACCACUAGAAGAUACCCGGGACCAAAGCAUGUCGUGAAAGAAGCACAUUGGGGCAUUGACCAAUUUCAUAUAGUAAGACAAAGCAACAAAUUAUAAGGUAUCUAAAAAUCACCACAUAAUAUAUCGACAAAAUAUGGCAUUUGGAAUUUAUAUAAUUUGACCCGACCUCACUAGGUAAGUUAAUUAGCAAAUCAAGCCAUUGAAACAUAUAAACCAAACCAAAACAAAGAAGAUCUGAACAAGGUUAUUUGCAGAAAUAUAUCACUAGUCAACAUGCAAAAGUGCACAAAAAAAGAAGAUUUACAUAAACCUCUUUGUAAGUCAUAUGUUUAACAGGAUAGGAAGCACUUCUUAUCAGAUAAAAAAAGUACUCAACAGGGCAGCUGUCCAUUUUUUUUUUCUUUCGCAGAAAUUUGCCAAGUUUGAUCAAGCAACUCCAUAAUGUGCUGAGUUUCCAAAUCUCCCGUGGUGAAGAAUGCCUAUUUGUUUCAAUUUCCUCCACAUUGAUACAUCAGAAACAUCAGGAUAGAGUUGCCAGAGAAGAUACGCAAAUUGUCCAGUGAUUCUGGUCAACCAGAUUACCACAAUGAUCUAAAUGAAAAUCCAUUAGUUUCUUCAAGCCACUCAGUCGGCCAAUUUGUCCAGUCGGUUGAGUUUGUUCAGCUCCAAAUUCCAGAUUUAGUCAGGUGGCAUCUUUAUCCACUUGCAGUUUCUCAAAGACUAGCGUUCAAGGCUUAUGAUGGUAACCAAUCGACUCGGGAAGCUCCAAGAUCCCAGCUCCUUACAGAGAAAGCCUCAACAGGGAAGUCGGGUAACUGAUCGAAGGUUUUGUAGUCGGUGAGGAACGAUGGCAAGCACAGAGAAUUUCUAGACUCUUCAAUCCUUGACAUUCAAGCAUAUGUUUCAUUGAUGUCCCAUCAAUCAAGGGUUCUCUCAAACAUUCCAUUUUACUAGGCUCCUAGGGAGAUGGUGGAGAUCAAUCUUUCCAAAUUCACAUGUACCUGAGGUCUAGCAUCUAACAGAACCAUUUUGACAUCGAAAGGUCCACCUGAUCUGACUGAAUUGAGGUCAUAAAGCAAUCCCUUUUAAGGCAAGUCCAUGUCAGACUUUCCCCUUCCAUCUUGGUAGUUUGUAGAUGUACAUUUCCGAUAAGUUAGGGACUUGUUUGUCCAUCUUGGUAGUUCUUACAAUACUCUGUUCGUGUGAAGUCCUCUGAGAUGCACUAAUCGAGAUAUACUCCUUUCAUCAUUUUAUUCAAAUCAUUUCACUGUUCCCGCUGCUCCAUGGUUUAUAGCAGCAUCGUCAUAUGGACUACCCAUCUCCACUGAUCUUACUUGUGCUUAGACUCCUCUGGAAGAAAUAUUUGAACAGAACAGCAGAAACAACGAUGGUAGCAACUGUCACCACACACAGGACAACCUCAAGUGCGUCAAUCGUUUUGCGCCAGCACAAGUGGUCCACCUUGGCAGAAACAACAAUUGUUGUGCUGCUGCUAUUGCUCCUCCUCCUCGGAGGCAUGGGACGACGCCUGCUGGUUCCAGCUUGGUCGUCACUGCUCGUUCGAAAGAGAGGCCGAAUCGGAAUCCGAAGUGACGAUCCGAAAUAAAAAUGGGAGGAGGAGAGAGUUGGAGGGGGAUGGUGGGAUAUUCGACCUGGCCUUGCUGCCUGACGCAACCAAUUCUUAACGUUGCAGUCUCACGUACACUGGAAGAUUAAGUUUGAACCAAAACUACUCAGUUCACGUACGUAUACAGGCCUGUCAUUGCUGUCUUACCAGCGUGCUAGAAGCCUGGAAAUACCUUCAUAUGAGGUAGCAAUAUAUGCAGGAUACAACCUCGCCAAGGAUUCGCUCACAAUGUGAUUCAAAUUAUUCAAUUCAUGGAAAAUAGUGUGACCCACCUAUUGUUAAGUCACCGCAUUUGGGGGUGGCCUACAAUUUUUUCACGUUCAUUGUUCUUUCUUUUUCAAAUUGUUUCACAUGAAUGAGUCGUGUAUGAAUUUGAUAAAAGCACGAGACGUGUAUAAAUCUAUUUUGUGCUUAUUAGCACCUAAGUUUGACGAGUGACUGAUUUAUUAACACUGGCCAUAAAUGAAGAGAUUUAGGGAUUUUUCUUUGCAAAAAAGUUAUUGUUACACCAUUUACGCUCUUGAAUCACACCUUGUUCUUCACUUUCUGUUGUUGUUUUGUGUUCUAACUUCUCUGUAUUUUGGAAUAACAUGAAUUUUCAGAUUAAGCUUGAAUCUGAAAAUAUUUGACUGGAGAAGUUUGCCAUCAUAAUGAAGUAAUUGCAAUUUCAUAUACCUCCACUAAUAUAAAUAAACAUUAUACCAACUAAUUGAACUGUAGAGCACCCAUUUGUCCAACAAAAUGUCUCAUUCUCUUUGGCUAAAAUACAACAGAAGGCAUCCCCACGAAAUCUUUCUAAAUGUUCCGAUUAUAGCAAAACUUACUUCAAUGCUCUAAUGCACACAACGUAAAUCACCGAAUGUGACAUUGAAAAUGCCCAUUGACAAAAUAAGAUCCCAAGGGCAAAUCGGAAAGAUCGUAAAGAAUCUGGAAUGGAACAGAUCGCGUUUGAGGGUGAUGGUUGUUCUGACAUGCUUGAUUGCUGCAAAGUGAGGCGAUACUCAAGCUUUUCAAGUUCAAGAGAUUGGAAAUGCUAUCAUCAGCUCGUCGCUCGGUAUGAAUAUGUAGACAGAGAAGAAUUUCUAGGAGUCUUGGCACUUGGGGGUAUCUCAACACAUGUCGGUUUCAAAAUCUUCCAAGAUGAACAUCUCCAGAUAUCAUAGGAAUUUUUUAUUAGCAAAUUUUCACUAAGCUUUGCAUCUAUUUUUCUCGCCUUUUAUGCUUCCAUUUUGCACUAGUUAUCAUUCUGAUGACAGAGAACCUCAUCUUCAAUACUUUCAAAUACUUCAUGUUCUCGAUUUCAAAAAAAAAAAAAAAAAAUACUUCAUGUUCUCGACCAAACCAGGCAGCUUCUCUAUGUCCAUGUUCAAUUUAUCGAACUCAACAAAUGAUUCCAAAUUCCAGAUUGAGUCCAGUAGUGUCUUUAUUGACUUGCAGUUCUUGAAAGACUAGUGUUCGAGGCUUACGAUGGAUCCACUUGAGUUGGGAAGCUCCACGAUCCCAGCUCCUCACAGAGAAAGCCUCGAUAGGGAAGUUAGGUGACAGAUUGAAGGUUUUAUAGUCAAUGAGGAACGAUGGGAAGCACAGAGGACCUGCAAGCUCUUCAAUUCUUGACAUUCAGGCAUAUGCUUUAUUGAAGUUAUACAACAAUCCCUUUUUAAGGCAGUUAAGUCCAUGUCAAACUUUACCCUUCCAUCUUGGUAAUUCGUAGAUGUAUAUUCCCUUUUAAGAUAGAGAUUAUCGAUGUUUGUCCAUAAAAACCAGCAUGCAAAAUUGCAAAUCGAUCAAAGUCAACGUGGCUAGCAAGCUAGUCACCAUAUCUUUCUCCCAAAAAUCAUGUACUUUUAUUCGUGUGAAGUCCUCCAUCAGGUACUAACCGAGUUAUCCAGAGUUAGAUUCAUCUACUAGUAAGAAUACUUUGAGGGACCUUGUUUAGAUUUCUUAUACUUGUUUCAUUGUUUGAUUCCAUCAUUUCUCCGUUCACGCUGCUCCAUGUUUUAUAGCAGCAUUGUUAUUUGGUUUGCCCUCUCCAGUGAUCUUACUUGUUGCUCUCAGUCUUCUCUGCUCCAUGGUCUAUAUUAGCAACUGUCGCCACACACAGUGCAACCUCAAGUGGUGAAUCAUUUCGCACCAGUACAAGUGGUCCACCUCAGUAGAAACAACUGUUGAGGUGCACGAGGAUUGGGGGUGGUCUGACUUGGCCUCCCCGCCCGAGUUGCAAUGGGUUAGGAUUUUUAUUUUAUUUUAAUAAAUUAAAAAGUGUGGGAAGAGAUGACCUACGGUUUUCCAUUCUUGUUGUUACAUAAAGUGUUAUGUACGUUACAAAAUAUCUCCAUUGAGCCAUAACCACUCGAUCUAUCGACAAGUGUGCGAGACUAUCACCAUAACUAAUAUGCCAAAAGCCUGAAAAUCAUUCCACGUAACGUGGUGAAUACCUAAAAUAUUGACAAGUGAAAAGUUUACUCAUGACAUGAUUCGAACUCAUGAAUUAAUAAAAGAUGGCAUGAUCCCUUCAUCAUUGGGUUAUCGUGCUUGGGGUUGGAUUGCGAUUGCGACUUUUUCAUGUUCAAAUAUAUAUAUUUUUUGUGCUUAUAAAAUUUGACUUAAGUCAAAUGAGGAGUUAAUGUGUUUAUGUUACCAAUAAAAGAAGAGGUUUGAUGACUGGUUUCUAUAAAAUUGAUUAAUUUACUCUUCAUAAUUUUCUCUUGAGGUUCACUUAUUAUUUAACUUCGACCUUUUUGUUCUGUGUACUAACUUUUAUGUGCUUUUAUAAACAUUUGACUGUGAAUAUAAAUAUGUGAGAGCCACCAAACAUCGAGCAUGCCACGCAUCGGGGUUCGUAUAUUAUUUUGUUUGUGUGAGUUAAUUGCGAUUUAAGGAAAACAAAUCUUCCACAUUAUUUGAUAAUUUGAAAAUGACAUUUUGUGACUUUUGUUGCGUGAGGUUACAAACUCUUUUUACUUUGAACACAGCCGAUGAAAAAGUCUAAUGACUUUUGUUCUCAAAGAUUAUGGACCUUUUUACUUGUUUAAAUCUUUUACAUGUAAAGUAUUCAAUCCCAAUGAUUGUAUAACUCAUAUAUUAAAUAAGCAAUUAUGAGAUGACGAUGGCAUCAUUUUAUAAGAUAGUGAUUGGUAUGAUCGUAUUCGCACUAAAUAUUUUGUAAAUUCUAAAUAAAACAACCCAGCUCAAACUAUUGCAUAUACGUUCAUCUAAAAAUAAAAUUAAAAACUAUCGAAUCCACUUCCAUAUAAAUUUUAAAGAAAAGAAUUCAUCCGUCCUAAUAAGUCACAUACUCAAACUCUUUUUCAACUUGAGAGAAGUGGGCUCCACAAUCCACAAUUAAGCUCAACUCACUUGUCUUGGAUGUUGAAUAAUAUUCUUUUCAAGUUCGAAUAUUAUUGGCAAAGAAAAAGUUUGAAUAAUUCGAGUUAUUGGAUUGAUUCGAGCGGAAAAAUUUUACUCAAGAAGCUUGUGAUCAGAGGAAGCGCCAAAAGAGGAAGAGACAGGGAGAACGGAAAUUUGUCCAGGAGGACGCCUCAUUUUAGCCAAAAUUCCUUUAUUGCCCUCACGGAAACGACGAAAUCACCGGACGUGACACCGAAUUUGCCCGUCGACAGAGCGAGAGCCCGAGGUCAAAUCAGGAAAAUUCGCAAAUCCGUCGUCCUCUCCUUCUCUUCCCCCCACCCAAAAAUAAAAGCUCGCCGUAGCUUUCGAUCGCCAUCCGCCGCGAAAAUCGCUACGGAGUCCACGAACGCUGCGAAGACCACGAUUCGAAGGUUGAAUUCGAGCAAUGCGGACGAAGACCGCAAUCGAUCUCUCCACCUCGCCGGGCGAUCGCGCCAUUUUGAUUGCGUGAGAUUGGAAUGAUGUUGUUGCUCGGCAGAAUGUGGAGUUGAGGGUGAUGGUUGUUCUGAAGUGCUUCAUUGCCGCGGGUGGAGGCCAGAGGUAAUUGCAAUUCAUGUUCAUGUAAUCAGUUACUGCUCUGAUCCUCCCACUUGAUUGGGAUUGAGAGUCUAGUAUCGACCAUGUCGGUUUUGAGGUUGGACAGUGAGGUUUGUAGCGUGAAUUUGGCGGAUUAGGCAUUUCAGGGUUGGGGGGAAUCGCUGACCGUGUUGUGGAGCUGUAGUGCCUGAUUUAAUGGGGCAUACUAUGGCUGAAUUAUUUGGUUGGAUUAGCUAAGCUCUUGGAUUACUGAGUUUGGAUCAAUACUACAACUGGAAUAUGGUCAUAUUGAUACAAAUAUUUCAUCCUGCUGUUUCUAUUUUGGGGGUAAAAAUUUGUUGAGUGUCUCACAGUGAUUGACUAUCGGCUAUUUGGCUUUUCUCCAGUCAAGUAAUGGACUGUAGCUUGUAGGUUUCAGCGGACAAGCUUUAUGGGAAAGAGGAGCCUUAUGUUGUUUACUCAUUCGCCUUUUGUUGCAUUUGAACAUAUAGUUCUUUAAGUUCACGAACAUGGAUGGCAAAAAUAUACUGAAAUAUUAUUUUGAGUUGAUGUUUCCUUGAAGUGUUCCUCUUACUUGAUUGUCGAAAUAGCUUGCUAGAGACAUAAGAAACUUGCUCUAUUGCUUGUCAUUAAAUGAGUUUUUGACCACAUUUUCAAUGUGAAAUUUUCUCAACUGGUAAAUGCAGAACUCAGAGUGAGGUCCAAGGCUUGUAAAGCUGUUUACAAUCACAUUCUUGCCAUGACAUCGGCGGAGUAUGCAUCUGCUGUAAGUGUUCUUUAUAAGGAUUUUCAUAUUUACCUAGAGCUUGUUGUUGUUAUUACUCUUCAGGUUUCACCAUUUAAAUACAAUAACAUUGUAACUAGAUGCGCAGCUUUUUAUUUUGCAGGUUUAAUGUCAUAUUUGACAGAGCUUGGUAGUUGGACUUGUCCUAGAUGUGAUGGAAAGACCAAGGUAAUUUAAUAUGGUUUGAUAUGACAUUGUUGCUAAGGUUGCCUGAAGAAUGGAUCCUCAGUACAGUAUUAAAUGCCAAUUCUUCUGAUGAGAUUUUGUGGGCAUAUGCUGCCUCCUCUUAUUAGAUUCUGAACUGGUAAUUAAUGCCUUUUGAUAUGAAAGCAGGGGUUUGAAUUCAUUGAAUUGAUAGUGGGCAUUCACCACUGCUUACACGCAGAUUAUUUGGUUGCAGUGGCUUACCAAUCUGCAAUGCUUGCGAUGCCUAUAUGUUUAAAUUGCAUCUAAUAGUUUAUAUCUAUUUCUAAACGUACAUAUAUGUUUCCUGUAGGCAUACGUUGGGGUGGCCAAGGAUCUUAAUGCCGUGAUUAUAGCUUUUAGAGGUGCACAAGAACAUAGGUAUGCAUCUUAACUUUAGCAACUCUUCUCCUUACAAAUGACUUGCAAAGGUUUUGAUGAAAAUUUAAGCUAAGAAGAGCAGCCUCCUGUGAGUGUGUACACGAGACCCAUGGGUCGACUGUCCAUAAGAAGGGAAAAGGGUGAAUCAUUUCCACCAAGAUGCGAAAGUUACCUUUUUGUAAUUUGAGAUUGGUUCAUGAGAAGAUCACAUACUUCACUAAUUUUGUUCUGUGAAAAAUUCUAUCACCUCUCUGUGUCAUUUGAGCUUUUCAGUUAGUGAUUACUUCUUUUUAUGUCUACAGCAUACAGAAUUGGGUUGAAGAUCUCUAUUGGAUAGUGGAAACAGCUUGAUGUACUACCCUGGCAUGCAUGGUGCCCUGGAUAGCUCUAAAGAUGAUUAUGCCUCUUGCAAGCUGUGGAUUUUUCUCGUUUGGAUUGAGUUACAGUCUUACUCUAUUGAUUUCUGCUUGGGUUAAUCAUGGAUUUUACUAUUCUUAUCUUGAUAUGACAAUUCAACCUGGUUUUUUGGAUGCUGUUAUAAGAACCAAGGAUUUAUAAGGGGACAUCAAUUUCAUGGUGACAGAGCAUUCUAUGGGAGGGGCUAUGGCAUCCUUUUGCGGAAUUGAUCUUGUGGUAAGAUAGUUAAAAACUGCUAUGGUCUGGAAUUGUGAAUUUUAUCGUUUUUUUUUCCUAUUGUGUUCUUCCAAUAUUCAGAUGAUAAUCUGUUAAGAGUCAUCUAGAAUUCUCUGCCAAAUCUUUGUUGAAGAGUCUAGGCUCUUUAUGUCGAUCUUGAACUUUCUAUUGCUCUCAUAUUUAUAUUCACAAUUCAUCAUAGACAGCAUCUUGUUUUCUUUCAGUUUUGGUAAGUCAAACCAUAGACAAAACACAAGCAGAAUGGGGUGCAAAUAGCCAUUUAUGCUAACCACCAAUUGUUUAAGUAUCUAGCAAUGUAAAUUGAGUCUUACCCAUAAAGCUAUGGAGCUUCAAGUUGGUCAAAUACCUAAAUAUAGUGGAUAAGGUCACUUCCAACUAAUCAUUACAAGGUUUACUUACUUGCUGGAAAAUUUAUGGAAUUGUCGAUAUGUUUAUGGUCUGGACAUAUAACUUUUUAAAGGACUUGAAGCUCAAGUUAUAUGUCAUGUAAUCUUGAAGUGCUAAUGCAUUUUAAGAUAGAUUAUAUAUCAAUCCUAAAUUUGUGUUUGGUGUACUGUUUCUAUCUAAGUCUCUCUCUAAUCAAAAGAAGCAGCUCCUCUUCAGUAGGACUACAAGGCCAGAUAUGUUGUAGGCUGGAGCCAAUGCUAAGAUGUCUAAAAUAUGCCUUUUUUCUCAGCUUUAUUGGACAGAGUGUUCCAGGGUACAUUUGGAGGCACCUGUUGCUCAACUGGUACCAGAAAUGGUGCCCAAUCCAAAAUCAUGUCCCAUUGAUUCUCUUCUCCAUGAAAAGUGGUGAUUUUUUAGAGUUAAACUUUAUCUUGAAGUCUGAUUACACUCAUGUUCAUGUGGCCUAUGAUAGGAUCAUAGGUUGCAUGGACUUUAGACUAUACCCUUUCUCAAAAUAUUAGUAGCAAGUAUAACAUCUUGUCAUAAAACUUUUAAACGAUUUAAAAUUUUAUUUUUGUUUACUGGUUUCUUGCUGAAAAUUUUGUCGAGCCAAUUGUGACGUCAUGCCCAUUCAUUGCGAUCCUUUUUAAGAUUGACUUUGUCCUUCGCUACUUUUGACAGUAAGUUUUGUAGUUCAAGGGGCAUUUUCACCAUGAACCAAGAAUUUUUUGUUUAUGUUAUUAGCAGGAUGUGACUCACCCCACCAACAUUCAAGUGCUUCUUGUGGAAGCAAUUAAAUGCGCUUCUGUUGUAAAUUCAUGUCCAAUCCCACUAUUCCAUAUUAUUAACACCUUUUUGUGGUGCUGAGGGUGGGUUUGGUUUUGUUGUGUGUGGGGUUUGGUGUUGGGAAACUUAUGGAUGGGAUCUUGACGGAGUUAACGCUAGACCUUCAAUUCUUAUGGAGACAAAGGGCUGUUCUAUUGUUCACCUUUGUAUAUGAAAUGCAAUAUAUGGUUAUUGAUGCAUAGUGUUUUUUUCCCAUCUUGGAAGGGCUAUUGAUGUAUUGACAUUCAAGUUAUUUGGCUGUCUAAUUAUGUGUGCUGAAACUGUCUUUUCCAGACCAGCAUUCGCCUGAUUUACUUAACCGAAACACUUUAUUUCCUGGUUAAUCAUGAAGCACAGAAUAUUCAGGUUUAAACAUUUGGACAACUCUGUAUUGGCAAUGCAGUGUUUGCAUCUUACUACAGUGACUGCAUACCAAAAACAUUACGUAUUCCUCCUGGACAAGAUUUUUUGUCUUAUUUGCCUCCGUACUAUUUUUGGUUCCCACAGAAGACAUACCAUCAAUUCCCUAGAGAGUUUUGGUGUUGAUCUUGACAGAAUAUCAAAUAAAUUAUGGGGAAUUGUUGAUGACUGAAUUUGAGGUUUGCUUUGCAUUUCUUUCAACCUGUCUAACAAGUGAAGUAUCAUAUAUUCCGGCAUUGUAUGUGUCACAAAACUGAUUAGAGAACCCGCAGCAAGUAGAAAGAGAGAAAGAAGGAAGAGAGAAGGAGGAGAAAGAGAACGUAAAAGAAAGAAAGAGAGGGCUGUAGUUUUUCUGUAAUCAGAAACCCUACACCCAUUGUAUUUAUAUUGAAUAUAAAUUGUAUAUAACAAUAAUAUCCUUAUGUAAGUAAAAAAGGAAAUAAAACUCUGAUAAUAAAGGAAACUCAAUUAAAGUAACUUAACACUCCCCCUCAAGCUAGAGCAUAUAGGUCACCCAUGCCUAGCUUGGAACAACCAACAACAAAAGCAGGAUGAAAUAAUGCUUUGGUAAACAUAUCAACAAAUUGAUCUCUAGAGGCAACGUAAGGAGUAGCAACCAUAUUCUGCUUCACAGCAUCACGAACAAAGUGACAGUCAACUUCUAUAUGUUUAGUUCGCUCUUGAAAAACAGGAUUCCCAACAAUAUAAAUGGCUGCUUGAUUAUCACACAUCAUGUCAAUAGGUUGAUUAAUAGAAAAUCCAAGCUGCUGGAGAAGAGAUUUUAACCACAACAAUUCAGCCACAGUAUGUGCCAUAGCACGAUAUUCAACCUCUGCACUAGACUUGGCAAUGGUAGUUUGUUUCUUACUUCUCCAAGUAACCAAAUUACCACCAAUAAAAGUGCAAUACCCAGUUGUAGACCGUCGAUCAUAUGUUGACCCAGCCCAAUCAGCAUCAGAAUAGCCAACCAAAGUGGAAGAACCAUUAGAUUUAUAAAUGAGUCCCUUACCAGGAGAGCUUUUAAGAUAUCGAAGAAUGCGACAUACAACAUCCCAAUGAGCUUUCUUAGGUGACUCCAUAAACCGACUCACCACGCCAACAGCAAAAGAAAUAUCGAGACGUGUAACAGUAAGAUAAAUUAGUUUCCCAACUAGACGCCGAUAUUGAUGCUUGUCUUCAAUUUCUUUUCCAUCAUCAACUCCAAACUUUUGAUUUUGAUCCAUAGGAGUAUCAACUGGCUUGGAAGCUAGUGUACCUGUCUCAGACAAAAGAUCAAGAACAUACUUUCGCUGAGACAAAUUAAUACCUUUUUUACUUCGUAAAACUUCAAUUCCCAGAAAAUAUCUAAGAGUUCCCAAGUCCUUAAUCUGAAAUUGCUGCUGAAGAAAUGAGUUAAUCUCAAAAAUGCCAGUCACAUCACUACCAGAGACAAUUAUAUCAUCCACAUAUAUCACAAGAAUGACUACCCCCGAUUCCUUCUUGCGAACAAAAAUAGAAUGAUCAGAAUAAGAUUGGUGGAAUCCACAUCUGGAAAUCACCGAACUGAAUUUUUCAAACCAUGCUCUUGGAGACUGUUUCAACCCAUAAAUUGCCUUAUGUAGCCGACAUACUUUACUACGAUUCUCCCCCUGAGCAACAUACCCAGGAGGUUGCUCCAUAUAUACUUCUUCAGACAAAUCACCAUAAAGAAAAGCAUUUUUGAUAUCUAAUUGAUAUAAUGGCCAAUCGAAAUUCACAGCAAGAGAAAUAACAACACGAACAGAGUUGAGACGUGCCACAGGGGAAAAAGUCUCAAAAUAAUCCACUCCAUAAGUUUGAGUAAAACCUUUAGCAACGAGUCGAGCUUUAAGACGCUCGAUUGAGCCAUCCGGAUUGUACUUGAUAGUGUACACCCAACGACACUUCACCACAUCUUUCCCAAGGGGAAGAUCAACUAAUGACCACGUUUGGCGAGAGACUAGAGCUUCCAUUUCCACAUCCAUAGCUUUCUUCCAUUCAAGGCGAGACAAAGCCUCAGUGGUAGAAGUAGGGAUUGUGUGAGUUUGUAAUGAUAGAGCAAAGUCAUGUAAUGGAGAAGGAAUAUGUGAGAGAGACACAUAACGCUCAAUAGGGUAAGCCAAAGAGGAUUUUUGUGUGCAAGACCGAGUACCUUUGUGAAGGGCAAUAGGAAGAUCGUCUGGACUAGGAGACAAGGAGGAAGAUUGAUUGGAGGGCAUUGAAGAGCUUGAGACUAGUGGUGCCGUAGACUGCUUUCGCUGCUGAUACACCUACAAUGGAGGAAAUACUAGAGACGGACUAACAGAAUCUAAGGAGAUUUGUUGUGGGAUAGGAGGAUCAGCUACAAUGUCAGUUGAAAACUCUUUACCCUCAGUAGAAUAGUAUGGUGUGCCCUCGAAAAAAGUAACAUCAGCACUAACAUAUUGAGUAUAAGUUGUAGGAUCAUAACACCGAUAUCCCUUCUGUGUAUGUGAAUACCCGAGAAAAAUACAUUUAGUAGCACGAGGAGAUAGUUUAUCAAAACCGGAACGUAGGUUAUGAACAAAACAGACACACCCAAAGACACGCGGGGUAAGAGAGAAUAACGGCUUGUCAGGAAAUGCAACACUGAUUGGUGACUGAUGAUUGAGGACAAUGGAAGGCAUACGAUUUAUGAGGUAACAUGCGGUAAGGACAGCAUCACUCCAAAAUGAUUUUGGCACAUUCAUAUGAAAUAAGAGUGAACGAGCAACUUCUAGAAGGUGACGGUAUUUUCUCUCGGCCACACCAUUCUGCUGAGGGGUAUAAGUACAACUUAUUUGAUGUAUAAUGCCAAGAUUAGAACAAAACAAAGAAAUUGAUUUCUGUGUAUAUUCUAGAGCAUUAUCUGUUCGCAAAAUUUUCAGGGAUGUAUUAAACUGAUUAGUAACCUCACGAUGAAAUAAUUGAAAAACAUGUAAAAAUUCAGAGUGGUCAUGAAGCAUAUAGAGCCAUGUUAAACGAGAAUAAUCAUCCACAAAAAUAACAAAGUACUUAAAACCAUUUCUACUAGCAAUACGGGAAGGUCCCCAGAUGUCCGAAUGAACAAGUUCAAGUAAAGUAGAUGCACGAGAAUCACUACGACUAGGAAAUGAACUACGAUGAUGUUUCCCAAGUUCACAAGCCUCACACUCAAGAGUAGAAAUUGAUUUACACUCGGGAAUUAUUUGUUGUAACUUAAAUAAAGAUAAAUGCCCUAAACGAGAAUGCCAUAAUAGGGGGGUAAUAGAACUAGCAGCUAGACCAUUGGCGUCAGCAGUGGAGAGACCAUUGAGAUAGUAGAGUCCAUCACAUUCAUGUCCUCCACCAAUCAUCUUCUUUGUCUGAAGGUCCUGAAAAAUGCAAUGAGAUGGAUAAAAUGUAACUGAACAACUAAAAGCUUUAGUUAACUGACUAACAGAUAACAAAUUUAAAGGAAGUUGGGGGACAUGUAAAACAGAGGACAAAGAUAAGGAAGAUGUAAGUGAAACAGUCCCUGAUCCAACCACUUGAGUCGAUGAACCAUUAGCUAAAAUAACUUCGGAUGAAGGACUAGAAUUAGUGUGGGAAGAAAAUAGUUCUUGCUUACCCGUCAUAUGACUAGAAGCCCCCGAGUCAAUGACCCAAGAGGCGUUAGGAGACAAAGUAGAGAAAGAGGCCAUGUUACCUGUACGUGCAAGAGUAGCAGUGGAUGAGAAAUUGGAAGCCUCUAGUUGUUUGACACGUUUGAUGAGUUGUGCAACCAUAUCAUCUCGAGUCGUAGACUCAGAAGAACUACCCCCAAGUGGAAGAGAUGGGUUCAUGUCGUUGUAAGACACAUUUCGAGCACUCUCUUCAGACAUAGCAGCAUUUGCAAUAACCUUGGCCCAACAAGUGUCAACAAUAUGACCGAAUUUGCCACAGUGUAUACACUGACGGCUAUCUCGAUCAGAACUUUGUCCACUACGUCCACCACCGCGACUACGAUUUCCCCCGAAACCACGACCUCUAUUGGAAAAUCCACCACGACCACGACCACCACUACUAGCCACAAAUGCUGAAUUGUCUUUAGAUGAAGUAGAAGACGGAGGGAUAAUGCGCUGAAUUCGACAAAAUGCUUCAUUCAUAGAAGGAACUCUCUCUCCAGCAAGAAGCUGACUCUUCACAGGCUGUAAGUCAACAUUCAAGCCAGAUAGAAAUUUGGCCACUUGAAAUUCAGCUCGUUGUGUCUUUAGUCUCUCAAGAUUAGUAGUGAUGGGCUGAUAAAGAUUGAGUUCUUCCCACAUACCUUUCAAAGCACUAUAAUAUUCUCCAAGAGAUUUGUUUCCCUGUUUAAAAUUAAAAAUCUUCUCAUAUAGUUCAUAAACUCUAGACAUAUUUUUGUCUUGUGAGUAACUCUCCAUAAGAUCAUCCCACACUCCUUUAGCAGUUGUGUGGAACAUGACAUUAGCAGCGAUGGAUGGUUCCAUGCUAUUCCAUAACCACACCAGAAGUGUAUCAUUCUCUCUCAUCCAACCAUUAUAGUCUCUAGAAUUUUCAUCAGGAGGGUCUCUGGUAAGAUAAUGAAGUUUCCCUUUGGCAUUAAUAUAGACCUUCACAGCUUGGGCCCAUAACAAGUAAUUGGAGGAUCCAUUUAAUUUAAUAGUGGUAAUUUGAACGUUGACACUAUUUGUAGAAGCCUUAGUAUCACUCAUGAUGAUAAUCUCAAUAUAAGUAUAUCUACCACUAAUCAAGGAGGCUGAAACUUUAGUGCAAGUAACAAAGCAGCAACGCUAAUGUAUAAUCAGAUGUAAUUGGCUUCAUCAAUUAACCAAAGGGAUGCUGAAAACUCAUAAAUAGAGACUGCUGUAUAGAAGAAAAUAUCUGACUAGAAAUCUCGAUUCAAAUAAUUAUAUGUUUGACGGAAAACCAGCAAGACUAGUCAACCAUAAUCAAUAGAAUAUUCUGAUUCUUGAAUCCGCUGAUCAGCAAGUGUUGUAAUCCAUGUUCAUAAACCGAACCUGAUGAAUCCGAUAUCUUCUGAUCUCAUAUGUAUCGAGACUUGAAGAGAAAACAGAUAAAAAUUGCAGCUUUAGGUGGCUACGCACCAGAGAAGAAGUAGAGUUACUAGGGGACUCUCAAACCAGCAAUAUGAUUAAGUAAUCAGAUAGUUAGACCUACUCUGAUACCAUGUCACAAAACUGAUUAGAGAACCCGCAGCAAGUAGAAAGAGAGAAAGAAGGAAGAGAGAAGGAGGAGAAAGAGAACGUAAAAGAAAGAAAGAGAGGGCUGUAGUUUUUCUGUAAUCAGAAACCCUACACCCAUUGUAUUUAUAUUGAAUAUAAAUUGUAUAUAACAAUAAUAUCCUUAUGUAAGUAAAAAAGGAAAUAAAACUCUGAUAAUAAAGGAAACUCAAUUAAAGUAACUUAACAGUAUGUACUCUCUUUUUUCAGCUUAUAAAUUAUGACUGUCUUGUUUGUUUUUCUUCUUAACAAAGCAGGGUAGUAUGUAGGACUCAUCACGUUAUAAUUUACUUCAUGAUGAGUUUUUCAUAUCAAUUCCAAAGUUUAAGGCACAUAAUGAUGUUUAUUAUACUCUCUCUCUCUCUCUCUCUCUCUCUCUCUCACACACACACACACACACACACACACACACACACACACACACACACACACACACACACACACACUAUGUAUGUCUACUAAUGCGUAUAAUUAUUAGUGACUAGCUCAAGGACAGCCACGGUUGAACAUAUUAAUGUGAGAUGAAAAUGAUUUGAUUCCACCUGCUUCUCUAAUGACUAAUCAUACUAUGUAUGUCUACUAAUGCGUAUAAUUAUUAGUGACUAGCUCAAGGACAGCCACGGUUGAACAUAUUAAUGUGAGAUGAAAAUGAUUUGAUUCCACCUGCUUCUCUAAUGACUAAUCAUACUCGUAACAGUUUUCAUGUAAUCGGAAUCUUCCCUUUAUUGUAGGUAUGGCUAUAUAACAUAGGCUUUGGUAGUUAUCAGGUUGAGAAAGUUUGUGAUACCUCAGGAGAAGAUGCAUCAUGCAGCAAGUGAUGAGCUAGUUUCAGUCGAAGCUACUUGUUCAAACAAUUAUUUUGUGGAUUUAUCAUGCAAAAUGCAAUAAGCCGUGAUGGACCAGCUUGUCCUAGAGAAUGUCCUUUGUUACUAGGAAUAUUUGUGGACAACUGAUCAGGGUAUUUUCCUGCAGAUUGGUAACCGGUAACAGCAUUGUGGACCAUUUAGUCUCUCUAUAGUGUGCAAUUAAUGGCUAAAACAUGAGAAUCAUGCAAAAUCGUCACGGACACUAUUGACGAAAUGUGGAGGCGAAGAUGUCAAAGGAAAUCUUAUGCUUUCCAGGAAUCCUUUUGUUUCUGCAUUGAGGCCGCAUUCAGACUCUGAUGCCAAGAGGAAAUUCAGUUGAAAUGCUCCUGGGUCAGUACCUGGAUUCUCAAAGAUCAUCAGGGACCUUUGUGAUGAAGUUUGGUCACAAAAUGCAUUCCAUCGAUCUGUUGUCCAUAUCCAUCACAAGAUACAGAGGAGCUCUACUCUAAUUUACUCUGAAUGUAAAUAGCACAAAGUUGAAGGUAUCAUCCUUGUAAAUACAACUCCAUGGUUUCAAUUGAAUAAAUAUGUUCGCAAGUUUGCCUGUCAAUCUGUUAUUGGGCUUGGGGCUUUGUUACCUGACUUGAUGUGUGGAUGCUGAGCUGAGCUACAUUCAUAGUUGAAUGACGCAGCUAUUUUCCCUUGGUUUAAUGUGUUGAAGAAAUCCUUGAAACUGUAAACAGAAAAGACAAUCGCCAGAGAUGACCAAAAGCUAGUUUGCUAGACAUGGUUAUACUGUUUCGAUAGGAUAUUGCAGCGUAAUUUCACUGUGACAAAGUCAACGAUGCCUGGUGUACACCGUCCAUUCGUUUCCAAUGUACAGCCAAACAGCAGUGUGGUUUUGUGCUCUUCAGUAUCUAAUGCAUAAUGUAAGGUUCAUCAGUGAUUUCGUGGAUGAUUCCGACAAUUUGUUUUCAAUAAUCUAACCGCAGCGAUUGAGAGUCCACUGGGGAAGAAUGGACACAAAACAUCAGAUCCCUAUCCGAAAUUAGGACGGGCACAUGCCCACAUUGUCAGGCAUAUCGGAGAUAAAGAUGUCCACUGUUAAUGAUUGUUCAAAUAAGUUUUAGCACUAGGCUCCAAACUCAUCAUAGAGUACAAUUUAGGAAAAAAAAAGAAUGGCUCCUCAUAUCUAAGCACGAAAAUUGGUUCUUUAUGUGCUGCGACGCUCUCAAAAUUUUCUCUGUCAAGGACUUGCGGACAUCGUGAGACCAUUAGUCUAUAGGAAUUUCAAGCUCAGAAUAAAAUACUGAUACACUGCUAUACAUUUGAUAUGUCAAAACAAAAAAUAAAGCGCCAAUAUUGUGGUCAUUAUUUCAAGUUUAGCUCAACCGCAUUUGAACAAGUAUAUUUGUUCUAAGUCCUUUAAAAUCUAACUCUGCGACUCUAUCAUUAUGAUUUGACAUGUGAUUCAAGGUCCUCUUGUUUUCAACUUCUACUUCUGAUGAGUGUAAAACCACAAGGCGAUAGCAACAAGGGGAGUGAUAUGUAGGAACAACGAUCAUCUCUCCAACCCCAAUGCGCACAUAAAAAAUCCCAUAAAUCACAUCCAGUAGCUCCAACCCUUGAGUCUGUUCUCUGUUUGACAAUUUUUGGUGUCAAGAACCGAACUACAUCACUGUAAUUUUACGUAACUAAGGUAUAAAAGCUGCUUAAGAUUAGUUAUGGGAUUCUCGCGAUGCUGCUUCUUCGAUUCAGUUGCUCUUUGCUACUUCUCCGGUUGCUAAAUGAGCCACAAUUUCCUGCAAAGAAACAUAGUUCCAUUAACUUUGUUAAGAGUUAACCAUCUCAAUCAGAAAACCAGCUCAAAAAGUCCGUCUGAGAUGUUUGUACCUCUUGGUCUCAACGUCAAUGUUUAAUGCGUAGUAAAUGUAUCAAAAUCAAUGGAAAAGAAUGGGUUGUGUAGAUUAGCGUGAAUAUAAUCCACGUCAAGACAUAUGUCUGCGAACCUGUACAUGUGAUCUUAUGAUCCCGAAUACAUGUAUCUAUUAUUCUAACUCAGCAGUUAAAUUCUCGGAAGAGUCAUUCAAGUACAUCAUCAGGAGCAGAGUCAUUUUCCUUCUUCCCCAAUUCCUCUUCCUUUUCCAGUCCAGUUGGAUUCUUCUCUUCCACCACCACUUUAUCUUACUCGCCCUCCUUCACACGUUCAUGCCGAGGCAAGUUGUACUCGGAGGAGAGGCCCUCAGACACGAUCCCUUCCGGCACUUCCUCGUCUCUUCUGGGAGAGAAGUAAUGAUCCGGCGAGUCGUGGGAUGUGAACCUCCCUGGCUCUGCCUCUUCCUCUUCUACUAGCGGUUCUGUCUCCGGCUCUAGCUCCUGCUCCAGCUCAAUCUCCUUUUCUUCCUCUACACGCUUCUCUUCCUCUCUGUCUUCAUCCUCGGCCUUUGUUUCUUCUUCUUCUUCGUUCUCUUCUUCUUGUUCAGACUCGGGAUGUUCAGUUAUGUCCUUAACAUCAGCCGCAUUUUCUGUAUCCUGGCUCACCGCAUUAUUGAUUUCUUGUUGCACGAGUAAUGCCGCACCUCUCCCAAUUGCUUCCAUCUAAAUAACGUUCUGUUCCACUUGUUUGUUCUUCUCGGGAUUGGCGCUCGAAACUCCUACUUUUGACUCCCCGCAACCCAUUGUCAUAAAAAGGAACGUCAAUCGAGAGGAAUUUGAUUGGGGUAUUGAUUCUCUCUGCCUUUGUGCAUCAGAUUGAAAUGAAGUUUCGGCUUUUGUCUUCUUUGCCCGUUGCAGUUUUGAUUUGCUGAAGCGGGUUGUAUCCGUGGUUGACAAAACGACAGAUCGUUUCUUGUUAUCGGUGGGGUUUUCCUUUCUUUGUCUUUUUUUUUUUUUUCAACCCAACCUUAGUUCAAUGAAAAACAUACUUUACAAUUAACAUAUGAUGCAUCCAAGCAAAAUUCAAUAUUGAAAAGACCGAAUUAUUCCCACUCAAAAACUUGUUUAAAUCUCUUGCUCCAUGUUUGAGUGAUUUAAUUUUCAGUUGGUUUUAAGUGCUUUUGAUAGGUAAGAAUUUAGGAUUUGUGAAUUGACAUUUUUCGAGAGAUAAUGACAUUCUUUUAUAAAAAGAAACACAAGGCUAAUAGAUGUAAAAAUGUAGAAAAUGAUAUAUAUAUAUAUAUUUAUAUUUUUUAACAUCAAUCGGCCUCAUGAACCAAAAUUCAUAUGGUCGUCAAACAUGGAAUUGCUUACACUUAAUCACGUUGAAAAUUGAACUUAGCCAAUUUUUCAAAUUCACAUAUAAAUUAUUUUCUGAACCACUAAAUCAAAAUAGACAAAGAGUAAAUAUGUUAGAAAGUGAAAUAUCAUAAAAAGAUGAAUUAUAAUAAUGUUAACAAAUUAACAAUCCAAAUAUUACUAAUUAAUCCCACAAAUGGUUUACUUCACCAAAUGGAAUUUAAAUUUCUCUCGAGUUGCCAUAAUUUAUUUUUUCCUUAGGCUAAAUAAUAAGCAUCUCCAAACAUAUAUCCUCUCUACAUAUAUUACGCCAUCUUCUUCCAUCUUGAGAGUGUCGUUUGCAAAAGUUCUUUUAAUUGUUCCACACCGUAAGUGGCCAUGGACGCCGCCACAGGAGAACAUCAAACUUCAGUAGUUAUCAGUUCGAGCUGUUUCUAGUAAUUACGCUCUUCAUAAUUUUCAAGAAAAAUAAAUCUAAUCAAACUGCAGUUCCAUGGUGUAACUCAUUUUAGGAGAUUGCAGCAAUUAAUUGUCACUGGGAGUACAUGAUUUAAUCAGAACCUAUGUCUGUAAAUCCUUACUUAGGCUAAGAAAUUGAAUUGCAUGGUUCACUUAAUCCGUGAUGAUAGAGACUAAGGGUUGACAAAAUUGUAGGUAAGAAGGCCUUGUGGGAGCAUAAUGUCUAUUGAUUGACCCCUACAAUUGGCUCUGCAAACCAUCUUUUGGUAAUGAUGAAGUGUAUCUAUAUCAGGCAAUUCUUUUUUCCAUUUGUUUUAUUUACACUAUUCUUCUGCUAACUUGGGGUAUUGCAAUGCAGCAAUAUGCUAAAGAGCACAAAGAUGCUAACCUCAUGCAGGAAGUUAUGAAGCUUUUGAAGAAGAAUAACUUGCCAUUGCAACCCACCACGGCCGAUAUUGUUUUCAGGUUCACUUCGGUGCUGUUUCUCCUGAGAAGGAUGUUAUUAUCAUGUAGUAAGCCAUUAUUGCACUUAAUUGUGUGUUAUGUACUGCAUAGUUAUCAAGCAAUUUAUCCAAUUUAUAAGUGUCAUUUAUAUACGAUUUAAUCAACUUGUUUUUAUUUUGAAUUAUUUUGUCUGCACUGCUACUCUCGAUCUAAUAGUUUGCUCAUGUUAUUUGACAUCCUUUCUUUCCAUGGAAAAAUUUUGCAGCAUUUGUGAUGAUACAGACAAUUGGGUGUUGCUCACAAAGUAUUCAAAGAGAUUUGUCAAAAUUGGAGUGAAUUUGCAUAAAGCUGCAUUUGACAUCUGGAUGGAGUUUGCUGCAAAAGUAGGUGAGAAACACUAGCUCUGUCUCCCUUCGCUGCUCUCAAGCCCUUGUCCCUCAACAAUCUUAUUUUCCAUUUCUUCCCACAAAUAGUUUUCUCAUCCACGUCCCGCCACUUACUACAAAAGAUGGGAUGUGCUAGAAUAUUUUCUUCUGUACGGUGAUUUCUUUCUCUCCUUAAACAAAAGGGUAGAAAUAAGAAAUAAAAAGAAUUUUCGCUGCGCCAUGUCUUUCAAUGUCUUUGUUUCUUUAAUUGUUCUGAGAUUAUGCUUCUUUAUCCUAUUUAGUGGUUUGACGAAAAUUACCCUUUUCAGGAGAUUUGAAUCUCUAUGGAAAACUGAGAAGUUAAGAUGUGAGUCCAUGAAGCAGCACACCCUGGGCAGUGGAUUCUCAUGUGCGAAGGUAGUUUACAAAGGCAGACUGUUGAAAUCACAAAUAUCAGACCCUGAAAGCACUAAGUCUUCUUGCAUUAGAAAAUCUGAUAAUGGGAAAAUAUUAAUAUUGCAAUACAGAUCAGUACAAAGUUCUUGGUAAACCAGGUGAGAGGUCUAUGGCCGAAAAAAGCGAGAGUUAAUGAUUGAAUAAACCAAAUUUUGGCUCACAUCCUAGGACAUGAAACACCUAUGGGCAUGAGAAUGCUUAUUGUCACAACACAAAGGAGAUAAUAACUACUUUUUCGGUAUUUGGAAGCAUUUAUUGUGGCUUUUAGCACUCUGGUUUAAUAUUAAAAUUUAACCGACUGUCAUUUGCUUGUUUUGUGGCAAGCUAAAUGGUUUUAUAACCAAUUUUUUGUGCAGGGAUCUUUACUUGAAGGCAAACCUGAGGAGGCUGCGACAGUCAUUCAUGUCUUGAAUCAGGUCCUCCUUGCUUCUCCGAGCAUCUAUAGCUAUUAUUAAUAUGCUCAUCAUCACCAUCUGGCAUGAUUGCAAUCCUAAAUUACCUCAGCCUCUGAAUUAGUCUUCAAUUUUCCAUAUACUGUCAAGGAAUAAAGCAAUUAGUGGAAAAUAUACAGAAUUGUCCCCCAAAAUGUGCUCAGAUAAAAUUACCAUGACAUAUCCUCUCUCGAGGGGGACUGAGUGAUUUGGGUUUCAUAUUUGGUGCAUGCUAUACUAUUAAAAUAACACGGCUUAGUUCCAUGGAUCCUAAUAGAGUUCGAAAGAUCAUCUCAGACUCCUCCUGAAUUGAAUAAAGUUGGAAAUUCACCUAUGUAGGCUCUGUUUGUUCAGAUGUUGCUUCUUAGGUCUCACAAUGUGAAUGCCUUGGAUUGAUGCGAGAGUUUACCUGAUGCUAAGAGGUCCAGCAUUGUGGUUGAACUUCAAAAGCUUGUCAGUGAGUGGGUUUUCGAGGUCAUCAAAUGGAAGAAAGAAGAUGACCGCAAGGUACUUCCUUUGACUAAAUAUCCAUCACUUUGGGUAGAAGUAGAAACGUUGCUUGUUUGCAGUUAUAUAUUGCUCUGGUAAUGUUUUCUCAAUCGUUCCCUUUGCUGGAUGUAUAUAUGCUGCAUUGAACUAUCUCAAAAUUUUUAAAACCUCUCAUUCUUUUCGCUCAUGUAGGCAUUGGCUGCUUCUUUCAAAUCCAAUAUCCCGGCCAUGGUUAGUUUCCCUAUCAAACACGGGCUUGGAGGUGAAAGUGAAUAUGGAACAACUAACCACCAAAGGCGCCCUUUGUUAAAGUAUGACAGAAUUGGAGAUUAAAUGCACUAGCUGCAGAUCUGUCUCCUAUGUGGACCGCUAAGGUUGCCAUUUUAAUUUAAACCGAUUCCGCUGAGAAGCAAGACAAGCGUGGUACUCACGUCUCGAGCAACAAGCAUCUGAAGUUCUCUUGUGAAGGUCCCUGAACCAUGAAAAGAUCUGCUCCUUCUUGAUUUGAAUGUUGUCACUUCUGUACUCUGGAAUAAUGAUUCUUUUCUUUCCCCAAAAAAUCUGAGUGUAUUAGAUACGAUAGGUGCAUCGUCAGCAAUUGAAUUCUGAGAACAACCUCGGAUGACUAGUUUUUGCAGAGAGGAUUCUUUUGGCUCACGCAUUUUAGAUUGGACCAAAUGGGCAGUUAAGAGAGACAAUUGAUAAGGUGGUCCUUUCAAUUUCAAUCUGAUUUGGCAGCCUAUUUUGUUAUAUUUCUGACACAAUUUCGCUGUCCAAAAUUAAGAGUGAAUUUAAUGCCGACUCAUUUGAUGUUGGCAUACAGCGACCGCCAUGGCUUCCUGAUUUAAUCGGAUCGAACCGUCCAAUCGUGGUGCCAAAGUGCAUAACAUAAAUUACAUCCCCUUUUACGUCAUGAAAGAAAACGAAAACCUGAAUUACCAGAAAUGGCUUCGGUACCCACAUGCGUGGGUGGGUGGGUGGGUGGGUGCGUGCAUUUUGUGCAUUUUGUGCAUUUAAGGCGUAAAAGAGGCGACAAAUGCAAUCCUCUAGAAUGAAAACAUGCGCAAAUUUUAACAAUGAAUUGACAUAAUUGUAAUAGAUAUGAGACUUUUUUGGUAAUAUAGGACCAAAUUUGAAUUCAUACAAUAAGCUUACGACUGAAUUUGCGAUUCUCCUAGCUCAACACCUUAAGCAGUAAUUAAGCUCUUCAUAUGUUCACCUGCCAUAACCUAAAAAAAGUCAAGCAUGAUCAUGGUGAAAGAAAAGGUCCAAAGAAUCCUUCCCUUGGAAGCAAACAAUCGAAUCAUUCUUGUUGCCUAAAAGAAUCGAGCAUGAGCUUUGUUUACCCAACUCAACUGCAUAGACACGGAGAAGAGGCUUCAGAUAUAAGAACUUAACAGGGUACAUCACAAGAGCAGGAUCUGAUGAAAUGUAACAUCGUACAUUUUCUUUGAAGAUAUGGAAAUGAAUAUUCAAAGCCCAAGAUUAAUCCUGGGAAAAAUGGAAAAGUAUGGAACAACAAACUUUGAUUUGCAUCACAUGAAGCAAAGAACCACGUGAUAAGUGAAUUCAAGCAUCCUGUGGAAUUCUAUUGACACUGGCAGCUUCUACUGAUUCCUGUUCUGCCACAACUAUAGUCCUGGAAGGCCGCUUGUUAGGAGUCAUUUGGAGGCAUUGUAAAGCAAGCUGUGCUAUUUGGAAUGCAGAAUCUGUAUAUGUAAGGUAUAGGGAUGGUAUAAAUUUGGUUCCCAUUUCCUGCAGGUCGCAACAUUGUGAGCGACCAGCUUCUUCUAAAAUAUCCAGUGUUUCUUUUUCAGUAAUUGGAGCAUCUGCAGAAAAUGAAAAGUUAUGUGGGCAAUACAACUGUACAUUUUAUGCCAAAGGAUUCAAGUAGCUAAAAGGAAAACACACCUUGUAUUUCAUAGAGGGGAUUAUAGUGAACCUCACACCAGAAACACAACCAAAACUCUGCAUCAAUUGAAAGUAAGGUUAACAAAAGGAAAAACUCAAAAAACAUGGAGUUUCAAAAGACCAGUUGCACAUUGAACAAAAGCAACAGUAGAUCAAUUGCAAAUGUUUACACCUAGGUUUAAAAUCAAUCAAAUAUAUAUUGAGCCAUACCCAAGCAGCUGUUCUAAGCAAGCGAAAGAACAAAUAUUUAAGUUCCCCAGAUGAACAACAAGCAAAGCAUCACAAAGGAGGAUCUAUGCGUAUAUGUAUGUGAGCAACACUCUUUUUUCCAAGACAAACGAGAAGUAAAAUAUCAACUUCACAUUCAUCACAUUGCACGGACUGAUCAUUUGACCCAACAAAACAACUAUGAAGAAGACUAGCAAGCAAUACCCUAGGCAGAGGGAACUUAUAAAUCCAAUGGCCCAACAAUAAUCAAGCUAUCAAUAUAAGUAUCAUCAAGAGGUUAUAGACCUCCUUCAGGCUCUCCAACAUCAACCAAAUAAGCAUUGAACAUCAAUGACUCACCGGAACAAAUAACUUCAUCAUUCUUCAAAAUUCUGCAUUCUGACAGCUGCUUGCUGCCAUCAUAGGGCAUUACCUAUCAUAUAUCCGACCAUCAAUCACAGCAUGGACUAAUCUACUCCAAACAAGCUCAAUCACGGAGAGCAUUACAACCAAAAGCACAGAACAGAACAAUAUGUGAUAUAGAAAAAAUGAAACCCUAGGCAGCAUCGAGCUGCUGCCAUUAAGUUCAAUGCUGCUGCCAUUAAGUUCGAUCGAGCAAGCUAAAUGAGGGAAAACUGAUGCAGCCCGCAUUGAAGAACAACUCUCUCGACCAAGAAGAUCGGCCCGCAUUCAAGCUCGACGAAACCGAGAAGCCGUAACAAUAUCUUGAGUCCAUUUUGGAAGCUUGAAAUACACCUUGGGAGCUCGCGUGACGUGCAGAGUGAGAGGCAGCUGUCACAAUAGACCAUGCGUUUCAGCUUUCCAUGCUCUUUACUAUUUCGUGACAUUCCAGCACACGCAGACUCAAGCACGUAACUCAUUUCAUCAAACACCAAAAGUGCACACUGGACAGCCAAACACUGGACAGGCAAAUCUAGAUGGUUCACACUCACACGAAGCAUAAUUCAGCACACUAAUUACAAACACGAUCCAAAAGCAGUUCAGGAUUGAAAAAGAAAACAAGAGCACAACACCGAUCCGCUCCUAGAACUUACAUUGCCGGCUCAAAAUGCAGGCGUUGAGUCUAUCACAGAGCUGAAAGCUCUAACGUAUUCAUCCGUGGGAUUUUGUUGAGUCUGGAUAUUCUGUAUAAGGGCAACAAGGAUGGUGAUGCCAGACUUCUGUCCCUCAAGAUUCCGUUUGAUGCGAUGUUCAUUUUCCUUAAUCAAAACUCCAGAGUUAGAGCUUAAGCUGGCAGACUUGAAAUCCAUAUCCUUGGUGCAAUUUCUCCCUCUUUACCCAACCUUGAUUGAGGAUGAGGACCACAAUACCAAUGUGUGCGCAGAAGCUCUCCCUGAUGCUCAUAGAGUUCAACUUGACUAAAAUUUCUGAGAUUCUACACCCAAAGACAGUCAGCCACUGCUUCAGAUUUUCACUUGGUGAUUUGUCCUGUGCAAAGGUGAAUGAUGUUGAGCUGCGCAUGGCUCUGGCAUCAGCUCCGAAUAUGGAUCCCAAGUUGCUUUCUCAGCUGAAAGUAGCAUGGCGGAUUGGAAAUCUUUUGGAGAUUGUACAUGGGAAGAAUUUGGAAGAUUUUCUCAAAUUGAUGCUUGGCUUGUGCAAAGCUCUUCUUUUAUGAUCACCAGGUUCUACGAAAUUUUUCACGUACAUGGAAGAGCCAACACUACCUGAUGAAAGUUCUUCUGAGGUGGCAAGUAGCAUAUGACAUAUAAUGGACUUUGGUGGCAGUGCCAGUGUUUUCCUGGAAUUGAGUGGGUCUAAUGACAGAAACAAUGCCGAUAUUGCUUCUGAAUGAACAGUUCUAUUUCUGAAGGCGGCCUCCAGGGAAGGUGCUCUCUUUUUCUCAGCGAUCUUUUGUAAGUGAGUGCAAUUCUCGAGUCUCAGCGAGACACCCUCCUUCUCUACUGGUACCAACGAAUGCUGCAUUCUCUCAGUUACAACUGUAGGAGAUGUUUGCUGCACAGAAUGAAAUUAUGAUUGAAGGCAUCGUGGCUGAGAUAAGAUAUUCUGGUGCUGCUGCUUUAGCCAGUGCUGCCACACUGGUAAUCUCGGAAUUGCGGUGGGUCCCUCAUUUAUGACUUCUCCAUAACAUUUACAAUUCCCACUAAGAAGCACACCUUUCCUGAAAUGAAAAAUAAACUUAACUUAAGCAUAGCAAUAGAGUGCCUGUCUACUUCAAAGUCGCAAUAAUGAGUUGAUUGUGCUGUAAAGUCCCAGGAUGAGAACAAUAGUCAUAUGACCUUCCAGCAAACAUUCCAUCUAUUUGUUUACAUCAUAACAAAGUUAUCUCCAAUGCAAAACGAGGUUAUCAAUUUCGAAAUAUAUGAAGAAGGAAAUCGACAAGGAUCUCUAAUAACUUGGUACAUAUCAAAUAAAAACGAUGCAAUCGACAUGCAUAUCUCUAGGAGAAAUCAUCCUAAGAAAAUGUAGCUAAAAAAGUCAAAUCAAACUAGGAAAAGAACACAAAUACUCGUACAUAAUUAAGAGCCCUCUGGCUGUUUAGAGGUAUCAUAAUUUCAAUGCUUCAUUAGAUUUUCAGACAAGAAUCCGCUAAAAGGUCAUUAAAAAGUGCAUGCGAAACUUCUCUGUUUAUAUUUGCGAAAGAAUUUGAUUGCGAAAAAAAGGAAAACGUUGGUACUUACCUCAAUUUGUUUAAAGUUUGAUCACAAGGUUAGAAUUUGUCUUCUUCCACAAAUUCGUUUCUUCAUCGUCUUCUCCCACAAAUUUGAUUGACUUCUCCAAGCAAAGCCGAGAAAUUUCCUCCACCGCUAAUUUCCCACAAAGUCUUAUUGUAACCUCUCGCAGUCCCUUCAAACUUGAUAGAUCAGGCAACUUCUGUAAAGAUUCACAGGAUUCAAUAUCCAAGUAUUCCAAAGAUUGAGGUAGUUCGCCUUGAAUCUCAAUCAGAUUAUGACAAGAUUCUAUUGUAAGAAGUGUUAGUUUGUUCCAAUUGCUUAGAUCAGGGAUUUGCAUCAGUUUAAAGCCACGAAGCAGCAACUCAUGUCCACCUGUACAUUUAAACAUCUGAUUGCGAAUAUGCACAUAAACAUAUGUCUUACCCAUUAAGCUGAACAGAUUGGGGAACUCCCGUAACGAAUUGCAGGAAUCAAUUGUAAGAUAAUCCAAAAACCGCGGUAGUUCGCCUUGAAUCUCAACCAAAUUACCACAACAGGAUACUCGAAUAUACCUUAGCUUGUUUAACUUGCUUAGAUCAGGUAGCAUUGCCAGCCGUCUGACUUUGUCAAUGUGCAAAUGUCGUAAGUUCUCCAAACAACCAAGGCCUUGAAUCUCUGCAACUGCAGAGCACAAAAUCGAGAGAGACGAUAGUUUCCUCAAAUUCGAUAGAUCCAUCGAGCAAAGUGAGUCGCAACCAAAGAGACUUAAGGAGGAUAAAUUUGAGGGAAGCCUCGGGAGGCGACGCGGAUGAGGAGGGAGGCUCAGGUCUGUCGAAGAGUCAAAUGAGUCAAAUGAGUCAAAUGAGUAGAAUGAAUCGAAUGAGUCGAAUAAGCCGUAUAAGUCGGUCUCCCCUAAAAAGAGUAGUUCCAUGGAUUCCAAUUUGCUUAAAUUCCCAAUCCACAGCGGUAUCGGUUCUUCCAGAAGCCUAUAAGAUUUCCCAGCACAAUUAGGUGAGCAAAAGAACAGAUACAAUACCUUUAAGUUAGCGAGAUUUGAGAGAUCCAGAAACGUGUCCACCCUCAACUGCCCCAGUUCUAAUUCGAUGAGACUUUCAGGAAGCCUUGGUAGGGCGUGUAUUCUCACCCCUCUCAAUCUCAAGAUCCUCAAGGAUUUAUUCUCGUAGAUGCAAUCACCAAUUUUCAAGUGUAAACACUUGUUAUGAUAAUCCUUGCAGACGACUUCUAUUUUUUCAAGCUUCUCCAUCAUCCAAAAGGCAUCGUGUAUUUUGCUUAUGACACUUAUCUUCAUCUUCACUACUUUCAAAUUCUUCAACUUUUUGAUGGAAUCGGGUAGUUCUUUGAUGUUCGUGUAACUUAUGUUCAACUCAAUCAGCGAUUCCAAAUUCCCGAUUGUCUCCGGAAGCCUCUUCAAACUCCGGCAUCUUUCUAGAGAUAGGUAUUUGAGGCUUGCAAGAUCUCUACACAGCUCAUCCGGCAGCCUCUGAAGUCUGCUACAAUUGCUUACAUCUAAGAAAACCAAGCGUUUCAACUGACAAAUUAAUCUAUCAAUUUCAAUUAACGAUUUAGAACCCGAUAGGAUCAAACAUUCUAAUUUUGAAUGAGCAGAUAAGUCGGGGGUUAUCUCCAAGAGUAGGCAAUGGGCUAGAUCUAGAACUUUCAAAUUCUUAAUCACCUGUAAAAGAAAAAUCAUGCAAAGCUUAUUUUUGAAUCUAAUAAGGCAAAAGGAUAAGUAUUGUCUAGCAUAUAACAAACCUUCAUGUGACUCCACCCUUUCCAAUCAUGCGUAAUUUUACUCCAAGAUAGAUCAAGAAUAAUCACAUUCUCCAUGGAGAAAUUUGUAAUCGCAAAUGUUGGCUGAAUAUUAUGCCAAGAAAACCAUUGUAAUCGUGGAAGGAGAUUUGAAUUCUUCUGGAAUACAUUAGUUGAAAGAAUAUCUAACGGCCUUGUGUGCCAAAAAUGCUCAACUUCAAGGAACGUUAGAUUGGGUAGGUUCUUGAAGUCCUCAUAGGUAAAAUGAUGCUGAUCGUCAAACUUGAGAUGAAGAGCUUCAACUUUUUUCUUCAUCUGUCAAAGAGAAAAAUUUGAAAAACAAAAGAGUUGAAGAGAAACACAUUUAUCCAAGUUCACUGUUUUAAGGGGUUGAGUUGAGUACUUAUAUUCCUUUAAUCUUAAAAGAGCAAAAAUAUUGGUUGAGUAGGUUGUGACGGUGCUAGAGAACACAAAAAUAAUUCCCUCCUUUUGAAAAGAAAAUGUCCAUAAGUAACUUGGAGAUUUAUUUUUAUAGGGAAAUUUACCUCAUGGCUCUUCAGCAGAUCCAAUCCUUCCUUGGGAUUCCACACACAACGUUGCUUCUCAAUUUUCAUCUUACUUUCUUGACGAACUAUUUCUCUUCCGAGGUCUCUAAGUUGAUCAUGCAUCCACAAUUUAUUCUGUUCAUCAAUUUUUAUCAAAGACAUGUUCUGCAAAACUUCCAAGGUUGCUUCUGGAAAAAGUUUAGAUGCAUCCCAAAAAAUAACUACAAUGUCUUUGCGAUAUCCAAUGAAAUGACAAGCUAUAUCAAGGAAUAUAUGCUUUUGUCGAGAAUCUAAUGCAUCAUAACUUAUUUUCAGCUUAUUUUGAACUUUAUCAUGAGGAACACUUUCUAACAAGUUCAAUGUGGCAUCCCACAUUUCCUUAACUUUGCUGGAUAAAAGUGAACCUAUGACUUCAAGGGCUAAUGGAAGACCUCCAGCAAUGUAUAUCGCUCUGUUGGUAUGGUUGAUGUACUCGUCUAAAGGAGAAUCUCUUCUAAAGGCAUGUUUGCUAAAAAGUUGAAGAGAUUGAUGGGCAUCCAUGCUCGUAAGCUCAUACAUCCAGUCCACUUCCGGAACAUGGAGAACAUCUUUCCUUCUCGUAGUAAUAAUAAGUUUGCUUCCUUCACCAAACCAAUCAUGCUUGCCUACAAGUGCAUCCAUAUGAUCCUUUUCUUCCACAUCAUCAAGAAGAAUGAGGGCUUUGUGAGUAGGGAACCUAUCUUUAAUGGUCUUAAUCCCUGCAUCAAUGUUUCUUAUAUCCACCCAUUUCAUCUUGAGGAUGUCGCAGAUGAGCUGCUGCUGCAAGUACUCAAUGCCCUUGAGCUUUGACGUUUCACGGAUGUUGGAAAGGAAGCAACAAUUGUUGUACUUGUUGGAAAGCUUAUUGAAGAUGAUUUUGGCAAUUGUUGUCUUUCCAAUGCCACCCAUCCCAUGAAUUCCUACAAUCCGCGUUUCACUUAUGUGAGCACCUAUCUCUUCCAUGAUUUUACCCACAUGGUGGUCCAUAUUGAUCAAGUUGUUUGAUACCACCAAAUAAGCCUUUUUCAACUCAUUGAAAACCUCCUGGGUAACUGUUUUCGCGAUCUCACCUUCUUCCCUAAUGUUUGUUGGAGGUCAAAUGGCAAUGAGUAAGAAAAUUGUCUUGAAUCAAACUAUGUUUCAACAAGAACAAAGUGAAAACUGAAGACCUAAGUGAAAUGUAUUAUAUAAGGAUUUACUCCAGUGUAGAUGAAUUAGCAUCGAUACACAUGAUUAUUGAAUGACCUAAACUAGGAAAGAAAAAAAAAAAGGUUGUUUGGUUAUGUGAUUUUUAUAGUAUAAUUUCAAUAGCAUAAAAUUCAAUUUCAACAAAACUAACACGAAUCUAGAAAAUAAACCAAUUGAACCACAUCAAGUUUCAAUGAUACAAGGCACAUCAAAGGAAUGAUAGAGGCAAUCACCUGUUGGGGAUGCUUUGCAAGUCCCAUCCAUCUAGUUCCCCAACUGCAUUGAGAGCAGCCUUCCACUCAUGUAUAGUCGCUUCAUCAUAUCGCUUCUUGUUUUCAUGUGAAAGAAAGGCCUCUUCAUAACACUUAGUUUGGUGUCGAACCUCUGAAGGUUCCACAUCAUAAAAAAUUGGCAUAAUCUUUUGUCCCCUAAUUUUUUGGCACUUGACCAUUUGGACUAGCUCCUUGAGACACCAUGCACUAGAGGCAUAACCCUUUGAAAAUAUAGGUAUUGAGAUCUUUGAUUCACUAAUUACUCGGAGAAGUUCUGGGCCAAAAUUUUCCCCCUUGCGAAGCUCUUUGUCAUCCUUAUAGACGCGUAUUCCUGCAUCUAUCAUACUAGUGUAAAGGAAGCUAGUAAAACCUCUUCGAGUAUCUUUUCCUCUGAAACUCAAGAAUACUUCAUAUUCAUAUCCUGAUGAAUUAACCAUUCCCUGACCUUCUGUCGUAGUGUGAGUAAAAGAAGCGCUCACUGCUAUUCCAUCAUUUUUACAGGUACGUUGUUUUUUUGCACUCCUCUCCAUUGAUUUCACUCGAUCUGAUCUUCAAGAAAUACCAAACAGUAUAUCAGCAAAAGCAGUGGCAGCUAGAGAUGGAAAAUGUUUAGAAGCCUAACUCGUAAAUAUUGAAGAUCUCUGUAGGUCAUUAAACUUAGUAGCCGGGAUAAGCUAAAUAUGCAGAGUGUCAUGGGCUAGUUUGCUACAAUUGUUUAAUAAGAAUAAUUCAUUGUAGCAUCACUCUCACUUGUCAAAGUUGACAAUGCAUGUGAACAUAGGAGUAUUAAAUCUCAAGGGGCGUUUUAACACCUUAAGGAGUUUUAAAUCUCCUGGGGAGAACGUUGACAUAGCACAAUACAAAGUUUUCAUUUUAAAUAAAAUGGCUCGCUCUUCUCAAAUCUUGAGAACAUAAAUUAUUCCCUAGGAGUUCUAAAUCCUAAGGGGAGAACAUGAACAUGCUCUCAUUUGACAUAACACAAUGCAAGGCAUUCUUUUUAAAAAGAAAAUUUCCACACUUCUCGAAUUUCUACAACAUGAAUUGUUUCUUCUUAAUGUCACUUUUGCAAAUAUGACCACCACUCUCUCUAGAAUAAAUCAAAAUAUUAACCAGAGUUAUUCAUGUGGUGGGAUAGUUGUAGUUUGAAAUCUUACACGUUUCCAAAAUUCCAUUAACCAAAAAUGGAGUUUCAUUUCAUGCAUGCUAGAGUUAAAGAACCAAUUAUAAACUUAAAGUAUAACUGGUAAGUACAAAUUGACCAAUAACUUGUGAGUCUGGGCAAUUGUUAGAAAGUCACUAAAAAAAAUAGUUUUUUUCACCCUCAAACCAAAUAGUGGAUUACCAUUUUUUUCUUUUAGAUUUUACAAAUGGGUUAGUAUUUUUUCUUGUAGAAUAUGAAUGCUUACAUAGUUUAUUAAUAGUCUUGAUUGAUGUUCCAACUUACAAACAAACUAACUAUUUUUACCCCUCUAAUAUCCAAGUAUGGUGUUAACAUUGUUUCGAAUUUAUGAGUAGCAAUGUUCAUUUGUAUAUACCAUGUGAACAAAAUAACAGAUUUACCAUGUGGAAAAUACUCUUGUAACUUAUGAGCAAUUGUGUGCCUUUAUAAGUAGGCAAGUAUUUUUGGUAGUAAAUUACGAGUUGAUUGCAUGCUUUGUUAGUAGUUUCGGUUAACAGCCGUAACUUACAAACAAAUAAGUAUUCUACAAGUAUAAAUCCUUACUAUAUUAUUAACCUUGUUUCGAUAUUAUGAGUUGCAAUUUUAUUGUUAGUAACAUGUUGACAAAACAAUUGAUUUACCUACUUGAAAUAUUCUUGCAGGUUACGAAUAGUCGUUUGCUUUUACAAGUGGCUGUGUUCUUCCUCUAGUAGAUUACAAGUUCCUUACAUAUUUUUUCCUAGCGACACCAGUUUAUAUUUGUAACUUCAUAAUAAAAAAACCUAAAUUUUUAGUAGAUUAUUAACAUUGUUUCGACGUGUAUUUCUCAGUAACAUACAAACAUAUUUUAUGCAAUUGUAUGAAUGCCGGAUGAUUGUGUGUAUUUGUUUACUAGUGAUAUUGAUGAUUAUUUGUAUUGAUGAAGCGUUCUACCUGUUUACAUGGUCAACUAUAAGACAUUGAUUAGAAGCUCCGAGAUGACUAAAUAUGCCACACGAGACGACAUGUUGGUACUGUUUUGAAAUGAUGUUGCAACGUGAUUGGAUAUUGACAAAGUUAACGAUAUAUAAUGUUUGGAACUUAUAUAAUAUACAACCAAAUAAUAGUAUGGUUCUGUGUUAUUCAGCAUCUAAUGCAUAAUACAAGGUUCAAUAGCAACUUCGUAGAUGCUUCCGAUAUAAUUAGUUUGUUUGAUAAUCUAAUCGUGGUGGUCAAGAGUUUGCUCUAUCUAGGGAAGAGUGGACAUAGAGUAUUAGCUUCCUUUAUAAUUACUCUAUAAAAUUAGGAGAGGCGCAUGCCAUCAUUGUUAGGCAUCUCAAAAUUAAAGAUGUCCACACUGAAUGAUUCUGGUAUUGGCACUAGGCUCCAACUUAAUAGACUACAAUUAUGAAAAGAAGAAGAAGAAGAUUCUUCUCAUAUCUAAGCUCGAAAAAUUGUUCUGUUUGAUAUUGGUCCUAGAGAUGUGCCCCUCCACUUUCCAAUAUACUAACAGUGUCGAAAUUUUUUCUGCCAUGGACUUGCAGACAUUGUGAGACCGUUAGUCUAUAGGAAUUCCAAGUUGAAAAUAAAAUACCGAUAUACUACUAUUCAUUUGAUGUGUUAAAAUAAAAACUAAAUGCCAAUAUUGCAGCCAUUACUUCAAGUAUAGCUCAACGUUCAAAUUGGAUUGGAACAAGGGUAUGAGUCUAAGUACUUUAAAUCUAGUCUCCAUGGCUCUGCGCCUCUGCCUCUAUGAUUUGAUCAGCUUAUGUGAUUCAAGGGUCCUGUUGCUCUCAACUUCAUCUUAAGAUAAAGUGUAAAACCAAUUGAUGAUAAGAGUUGGCAAUUUACUGACCACAUGGAUAAAAUUUCAAAAGAGUUGGUUAACUACUUCAUUAAUAUAUUGAUAUAUUUUUUAAUAGUGCUGGUAAGUUAAUAUCAAAGGAGUUAGUAAUAUAUUAAUUCAUUAAAAUGUUGUUAAAUUCUCGUAUGUGCCGGCAAUUCAUCUAUGAUUUUGGUAAUAAGAGUUGGUAAUUAACCACUUGACUCGUAUGUCAGUAAAUUCUUGAUAAUGCUGGUAAUUUAUUUAACACGUUUUGAGAGUGGGUAAUUUAAUACUUCCAUGUAGUGUUUGUAAAUUCUUGACUGUGUCGGUAAUCUACUUACCACACUCAUAAAAUUUUGUAGGAGUCGGUAAUUUACUACUUUGUUGGUAUGUUGUUAAAUUUCUAAUGUUGCUGGGACUUUACUUACUAGCACAGACCAAAAUUUUCAAGUGAGUUAAUUUACUAAUGUCGUUAAAAUUUUGAUAAUCUUGUAAUUUACUAAAUUUCUUAAGAAAUGGUAAUUUACGAAUAUUUUGUUAGUCAGCAACCAUAAGGUUUGAAGCUUGAAGUACACUGGCGAAUGGUGGAAUAGCGGAGAUGAGAGCUAGAGCUCAAGAUCAGGAUGGAGUAAUUACAAAAGGCCAAGGUAGUCUCCAAUCAGACUAUUGCUGCAGUACUGUGGAAUAUUUGGAAGUCAGGAAACCAGGCCAUCUUUAGGAAUAAAAAACCAGAACCAAGCAACCUUGUGGAGCCUGCUUUAGCUGGGUUGAAGAGUUUCAACAGAUGGAACCCAAAAUCGAGCGAAUCUAGUAAGACCAGCAAAGGGUCGUCAAGAUUUUGGAACCCACCGCAGGCUGGAACACUAAAGAUAAACAUACACGGUGGCUACGAACCUGAAGCUACUAGAGGCUCGAUCGCUUGCGUCUGUCGUGAUUUCGUGGGGAGGUUGGUGGACGGAGUGGUGCGAGCAGUAGCGGCGCCUUCUGCGUUCGGGGUUGAGGCUCUUGCCCUCUUAUAGAAGCCUCCACUCUCUCUGUAUACUCUAAGAAAAGAAGCCCUUGUUCUUGAGUCUCGCAGCUUAGACUUGGUCAAGGCUGUGGAAAGUUCAGACAGGCUCACGUGCGAAGCUCGUGCUAUUAUUCCGUUGUGCAAAGAUUUAUUAUUAUCCUUUUCAAGUAUCCAGAUCAUGUUCAAAAAAAAAAAAGAAAAGUAUCCAGAUCAGCCAUUGGCUUAGAGAGGCUAACUCAGUUGUGGACUGAGUUGCUAAAACCCACGAGAGAAAGCCCAUUUAUCGAACCUUUCAAUCUUUUUCUGCUUAAUGAAACAAAAAAAAAUAAAAAUAAAAAUUCAGUCUCCAAUCUCAAGGAGCGAACGUGCAAGUGUUCGGUCACGCUUCACAGCGCACGAUGGCCCCCCCGGCGGUAGAAUACCUUUAUUUGAUGGUGAUAACAUUCAACUGCAACUUUAUAAAAGCGUCGGAAAGAAUACUCUCUCGAAAUCGGAAAAGGCCACCGUCCUUCAUCUGACAAUUCCUAAACAAUGUUCACGCUCCACUAGCUUUGAGGAAUGAAAAAGAAAAAAGUAGAAUUAGCAACAUUUCACGUGCUAUGAUGGUCCCCAUGACUAGCCAAGCUCAUACGCUUCGAUAAAAGGUUGUCUCUUCUCACAUCUCGGGAACAAAAAUUGCCCCUCUCUAAGUUUGGCUCUGAAGAUUUGGCCCUCAGCUCCCCUUUUUGAGUUUAUAAUUAAAUUGCCGAUGCACACCUCUACACACUAUUUUAUUUAAUAGUCAAAACAAUGUACAUGUUAUCUAGCACAACAAUUUGAUGGUGAAAUAUAAUAGAAAUUAAUGAGAGAUAAAUUUAUUAUAAGUGUACCAGUUUAAAAUUUUUAAUAAUUAAAAAAAUAAUUAAAAAUAAAUUUAUCGUAAAUAUAUCAAUUUGAGUUUUUCACGAUAACAAUCAUUUUCUAAUUAAUUGGCUUCUGCUUUUCUUUUCUUUUUUGAACAACUAAUUGGCUUCUGCUUCACCAGGCACGAUAUCAUCACUCCCCCAUGCGAACACCAACGGCUGACAGCUUGCUCUUUGUAAUAUUAUGCAAUAAUGUAAUAUUAUGUUAGUGGGCCCCAAAAGAAGAAACUGAAAAAGAAACUGAAAAGUCAGUAAAACAAAAAGGAGAGGGGAGAGGGCUCGGCUAAAUAGAAGCUGAGAGUUCCCUCACCAAAAAAGAAAAGAAAGAAAAGACGAAGAAGAGGAAGGAGAAGAGAAAAAGGGAAAAAAGGAAAGGAAUUUUGGCAUGUGCACGUCUCGGAUGCCUCGCCAAGCUGACUCGACUCCAUAACACAGCACCCGGUAAGAGAUCAAGCCCCUUGUUUGUCCGAUUGAAGUAAUUUUUGGAUUUAGGACUUAAAUUCGAAAAUUUUGGAAAACUGAGCGGCGAAGUCUAAUUUUGGAGUCGUUGAGCCGCGUAUUUUUGCAAGAAUGGUAAUUUAGGGUGUUGUGGAGCCGUGGGAUUUUACGGAUCGUGAUUUGAACUUAUGGUUUGUCCAAAACAGAAUUUCAAAGUUUCCCACGCGCAGUGAACAGUACGCGUCCAGCAGCUUUGGGCCCGUAUUUUGUCAUUUUUCGGCUUGAUUUUGGGAUGGCCAAGUCGGAAUUCUUGUGAUAUGUUUCAAGGGCUCUCUAUUGAAUAUAAGUACGUUCGGAUCGGAGUUCAGAAGAGAAAGUUAAGGCGCAAUCAAGUUUUGCACUUAAAUUUCGUGUUGCGAAUGGCUUGAACAAUCGCUUUGGUUAUGCGAUUUGUUAGCGCGUAGAAGUCCUUUUGUUAGAGUUAAGGCGUAAUUUAGUUGUUUCGAAGUAGAGACAGUGUUUUAUUAGAUUUUAACAUUUUUCUCGGUUAUUUGAUAGGACCUUGAAUUCGACGAUACGAGUAUCGUUCGUCGUUUGGUCAUCGACGACGAGGUGAGUGGUACUAUAUCUUCUUUGGUUUUAUAAAAUCAUGUCUUGAAGUAUAUAUAUGUAUAUAUAUGUAUAAUAUUGAAUUGAGAAGGGCAUUUUUAUUGCAUAAAAGCUAGAUCGAGCAAUUGCUACUCUUUGGUUGAUUGUGAAUCUUUGAAAAGCACAUUAUACAAGGUUUGUGGAGAAACAUAUAUGAAAUUGCUUUGCGACUGAUUUAUAAAAAGGUUUAUGAUGAUUUGAGAAACGGAUAUGAAAUGGAUGAUGGGCUAUGUUGCAAAAUGUUAUUUGUUUGGUUUGAGAUAUUGAUUUUUGGAUUGGAUUUCUGGUAUUGGAGAAUGGUUAUUUAUGCUCAAUAUGACUGUGAAUCCAGUGAUGGGUUUUUGGGGUAUGCAUACCAAGUUUAGGAUAUCCUUCUGGGCCUAGCCACCGGCUUUGUAGGUGGAGACCUUGCCAAGGGGGGAAUCUUGGUCGCCUUGUCACAAGGCGUUGUGUUGUGACCAUGGUUAGUUAUUGAGCAAAAGAUUGAUCAAUGGAUAGACCAUUGAUAUGUGUUUUUGAUGGAGAUUAUUCGAUGGAUUCGACCAUUGAUACUUGACUUUUGAUGGCAAUUCAAAUGAGUUUUUCGUAUUAGUAUAAAUUUUUGAUGAUAAGAAAUAACUUUUAUAUGAUUCGAUAUGUAUUUUAUAUAUUGAAUUGGUGUUAUGAAAUUUGGUAUUGUUUUGUAUACAUGCAUAGUGGUUGUUCGAUCUGCUUAGAAGAUAUGUACUACUCACUGAGCUGUGGUUGCUCAUCCCAUUCCUCCUUUAAUCUUUUCAGGUUCCUCAGCUAGCGGCGAAUAGAGCGAGUGCGUAGUCGGUGGGAACUUUUGGGGAGUUCUAUUUUGUUUUUGGUAUGGUUAAAGGAAGUGGUGCAAAUAAUACUUACUAGUAGUUGGAUCGUUUAAGUUUUAAACGUAUAUCUUAUUCUCUUUUGGUGGAUUAUAGAAACUCUGAUGUUGCAACCAAUUUGUUGGUUCAUCUAAUAUAUAUAUAUAUGGUUUGAGAUAUAUAUAAGUUAAUAUCAGUUUGUUGGUUGUAUUUGAGGCUGCGUCCUGUGAAAAGAAGGACGGCCGUGUCAUUCCCAUUCUUUGUGGUUUUGGGGUGUGACACUCUUCAUCCGAAUUGCGACCCCUGUCCUUGUCCUCUGCUCCUCCAUCCCUCCCCUUUCAUUCUCUGGAAUCUGUAGAUCAUCAAUUACAUGUGUCUUACGCUUUUGCCAAAAUGCCCAAAUGCUCUCAUGGCGAGGAAUUCUUUUGCCUUUUAUGGAUUGAUUUUAAUGAUAAAUAGGGUUGAGGGCCUUUCUCCUGCUAAAAAAAUCGAGCGAGUUAACUAAGUCGAGCCCCUAUGCCGCGGCCAUAUGCAACCAUGGCCGUGCGAGGCCAGCAACCCCUGUCUAUCGCGACUUCCACUGGACAUAGGUUGUGAGCUCCAUGCGGAGAAAAAAAGAGACCAAGGGAUAGCAAACAGGUCAAACUGGUGUGGAGUUAAUGUUGUCGGUGGAUUCACGCGCGAAGGUGAGGGCUUGUGAUGGCAAUGGGUGGGCGACAGUGAGCGGCGAUUCUGUAAAAAUCCUAAGCUAUAUUAAUUACUAAUUAUUCCAAUUUUUUUUUUCAUCAUAAAAAAUCGAAACUUGUCUCAGAAAUCCAAAAGUACUUUCCAUUGGAUGUUUACUUACGCACCGCUUUUCAUUAUUUUGAGUGUAAAUUUCUCUUCUAAAUUAUGUUAGGAUUAGUCUAGACAUUAAAAAAAAAACUACAAAAACAUUUGCAUGGACACUUAGUGGUUUCAUAAAGAUUAUAAUUGGUAAUCAAGAUUGUAUGGCCAUUUAGAUAAACAGCCUUCCAAGUUAGUGGUACCGCAAGGGCGCUAAUAGAAACAUUGGCGUAAACAAGUCCCCGUUCCUAGAAAUCUCUGGUUGCGUAUGAAUCGAGACAACACUCCCGUGUCUUGAUUGGUUUCCAGCCGACCUCAAUAGGCUAGUGGCGACUCCUAGAAUUACAUAAGUUGUUAAUAACUAAAAAACGAAUCCAACAUCGCGCGGGGUAUGGGCUUGGGAGAGCCCGCGCCUAAUCUAGGGCCAUUGGUCCACCUCUUUACGCAAAUACCCCUAAACCUUCUUCUUUUUCCCCGGACGGAAAAUUUGGAGGUCAUGACAGCUUGGCGACUCCACUGGGGACUUGGUUGCAAACCUUAGAAGACUUAGGCCGUAAUAACUUGGUUGGUUGUUCACUAACAUGGUCUUCAUUUGAUAGCGCGUGUCAAAGUCGCGUGGAAAACAAGGUUAGCCCGCUAACAAUGUGUUAAAUGUUUUUGUAGGUUUGGAGUAAUAAGGGGUGGAGUGUUUGUUAACCCAUCUCUUUUGUAGGGAGGCGUAGGAAUGUAUGCCGAUAUGGAUGAAAUUGAAGUGUUGUUUGGAUAUCAAUUGAUGUGCGUGCCUUUAUACUUAUCUUAGUACUACACAUUUACACACACAGCUUGCGAUCUAAAACCCCGAUCGCACUAGGAAGCCCAUAUGAGGUGCCAAAAGAUGGAACCCGUGCGGGGAAUGACCCAUGGUUAUCCACUUUUGGUCCCGCUCAUUUUGAUUAAUGAUAAAGAGAACUGUCCGACGUAAGCGCGGAGUGGGGAAAACUCUUUUGAUCUAAUCAAAAUGGGGACCUUAAGCCUUUAGAACUCCACCUUUAUGUGUCAAACCUCACAAGUUUGCAUCCGCAUGUCUAUGUGACUUAGAAAAAAAAAGGGUCUCUUCACCCACUGUAAGUAUGAUUUCUCCAUCUACUUGCUCACUUCGGAUUGAAAUUUUUAUUUAUUGGAGAUUCGCGGAAAUCAAUGGAAUGCCCUUGAAAAUAUAGGCUUGGCACUCACUUUUGAUAAAUAAGCAUUUCAAAUACCUAUGAUCUACUAAACAUAUGUUUUUGUUAAAUUUUCAAUUAUGAACUUAAAGUCACAUUUUGUAUAGAAAUUCUUCCAAAUCAAGAUUACAUUUUGGGGCAUAGAAUUAAAAUCAAAUUUUCAAUAAAACUCUUUGUUGGUCACAUUUCAAAAUUAAAAUUCAAAUCCCAUGUUGUAUAUUGAUUUUUCAAAAUAAAAAUCACCUCACCUUUGCAUGAGUGAAACCACAAAUUAAUUUUUUAAAAUCAAUGCCCCAUUUGUGUAUGAAACUUUUGGAACAAAGUGGGCAUUCAAUUGAUAGUCACGGAUCUAUCUUUUAAUGAAAUCUCCUCUUACUAAUAAAAUCUUGACGAAAUACCAAACUCUCGUAAGUGGAUACUACGGAGAAGGUAUCGUCGCCUUGAUUUCAUUGUAAGAGGCGGCUUUAUUGAAAGAUCAAUUUUUCAUUCAUAUAUUGACAUUAUCUUCCUUUCGCAGGUCAUGCGUGACAACCAUUCCUUAAAGCUAGGACGAGAAUUGUGCUUAUUAUGCUCCUCUAUGAAAGAGCUUCUUGUACUUUAUCCUUGUCAUUAUUCCUAUUAGGAAACGUGUUUUGCGUUUUGGGUUUUGAUUGUGGACCUAAUCAAAUGCCUCUGUAAAUCAUACAACUCACAUUUUCUAAUAAUGAAAUUAGAGUUCAUAAAAGUUAUACCCUUUAAAACACUUGAAGUGUUUCAAACGAACCCUCUGGGCUGAGUUUUAUGCCUUAGCUUCAAAAUGUGUGAAAAUAAGUUUCAAGAACUUGCGUAAUACUUUAUCUCUUCACUUAAUCGCUUUUGCAGGUUGAUCCGUAGAACGAUGCUUUGAGGGGGUAAGGUUGUAAUCGUUCCAAUAGGGAUUUCUUGCGCAACAACUAACUCAGUCAUCCAUUUUUGUGAAGCAGGCAAGAUGACGGUUUUGUUCAAGAUUGACAAAAGUGCGGGCCUUUCCCUAAUAGAGCGAGUCAUGAGAUGCACCAAUUCAUGCUCAUUUAUGGGCAUAGUUGGUUGAGCCAUGAACUACUUGAAUAUUUUCGCAACAUAUGAAUUCAAACAUUGUAAUUAAGUGUGAAAAGAAUCAUCAAGGCCUCGAAGAUCACAAAUCUACUGGUCUAAUGAAGUUCCACAUGCUGGACGACCUCAUAUUAAUUUGACAUUCUUCGUGGAAGAAGAAAUUUGUAGACAUUCUUUGGCAACAAACUACUUCGUUGGUUGCGAACAAGAAGCAUUUGCAAUCCCUACACUUCCAACGGUUUCUUGGCAUCCAAUCCUGUAUGGAGAUGAUUAUUGGUGGUAUGCAAGACAACACUUCGAGAUGUAGAUGUACACAAGCAAGAAUCGGUCAUCAAAUGUUGCAUUCAAAUAAAAGGUGGUAAUCGUUUCAAGUUAAAUUCGAUUUAUUUUAUGAAUGACUUGUCCUUCAACUUGGCGCAGAUUUUAGUGAGGCAAAUUACUGGCAAGCAACAAGAUUACAUGGGGAGGACAACCUGGUCCAGAAUCACACGAUCUCUAAAAGAAAAGGGUGUGUUCGUUCCAAAAGUCAGAACAACUCAUUCAUAAACUAACAUAGCCACCCAUGCUUACAGAUUGUGAAAUGGGAAAUGCAUUGAUGCAGCAAAAAUGGCGAAAAAUCACCUAGCCUAAAAGGGGUACGCGGGAAACCAAGUAAAGCAUGAAGGAUUCAAAUGAAAUGAAGAUUCAUCAAUCCAACAUAAUGAAGCUGAAAUUUUAAUUGGGGCAGAUGGCCAUAAAAUGGAUCGGGGGCAUGCAAUGCCUGAGUCACCCGACUUCUAAAAGGGGAAAAUUUCAAAUGGAAUAGACAUUUGCCAAGUGAAUCACUGUCAAUCAUGAAAGCAAAUCCCUCUUCAUAGCCAAGGAAACGAGAUGGAACGCAGUCAUCAUAUAUGCCGUAAAAGGGAGUAUACCGUUCCUAAAAUGAAUCAUGUCGAGUAUGAAAAUAACAUAUUCGUCUCUUUUUCCUUGCAGUUGAUGAAUGGGGCAAAUCACUUACAGCAGAGCAAUUUUGACCCAUGAGCAAGAUGAAACAUAGUCAAUUGAUUCAGCACGAAAAGGGAGUAUCGUUUCUAAAUUAGUCCAAUUCAAUUUUGGAAUAUAAGUACCAUGCCCUAUCUCUUGUAGGAAAAGGUGCACAUUGACCGUUGGAGCAACACCUUAUACCAAGAAGGCAUGUUAAGGCCUAACCAUCCAUUUUGAUGGAAUAAAUGGAGUAAAAUAUCCACGGAGCAAUGCCCUCACAUGUCGAAACAAUGAGUACCCCUCUCCUUUCAUCUUUGACGCCCACUUAGAAUGAGUGAAUUCGAUAACAUCUUUGAAAGGAAGACCUUCAAGGAAAUGUUAACACCUGAGGAGCAAAAGCACAUGAAGAGGAAACACAAGAUAUUUAAAGUCAGCUGCAGGAGAAGGGUAAUUCGGUAUUGUUUCCAAAAUGCCCCUCUCUAACUUCAUUAUUUGACGUAGUUCCCUUGUUUGACAGGAAUCGUCGGUAUUCGGGGAACAAGCUCGAGAAAUUGAUUUAAGCAUAAUUCAUAUCAACCAAGCAAGCAUGUGGAGCCAACACAUGACAAAGUCACCUAAGUUGGCUUAAAAUAUGUGUCGUUCUAGAGCCGGUUCAAUUAAAUAAAAAAAGAAGCGCCUUAUGGACACUACCAGCGCUUUGGCCUGGUGGUAUGGGGAAUGAAGUGGGUCUGAGAGGUACGGGGUUCGAUCCCUGGAAACAGCAACAAGGUUGCCAUGUAAAUAAUAAUAAUAAAUAAAUAAAUAAAAACUUUUGCAUCUCUUAUUUUUGCAAAAAGAGGAAAAUGCUUGAACUAAUGAGACCAAAGAUCUGAGAUUCUCUUCAAGCCUUAAAAUAGUACAUUCAUUCCGUUGUUUGCCGCCAAAUGGUGAAACUAACCAAGGGUAAUGUUGUAUCGUUUCCAAUUUUACGAUCCCUGAGGAUUCAUGUACUAACACAUUCCCUUUUGUUCUUCGUAGGGUCGCUUGACUACUAAGGCACAGGUAAGUACCCUUCUUCUCAAAAUCAAAUGGAAAAUAAAUGGGGAAUUUCCAUCACAAAAAAAGAACAUCUACUGUUUUUCUAGAAGCAAGCACAAAAAAAAAAAUGGAAAUUGAAGAAAAAAAAUUUCCACAAAGUUUGCAAAAAUCUUCUUUAUCAUUAAAUUGUUCAUCCACUUGAUGGAUCACUCAUUUCGAAUCAAAAUUCCCUAGGGAGAUUAAUCCAUCCAAAUGUUCUCAACAAAAAUGAAAGGGAUGUUACUCAUGCCAAGCAAGAAACAUUUAGAAUGAGGAAAGACAACCCAUUUCCAAACAUGUCCUUUAAACACUCUGGGAUUCGAGCGAAAAAGAAAACCUGUGUCAUUCAAGGUCAUCGAAUUCAUUCGCAAGCGGUACAUAGACCAAUAUGAUAAGAGGCAUUUCUUUCCUCUAUCAUACACACUACAGGUGACAAUAGUUAGCCCAUUUGAGCCUUUUAAUGUGAAGAAUUUUCUACAAAAUACCCCUGUCAAGAACCACCCCACGAUGGGGCAAUUAUGGAGAUUUGGGUUGACAUUAUUUGGAGAGAAAAGAUGAGAAAGGUUUCUUUACUCUCACUUGCAUAAAUCUUUUCUAUGGUAACUUCAGGUGAAUUCUUAUGGAAGCUUGAAGCAUCCCAAGGUAAAGAAGAGCAUUCUUUUCUCUACCCAAACACCGAUACCCUUUGCUUAAACCAUAUUGAGCCUAACUAUUCAUUUCUAAAACCCGAGUGGUGAUUAUCUCCCCACAUUGGGGCAGGGCACAUGAUUUACCAAUGCAAUUGGUGUUUAUAUGAGAAUAUGAAAAGCAUCUUGAAAGUCCCAAGAGCUCAAAAAGUUUGAAAGAACAAAAGUCAAGUGAAAAUUAAGGGGCAUGAAAAAGCAGUGUGCCUGGUAAAAGCAAGGCCAAUGCCCACAAAAAAGGGAGAGAGAGUGGAAGAAAAACAAUUGCAUCAAGAGGAAUAUCUCUGUGAAAGCAAAAAUGGCAAAAAAAAAUGCAUGCAUUGAAAAGAAAAUCAUUGCAAAUGCAAAAGCCAUUAUGUUAAGAUGAUUAGUCAAAGGACUUUCAAGACAAUUUGAAUUCUAAACAUUGAGUGCUUUAAAAAAUGGAUGAUAUGGUAAUGAUGCCAUGAUAAUCACCAACUCCCAAAUCCCCCUUUGACAAAAAAGUUCUAAGCCUUUUGAGCUAAGCCUUUUGAACCUUUCCCCGAAACAACAUUACAACCCAUUUCCAAAGUCUCUUCAGAUUGGGAUGAUUUGAAGUGGAAAUAAGGACUUCCUAAAGAAGAUGCCGCUCGAAGAAGUGAGAGUAAGGUUGUCUUAUCUCAUCUUAAGGUUUCUUGACUUGUAAACCUGGCGGAGAUGUCGAUCAGUGAUUAAUUCAUUUCAUAGCCAAUGAUGCUUAUCCAUUGCUAAAACCAUGACCAAACCUGCACUACGGUCCUUCUAAAAGACCUCUUUGAUUGGUCAAUGUGUACUUAUUGCGAAUGAUUCAAAGCCUUGCGCACUGGAAGAGUGAGGUUGAGUGAUCAGUUUAUUUCCCACAUGAACAGAUUGGGAUCAAAUAACCAUUUUCUUGAGGAUAUGCGAGAAGCCCUUUCUGACUAGGGAUCCUUGCUUGGCAUACUUAACAAACCUUUCUCAUAAGUCGGGGUCAUUUCGACAAGGACUUUUCUCCCAAGAGAAUUUGACGAUUAAUGGUAUCAUCCGAGCGUGAUGACAGUUUUGCGAGUUUGUCAAGUUGUCGGAAUUAGUUUGAUUUGUUUAUGCAAUCAUUGUCUUCUCAUUACCGAUACACUUUUGAUAUUGUUUCUAAUGACAUAUGUUGAAAUUGACCUCAUCUAGUAUGCUUUCGCUACUAGAACACUUGUUAUAAUGAAUACUAUUUGAUGUGCACCAUUUCAGAAUAUUCUCGAAUGACAGGUUCCUCCAGUGAAACCACACAAUUUCAAAGGGUUCAUGGGUUAGCCUUAAACCAUGCACUUUCAAGAGUUCUUGGUUACCUUUAAACCUUGCAAUUCUAAAGAGUUCAUGGGUUAGCUUUAAACCAUGCAUUUUCAAAGGGUUCUUGGUUAUCCUUAAACCAUGCAAUUUUCAAGGGUUCUUGGAUGAGCCUUAAACCAUGCAUUUUCAAAAGGUUCUUGGUUAUCCUUAAACCUGGCAAUUUCAAAGGGUUUAUGAGUUAUCCUUAAACCAUGCAUUUUCAAAGGGUUCUUGGUUAUCCUUAAACCAUGCAAUUUUCAAGGGUUCUUGGAUUAGCCUUAAACCAUGCAUUUUCAAAAGGUUCUUGGUUAUCCUUAAACCUGGCAAUUUCAAAGGGUUUAUGAGUUAUCCUUAAACCAUGCAUUUUCAAGAGGUUCUUGGUUAUCCUUAAACCAUGCAAUUUUCAAGGGUUCAUGGGUUAGCCUUAAACCAUGCACUUUCAAAAGUUCUUGGUUACCUUUAAACCUUGCAAUUCUAAAGAGUUCAUGGGUUAGCUUUAAACCAUGCAUUUUCAAGAGGUUCUUGGUUAUCCUUAAACCAAGCAAUUCUAAAGGGUUCUUGGAUUAGCCUUAAACCAUGCAUUUUCAAAAGGUUCUUGGUUAUCCUUAAACCUGGCAAUUUCAAAGGGUUUAUGAGUUAUCCUUAAACCAUGCUUUUUCAAGAGGUUCUUGGUUAUCCUUAAACCAUGCAAUUCUAAAGGGUUCUUGGAUUAGCCUUAAACCAUGCAUUUUCAAAAGGUUCUUGGUUAUCCUUAAACCUGGCAAUUUCAAAGGGUUCAUGGGUUAGCCUUAAACCAUGUAUUUUCAAGAGGUUCUUGGUUAUCCUUAAACCAUGCAAUUCUAAAGGGUUCUUGGAUUAGCCUUAAACCAUACAUUUUCAAGAGGUUCUUGGUCAUCCUAAAACCAUAUAACUUACGUGGUUAGUGGGACUGCCUUAAACCACACGGUUAGUGGGACUACCUUAAACCACACGGUUAGUGGGACUACCUUAAACCACACGGUUAGUGGAACUACCUUAAACCACACGGUUAGUGGGUUUACCUUAAACCACACGGUUAGUGGAACUGCCUUAAACCACAAGGUUAGUGGGUUUACCUUAAACCACACGGUUGGUGGGACUACCUUAAACCACACGGUUAGUGGACUGCCUUAAACCACAAGGUUAGUGGGACUGCCUUAAACCACACGGUUCGUGGGAAUGCCUUAAACCACAAGGUUAGUGGGACUGCCUUAAACCACAAGGUUAGUGGAAUUGCCUUAAACCACACGGUUUGUGGGAAUGCCUUAAACCACAAGGUUAGUGGGACUGCCUUAAACCACAAGGUUAGUGGGACUGCCUUAAACCACAUGGUUUGUGGGACUGCAUUAAACCACAAGGUUAGUGGGUUUGCCUUAAACCACACGGUUAGUGGGACUGCCUUAAACCACAAGGUUCGUGGGACUGCCUUAAACCACACGGUUAGUGGAACUGCCUUAAACCACAAGGUUCGUGGGUAUAUCCUUAAACCACACCUUUCAAAUUGUUCACAAGUACAUCCCUAGAUCACACUCUUUACAUUAAGCUUACUUGCAUUUUCAUUUUACUAUUGUAAAAAAAACAAAAAAACUAAAAAAAAAAACUAAAAAAUUAGGUGUCACAUUGUCUUUGAAAGAAAUCUCUUUGAGAUUUCUUCUAAAGAGGGGCAGCUGUUGACACCUAAAUUUUUGCCAAAAAAUAUUUCAUGUUAAAUUCUUGCAUAUAGAUUAUUUAGGCAUUUUAAUAUAGUGUUUUAAAUGGAAUAUGUUUUUACUUUAAAAGAAAAUUGAAAAAAAAAGAUUAAAAAAAAGAAAAGAAAAAAAAGUUGGGGCCAAUGAUCUAAAUGUGACUAGCCAAGCCAAGGAGGUUAGAUUGGAAUUCAAAUGGUAAGUUUGGGCCAAAAUGCAAUUUCCAAAAGUUGAGGGACCAAUUUGCAAAUUUUGCAAAAUUUGCGCCCAAGCCCGUAAAUCAUAAUCUUGGUCACCAAUUAAGUUGAAAUUGAAUUUGGGCCAACUCGAAUCAAUCAAAUUGAGCGAAAAGGACCAAAUUUGCCUUGAGUUGGGUAUUUUCGGAUAAGAAAAUGGCUAAGUUUGAGGGACUUUCUUGCAAAAUUGGGUGAGCUGGGUCAGUGGACAGGCUUGGUAGGUGGACAAAAGGCCGACCAAAAAUUCUCUAAUUGGGGGGGAUAACAUUACGGAAGGGAGGUCUUUCGAGGGAGUGGAGAGAGGAGACGAGAGGGAGAGGAGAGAGCUUGGAAUCGUCCCCCAAAGAGGCCCUCAGAAGCAACUCUAGAAAAGCAAAACCCAGAAAUUCCAGACCGACCUGAAGAGAGAAAAGUGAGAUUUUCACACACCUGUGGCCAAAAUUAGCCAAACCCUUCAACUAGAGAGUGAAAAUUCAUUCAAAGAUCUUUCCAACCAUAGGUCGCAAGUCCCAAAUGGAGAUCGGGAAGGCCUCCUAAAGCCCCCCGAAAACAGUGCCCUCCUGGCAGGCCAAGAAAGUCCGAAAUUUUUCUAAGUGUUGAGCCUGAUUGUUCAUGAGUGAGGAAAAACGAGUGCUUUUGAGAAACUUGAGAGACAAUUGAGGAAAGCCAUGACUUACAAGCCAAACGAUAAUAUAUAUAGUUUUGGUUGAUUUGAACUUCGUCAACAAGGAAGGUUUGGAAAUCUAAUUUUGGAAGUUAACGAAAACCUUCGUUGUCACCUUUUCUUCUGCAGAUCUCACUUUCAGCUCGAAGGAACCAGUUUCCACGUGCUUCCAGAGGACAAUUUCGUGGUUUCCUUGGCCAACAGUCACUUGAAAAAGGAACUAGGAAGCAAGAUUUGCAAAACGGCUCCAACCCGCAUAUUGAAGGCCGUUUUCAGUUUGAUUCUUGCGUGUUCUAGGCUGUAAUUUCUAGUCAAAUACGUUCUUUGCAUGUAGUAGUAUAUCCUUGAUACUUUACAUUCACAUGAGAUUGCUUAUGGGUUGAGAUUGAAGGCCACGAACAUGACCCGAAUAAGCCGUUUUGGAGUGAUUUGAUGCAAGCCAAGUGUUCGACAAAAUGCUCAAACUAAGCUUCGAUCUUGAAACGGUCGAUUUGAGCUUGAUUAUUGUGAUAUUCAUGUGCUGUGUUACUCCAUGUUAGCAUAGAUCGGUUUAAGGAAUUAUUUUUUUUUUUAAAAUAAUUAAAAAAAGAGAAAAAUAUGAAAAUUUCAAAAAUAUCAAAAAAUGUUAGAUAGCAUCAAAUUAGGAUAUAAAUGACAUAUAUGAAAUUUUCCUAAUUUUAAAAUGUCAUUUUCCUAAUUUAAUGCUAUUUUGGUAUUUUAUAACCAUUUUUGUAAAUAAUCCAUUUUGUGUAGAUUAAAACUAUUUAAAGUAAUUUCAUGCAUAUAGAGUAAUUUCAUGCAUAUUUGAACUCUCAUUUUGCUCAUGGGGGUCCUGUCCCGGGGUGUGAUAACAAGGCCAUGUAAUAUUAUUUGCCCGACUUGUAUCGGGUUUACCUUUUCCGCGUUUAUUUUCAAGUCAUUUCAAUUUCUUGGAUGUUUACUUACGCGCCGCUUUUCAUUAUUUUGAGUGUAAAUUUCUCUUCUAAAUUAUGUUAGGAUUAGUCUAGACAUUAAAAAAAAAAACUAAAAAAACAUUUGCAUGGACACUUAGUGGUUUCAUAAAGAUUAUAAUUGGUAAUCAAGAUUGUAUGGCCAUUUAGAUAAACAGCCUUCCAAGUUAGUGGUACCGUAAGGGCGCUAAUAGAAACAUUGGCGUAAACAAGUCCCCGUUCCUAGAAAUCUCUGGUUGCGUAUGAAUCGAGACAACACUCCCGUGUCUUGAUUGAUUUCUAGCCGACCUCAAUAGGCUAGUGGCGACUCCUAGAAUUACAUAAGUUGUUAAUAACUAAAAAACGAAUCCAACGUCGAGUGGGGUAUGGGCUUGGGAGAGCCCGCGCCUAAUCUAGGGCCAUUGGUCCACCUCUUUACGCAAAUACCCCUAAACCUUCUUCUUUUUCCCCGGACGGAAAAUUUGGAGGUCGUGACAUCUUGUUACUAAUACUAUAAGUAAACUUGAAUCAGUGACUCGCAAAUAUUAUGCGUCAUAGUUCCAUCCAAGACGGCCGUUAAAAAUCCAACAUGACCACUUGCUUGGACAUCAAUAGGCAAAUGGAGCCAAUGUAAAUUUGACGUGAUUUUAGUAUGGUCUAAAAUGACUUUAGAGAAACAAAUUGGACAUGCUUUUACCAAUGUGGAGUAUACAUCUUCUUAAUGUCACAAUUUUACGAUGGUUACUGUCAUAGAGGUGAUGCCAUAAGUGCUGAGAUACUUUCAUGCAGAUUGUAACAACUACUUUUUCGUAUACGAAAUAAUGAAGUUAACGUUCUCCUAGGUGAAGAGUGGGCAUCAACCAAUUUCAAACACAGUAAAGACAAAACAGCAAUUUAUAAGGUAUCUCAGAUAAUUCACCACAUAAUAAAUUGACAAAAUAAUGCACUUGGAAUUUAUAUAAUUUGACCUGACCUCACUAGGAAAGUUAAUUAGCAAUUCAAAGCCACUGAAACAUUUAAACCAAACCAAAACAAAACAAAGAAGAUCUGAACAAGGGUACUCGCAGAACUAUAUCACUAGUCAACAUGCAAAGUGCACGUGAGAAGAAGAUUUACAUAAACCUCUUUGUAAUUGAUAUGUAUAACAGAAUAGGAAGUACUUCUUAUCAGAAAAAAAGUACUCAAGAGAGAAGGUGUCCAUUCUUUUUUCUUGUGCAGAAAUUUAUCGAGUUUGAUCUAACAACUCCAUGAUGUGCUGAAUUUCCAAAUCUCCCGUGGUGAAUGCCUACCCGAUCAGACUGAAUUGAGGUCAUACAGCAACCCCUUUUUAAGGCAGGAAGUCCAUAUCAGACUUUCCCUUCCAUCUUGGUAGUUUGUAGAUGUAUUAUCUCUGUAAGAUGGAGAUUCUUGGUGUUUGUCCGUUAAGACUAGCAUGCGAAUCGAACAAAGUCAACCCCAAAAUCAUGCACCGCUUACCAAUUAGUCGGGGGUUCACACCAAUAGCUCUCACAAUACUAACCGAGAUACACUUCUUUCAUCACUUGAUUCGAAUCAUUUCACUGUUCCCGCCGCUCCAUGGCUUAUUGCAGCAUCAUUAUCUGGACUGCCCUUUCCAGUGAUCUAUCUUGUGCUUGUUAGACUCCUCUGGAAGAAAUCUUUGAACGGAACAGCAAAAAUAACGAUGGUAGCAACUGUGACCACACGUAGGGCAACCUCAAGUGCGUCAAUCGUUUUGCGCUUAGCACAAGUGGUCCACCUCGGCAGAAACAACAAUCACUGAGCUGCUACUGCUCCCCCUCCUCCUCGGAAGCUUCGGACGACGCUGCUGGUUCGAGGGCUUGGCCAUGGCAGUGCUAAGAACCUAUUUCGGCGGAGAUCGACCGAUCGAGGUCGUCGCUGCUCGUUCUAGAGAGAGAGAAAGAGAGAGGGGCUGAAUCAGAAUCCGAAGUGACGAUCUGAAAUAAAAAUGGGGGGAGGAGAGAGUCGGAGGGUGAUGGUGGGAUAGUCGGAGGAGAGAGUCGGUGUUGGAAACUGGUGGAAGCAGAGGAGGAUUCUUUGCGUCUUUUCGGAUUUUUGUUUUAAUUAGUUUCUCGCUUUUCCUUUUUAUCUUUUGGGGUUUGGUUUUUUCCUUUCGGUUUUUCUUUUCAUUUGUCGCAACACGCGAGUGGCGCAAAGAUUUGCCGCCAGCAAGAGAGGGAGGCAAAAUUGUAUUUUCGUUUCCCCUGCCGCAGAAUUGAGGACAGCAGCGUCAGCUCCCGCGCGAGAUGAGACUUGCGGCUCUAGGAUUAGAGGUGGUCUGACCUGCCCUUGCUGCCUGACGCAACCGACUCUCGAUGGUCUGCGAUUUUUUCCUCCGUAUAUUAAGAGAGUAGAGAGGGAAAAUUAAACGUAAUUUCCCUCCCUGAAGUUUUCGCUGUUGAAGAUUAAGUUUGAACCAAAACUACUCAAUUUACACGUACGUAUACAGGCCGGUCAUUGCUGUCUUACCGCGUGCUAUAAGCCAGGAAAUAUCUCCGUAUGAGGUAGCAAUAUAUGCAAGAUACAAGCUCGCCAAGGAUUCACUCAUCAUGUGGUUCGAAUUUGUCAACUCGGGAAAAAUAGUAUGACCAGCCUAUUGUUAAGUCAUCGCAUUUGAGGGUGGACUACAAUUUUUUCAUGUUCAUUCUUCUUUCUUUUUCAACUCAUUUCAAGUAAAUGAGUCGUGUAUGAAUUUGAUAAAAGCAUGAGAGGUGUAUAAAUCUGUUUCGUGCUUAUUAGCACGUAUGUUUGAUGAGUGACUGAUUUAUCAACACUAGCUAUAAAUGAAGGGAUUUGGGGAUUGUUCUCUACAAGAAGUUAUUGUUACACCCUUCACGCUCUUGAAUCACUCCUUGUUCUUCACUUCCGCUUGUUGUUUUGUGUACUAAUUGCUUUGUACUUUUUGAAUAACACGAUUUUUUAGAUUAAGCUUGAAUCUGAAAAUAUUUGACUCGAGAAGCUUGCCAUCGUAAUGGAGUACUCAAUUGCAAUUUCAAAUGCCUCCACUAAUAUAAAUAAACAAAUGAAUUAUAUCAAUUUUAAUUUUAGUGCAUAGUAACUAAGUAAUUGAAACGUAGAACACCCAUUUGUCCAAAAGAACAUCUCAUUCUCUUGGGCUAAAAUACAAUUGAAGGCAUCCCUAUGCGGUCUUUUUGAAUGUUUCGAUUUUAGCAAAACUUACUUCAAUGCCCUCACGCACACGACGUAAAUCACUGAAUGUGACAUUAAAAAUGCCCGCCAACAAAAUAAGAUCCCAGGGGCAAAUCAAGAAAGAUCGUGAAGAAUAUGGAGUGGAACAAAUUGCAUUUGAGGGUGAUGGUUGUUCUAACAUGCUUGUGUCACGGGCUUAUCGAUUAGGAUCGUGACCGCGUGGCGACUCGAGCACUUUAGGAUCGGAUGGAUCACCGAAGCACCUAAGCCAAGCCUUGCUCGGUCGAACGCUCACUCGCUCGCCUUACCCGGAUCGUAGAGAGAGAAAGAAUCUAGAUAGAAAAGCUCUAGAAAGAAGCUUUGCUUUAUAUUGCGGAAGUAAUGGAUGCCUACAAAUGAAAGAGGACACCCCUUUUAUAGUUGAGGGCCUCGGAUUACAUCCAUUGAUCUAGAAUUCUAUCAGCGGACGAGAUCGCACCGCCUCAACUACCGACAUAAGUGCCAAUUACCGUCUACCGACAUAAAUAACAGAACAGACUUCUGUAAUAGGACUCAAUGACGGUUUCGCCCGCCCUUGGAGACUUUGGGUAGAAGGUUCGGUGGGAAUCCGAGUGAGAGCAGGAGGUCCACGGGCGAGUUGGGGUCGACUCUGGGGAACCUCUCAGAUCGACUCUCUUUAGGCCCGUGAUAUUCUCCCCCACUCAAUCGAGCGACGUCCUUGUCGCUCUCAGCUUGAUGGGCAGCUUUGCGGGCUUUGACACGAGCUUUGUUGUUCUUGUUUCGCUUCGCUCGGACACUCAUGAACGAAGGGUCACAACCUUCGAUGAUGAAUUUGGAUUUGUCAUGCGGCUCGGUCUUCGAUUUGGACGGAGCAAGUGGCGCGCACUCGACCUCGGGGAAGAGCGCUUGGAUUGGCAUGGCGUGGGUUGGAGUAGGAUCCAACUCGACCUUUGGCUUCACCUCGGACAGCUUGUUGAUGCGCAUCACAGCCUUUAAGCUCUUGUUGAGGCGUCGGAUUGACGCGAUGGUCUUGGUGUUGACCACCCCUUUGAUCAUGGGGAUCAUCGACGGGCACUUUUGGUCGAGGAUCAUCAUGCACUUUGUCCUCAUGUCGAUCAUGGCUCCCACACUUUCGAAGAAUUGCAUGCCAAGAAUGAGAUCAUAAUCGUCAAGAGGGAUUACCUCGAACGUCAUUCUGCCCUUCCACCCGCCAAUUUUGACAUCCACGUCGGGUGUUGCUCCUACGCCAUGGAAGUCGCCCGAAUUGAUGGGCUUGUACGACUUCCCGGAUGGUUCCACGUGAAGUCCCAAGGCUUUUGCAACCUCAGUCAACAUGAACAUGUUGGAUGCGCCGGUGUCGACCAAAGCGUAAAGUGUUCGGCCGCCCACUUCGACCUCCACGAAGAACAUGUCUGUGUUUGGAGUGAUUCCUUUUCCUUUGGUUAGCGAUCGGGCUUGGAUCGAGUUUACCAUCUUCACAGCUCCAAUCCGGAUUUGUCUCCUAUCUUCUUUGGGCACCUCCUUUUCUUCCUCGAUGGCAAGGAGGGUGUUGAUGCGACCCCUCUUCGGGCACUUUUGGGUCCAAUGCAGACCUUUGCAAAUAAAGCAAGGAGAGGGUGGAGGUUGAUCGAACUUACUCGCGUAGUCCGUUUGCGGUCGACCUCUUUGGAAGUACGGCUUGGAAGACCCUUCUCCCCACAUCUUGGCUCGAUCGCCUUGAUCGGGCGCGCCUUGAGGAGUGUUUGUUCCUUCGUAGUCCGGUCGAUCCGACCUCUAAUCUCUUGCUCGGUUGUUUCUCGGCUCAACCUUGGUGAGAUCGACGAGAGACUCGGCCAUGCUAAGCGCUCGUGCAAGACUACUCACGUCCCGCCGUUUCAGCUCAAGUUGUGCCCAAGGCUUUAGUCCAUCCAUAAACGCUCCGAAAGCCUCCUCUUCGCUUAGGUUGCGAAUUUGGGGUUUGAGUUCCGUGAACUCCUUCACGUACUCUCGGAUCGCGCCUCUUUGCUCGAGGCGAUGGAGCAUGCUUCGGGCUUCUUGUUGAGCGAACUCGGGGAAGAAAUAGUCCCGGAACUCCCUCACGAAGUCGUGCCACAUGUUCAUGAGAUUGGCGCCACGUCGAAUCUCAUCGCACCUAUUGCGCCACCACAGCAUUGUCGUAUUAGACAGGAACAUGGAAGCGGUUCGUACCUUGGUUAACUCGUCUCGGAUGUUGACGGCGCCGAAGUAUUGCUCCAUGCUCCACACGAAGUUGUCUACUUCUUGGGCGGAUCGGUUGCCUUUAAACUCCUUUGGCUUCGGCACCUCAAUUUAGGGCACCGCUUGAGUAGGCACUGCACCGUUCGUGAUGCUGAGUUUGCAUAGGGCGAGCUCGGUUUUGAGCUCUUGGAUCUCCGCCUUCAUGGCUUCGACCUCAUCCCUACACGUGCUUACCUCUUCGAUUAUUUAGACGCGAUCGUUCAAACCAUCAAUCGAUGCUUCGAGAACUUCGUCCUUGUCGAACAAUGGAGCCGUGGCUUGGUUGAUGCCAGUCGUGAAGUCUUCGCGGAGCGAGCCCUCAACCUCCAUGAUCCAGUCUCGCACAUCAUCAAGACCUUCCAAGAGCUCGAGCAUAGCACUCCGGACCUUCCCGAUCUUCUCAUCGAACGUGACCGCAACAUCCACCGAGGCAUCUCUCUUCUUUGCUUUGCUGCGCGUGUCCUUGACUGGCACAGCUUCUCCAACUAUAGCCGCUUCUUGGCUUGACAUUCUCUCGAACAGUUGGUGCUCUUCAAUCUCUUGGAAACUGAUCUCUCUUUAGCUCUGAUACCACUUGUCACGGGCCCAUCGAUUAGGAUCGUGACCGCGCGGCGACUCGGGCACUUUAGUAUCGGAUGGAUCGCCGAAGCACCUAAGCCAAGCCUUACUCGGUCGAACGCUCACUCGCUCGCCUUACCCGGAUCGUAAAGAGAGAAAGAAUCUAGAGAGAAGAGCUCUGGAAAGAAGCUUUGCUUUAUAUUGCGAAAGUAGUGGAUGCCUACAAAUGAAAGAGGACACCCUUUUUAUAGUUGAUGGCCUUGGAUUACAUCCAUUGAUUUAGAAUUCUAUCGGCGGACAAGAUCGCACCGCCUCAACUACCGGCAUAAGUGCCAAUUACCGUCUACUGACAUAAAUAACAUAACAGACUUCUGUAAUAGGACUCAAUGACGGUUUCGCCCGCCCUUGGAGACUUCGGGUAGAAGGUUCGGUGGGAAUCCGAGUGAGAGCAAGAGGUCCACGGGAACCUCUCAGAUCGACUCUGGGGAACCUCUCAAAUCGACUCUCUUUAGGCCCAUGACACUUGAUUGCCACAAAUUGAGGCAAUACUCAAUUAUGAGUUUUGAUAGUUUCAAGUUUGAUAGAUCAAUCAAUGUAUGGAAGUCUUAAGACUAAAGCAUAGUUCAUCAAUAUAUUUAGAAACUUUGAUAGGAAUUUUAAAAUUACUUGCCUCAAAUUCACUGUCUGAGUCUGAUUCAGAGUCUGAGUCUGAUUGUGCCAUUAGACAUAGAUUGGCAUAUUCAUUAUCACUUUCUUCACACUCUGUGUCACUCCGGGUUUCGGCUUUGAGAGCUUUUCGAAAUUUUUCAGCUUUUCCUUUCUUCUUCUUCAGAAAAGGACAGUUGGGUCUGAUGUGUCCCUUUUUCUUACAUUCAAAGCAGACUAUGUCUUUGUUUGGUUCCUCAUCAUCAACAGACUUAGUCUGUUGUCUUUGAAAGCUUUGUUUCUUUGAGUUGAACCUUCUUCAUUUUCUAUUCAGUUUUCUGAAUCUUCUUAUCAUGAGAGCAAGCUCCUCAUCGUCCAUAUCUUCUUCAGAAUCUGUAUCAUCAGAAUCAUCAUUUGAUUUUAAUGCAAUGGAUUUCUUACCUUUUGGAUCUUCAUCUUCAUUGAUUCGUUCCAAUUCAUAAGAUUGAAGAGUUCCAAUUAGCUCGUCGACAGAUAGUGGCAUAAUUCUCUGCGUCUCUCUUAUCGAAGUCUUUAUGUGAUUCCAAUCCCUGGAGAGUCCACGCAGUAGCUUGUUUACCUUCAUGGGAUCAAAAGUUGGUUGACCUUGAUUUUCAAGACCAUUCACAAUAUCUGUAAAACGACUAAACAUGUCAGAUAUUGAUUCUCAUGGUUUCAUUCUGAAGGCUUCGUAUUGACCGAGAAGAAUGUUGAUUCUUGUUUCCUUCACUCGAUCUGUUCCUUCAUAAGUGAUAUGCAAUCUGUCCCAAACUUCUUUUGCUGUACCACAAGAAGAUAUUCUAUUAUAUUCAGUUGGUGAUAAAACACAAUAUAAUGAGUAAAUUGCUUUUGCAUCGAGUGUUUGUCUCUUGAUUAUUUCUUCCUGAAACAUUCCGCUGGUUUCUUCAGUUUCUUUUCCUCUUUCAGAGACUGAUGCAGUGGUAGGAGUAAUUCCUUUUUCUACAACGUCCCAUUCUAGAUGAUCCUUUGAUCGUAGGAAAGCUUUCAUCUUGUUCUUCCAGAUGUUGUAAUCCUUUCCAUCAAAGUAGGGUGGUCUGGUAUUGCUUUGCCCUUCCAUCAGCCCUGGUGCUAGCAUACUAGCCAUGGAUCUUUUACUAUGAAGUAAAACACUUCAAAUAAAGUAAGUACAUAGGCUCUGAUACCAAUUGAUAUUGCUAGUAUGAGUACCUAGAGGGGGGUGAAUAGGUGCAUAAACAAUUUAUAGAAAUACAGAAGCGAUUCUUAGCAUAUGAUAGAAAGUAAAUUCUCUCUUAAUUAACAAAAUGAUAUAUGAUCGAGGUAGAGAGAAUGAGGAAGAGAAAAUUGAACACAGGAUUUAUAGUGGUUCGGCUUAUUCCAAGCCUACGUCCACUCUUUCGCACUGACAGCCCACCGGCUGGAUUUCACUAUGAUCAAAAGAGAAGUUACAGCACAGCUUUGCCUUGAUUCCACAGUGUAGAUGUUCUACCACACCUCCUCAAGGUCUCUCACAAAUAUAGACUCUCUUUUGUAUACAAGUAUUCGCUCAAAUGAUUUAUCUAAACAAAUAGGAGCUUCAGACUUUGGAAUUCUUCUAUCGCGCACACCUUGAACAACUAAGACAGUCUUCCUUAUAUACUCCUUUAUGCCAUCAUACCCGUUGGCACUUACCAAAGGAAUUCCUCCAAUCUAUCCAUUGGACGAAAUCAAUUAGGAAGAUUGUUCAAGCUAUUAAAGGAACGUGUUGAUAGCCCAUCAAUCAUGUUCGCCCAUACAAUCAGGAUCUCGGUUUCCAUAAGCAGAACCUUCCAAUAAUACUUAGGCAAUCACCGGAUCUUCAAUUAUCGAGUCAAUCUUAGAUCAAUCAAAGGACUCCGUUAUGUCUUUUCCAGCCACGAGAUCUUCUCCAGUUGAUAAGGUCAAAUCCUUAACGAAAUAUACAGUUCUGGAUAACCUUUCUUCAACGGAUUAGAGACUGUCAAUGAGGAUAGACUUUGAGUCUUGAGUCUGGCUGUCCGGAGGUCUUCAGACUUUAAAUAGCAGAGUCUGCAAACCUUCAGACUAGACUGAUAGAAACGUUUUGUCAACUUCAAAAUACUUUAAGAAGAUUUCUCCAACAGCUACACUGUGAUGUAUUGAAAUACAUGCGUACGUGUCUAGCAAUGCAUCUUUGAAAGUUGUUGUGCUAUAGACAGCUACGAUGACUAAUAUGUUUGAUCGCUGUAGUUAUUAGAAUGAAGAAAAGACCUUUUAAUAUUGUCGCAAAGCUUUUACCAACGUUUAUAUCUGUGUUAUUGGAACUUUUGCUGGAUACCAUUUUCACCAUAUGAUGAUGAUGAUGAUGAUGAUAGUCGAAUCCGGAAUAGACAUUUUGAGAGGACUUCAUUUCCAACUUAAAUACCAAAGCAAUCCAUGUUUAUACAUGAAAUUGCAGAAGAAAAUAUAGGCAGUACGAUGCCGAACCCUUGAAAUGCACAAUCUACUGCAGCCCAAUGAGGCGGCAGCCAUAUGCAUCCAAUUGCAAAGGGCCACAAGAGCGACCGUACAAUCAUACGGGAAAGGAAAUCCCACUUGGAAUUGCUCUCUCCACCUGUCUUCCUCAACUUCAUAUCCUGUUGAACACAGUAGCAAUCUGUCCCCGUGAGCUUAACUGUUCAGAUGUUGAAAGGAUGUAUUCUGCACCAUGCCUUGGAGAUACAGCAAGACUGGCAUGAUGCCAGGUGAUAAGGGUAAAGAUAAAAAGUUCAUACUACUCGCCAUGCAGGUGAUGGGGGUAAAGAUAAGCGCAUCUCUCUCUCUCUCUCUCUCUCUCUCUCUCUCUCUCUCUCUCUCUCUCAAUUGUGCAAGCUUCUCUCCUCUGUUAAUUUACUACUGAUGCUGAGUUCUGCCUGCAAAGUUCUGGCAAGUUUUUUGCCAUUAUCUUCUUUGAAAUAUCAAAAAGAAAAGUGGGGUUCAGAGGUGGAAAGAAGAACAGCUUGAAGAGAAACGGAAAAGCGCAGACUUGCAACAGAAGGCAAGGAAAGCUGUUUGCUUUAAGAUGCAUGACAACCGUGCAGAUGGCCAGUGUGGUCUUCUCCACCCAAAAAACAAUUGCUUCUCGUGGCCUGAAACGGAAUUUUAUAUGAUUUGCAUCCAAAUAGAAGAAUAAUAUCGUAAUCUAAUAUCAUCUACCGCCUGCAAAGUUGCUAUUAUCUUCGUUGAAAAUUCAAAAGAAGGGGAGAGGCAGAAAGAAAAACAACAUAUGAAGAGAAACGGAAAGUGCAAACUCUCCAUAGAAGGCACAGGAAAGCAGUUCGCUUUAAGAUGCUUGAUAAACUACUAAGAAACGAUUUCAUGUGGUCUCUAAUGAAAUGUUAUAAGAUUCUACAUCAAUGAUAAUCGUACUUUGCGCUCCACUACUGCCUGCAAAGUUGCUAUUUUCUUCUUUGAAAACUCAAAAGAAGGGGCAACGUAGAAAGAAAAACCACAUCGAAGAGAAACGAACAUCAUUAACUCUCAACAGAGAGCACGACAAAGCUGCUUGCUUUAAGAUGCAUGAUGAACUACUAAUGAACAAUCAUUUCACGUGGUCUCUGAUGAUAUUUUAUAAGAUUUACAUUCGAAAUACCGGAUUGAUAUCGUACUUUAUGCUCCACUACUGCCUGAAAAGUUGCUGUUAUCCUCUUUGAAAACUUCAAAGAAGGGGGGAGAGUCAGAAAGAAAAACAACAUUGAAGAGAAACGAACAUCACCAACCCUCAACAGAAGGCACAAGAAAGCUGCCUGCUUUAAGAUGCAUGAUAAACUACUAAUAAACAAUCAUUUCACGUGGUCUCUGGUUAAAUUUAUAAGAUUUACAUCCAAAUACAGCAUCAAUAUCGUACUUUAUGCUCCACUAUUCCCUUGAAAGUUGCUAUCAUCUUCUUUGAACGCUCAAAAGAAGGGGAGAGGCAGAAAGGGAAACAACAUUGAAGGGAAACGAACAUCGCAAACUCUCAACAGAAGGCACGAGAAAGCUGUUUGCUUUAAGAUGCGUGACAACCAUGCAUAUGGUCAUUGUUGAAUUCCUACUUAAAACCAAUUAUUUCUCUUAGCCUCUGAUGAGAAUUUACAACCAUUACAGCCAAAUGGAGAAUGAUAUUUUACUUUAUGCUUCAUUACUAUAAUAUAUGUACAUAUCUAUUCAACGCAACCAAAAGAAUCAUGUUUCUCACACAUAAAUAGGACAAGUUUUUGGAGUGUCUGAAAUUUUUACAUUCAAAAUGUUAUUGUUUUGCAUCGAAAUAUUGUGACUCGACGCUGGAGAAUUGAAAUUCAAUUGUAAACCUAUCGUAUGAAUUCAAAUUCAAUCCUGAACAUUUUAAUUCAAACAAUGUUGUUUUAAACCUUUGAGUGAAAAUGUAAUCAAGUCCUCCUAGUCAAGUCUCGCCUAAAUGGCAGUCCAAUCAUUUGUCAUUGUACGUGUCCCGACUAGUGAUUUGACAUGGACAAAUUUACUCGAAACGGUGCCAUUGUUGCUCAACUCCACAAGCCGUCAACCUUGCCUAGAACCGCCCUCUCUCAAGUUGAUUUCUAUCAAUAGUCACAGCUCAGCUAGAGCUGGCACCUCCAAAUGUGGAGGCUCAGCAGUCGGUCACCAUGCCCAUCGGGCUCCUUGGCCCCUCCAUGGAAGAUGAUUGUACAAUCCUGAAAUUUUUAGCGAUGUUUGUUUUCCCUCCCUGACCCUUCCAUGCCAUGCAAGAUGAUUGUAUAACCCUUAAUUUUUUUUUUUUUGUGACGUAGAAUUUUUUGUUUAAUUUUUAAAUAAUUUUUUUCCCUUUUUUUCUUCCUUCUUCCUCCUCUAGAUGGUCAUGGGACCUCGGUGACUAGCCAGAGACGAGUUGACAAGGCCAACCUUGCCCAACCAUCGCAAGGCUCCAUCGAGAUUGGUGAGGCCACCCUUGUCGGCCCUCCUCUCUAGCCGGUCACCAGCUAUCAUCGAGGCUUGACGAGAAGAGGGAGAAUAAGAAAGGAAACGAAAAAAAAAAAAAAUGACCUUCAUUAGAAACUGUUCCUGAGGGCAAAUAAGUAAAUUCUUUCUACUUUCUGUUUUUGUUCUAAAUCUAUUUUCUGACUAUUGAUCUAUUUCGGAAAAGAAAAUUAACUAACAUUAUCAAAUAAUUUUUUUUUUCUGUUUUGGAGAAAGAAAUAACAGAAAAAUAGAGAAAUAAAAUGAUCACCAAAUAGGACCUAACUUUAUAAGUGAAUUUGUAAUUCUUCCCACUCAACCUAUGCCUAUUAUAAGUUUUCUUUUCUUUUAAUAAUUCUUCCUCUCUUCUGUCUCCUCUCUUCAUCGGUAUAAAAUGGGUAAUCAGGGAUGGGUGGCUUGUGUAGUGGAAGAGAAACCUAUUCCCAAUGGUCGACACAGCGAACUUGGGUCCAAAUUCAAAUACACCAGGGGAAGUAAACUGACCUCUUUCACCAUUAAAUCACCACGUUGAGUGUUGAUUUUAACUCCGUAAAAUCCUCUUGUUGAUUUUAACUCCAUAAAAUCCUCUAACACGUCUGCCCCUCGGGACCUUCCAGAUUAUAAAAGCAAGAGCAAAAGUCAUAUCCUAUUAUUUCCAAUCUUUAUCAACACAGAGAAACGGAUUCGUGCAUAGUUAAUAUGAAAAAACAGCUAUCCUAUACAUUGGCAUUUGAUAAAAAAGGUUGAUCAAUUUAUGGAUGACAUGCAGCGACUUGAAUUCCAUCCACACAUAGAUAACAUGCAGCCAAGGCUAUGUCAAAGCCCCAAUACAUGUAUUAGAUACUAUGCCAUCUCAAUCCACCAAGAGAAAAGGUAUGCAUUUUCGACUCCAGCAGAUGAGAUAUCCUUUGGGAUGGUAGUCUCGGAAGAUGAAUCUUGCUUCUGGUCUCCAUAAUUUGGCAGCAAUGAUGGUGAUUCCACUGGACUGGUUAGGACUACUUUUAUCUUCCUCUCCUCUAUGUAUUUACCACUUUCUUUAUCAAAUUUAAAAUUUAAAAGAAAACUUCUCAGGUUACUUGACCCAAAAGAUUAUGGAACACAAAGCAGCAAAAUCUACCAUGUAAGCAGUAAUGUCCUCUUCACCUGUAUCAAAACCUUGUCUCGACGCUGCAAGACAGGUGGAGCUACCUGCUGUGCUUACAUGGUAACGGCAUCAAACAGAAGAUAGGAUGAAGGGCCUACCCUAAUUCUUUCGAAGUAUCAGGACAUAGCUUCUGAGGCCUAUUGUGGUUUUCCUUUGUCUCAAUGUAUAUUAGGCUACUAUGGUAGGCAUUCAAAAUCUUAUUCAAAGAUGAUCCUUACUGCAAUGCGACUGACAUUGCCUUAAGCAGUUCAUGUCCUAGUAAUAAUACAGUCUUACAGACAUGUCGUGGCAAAGAAAUUGCAAAAUAAUCGUUCAGCUGAUUCAAGUACUGUGGGCAUGUCCAUCCUCACAAGUAUGUCAGUGGCUUUUUAGUAAGUAUGUGAACAUGAUGUUUCACUGACUUGAGCAGAACAAUUUCGAAUCAGAUUAUCCAUUUGGUUGAUGAUGCCUACAUUUGACCGCACACAGAAUUUCUUCUGAGACGUAGCCUUAGCCUGGAAUGUUUUGGAUAUCCAAUAUAGAUCUCAUAAUGUUUCUCCACAAUAGAGAGUUCUUAAUGCGCUGAUGUACUACUCUGAAAAUUAAAUUACAUCAAGAGAAUACAAGAUUGAAAGGAUAUUGUCCACCCGCCAUAGCCUAAAAAAUAAAACUUGAUCACGGUGAAAGCAAAGGUCCAAAGAAUAUUCACCUUGAAAGCAACAUACCGAUCAGUCUUAUUGCCUAGCGGAAUGAGCAUGAGCUUUGUUUGCUCAACUCAAUUGCAUAAACACGGAGAAGAGGCUUCAGAUGAAAGAAUUUAAAGAGAAAGGGGGCCCGACAUGAGGACAGGAUGUGAUGAAAUGGACCAUCUUACAUUUUCUUUGAUAUAAUGCAGUAAUGCAAUCUCGUCUUGUUCAUUCAUUUUCUCUACUAAUCAUUCUCUCAGUCAUUUGGUUACAACAACCAUUCACCUACUUAAUCUCCAGAAAGAAAUUUACCGCAGAAGUCAUUCUAAGAGUUUGUGGUGUGAGGGACUACGCAAAAAUGAACAAACCUGACCAAAUAUUUGAAAACGACACAAGGAAAAGAAUUUGAAAACGGGGCGACCAGUGACUGAUUCAUACAUGCCAUUGAAGCUUAUGCCUUAAGAUAUUUCCUUUACCAUUUUAUAUGAUGUUGAACCGCAAAUUCUCAAGCAAAUUAUUGUAGCACAGAGAACUAUCAUCCCCUUCACUUAUUGCCUAAUAAAACAGGUGGCAAGCAAUGCAAAUUUAACGUGGCGCCAAAAAUGAAAAUGAACCAAAUGUGCAGCACUAUAGAUACUCACAAAUUAAACUCAAGUUCAUGAGGCCGGAUCUCCAACAGCUCUUCAGCCAUGAUGACAACUAUAAAACCGAUCCACAUAAAACAACAGGUCACGUGGCAGGGUAACAACAAUCAAGCAAAAAGCUCUGCAUGAAGCUCAAUUUCAAGGUAUAAAUCUGAUCACGCGCUGUCUCUAGCAGAUUCCUCAUUUCAAACACCAAAAUUGCACAUGAUCAACAAACACUAGACAGUCAAAAAUGGCUCAGCACCCAAAUUACGAACACCAUCCAAGAGCAGUUCAGGAUUUACCAAAAAUCAGAGCACUACAUUUGGCAAUGAAAGCUUAACCAUCGGGGGAGUAUCUUACAGGUCAGAAACUUCCUUUGGCAGUGAAAUCUUAAUCUUCAAGGGAGUAUCUUACAGGUCAGAAUCUUCCUUUUGAUGGAUCCCAAUAAUGAGAAAAUCAAACUCCAGUGCAAGUUCACAACAAAGGACAUGACAAUAAUAUCAGCUAAGGGAUAUGCCAUGACUUGCACAACCCGAGAGAAAUCGCAGGAAAGACCCCAAGUCAGCAGGCCUAAAUUAUCUCUAACCACCUCUCCAAGACACAACACUAACAUAGCAUCAGCAGCAGCAGCAGCAGCAGCAGCACCAAACUCUAGUAGUCCCUGAUGACAGUUGGGUUGACUCUGACUUGGCAAUAACAACUUCGUGCCAUUUUACUCAGCAAAUGAACACAUAAUCUUCAAUACAUGUGGCACUACAAAUUCAUAAGAACCAAUGUAGCGGGAGUAGCAUUGAACCAAGAAUCCGAGAGAGCAAACAUGUUUUCCAUUAUUUGAUUUUUCAUACAAUAAAUUUAUGACUGAAUUUGCGAUUCUCUCAACUCACCUACGCUUAUUAUGAGUUUUUUCCCUCCUUCCUUUAAAAUAUAUCUUCCCCUCUUCUGUCUCCUCUCCUCAUCUGUAUAAAAUGGGCAAUCAAGGGUUGCUUGUGUAGUGGAAGGGAAACGGUCCUCCCAAUGAUCUUACUGGUGAAAGUAGACCCAAAUACAAAUCAACCAGGGGAAGAAAACUAACCUCUUUCAACUUUGUAUCACCUCACUGAGUGUUGAUUUUAACUCCUUAAAACCUCUGACACAUACAACCCUUUAGGAUGCUGGCAUCCAAAGACAAUCCUUCUGGAUUAUAAGAGUGAGAACAAAAGUCAUAUUCUAUCCUGAGUCAUAGAAGUGGAUACACGUACAGUUAAUAUGAGAAAAAAGCUAUCCUAUACACUCGCAUUUAGUUGCUAAAGGGGUUGAUCAAAUUAUGGAUGAUGCGUAGCAACUUGAUUUCCAUUUACAUAAAUAACAUGCAGCCCAGCCAAUGCUGUGGCAAAGCCCCAAUCCAUGUAUCAGAUACAAAGCCAUCUCAACCCAGAAAGACAAUAAAGUGACACAUUGAUGUUUUCUGGCAGUCAUACCCUGAGAAAAGGUGAUGCAUUUUCGACUCCAGCAGGUGAGAUAUCCUUUGGGAUGGUAGUCUCGGAAGAGGAAUCUUGCUUCCGGUCUCCAUAAUCUGGCAGCCCUGAAGGUGAUUCCACUGGACUGGUUAGGACUGCUUUUAUCUUCCUCUCAUCUAUGUAUUUACUGCUUUCUUUAUGAAAUUGAAAAUUCAAGAGAAAAUUUCUUGAGUCACUUGACCUGAAAGAUUAUGGAACAUAUAGCAGCAAAACCUACCAUGUCAGCAAUAGUGUCCUCUUCACCUGUAUCAAAAACUUGUCUCUGCACAGCAGGACAGGUGAGCUACCUGCCGUGCUUACAUGGUAACCACAUCAAACAGAAGAUGGGAUGAAAGGCCUACUCUAAUUCUUGUUGCCUAGCGGAAUCAGGCAUGAGCUUUGUUUACUUAACUCAACUGCAUAAACACAGAGAAGAGGCCUCAGAUAAAAGAACUUAACGGGGCACGACAUGAGAGCAGGAUGUGAUGAAAUGGACCAUCAUACAUUUUCUUUGAAGAUAUAAUGCAGCAACAAAAUCUCAUUUUGUGCGUUGGUUUUCUCUACUGAACAUUCUCAGUCAUUUGGUUACAGCACUCACCUACUUUAUCUCUAGAAAGAAAUUCACUCACAUGGCACUAUAAGAGUUUGUGGUGCGAAGAUAGAAACUAUGCAAAAAGAAAGAACCUGACCAAAUAUUCGAAAACAACACAAGGAAAAGAACUUGAAAAACAGGGCGACCAAUGACUGAUUCAUACUCGCCAUUGAAGCUCAUUCUUUAAGAUAUUUCUUUUACUAUUAUUUAUGAUGUUGAACCACAAAUUCUCAAGCAAAUUAUUGUAGAACAGAGGAAUAUCAUCCGCUUCACUUAUUGCCUGUAAAACAGGAGGUAAGCGAUUUGAAUGUAGCUCCAAAAUAAAAAUGAACCAAACGCACAGACUCAGAUAAACUUGCCUUCAUGAGGCUGGAUCUCCAAGAGUACUUCAGCCAUGAUGAUGACCAUAUUGCUGAUCUACAUGAAAUGGUGGAUCAUAUAGCAGGGCAACAACAAUCAAGCAAAAAGGUCUACAUAAAGCUCAAUUUCGAGUACCCAUUCAUAUAGGGUGCGUUUGGUUUGGCUUUUGGAGAAAGCCUUUGGAUAAUGCAAAGGCUCUUAGCCUAAAAACUGUUUGGUAAUUUGCAAUUUUAAAGUGACUUGGUAAGUAACAUUGGGAAAAUACUAUUUGAUAACAUAUAUUUAAAAAGUCAUUUGAUGUAAUCAAUUUUUUUAAAAUUUAUUUAAAAUUUUAAAAAAAAAAACACAACGAUGGAAACUUUUAUAUUUUCACAUUAAGAGUGAUGUAAAAGAGACAUAUUAACAAGUUCAAAAAUAAAAAAUAAAAAAAUUACAUGAGAAGUGUGAAAAAUAAUAGGGCCCUCAGAUAUACAAACAGUAAAGAAAGUAUAAUGACCAAUGGGCUAAGUUACUGAGAAUAUAAAAAUAAAAUUUAGUUGUUUCUGAUGUCAUAUGGAAAGUCUUAUCUAAAACUGGCAUAUGAUAAGAAAUGUCUCUUAUUCAGCAAUAAGACAAUUAGACAUAUCUCAGCUGCAACAUGACAGCACCAAAAGUCAUACCUUGCUCUUUUUGAAUGGACAAGUGAGCAACUCUUUGCCUUAAACGACUCCACCACAUGAACACAUUCGUGAUGGCAACCAAAAUGAGCUUUUGCUCAUGUUCAAAGCCUAAGCAUGCAAGAAAAUUAAAGAGCUCCGACUCUUGAAGAGCAAUGGACUUCUUCUGCAAACCUCAGAUUGCUGACAAAUCGAGGAUUAGCCUUAAAAAACUGUUCCUCUCAUAAACAUAAGUACAAUCACAACAUCUCAAUUCACAAGGCAGUGCAUGUAUUAAUAUACACAUCAUGGAUAUUCCAAAGAACUUACAAGAGAAGAUAACUCCUAGUAACUGCUGGGUACAAUGGAAAUGAACAUUCAAAGCCCAGGAUUAUUCCUGGGAAAAAUGGAAAAGUGGGGAACAACAGACUUUGACAUACAUCACAUGAAGUAAGAAUGAAAUAAUGAGUGAAUUUAACUGUCCCAUAGUAUUCUAUUAGCUAUGGCAGUGUCCACUGAUUCCAGUUCUUCCACGACUUUAGUCCUGGAAGGCUGCUUGUUAGGAGUCAUUCGGAGGCAUUGUAAAGCAAGUUGUGCUAACUGGAAUCCAGAAUCCAUAUAUGUAGGGUAUAGGGACAGUAUAAAUUUGGUUCCCAAUUGUGGCAGGUUGCAAUAUCAUGAGCGACCAGUUUCCUCUAAAAUAACCAGUAUUUCUUUUUUGGUUUCUGAGGAAGGGGAACAUCUGCAGAAAAUGAAAAGUUAUGUAGGCAAUGCAACUGUGGAUUCCAUGCCAAAUGAUUUAAGUAGCUAAAAGGGAAACACACCUUGUGUUUCAUAGAGGGGAUUAUAGUGAACCUCAUAUCCAGAAACUCAACCAAAGCUCUGCAUCAAUUGAAAGUAAGGUUAACAAAAGGAAAAACUUAGAAAGAAAAUGGAGUUUCAAAAGACCAGUUGCUCAUUGAACAAAAGCAAAAGUAGAUCAAUUGCAAAUGUUUACAUCUAGGUUCUAAAUCAAUCAAUAUAUUUAACCCUACCCAAGUAGCUGUUCUAAGCAAGCAAAAGAACAAAUAUUUAAUUUCAGAGACGAAAAACAAGCAAAGCAUCACAAAGGAGGGUCUAUGUGUAUAUGUAUGCAAGCAACGCUCUUUUUUCCAAGACAACCAAGGAGUAAAAUAUACCCAUUUGGAAUUUUAACAAACCAAACCCAAGAACUUCACAUUUAUCACAUUGCACCCACUGACGAUUUGAACCAACAAAACAACUAUGAAGAAGAAGACAAGCAAGCAAUACCCUCGGCAGAGGGAACUUAUAAAUCCAAUUGCCAAACAAUAAUUAGGCUGCGAAUAUAAGUAUCAUCUAGGGGCUUUUGCCCUCCUUCAUGCUCUCCAACAACGACCAAAUAAGCAUUGAACAUCGGUGACUCACUGGAAUAGAUAAAUUCAUCAUUCUUCAAAAUCCUGCAUUCCAACAGCUGCUCACUGCCAUCAUACGGCAUUACCUAUCAUAUAUCCGACCAUUAAUCACGACAUGGACUAAUCUACUCAAAACAGGCUCAAUCACGCAAAGUAUUACAAUCAGAAGCACAGAACAGAACAAUCCGUGAUGAUGGAAAUAAUGAAAUCCCAAGCAGCAUUGAGCUGCUAUCGUUCAGUUCAAUUGAGCAAGCUAAACUUGGGAAAAAAGGGUAAUAAAUCGAUAGCCACUGCAGUUUUGACAUAGAUUAGCUAGUCAAACCGAAUCACGUCCUACCCAAUCAAAGGCAACUAAAUUGCGGAUCGGGUUGAGCUGGACAUCAAUGGUAGAGAUUAGUAGUGAAAGCAAAGGUACCUUGCUGGUGGUGGUGCGGAGAGAGAGGAAGCUGUCGCAAUAGACCGUGCGCUUCAGCUUCUGCUUCAGGUGCUUCUUGAAGGUGACAUUCCAGCAAGCAUGGUCUCAAGCACAUAGCUCAUUUCAUCAAACACCAAAAUUGCACAUGAUCACCAAACACUAGGCAGGCAAAACUUAGAUGGUUCACACUCACACAAAGCAUAAUUCAGCACACUAAUUACAAACACAAUCCGAGAGCAGUUCAGGAUUGAAAAAGAAAACCAGAGCACAACAUCUGUCCAUUCCUAGAACUUGCAUUGCCAGCUCAAAAUGCAAGCAUUGAGUCCAUCACAGAGGAGUCAUACUGGAUUCCUGAAAGCUCUGACGUAUUCAUCUGUGGGAUUCUGCUGAGUCUGGAUGUUCUGUGGAAGGACAACAAGGAUGUCGAUGCCAGAUUUCUGUCUCUCAAUAUUCUGUUUGAUGUGAAGUUCGUUUUCCUAAUCAAAACUCCAGAGUUAAAGCAUAAGCUGGUAGACUUGGGUGCAAUUUCUCCCUCUCUGCCCAGCCUUGAUUGAGGAUGAGGACCCCAAUACCAAUGUGUGUGCAGAAGCUCCUUCGAUGCUCAUAGAGUUCAACUUGACUAAAAUUUCUGAGAUUCUACAACCAAAGACAGUCAGCCACUGCUUCAGAUUCUCACUUGGUGAUCUGUCCUGUGCAAAUGUGAAUGAUGGUGAGCUGCGCGUGGCUCUGGCAUCGGCUCUGGAAAUGGAUCCCAAGUUGCUUUCUCAGCUGAAAGUAGUAUGGCAUAUUGGAAACCUUUUGGAGUUUGUGCAUGAGAAAAAUAUGGAAGAUUUUCUCAAAUUUAUGCUUGGCUUGUGCAAAGCUCUUCUUUUUUUAUCACUAGGUUCUAUGAAAGGUUCCACAGACAUGGAAGAGCCAACACUACUUGAUGAAAGUUCUUCUGAGGCAGUGAGUAACAUAUGAUACAUAACUGACUUUGGUGGCAGUGCCAGUGUUUUCCGAGAAUUGAGUGGUUCUCAUGACAGAAACAGUGCCAAUAUUGCUUCUAAAUGCACAGCUCUAUUACUGAAGGCAGCCCCAAGGGAAGGUGCUCUCUUUUUCUUACCAAUCUCCUGUAAGCCAGUGCGAUUCUCGAGUCUCAGCAAAAGGGAGCUCCUUCUCUACUGGUACCAACGAAUGCUGCAUUCUCUCAGUUACUCCUGUAGGCGAUGUUUACUGCACGGAAUGACUUUUGUCAGUGUGCCUGUCAAAGAUUGCUAUGAUUGAAGGCAUCAUUGCUGAGAUAAAAUAUUCUGGUGCUGCUGCUUUAGCCAGUGCUGCCACAUUGGUAAUCUCAGAAUUGCAGUGGCUCCCUCAUUUAUGACUUCUCCAUAACAUCUGCAAAUCCCACUAAGAAGCACACCUUUCCUGAAAAAUAAACUGAACUUAAGCAUGGCAGUACAGAGUGUCUGUCUACUUCAAAGUCGCAACAAUGAGUUGAUUGUGCUUUCAAGUCCCAGGAUGAGAACCAUAGUUGUAUGACCUUCCAUCACACAUUCCAUCUAUUUGUUUACAGCAUAGCGAAUUUAUCUCCCAUGCAAAGUGAGGUUAUCAAUUUCAAAAUAUGUGUGAAGCAGCAAAUCAACAAUGAUCUCUAAUAAUUUGUUACAUAUCAAAUAAAAAUGAUGCAAUUGACAUGCAUAUAUCUCUAGGAGAAACCAUCCUAAGAAAAUGUAGCUAAAAAAGCGAAACCAAACUAGGAAAAGAACACAAUACUUGUACAUAAUUAAGAGCCCUCUGGCUGUUCGAAGGCAUCACAAUUUAAAUACCUUCAUCAGAUUUUCAGAAAAGAAUCCGCUAAAAGGUCAUUAAAAAGUGCAUGCAAAACUUCUCUGUUCAUAUCUGUGAAAGAAUUUGAUUGCCAAAAAAGGAAAACAUUGGUACUUACCUCAAUUUGUUUAAGGUUUGAACACAAGGGAACAAUUUGUGGUCGCGCAUCAAAAAGCUUCCAAGUGCAAUGUGCACUUAUUCAUCUUCUUCAUCGUCUUCUUCAUCAGAUUCGUCUUCUUCAUUGUCUUCUUCCACAGAUUUGUCUUCUUCAUCAGAUUCGUCUUCUUCAUCGUCUUCUUCCACAGAUUCGUCUUCUUCAUCGUCUUCUCCCACAAAUUUGAUUGACUCCUCCGAGCAAAGCCGAGAAAUUUCCUCCACUGCUAAUUUCCCACAACGUAAUAUUGUAACCUCUCGCACACUCUUCAAGCUUGAUAGAUCAGGCAACUUCUGUAAAGAUCCACAAUCUUUAAUCUUCAAUAUAUUCAAAGAUUGGGGUAGUUUGCCUUGAAUCUCAACCAGAUUAUGACAAUGUACUACUGAAAGAUAUGUUAUUCCGUCCAAAUUGCUAAGAUCAGGGAUCUGCAUCUGUUUAAAGCCAGAAAGCAGCAACCGAUGUCCACCACUAUAUUCAAACUCCCGAUUGCGAAAUUUUAUAAAAACAUUUUCCUUACCCACUAAGCUGAACAGAUCAGGGAACUCCAGAAACGAAUCUAAUUUAUCUAAUUUAUCGCAUCCUCUUAUUGUGAACCCCCCUUGCAGUCUCUUCAAGCUUGACAGCUCAGGCAACUUCUGUAAAGAUCCACAGUCUUCAAUGUCCAAGUGUUCCAAGGAUUGGGGUAGUUCGCCUUGAAUCUCAACCAGAUUAUGACAAGAUUCUACUCUAAGAAGUGUUAUUCCAUCCAUAUUGCUUAGAUCAGGGAUCUGCAUCUGUUUAAUGCCAGAAAGCUGCAACCGAUUUCCACUUAAAUAUUCAAACUCCUGAUUGCCAAUAUGCACAUACACAUAAACAUGUGUCUUACCCAUUAUGCUGAAUGGAUCGGGGAACUCCUGUAACGAAUCACGGGAACCAAUUGUAAGUUCAUCCAAAAACCGUGGUAGUUCGCCUUGAAUCUCAACCAGAUUACAGCACCCUGAUACUCUAAUACGCCUUAGCUUGUUUAACUUGCUUAGAUCAGGUAGCAUCGCCAGCUGUACGACGCCCCGAAGGUUCAAAUAUCGUAGGUUCUCCAAACAACCAAGGCCUUCAAUCUUUGCAACUGCAGAGCAGCAAAUGUCGAGAGACGAUAGUUUCCUCAAAUUCAAUAGAUCCAUCGAGCAAAGUGAGUCGCAACCAGAGAGAAUUAAGGAGGAUAAAUUAGAGGGAAGCCUCGGGAGGAGAGGCGGAUGAGGAGGGAGGCUGAGGUCUGUCGAUGAGGCGGUCCCCCCGAAAAAGCGCAGUUCCAGAGAUUCCAAUUUGCUUAAGUUCCCAAUCCACCGUGGUAUCCGUUUUUCCAGGAGCCCAUAAGAUUUCCCAUCACAGUUAGGUGGGCCAAAGCCCAGACGCAAUACCUUUAAGUUAGCGAGAUUUGAGAGAUUCGGAAACGUGUCCACCCUCAACUCCUCCACUACUAAUUCAAUGAGACUUUCAGGAAACCUUGGUAGGGCGUGUACUCCCGGCCAUCCCAAUAUCUCCUCAAAUGGACCCCCGUGUAAGCAAUAACCACUUAUUGCGUGGGCAUGCCUGACAUGAUUAUAACGGUCGGCGAUUUCCAUUCCCUUGACCUUCCCCAUCUUCUUCUUACAAGCAUCAUUGUUCGUUCUUUUUUCGAAACCAUUCUGCAUCUUCAUUACUUUCAAAUUCUUCAACAUUCCAAUGGAAUCGGGUACUUCUUCAAUGCUCGUGUGACUUAUGUCCAACUUAGUUAGCGAAUCCAAAUUUCCAACCGUCUCCGGAAGCCUAUGAAGAUUCCAACAAUUGCUUACAUCUAAGAAAAUUAAGCGUUUCAACUGACAAAUUGAUCCAUCAAUUUCGAUUAAUGAUUCACAGCCUGAUAGGAUCAAAUGUUCUAAAUUUGAAUGAGCUGAGAAGUUGGGGAUUCUCUUCAAGUGUCGGCAAUGGGCCAGAUUCAGAACUUUCAAAUUCUUCAACUUUCCAAUGGAAUUGGGUACUUCUUUGAUGCUCGUGUGACUUAUGUCCAACUCAGUUAGCAAAUCCCAAUUUCCAACCGUCUCCGGAAGCCUUUGAAGAUUCCAACAAUUGCUUACAUCUAAGAAAAUUAAGCGUUUCAACUGACAAAUUGAUCCAUCAAUUUCGAUUAAUGAUUCACAGCCUGAUAGGAUCAAACGUUCUAAAUUUGAAUGAACUGAGAAGUUGGGGGUUCUGUUCAAGCGUCGGCAAUGGGCUAGAUUCAGAACUUUCAAAUUCUUAAUCACCUGUGAAAGAAAAAUCAUGCAAAGUUUACUUUCGAAUUUAAUGAGAUGGAAGAAUAAGUGUUCUCUAGCAUAUAACAUACCUUCAUGUGGCUCCACCCCUUCCAAUCAUGUGUAAUUUCACUCUCAAAUAGAUCAAGGAUAGUCAAAUUCUCUACGGAGAAAUUUGCAAUCUCAAAUGUUGGGUGAAUAUUAUGCCAAGAAAGCCAGUGUAAUUCUGGAAGGAGAUUUGAAUCCAAAACAUCAGUUGGAAGAACACUUGAUGGCCCUUUGUGCUGAAGAAGCAUCUUUUCUACACAAAAAGUUUGCUCCGAGUCAUCAACUUCAAGGAACCUUAGCCUUGAUAGGCUCUUAAAGUCCUUGUAGGUAAAACGGUGCUGAUGGUCCAAGCGGAGGCGAAGAGCUUCAAUUUUUUUCUUCGUCUGCCCAAAGGAAAAUUUUUAAAAACAAGAGAGUUGAAGGGAAACACAUUUAGCCAAAUUCACUAUUUUAAAGGACUGAGUUGAGUACUACCAUUCCAUUAAUCUUAAAAAAGCAAAAAUGUCCAUAAGUAACUUGGAAAUUAAUGCGCAGGGGAUUUUACCUUAGGGCUCUUCAGCAAAUCCAACGCUUUCUCACGAUCCCACACCCUACUUUGUUUAUUUAUAUUGGUUUCUUGACAAACUAUUUGUCUUCCAAGGUCUCUAAGUUGGUCGUGCAUCCACACUUUAUUAUCCUAUUUAAUCUUUACCAAAGACAUGUUCUCCAAAACAUCCAUGGCAUAUUCCGAAUGGAAUUCAGAUUCCCAAAAAUGAACUACAAUGUCUUUAUCAUAUCCAAUUAAGAGACAAGCUAUAUCAAGGAACUUUUGCUUUUCCUUUUCUUUGUAUUCAUCAUAACUUAUUUUCAAUCUACUAUGGACAUCCUUAUGAGGAUCACUUUCCCACUUACGUAAUUCGAAAUCCCACUUUUUCUUUUCAGUAGUGCAAGAUAAAAGUGAACCCAUGAGCUCAAGAGCUAGUGGAAGACCUCCAGCAAUUUUUAUCGCCCUCUCGGAUUGGUCGAUAUACUCGUCUAAAGGAUGAUCUCUUCUAAAGGCAUGUUUGCUAAAGAGUUGAAGAGAUUGAUCGUGAUCCAUGCCCGAAAGCUCAUAACAGCUGUCCACUUUAAGAACAUCAAGAACUUCUUUGUUUCUAGUAGUAAUAAUAAUUCUGCUCCCUUUACCAAACCAAUCACACUCACCAACAAGUGCAUCGCUAUGAUUCUUUUCAUGUACAUCAUCGAGAAGGAGGGGGGCUCUUUUAUUAGACAACCAGGCUUUGAUGGUAUUAAUCCCAUCAUCAAUGUUUCUUAUAUAUGUGCAUUUGUCUUUGAGAAUGCUGGAGAUGAGCUGAUUCUGCAAGGAUUCAAUGCCCUCGCGUUCUGACAUUUCACGGAUGUUGGACAGAAAGCAACAAUCCUCAAAAUUUUCUAAAAGCUGAUUGUAGAUGAUUUUGGCAGUUGUCGUCUUCCCGAUGCCACCCAUCCCAUAGAUUCCUAUAAUCCGUGUUUCACUUGUGCGAGGACCUAUCAAUUCCAUGAUUGCAUCAACAUGGUUGUCGACAUUGACCAAGCAAUUUGAUACUACCAAAUAAGCCUUUUUCAACUCAUUGAAAACCUUCUGCAUGAUUGUUUUUGCAAACUGACCUUCUUGCCUAUUAUUCGUUGAAAGUCAAAAGGCAAUGAGUUAGAAAAUUGAGUUAAGCCAAACUAUGCUCUAACAAGACCAAAUUGAAAACUACAGACCUAUUCUAAAUGCGUUCCUCAACGAUUUAUACCAUUUUGAUAAACUAGCACUGGAACUUAGGGUAAAUGAAUGACCUGAACUAACGAAAAAUGUUGCUUGUUGGGAAUGAAAUGGGACAAAAAUUGACAUGGUGAUAUUAUUUAGCCUGAUUUUGCUGCAUAAUUUCAAUUGCAUACAAUUUCAACAAGACUAACACAAAUUUAGAAAAGAAACAAAUUUAAAUGCAUCGAGUUUAACGAUACAAGGCACAUGAGAUGGAAUGCUAAAAGUAGUCACCUGUUGGGCAUGCUUUGCAGGUCCCAUCCAUUUAUAUCCACGACUGUAGUGAGAGCAUUCUUCCACUCUGCUAUAGUCUUUUCAUCAUAUCGCUUCUUUCUUUUGUGUGAAACAAAAGCAUUUUUAAAACUCCCGGUUUGGUGUCGAACCUCCGAAGGUGUCACAUCAUAAAAAAUGGGCAUGAUCUUUUGUCCUUCAUUUUUCUGGCACUUGACCAUUUGAACUAGCUCUCUGAGACACCAUACGCUAGAGGCAUAACCUUUUGAAAAGAUAGGUAUUAAGAUCUUCGACUGAUUGAUUGCUUCAGGAAGUUCUGGGGCAAACUCUUCCCCAACACGGAGCGCGUCAUCGUCCCUAAAUGUGCGGAUUCCUGCAUUUAUAAGAUAAUUGUAAAGGAAGUCGGUAAAACCUGAUCGUGUGUCAGGCCCUCUGAAACUCAAGAAUACUUCAUAGUCAUGUCCGGAAGAUGUUGCCGUUUCCUCAACUUGUGGUGUAGUGCAAGUAUGAGUAGCCCUCUCUACGGUACCAUUCUGUGGAGCUGAAUCAUUAUCUGCACUGCCCUCCACAGCGGUCUGACCUGCUCUUUUCUUCAAGAAUCCUUUGAACAGGAUGGCAGAGAGAGCUAUGGUAGCAACCGUCACAAUACAGGGCAACAGCAAGUGCUCAAGCAUUUUGUGAGUUAGCAAAGAGAAGGUUUUUAGUUAGAAAUACAGGGGAAUGGUGGAAUAGCAGAGAUGAGAGGCGGCACUUAAAGAUCAGGAUGGAGUAACGAGGAACGGCGAGCCCGCGACGGCGAGAAAUCGCCAGAGAAAGAGUAGAGACUGAGGCGAGGGCGGCCACUGAUGCUGCGACGGAUCAGCGACGAGGCAGAGGAGGAGAAGGAUCGAGAGGAAGAGGAGAGGAAGGGGGUCGUGCGGCGAGGAGGCGGAGAAGUAUCGAGAGGAGAAGGAGAGGAAGGGGGUCGUGCAGGUGCGGCAAGCGGCGAGCGGCGAGCGGCGAGAGGAGGAGGAGAAGGGCGCGCUAGCUUUUGGGUUUUGGAAACUCAAAAAGAAUAUAAAAAGGAGGCUGAUGAGGGUGAAGUGACAGCCUGUCACGUGGGUGGGGGAGGGGAAAAAGAGUUAAAUAAAUUUGGGUUGGGGGGAAAUGGCCUGACGUGAGGAGAGGAGGGAAAAAAAAUUGAAAUAAAUUUGGGGGGGGAAUAGUCUGACGUGGGGAAGGGAGAGAAAAAAAUUGAAAUAAAUUUGGAGGCGGGGGAAAAUAUAAGAGGGAAAGAAGGGAGUGGGGGUUGGCGGUGGACCCCUCGAUUAGAUUUUUUUUUAAUCGAAAAAAUAAAUAAAUGAAAUAAAAAAAUAAUUUUGAAAAGUAAAAAUACUGAAUUUUAAAUGAUAAUAAAUUUUGAUCAUUAUAAAAGAUUAUGGAUUUAUUUAAAUAAGUUGAUUCUAAUUUCUUGUUAAUAAUCAAUUUUAUCAAUAACUUUUGUUAAAAAUAAAAACAUAUUUCUAAACAUGAAUAUGUAUUAAUUAUGAAUAUAUCUUUCAAAAUUCUAAUGAAUUGAUUUAUUAAUAUUAUUAGUGUAAAUUUAUUAUAGGCUUUUUAAUUAUUUAUUUAUUUAUGAAUUUGAAUUAAAUUAAUUAAAAAUAAAAAUAACCGUUUAAUAUACAACGUGCCUUAUCGUAUUGAAAUUCUCAAUUUUUGAGAAAUGACAUAUCGACAUGUCAUGUCGCGUGUCGAUACUAAUUAGGGAGUAAGCGCAAGAAGCCAAGGCACUUUAAAUCUCAAGGAGCAAAUGGGCAAGUGUUGGGAUUCACACUCUACAUUGUACGGUGCACACUAUUUUUCCCCCUUAUGAAUGCCUUUUGAGGAGAUAACAUUCAACUGCAAUUUCAUAAAAGGUUCUGAAGGAUUAUUCUCUACACAUCAGAAAAGGCCACCAUCUUUCAUCUGGCAUUUCCUAAACAUUGUUCACACUGCGCUAGCUUUGAGGAAGAAAAAAAAAAUAGUAGCAACAACGUUUCACGUGCUAUGAUGCAUAACAAGUUGGUCUCCAAGACCAACCAAGCACAUCCGCUUUGAUGUAAGUUGUCUCUUCUCAUAUCUUAGGAACGAAAAUUGUCCCUUUCUAAGGUUGAUUCUAGAGAUUUGGCCCUCCACUUUCCUUUUUGAGUUCAUAUUUGAUCACAUCCUUUUAUUUGAUGAGCAAAACUAAAAUACGAAUCCUACACUUCGGUGACUGUUUGAAUUCUUGCCCAAGGCUUUCAUAUUACAAAAAAAAAAAAAAUCAAUGUAUUUAAAAAAUACUUCAGCUGUGCUUGCAAACAAGUGUAAGCUGAAGUAUUAAAGUGGUGGAAUGUCAUUGGAAGGUUAAACCAACGAACAGACCAUGGCUAGCAAAGUAUCCUUCCAAAUGUCACUUCUAGAAAUAUAGACAUAGCACAAUGUAGAGUUUUCUUGUUAAAAAAAUUUGGCUCGAAUCUCAUGAACUUAAAUAAUUCCCAAAGGGUCUUACAUCUCAACAAACAACAUGAUUGCAUUUACAUUGGACACAGCACAGUGCAAAGUUUCCGGCCGGCCACCCCGGAGGAGUUGCCCUCCUCCGGGACCUUUCAUUGGAGGUUUACUAGCCUAGUAUGCUAGGAGAAGGCAGUGACCUCCCUCCAGGCAGGAUCCCAGCACUAGAAGUGCUAUGGCCGGAGAGCCCAAUGGGGACUCUAUCCUGUUUUCCUCCCCUCACUUCCCUGUAAAUGGGUUGUGGGAGGAAGCACCCUAGGAUGUCCUAUUCAGGGUGGAGCACUUUAAGGACCUGCUUAGGUCCUCACUUCUAGAAAUAUAGACAUAGCACAAUGCAGAGUUUUCUUGUUAAAAAAAUUUGGCUCGAAUCUCACGAACUUAAAUAAUUCCCAAAGGGUCUUACAUCUCAACAAACAACAUGAUUGCAUUUACAUUGGACACUGCACAGCGCAAAGUUUUUUUUUUUUUUUUUGGUUAGUGCAAAGUUUUUAUUCCCCUUAAAAUAAAAUUAAGAAAAAAGACAAAAAGACAAAAGUUUGAAUCUUUUUGAAUCUCUAUAAUAUAAAUAAUUUCUUCCCAAUGUCACUUCCAGAAAUAUGGACAUCUAGUCUCUCUAGAUUAGAUCAAAACAUUAUCCAACGCAAUUCAUUUGAUGAAUGGUUGUAGUUUGAAAUCUUACAAAGUUCUAAAAUUCCGCUGGCCAAAAAGGAGUUUUGAUAUAUGCGUUGUAAGUUUGAAUAAUCAAAUAAUAAAUUUCAAAUAUAGCUGGUAAGUGAAAAUUACAUAUGACUUUAUAUAUAUAAUAGACCAAGUGACGAUUGCAGCCAUAAGGACGUACUUAAGCUGAACUUGCACCGAGAGCAACCAUGUCUACUGAAGAGAAAAUAGCCGACCCUGAGGCGGCGAAGACGGCUGAAGUGCUGCCGCUGAAAGAGGAGGCCCUGCCUCCACCCACGAGCCCUCCCGACGAGGCAAGCUUGCUCACAGCGGACGUGGCUCUUCAAGGGUUGCUGUUUGCUUCGAUGCUAAUCGCGCUCUUGAGGACCGUUCUAAGUUUGGUUCUGGAGAUUUGGUCCUCUACUAUCCUUUUUGAGUUCAUAUUUAAAUUUUGAUGCACACCAAUACACACGCUUUUACUUGAUGGGCAAAAUUUUAAUAAUUGAGUCGAGCCCCGAUACCGCGGCCACAUCCAACCACGGCCGUGCGAGGCCAGCAACCUCCGUCUGUCGCGACUUCUAUUGGACAUAGGUUGUGAGUUCCGUGCGGAGAAAAAAAGAGACCAAAGGAUAGCAAACAAGUCAAAUCGGUGAGGAGUUAAUGUCGCCGGUGGAUUCACACAUGAAGGUGAGGGCUUGUGAUGGCAAUAUGGGUGGGUGACACGUAAAAUUCCUAAACUAUAUUAACUAUGACACUAAUUAUUCCAACUUUUUUUUUUCAUCAUAAAAAAUCGAAACUUGUAUCAGAAAUCCAAAAAGUACUCUCCAUCCAAGAUGGUCAUUAAAAAUUUAAUGUGCCUGUUUGCGUGGACAACAGUAGACAAAUGAAGCAGACAUGACUCGGGAGAAUUCCACCAAAAAGCCUAAACCUUGCCUGGUGCGACAAUGGAACCCAAUUUUUUUUUACCUGUUACUAAUACUAUAUAUAAACGUGUAUCAGUGACUCGCAAAUAUUAUGCAUCACAGUUCCAUCCAAGACGGCCGUUAAAAAUCCAAUGUGACCACUUGCUUGGACAUCGAUAGGCAAAUGGAGCCAAUGUGGAUUUGAUGUGAUUUUAGUAUGGUCUAAAGUGACUUUAGACCACUUGUCAAAGUUAUAAGUUUUUAAAAAUUAAACCUCCAUUAUAACAAGUUAUCUCUCACAAUUUUUAGGGUCCAGGAAAUGGUAUAAUUUGGAGAUGCAGUUUUUUUGAAUAAUAAAUGGGACGAAUUCAUCUCUAUUUUAACUAAAAGAGCUCCGAGCUUAAUUUGAAACUAAUAUACAAAAUAAACGAGCUUCAACUUAUUCUCCAUUUAUUUCUUAAAAAAUGAAUGAUUUGGAAAACACUUUAUAUUGUUCAUAAAAAUGAAUAAAUUAAAGAUAUUUUCAUAAUCUAUCAAAAUAUUUAGACAUAAAUUAUUAUUGAUAGUUAAAAAAUUCAUUAAUUAAUUGUUUCAAGAAAUAUAAAUGAUGAUUAUUAUUUAUUUUUCGCGAAAUAAACGGAAUGCCAACUUUAACAAAAGUGUAAUGGAAAAUAUUCUUGCUUUGCCUUUUCCUUUUUCUCUAUGUGCUCGAGACCUUACAUUCGUCCACCCUCUUUUUAGCAUUUCACUUAUGUCCUUCUUCUUUUUGGGACUAGAAAGAAUAUGAAGGGAUAUGAUUGUUCACUUUGGAUCUCUUUAUUGGCAUCAAAUAUAUGGUCUAUCGUCAUACCAAUCUGACAUCUAUCAACGACUUUUUUUGGGGUAUGGAUUCAUCAACAACGUUAGCGUGCAAACACUGGUACAAUUUUGUGCCGAAGGGUUAUACUUUUCCUAAAAGAGAAAAAGAAAAAAGAAAAAAACUGGAAUUGCCCCUCACGAUCUUCCUUCUUUGUUUGGUGAAAAAUCAUUUUUGGAAAAUGUCUUUCCUUACUUUCCAGUGUUUGAAUAACGUAAAGCUACUCGAUCCAUAAAAACCUUUACCAUGGGCUAAAAGUAAUAAAUAAGCUUAGAGAAAAAUGACUUGGCAAGAAGAAUUGUUUUCCUUGAUUUUUGUCCUAAUUUAUUUUGUUGUUAUUUUCAUGGAUUAUAGAAUAAACGGUGAUGAUAUUAUAUCCAGUUUGUUAGUCAUCACAUGUUACUUUUAACUGUACAAGCCACCCUUAAUGAAUUCACUUAUACCAAUUAUGAUCAAAUCAAUUUCUUCAACUUGUUUUCAGCACAAUCAAAAUUUUGUGUUUACUUUUUCUGAGAUUGAAUUUCCUAAAACAUUUUCCCGCAACAAAAAAAAUUCUCAGUGAGAUAAACACAACCUAAGAAUUUGUUUUCACAUGAUGUUAUUCGAUUGAAAGAAAUGGUAAGAUGGAAUUAUCAAUGAUAUGAGAAUUGGACAUCGAUUUGUUGUCAUAUGAUUAUUUGGGGUUGAAUGAGAGAAUAAUGAAUCGGUGUAGGAUUUUACAGAAUGAUCUUAGUGAAAUAUUUUUACAAUAAAAUCUCUACGUUUAUGGAAGUUUGAUUGGGAGGCACAGAGUGCCAAAUAAAUGGGUCAUUGGUGUGAUUCCUUCUUGAGCAAGCUGGUUCAUCGUGGACUCUUGCUAGUCCAAGUCUUUGUUGACUUUGACUUUGCCCUUCUAAUCCCAUGACGUUUCUGUCUUGCUUGCACCACUCCUUACGCUGUUCUAUCUUUUUUUUUUUUUUUUUUGCUCUCUUUUUUAGAGUGGUAGCUAAUGCGAUUUUAAAUCUAAUGAUAGUAUUUUGAUGCAAGGCAAAAUUAUAUGUAUACGGCACUUUUGUCAUUCAAUUAAAUUAGAUGUUAUCAACUUUUCUAUUGAUUAAUGAUAGGAUUGGCUAGAUUAUUUAAAGAUAAAAGUUCUUUGAAUAGAUGGUAUUUGUUUUGCAGGUAUUUUUCAAGUUUCUAAAUCAAUUCCGUGGCUACUAAACAUUUUGUGUUUCACAAGAGAAAGUAGCCACUUCGCAACUAAAGUUUCACGAUAUUGACUCGAUAGAAACCAAAAUAGCCAAAGUCAACUUUUUUCAACCAUUCUUUAGCCAACCAAAGUCACUUGUAAAGAGUUGGCCCUUACAAUAUCAUAAGCUUUUCACGAUCUAGAUAAUGAUCAAUUCCAUGAUGAAUAAACAAAGCAUUGCCUCCUCUUCAUUGAUCUCUUUUGAUCUUCUCUCCGAGAAAAAAGGUCAAAUUGUAUAACAGCAAAAUCAGUGCAGCACAUUGUGAAAUCUAAAUCACUUUUAGAAGCCAAAAUUACAAAUGGAGAUAUCCAUGGGUCAUUAAAAGUAGAACACAGGAUUUGUUGACUAUGCUGAGAGCUGGGGGCAGUUCGUAUUCUAAUGAUAUUGUCUUUGUAGAGUUUGCUUUCACCCUGAAACAAAACCGCACGGUGGCCAAUGCGUCUUCCUUUCUUCCAUUGAAUCAUCCGAGAGCACUGUGUCGCCAUAGAUGCCCCCGCCCUUGCCCACAAAUUAACAAGAAUGAUAGGGCACGGGGACCCACUCGUGGCUUUGCUUGAACAUAAUUGUAGUGUCGCUUUCAGGACAGGGGCGUGUCCCAAUCGGGGAAAAAGGAUCAGGUCUAUUUUGAAGAAAACGCCCUGUCUGUUUUUCUUUUUUUUUUUUGGUAAGAGGUAAGAAUAUUAUAGCUAAAGAAACAAGGAGUUACAAGGAGGCAAGACAGACAGGCGACUCCAAUCAUGCACUCAAAAUGACACAGGCGUCAUACUGAGUGGAUGGGAGGCGGGGUGGAUUCCCCAGCACAUUUGGAGUCUUCGGUUACGCGGGUUAUCCGGAACUCUUGAGAAUGUGGAGGCUCUAUCUUUGACAACUUUCCGAAGACGAUCUUUGAGAGCGGGCAGGAAUAGGCUUUGAUUCCGAAAGAUGAUGUUAUUUCGCUCCUUCCAUAUAAGGUAGCACAGGGCAGCAAAUGCAAAGCGAGCAAUGGAAUGGUGGAAGCAUGAGUCCGAGAGAUGGAUGACCAUCCACUGUAGAUUCUCUUUCCAAGGACCAUUUCGCCAACUCAAAUUACAUUUAGAAGCCCAGAAAGAGGCCAAUCUACCCGUAACUGAGCAACCAAAGUAUAAGUGGUCGAUUGAAUCUAGCCUACUUGAGCAGAACGCACAGGAACCAUCCGGGAUCCUCCCAUACGACAGAAGCAAGACCUAGGUUGGCAAUCUAUUCCGAGUGAUCAGCCAUAGAUGGGUCUGAUAACGCGGGGGAAGAGUGGAGCUCCAGACAAAUCGAGACCAGUUAACCAAAGAGCCUCUAGCUCGAAGCAUAGUCCAUGCAGAAGCAGUAGAGAACUGACCUGAAGAGUGGCCAAGCCACACCAGACGGUCAUCCUGAUUGUUGAGGCUGGGGAGAGGAUCAACCCAAGUCUGGAUAGCAACAGCUACAUUAGACGGGAUAGACAGGGCAGCAAUACCUAUAACAACAGAAGCAUUCCGAGGGAUACGAGAGCAAUAUAUGUCACGAUCCGAGAAUAACUUGUUGAAUGGGCCACGAGGGUGCCAGGUAUCAAACCAAAAAGAAGUCGAUAACCCAUUACCAAUGUUCCAGGCAAAAUACCUCUGAAUCAAUUCACGCAGGCCAAAGAGUUUCUUCCAAGACCAAGAACAAACGGUCGGUCUAGGCGCAAUCCAGAAAUUCUUGUGUUUUAAGAAGACUGAAUGUAUCCAUUUGGUCCAGAGUGAUUCCUUAUCAGAGAAAAGCAGCCAUAUAUGCUUAGUCAUGGCAGCAAUGUUACUAACUCGAAGUGAGCGAAUACCUAGUCCUCCUUCCGCUUUAGGAAGGCAGACUUCUUCCCAACAAACUCUAGCACCACCAGAACCAAGGUUCAGGCCACGCCAAAGAAAUUGGCGGAAGAUCUGCUCAAUUCGAUUAAUAACUGAGGAGGGGAGGAUAAAAACCGAAGACCAGUACACCUGAAUGGAAUGGAGAACAGAUCUAAUAAGUUGGAGUCUACCAGCAGUUGAAAGGAAACGGUUAGUCCAUGACUGAACUCUCUUCAUUAUAGCAUCCACCAGAGAUACACACUCUUCCUUGCCUAAUCUUGAGGAAAUUACGGGGAUGCCAAGGUAUCGAAAGGGCAAUGAUCCAAGGUUGAACCCCGAUGCAUUAACCAUUGUGUUGGAGAAAUCUUUCCAGAAGAUUUUGAAGCUGACAAAACAUUUCUAUCAGUCUAGUCUUGAUAUCAUUGGUUUAAAGUCUCAAGACUUUGUAAUCUCAAGACUCAAGACUCAAGACUCAAGACUCAAGAUUAUUCUCACUGACAGUCUUUCUAAUCCAGCUGCGAAGGAUAUCCAAAGCCGAAGUAUAUGGUUGGGGAUUUGAUCCAAUCCUCUGGAAUAGAUCCCUUGGUUGGAUAAUCAUUUCGGAUUCUUUUGAUUCUUAUCUAAGAUCAAUUGAAGAUCUGAUGGUCGACGAAACAUUCUUGGAAUGUUCUAUUCUUGGAAACCAAAAUCCUGAUUGUAUGGGCAAACAGGAUUGAUGGGCUAUCAUCAGAUUCCUUAAAUAGCUCGGAUGAUCUUCUUAAUUGAUUCCGUCCAACGGGUAGAUUGGAGGAAUUCCUUUGGUAAGUGCCAACGGCUAUGAUGGCAUAAAGGAGUAUAAAAGGAAGACGUUCUAGUUGUUUUAAGUGUGUGAUCGAUAGAUAAAUUCCAGAGUCUGAAGAACCUUGAUUGUUAGUCGAGACUGUUCAAGCGAAAUUGUAUACACAGAGAGUAGUUGUACUUGGUGAUACCUUGAGCGAGUGUAGUAGAUCAUCUACAUCGAGAGAUCAAGGAAGAUCAACACUGUAACAUCUCUUUGUUCAUAGUGGAAUCCAGCCAAUCGGCUGUCAGUGCAGAAGAGUGGACGUAGGCUUGAAUCAAGCUGAACCACUAUAAACCUCGUGUUUAAUUCUCUCUUUCUUUUACUCAGUCUUACGAUUGUUUUUUAAUCCUUCAUCUGUUUAAGUAUUGCGCAAACUGCAAGAAAAUUUUCAUAAACCUAUUCACCCCCCUCUAGGUAUUCGUACUAGCAUUAUCAAUUGGUAUCAGAGCUUGUGUUCUUACUUUAUUUGAAGUGUUUUACUUCAGAGUAUUGGGGAUGAGACCAAACCAGGCAGCAAAAGUGUUUACUCCAUCCAUUAGAAGGCUUAGAGACGGCAUGGUUGCUUCCGAGAAGAGCAACACAUCGUCAGCGAAGAAUAGAUGGGAUAACUUGGAGGGUUUACAACGCCAAAAGAACCGAAAUCCGGGUUUGCAGGUGCGGGCAUUAAUACUGCCAGUAAAAACUUCCAUUACAAGAGUAAAGAUAUAUGGGGACAGAGGGUCCCCCUGUCGGAUACCUCUCCCACUAGGGAAAAAACCAUGCAACUCACCGUUUAAAGCUAUAGAGAACUUGGGGGUUCUGAUGCAUGUCAUAAUUCGAUCAAUAAAUGUGGGUGGGAAGCCAAAUGCUUGGAGCGUCGACUCAAUAAAGUUCCAGUCAACUGAGUCAUAAGCUUUGGAGAAAUCAACCUUAAUAAUGUUCUUUGGAAAGUAAGGCUCAUGGUGGAAGUGAGCAAAUAAUUCUUGAGCAAGCAUGAUAUUAUCACUUAUCCUCCUCCCUUUAACAAAAGCGUUCUGGGGGGGACUAAUUAUAGAUGGGAGCAUAUAAGCUAAUUUGUUGGCUAACAGUUUCGUGAUACACUUGUAUAUAGUGUUGCAACAAGCAAUAGGACGGAAGUCAUUUACCGUGGAAGCAUUGGGGGACUUCGGGACCAAGGUUAGAAUAGUGGUGUUGAUCUCACGAAGCAGCUGGCCUGUAGAUAAGAAGUCCCGAAUUGCUAAUAGAACGGAAGGGCCUACAAUAUCCCACGAUUGCUUAAAGAAAUCAACAUUAAAUCCAUCCGAGCCAGGGGCUUUUCCAAUGGCCAAUGAAAACAAAGUAGUUUGGAUUUCUUCUUCAGUGAAUGGCUGAGAGAUGGCUUGGAUCUGAUUAUCAUCGAGCGUAGAAGCCAGAUUCGCACGAAUCUCUUCAACAGACGGAACGGCGGAGGGGGUAGCGUCUGACAGCAGAUUUUGAAAGUGAUCAACAAAGAGUUGCUGCACUUCAACUUCAUCAGUAAUUACAUUACUACCAUCAAAAAUCGAGAGAAUUCUAUUCCGGAGAUGGCCUCGCUUCACCGAAUGGUGGAAGAAACUGGUGUUUAAGUCACCUUCUUUAAGCCAUAUGACCCUUGAUUUUUGUCUGUAGAAAGAUUCUUCCUUGAGGUGAAGGUCAGAAAAGACACGGAGGUGGUCCUUUUCCGCAUCAGCUAGAGCUUGAUUAUGAGGGUCAAACUGAAUAGCGUUUUGAGCUUGCACGAGAAGACGUCUGGCGUCAGAAGUUCUAGCCAAAAUAUCAGAGUAAGCCUCCCUGUUUAAUAAUUUGAGUCUGCAUUUCAGGGACCUAAGCUUACUACAAAGGACAAACAUAGGCGUACCAGAGAUACGCAGCUCCCAGAUUUGCCGAACCAACUCAAAGAAGUUGGGGUGUGACAUCCAGAAAUUGAAGAACUUGAAGGGUUUACGCGAGCUAGGAACAGGGAGAAUCCUGACCACCAUAGGAGAGUGAUCAGACACUCCAGGGGCAAGAAAGUUGGCUUCCGAAUAGGAGAAGGCCGAGAUCCAAGCUGCAUUAGUAAGAACUCUGUCUAUCUUUCUUUGCCUUUGAUUAGGACCAGACGAAGUAGACCAAGUAAACCUGUUACCCACAAAGCGGAGAUCAUCUAGACCAAAUUGGAUGAGGCAAUCUCCAAAGUCUUCAAAGGCUGGGAUCCAGUAAUUGGAUCUAUCUGCUCUAUCAGAAGCAUACCGAAUGACAUUGAAGUCACCAGCAACAAUCCAGGGGAUGUCCAGACAAAUGGAACUAGUGGAGAUCAGAUCAUUCCAAAGCGGUCUUCUCAGGACAAAAGAAUGCUCCGCAUAGACUACCGAAAGAUUAAAAGCAACACCAGAAAUAAAACACUUCAACCGGCCAUGAAUGGCCUGAGCAGAACAAGCUGAGAUGCAAAAAGAAGCGGCCAAGGGGUUCCAACCCACCCAAAUACGACCCCUGAUGGAAUAAGAGUAAUUUGUAGACCAAGACCACCCAGGAAGAAGGGAUGCCGAAACAUGGGAAUGGGCAGCAGGGGAUAUUUUAGUCUCCAAAAUACCAAUACAACAGAGGCAGUUAGUCCUCACAAAAUUCCUAAUCUCAGCUUGUUUGAGGGCUUGUCCAAGACCCCUAAUAUUCCAAACACCAAAAAACAUAGGAAUGAGAUAAUAGGAUUACCUUCUCUUGCCACCUCGUUUCCUUGCCGAGUGUGGCAUAAGCUUCGGGCCAGCAGGAAUACUUGCCUCAGCAGAUUCAGAGCGGAGGAUUCCUUUUUGACGAACAGGGGCCUCCUGAUUAACCUUCGGAGGGGGAAAUUUAUCGCGUUCCUCCGGUAUGGACGAGGGCACCUUACAAGGUGAUACAGAUUCACCAUCAUCGGAACUGAUAUCUUCAUGAUUUUCAUCUGAAGGUGCAGACUUAUUCAAGCCAGGGGAAACCUGUCUUUGCAUCACAGUAGCGGAAUCUGGGUCAAUAGAGGUGGCAGGGAGUAGAUCAAAGGAAGGAUGAUGAUCCUCCUGCCUGGUUAACUCUGGUUGCCUAUGAAGGGCCAUUGAAAUCUGAGGCAUCGGAUCUCCAAUCUGGUUUCCUUCAGAACGGGGGGACUUGGGACGAUUCGGGACCGGAUCAUACAUCAGGCCAUCAUUUGCAGGCGUCGGGGCGUGCUUAUUGCGUUUACCACGCACUUCACGCCAUUCGUUUGGACGAGGGACAGGUGCCUUCGGGACUGAGGGACCAGGUUUAGAAGGACCUGAGGAAUUGGGGGCAGGACAUCUAUGGCCAAAUGAAGAGCAGGUUGGACAAAGUGUCGGGAUCCACUCAUAUUGGACUGUCACUGAUCUAAGCUCACCCUUCAUCAUAAACUCUAUAACUUCAGGGAAAGAGUUAGACGUAUCAACUUCUAUACAAACUCAAGCAAAAGCUACCAUUGCCAUCUGUUCUGUUCGAUUAUCAACAAAUAAGGGCUUACCAAUACCACUUGCCAGAAAACUAAUGCCAGCAGCAGACCAUAGAGCCACAGGGACGUUCCUGAGUCGAAUCCAGAUGGGGACAGUAUUAUGAGUUGAUUUCUUGAGCUCCAACAUAGGGUGCCAUUGUUGCAGGAUCAAGGGGAUUUUGGCUACUGUAAUCGGGCCUCCAUCCAAGACUUUCAUCCUGAAUUCACUAUCCGGAAUGUGAAAGAAGUAAAAACCAAGGUCAGCAGCAAUAACUUCGACCAAGUGAUGGCCCCAGGCAUUCUUGAGGGCGUCCUCUGUGAGGUGGAAGGGUAGGCGCUUCCCAAUGUAGUAACCAACCAGACAUUCCUCCCAUUUCGGGUGAGUAGAUUCGAGAAUCUCCUCCGGCAUCUGCAGAAUCUUAGAGUUCUCAAUUGUGGCCGGAGGAACAAAGGAUAAACCAUAGCCUUUGGUUGCCGAACGGGUCAGCAGCCCAGGAGCGAGCAGGAGGGGGAGUUUCCUUCACAGGGGGAAUAUGUACAUUCAGAAAUGGCUCCUCCGGCGCCUUAUUCGGGGCAUUCGGACGCCCUUUGGCCUCACGACCGUGGAGAACAGGGAUAGAUGCAGUGUCACGGCUGAAGGAGAUCUUCCUAUCCUUUCGAUUUAGACCAGCAGAGGCAUUAUCACACCCAACAGCAUUUAGCCGAGCAGGAAUACCCAGCAGAGGACGAGCCCUACGAGCCCUGCUUCGUCCCCUGCUUCGCGAACGCCCAGAGUGGGCGCGAGGUCCUCUCAGAGCCGAGGAGUAUCGCAUAACAGGGUUGCGAGUGGGUGUGGGGGAGUGAGGGUGCUCAACCGGAGCAACAACAUGGGCUUUACCCCGGUUAUCUUCCACCACCUCAGAGGAGGACACCAUUCGGAGACGGCGAACUCGGAAUUUCAAGCCCUAAAAACUCAGAUCCGAGAUUCCAGCUGAGGAAGACAUACCAGGGAAAUUCGCUCGGUAGAAGACAAGAUCAGAUGUAGAGGAAUGUUGUCUCCAAGCGUGGGCGCAAUCGGCCGGCCAGAACGGCCGGAAAUGGGAGACGCGCAGGCGAUGAACAGUGCUCGCGCAAACCCAGUCGAGAGCUUCAGCUUGAACAGUAACUUCUCCUCGUUUAAUGUUUAACUCACGCCCCAUCUGUUUUUCGUGCUCUCCAAACCUCAAAAAUACAAAGGAAGUUUGGGAAAAUAUGGCAAUUUCAAUGGGGGACGCGUGGGCUAAAAAUCCAUGAUUUCGGGGUUGCGCUGCCAACUGCGGCAUAUGGACUGGAUUACACCUCUCUUCACUUCCUAUUCUUCGAGCAGGUCUUGCCCGCUCGAGCACCGGGGCAUGUGAACCUGACUCAUGCACAUAUGGAUCAUGUGAAUUCUCCAUACGUUCCAUCUCACCCAUUGGUAUGCAUGACCCCAGAUUGAUUUAGCAUAUUCUUCCUAUUAAUUGGCUCCCGCUUCACUGCACCCGAUAUUAUCAGUCCCCUCAUGUGCAUGUGACCAUUGACAUUUGACAGGUCUACGUUCCAUCUACCAUGUGAGUCAUGUGACCACCGACAGUUGACAGGUCUACGUUCCAUCCACCAUGUGAGUCAUGUGACCAUCAAUAGUUGAUAGGUCCAUGUUCCAUCCGCCAUAAUCAUGGCCCCUUGUCCUUUUCCCUUUGCUCCUCUCCUUUCUCCCCUAUCAAUUGCAUUUUGUCUUUUUGAUGCUGCCAAAAUACCCAAAUGCUCUCUUGGCGAGGAAUUUAUUUAUCCUUUUCUUUAUGGUAUUGAUUUUAAUGAUAAAUUGGGAUGAGGGCCUUUCUCUAUUCCUCAAAAAAUCUCUCGAUAUAGAUUUGAGAGUUUAAUAAAUAUACUUUUGGGGAUUCAAUGCUCUCAUGCUUUAUUCAUGUAUAGAUUCUCUGCCCCAGUCUCAAUGAUGAUCGUAGGAGUUUUAGCAUUUCGUUGAAUUACGGAGAUUUGUUCCUCCACACAUUAUAAUUGUGUUUAUCUAACAUAGUAUGGUUGUUUUUGUACGAUGAUGGUAUAGAGGAAGCUGAAUCAAGGCACGCACCAUCAACUAACAACAUCAUAAUUAUUGAAGAAGGAAUUUUUGGCGUGUACUCAUCACUGACACAGACUCGAGAUCUGGUGAUUGGUUACCAAUUUUGUUUGACAUAUAUGUUCAUGUGGAGUGAGUUUGUGCUUAACUUUGCAAUUGCUCCAUCAAUCCUCCUUUUGUUCUGGAUUUGGCUUUGUUUUUCAGUAUUCAUGCUCUAUUUUGAUUUGCUUUGUCAUGAAAAUUAUUUACUUAUGCAUCAUUUUGAGUAAUGAAUACAAUUUUCCUUCGAUCGAGGGAAAAAAAAACUAAGUCAAGCCCCGACACCACAACAUUCAACCAUAGAUUUGUGGCUCUAGCGACCUUUGCCAGUCGCGAGUUCCAUGGACAUAGGUUUAUGAGCUUUGUGCAGAAAGAAAAAGAGAUGAAGGCAUAGAAGACAGACUUGAGCAGGUGAGGCGUUAACUCGCCGAUGGAUUGAUGCAUGAAGUUGAGGGCUAGUAAUGCAAUGGGUGGGCAGCAAAUUCGGCAACGCUGAGUGUGCAAUUUCAUAAAAAAAUCCUAACCUUUAUAUUUACCGUAAUACUAAUUAUCCAAGCUUUAUUUUUAUCAUCAAAAUCCCAAACUUAUAUGGUAACCAAAAAAUAUGUUCCAUCAAAGUUUGGUCCAAGAUAAAUGUCAAAAAUCUAACGUGGUGUCUUGGACGACGAUGAACUUAAAAAUCUGAAUAAAGCUUUUGAAAGAAAACUCGACUUAGCAACUUUUAGGGUCCAAGAAGGGAGAUAAUCCACUUGGCGGUCCUUUUUGUAAAACAAACGAGCUACAAUUUUUACUUCGAAGAAAAAGUGGGAUGGAAUACAAAUUCUAGCUUUGCUUUUUAUCCUUUUCCGCUUUGCGCUUGAGACUCACAUUCGUCCACCUUGAUUUUAGCAUUUCACUUUUGGUCUUACUCCUUAUCGGGAGAAGAAAGCAUAUGAUGGAUCUCUCUUUAUUUGGAUGAAGAGACCAAAAUAUUCAACAUGCCCAGGUUUAGAAUUUUUUUUAUCUUUCCUUUUAUUUAGUUUCUUUUCUAGGUGAACUUCGUCUAAACUCCACGACAACUCCUUCCACAUCGUUCCUUGACCUUUUCGCACGUUUCUUCCUUUGCUUCAAAUCCUUGAUCUUCCCCUCGUUGGCACUGCUCUCUGCUCACACGCCUCCAAAACCCUAACCCGAUGCCCAUGGCCAUGGUCAUUUCCGGUGAUUGACGAACUGACCUCCUCAAAGUUGCCGGGGAGUGCAUGAUCGAUGUGAACGCUCCAACACCAGCAAGACCUUCAGACUUCGAUGGGUACAGAUGUGGACUAAAUGAACCUAUUGGUAUUUGAUAAGGACGACAUGGAGGAAACACGGUGAGGCAGCCAAGGAGGAAAAAUAAAAUCCCGCAAGAUACAAAGGUGUAAAAUUGUUUGGUUCCAGAAUUCAUGGGCUCUUAAGUCUUUUCAUACAUACAUCCGAAUUUGACAAAAGCAAAAUUUAAAAUUGAAGCAAUUAAUCACGAUUGACUCUAUGAGUCAAAAAAGACUCUUGGGAAGUAUAAAAUUCAUCGAUUCGAGACCAAUGGAAGAUCAAAUUGUUUUCUGAUAGCUUUAGCUUUGAUUAAACUCCACUAAACUUUUGUUUUAGUAAAACAAACUCCAAAGGUCUCAUUGCAAUUUUUUUUUUUAAUCGGACUCCUUCCAUUUAAAUUGAAAUUGAGUGUCCUCCAUUAUAGCUCAGAAGCUCCAAGAAGAAGAGAAAAUAGGUGGGUUCCCAUUGCCUUAACUCAUCUCUUUAUAAAGGAAAAUAUAGACUUCGUAUUAGAUGUGGGCCUUAACUAUCAAAGACCUUUACUCCUUCACGAUAGAAAUAUCAAGGAAAUAAAAAGGAAAGAUCUUUUUCAAUGACUUUUGGGUAGAUCAUUGAACUUAGAAGCCAUAGGAUUGGCUGAACAUGCAGAGAGAGUUGUGGGCCAGUUUGCUACAAAAUUUGGUCAAUAAGGAUGAUUCCUUGAAGCAUCAUCCAGCUUGCCAAAGUUGACAAUUAUUUACAUUUCUUAACACAAAAAAAUCACUAGACCAUGUGAUGCAAAAAUUUUAGGAUUAGAAUCAACUUUUGCCCCCCAAAUAAAUGGCAGAUUCAUUCAAAGUCAAGUCAACAAAAGCAGACAUCAAAUUUUGACAAUUGACAAGUGUAUCAAAUUGGGGUUUUAUCCUUUGUUUGUCACAUAUGUAUUGGUUUGUGCUUUUUCCUAGUAUUAAUCAUAUUUAACGGAAACUAAUGGAGGGUAAAUUUGUCACAAUGUGCUAGUUUGGAGUUUUUGGUGAUCAAAAAAUUAAUUUGAGAUUCACGGGUAUAUAAGUUUGAGAUUUUUCGUGGUAUUAACUCUAAAAACAAUAAGAUUUAGAGAAACACAACUUGGCAAGAAGGAAUCAUUACCCUUAUUUUCUUGCUACGCUUUAAAGUGAGAAGAAUAUACUUUAUCAAUGCUCAAUUUUUCUACAUUCCCAAAGCACGAUUAAUCUAAUAUUUCACAAAUAUGAUUUCAUAAUUUCUAUCUUGAUUUCUUUGUAAUCGUUUUUAUUUCAAUGGAUUAUAGAAUUAAUGAAGAAGAUAUCAAUUCUAGUUUAUUAGUCAUUCCAUGUUACUUUUAACGAUACAAGCCGCAUCUAGUGGAUUCACUUAUUACUAAUUACGAUAAAAUCAGUUUUUUCAACUUGUUUUCACCAUAAUCAAUUUUUUCUGAUUCCCUUUCUCUGAAAUUGAAUUUCCUAAAAGCAUUUUCCCGCAGCAAAAAUCAGCGAGAUAAAGACAUCCUCAGAGUUUUUUUUAUUUAUUUGAUUUUCUAAUUUCAUAUGACAUAAUAUGAUGGGAGGAAAUUGUACGAUGAAAUUAUCAACGGAUAUGAGAAUUGGAGGGAAAUUUGUUGCCAUGUAAAUUUUGCAGGUGAUGGGAGAACGAUCAAUCAGUGUUGGAUUUUACAGAGUGAUAUGGUGACCUUUUUUUCUCUUCUUUUUGAUAAAAUCACUACAUUUAUGGAUGUCUGUCCGCAAGGGACAAAGUACCAAAUGAAUGAACCAUUGGUGUGAUUCCUUCUUGAGCAAAGCUGGUUCAUCAUGGACUGUUGGUAGCCUAAGUCUUUGUGGACUUUGACUUUGCCCUUACUGGUAGACUGUUCUUUUAUUUAUCUAUUUUCUUUGGAGAGUGGUAGGUAAUGCAAUCUUUAAUCUAACGAUUUUAUUUCGAUGCAAGACAAAAUUGUAUAUAUACUGCACUUCACAUGAUAACUAAAAAUUCUAUGUUUCACGAUGGAAAAAUAGCCACUUCACAAUUGAAGUUUCACAAUGCUAACUCAACAACAGCCAAGGUAAGUUGCAUAUACCAAAAUCAGCUUAUGUCUGUUGGAGAAAUCCUCAUGAAGAGUUUUGAAGUUGACAAGAUGUUUCUGUCAGUCUAGUCUGAAGGUCUGCAGACUCUGUUAGUUAAAGUCUGAAGACUUCCGGACAGCCAGACUCAAGACUCAAAGUCUAUCCUCAUUAACAGUCUCUGAUCCGUUGAAGAAAGGUUAUCCCGAACUGGAUGUUUUGUUUAGGAUUUAACCUUAUCAUCUGGAGAAGAUCUUGUGGCUGGAGAAGACGUAUCAGAAUCCUUUGAUUGAUCAAGAUUGAUUCAAUGAUUGAAGAUUCGAUGAUUAUCUAAAUAUUAUUGGAAGGUUUUGCUUAUGGAAACCGAGAUCCUGAUUGUAUGGGCGAACGGGAUUGAUGGGCUAUCAACACGUUCCUUUAAUAGCUCGAACGAUCUUCCUAAUUGAUUCCGUCCAACGGGUAGAUUGGAGGAAUUCCUUUGGAAAGUGCCAACGGGUAUGAUGGCAUAAAGGAGUAUAUAAGGAAGACGUUCUUAGUUGUUUAAGAGAGAGUGCGCGAUAGAAAAAUUCCAAAGUCUGAAGCUCCUAUUUGUUUAGAUAAAUCUCUUGAGCGAAUACUUGUAUACAAAAGAGAGUCUAUAUUUGUGAGAGACCUUGAGGAGGUGUGAUAGAAUAUCUACACUGUGGAAUCAAGGCAAAUCUGUGCUGUAACUUCUCUUUUGAUCAUAGUGAAAUCCAGCCGGUGGGCUGUCAGUGCGGAAGAGUGGACGUAGGCUUGGAAUAAGCCGAACCACUAUAAAUCUUGUGUUUGAUUUUCUCUUCCUUACUCUUUCUACCUCGAUCGUAUUUCAAUCUGUUAAGAAUUGCUUCCGUAUUUGAGAAAAAUUGUGUGUGCGCCUAUUCACCCCCCCUCUAGGUGUUUAUACUAGCAAUAUCAAUUGGUAUCAGAGCCUGUGUACUUACUUUAUUUGAAGUGUUUUACUUCAUAGUAAAAGAUCCAUGGCUAGUAUGAUAGCACUAGGGCUGAUGGAAGGGCAAAGCAAUACCAGACCACCUUACUUUGAUGGAAAGGAUUACAACAUCUGGAAGAACAAGAUGAAAGCUUUCCUACGAUCAAAGGAUCCUCUGGAAUGGGACGUUGUAGAAAAAGGAAUUACUCCUACCACUGCAUCAGUCUCUGAAAGAGGAAAAGAAACUGAAGAAUCCAGAGGAAUGUCUCAGGAAGAAAUAACCAAGAGACAGACACUCGAUGCAAAAGCAAUUUAUUCCUUAUAUUGUGCUUUAUCACCAACUGAAGAUAAUAGAAUAUCUUCUUGUGGUACAGCAAAAGAAGUUCGGGACAAAUUGCAUAUCACCUAUGAAGGAACAGAUCGAGUGAAGGAAACAAGAAUCAACAUUCUUCUCGGUCAAUACGAAGCUUUUAGAAUGAAACCAGGAGAAUCAAUAUCUGACAUGUUUAGUCGUUUUACAGAUAUUGUAAAUGGUCUUGAAAAUCAAGGUCAACCAACUUCUGAUCUCAUGAAGGUAAACAAGCUACUGCGUGGACUCUCCAAGGAUUGGAAUCACAUAAAGACUUCGAUAAGAGAGACAUAGAGAAUAAUGCCACUAUCUGUUGAUGAGCUGAUUGGAACUCUUCAGUCCUAUGAAGUGGAAAGGAUCAAUGAAGAUGAAGAUCCAAGAGGUAAGAAAUCCAUUGCAUUAAAAUCAAAUGAUGAUUCUGAUGUUACAGAUUCUGAAGAAGAUAUGGACGAUGAGGAGCUUGCUCUCAUGAUAAGAAGAUUCAGAAAACUAAACAGAAAAGGAAGAAGGUUCAACUCAAAGAAACAAGGCUUUCAAAGACAGCAGAUCAAGUCUGUUGAUGAUGAGGAACCAAACAAAGAUGUAGUCUGCUUUGAAUGCAAGAAAAAGGGACACAUCAGACCCAACUGUCCUCUUUUGAAGAAGAAGAAAGGAAAAGCUGAAAAAUUUCGAAAAGCUCUCAAAGCUGAAACCUGGAGUGAUACUGAGUGUGAAGAAAGUGAUAAUGAAUAUGCCAAUAUAUGUCUGAUGGCACAAUCAGACUCAGACUCUGGAUCAGACUCAGGAUCAGACUCAGACAGUGAAUUUGAGGCAAGUAAUUUUAAAAUUCCUGUCAAAUUUUCUAAAUAUAUUGAGGAACUAUGUUUUAGUCUUAAGACUUCUCUCAAAAGUAUUUCCAAACUAAAAAAGGAAAACUCAGCUCUAAAACAAAAGGAAAAUGUUUUAGCAGAAAGAGUUAAAAGUCUAGACUUGUCUGUUUCCAAUCUUAAAGAAAAUAAAGAAAAUCUUUUAAAAGAAAAUGCUUUUUUAAAAACAGACUUAUCUAAUAUAUCAAAGAAAUUUUCUAUGGGUUCUGAAAAACUUGAGAAAAUUCUUUCAGCACAAAGACCUUACUUCAAUAAGUCUGGUCUAGGUAUGACAGAAGAAACAAUUCCCUUGAUUGAUUUUCCUAAAGUAAAAGAAAGAAUUAAGAAAAGGCUUUCGAGUGAGGUUUACAAAAAUCACUUCAAGAAAGUCUUUGUAAAACCUGUAAGUAGAAAUGCUCUCAGAUGUUCUAAGUGCAACAGUCCGGAUCACUUUGAAAAAGAGUGUCCUAUGGUAUGGAAACCUAUUAAGAAAGUAUGGGCUAAUACUGUUUAUCUUACUAACACCAAAGGACCCAAGAAAAUUUGGGUACCAAAGAAAGCUUGAGACUCUUUGUUAAAUGCAGGUCUCCAUCAAGAAACAGGUAAAGUGGUAUCUUGACAGCGGAUGCUCAAGACACAUGACAGGAGACUCAAAUUGCUUUAUAAAGCUUGCUCAAGUAAAUGGUGGAAAAGUUUCAUUUGGAGGAAACAGCAAAGGAAGUAUUGUGGGAUUUGGAACCGUGAAAAUUGGAACUCUCACAAUAAGUAAUGUUUCCUUAGUUGAAGGACUCAAUUACAAUCUUCUCAGCAUUAGUCAAUUGUGUGAUACUGGUUUCAAGAUCUCCUUUCAAGAAGGAACAUGUUCCGGAAUCAGUAAAGACUCUACUCAAUCUUUUCUGGGUCGAAGACAUGGGAACAUCUAUCUUCUGGAUGUGAAAUCAAAUGAAUCACAAUGUCUGAUCUCAAUUCAAGACGAAGCAAGCUUAUGGCACAAAAAGCUUGGACAUGUCAAUAUGAAGCAAUUAGCCAAAAUCUCAUCAAAGCAGCUUGUUCGAGGUCUACCAAAAUUGCCAUACCAAAAGACUAAUUCAUGCACUCCAUGUAUUCUGGGAAAGCAGGUAAAAAAUUCUUUUAAGCCAAUAAAUCAUGUCUCUACUAAUCAUGUUCUACAGUUGCUGCAUAUGGAUCUCUUCGGACCAACCAGAACUCUAAGUAUUGGGGGUAAGAAGUAUUGCCUAGUAAUUGUUGAUGAUUACUCCCGUUUUACUUGGGUAUAUUUCCUUUUAAGUAAGUCCGAAACCUUUUCGUAUUUUGAAAAUUUUGCUAAAAAGGUUCAAAAUGAAAAAGGUUGUGUUAUCUCUAGUAUAAGAACAGAUCAUGGAGGUGAAUUUGAAAAUCAAGAUUUUACAAAGUUCUGUGAUGAAUCUGGCUGUAAGCAUAUGUUUUCCUCUCCGUAUACUCCUCAACAAAAUGGAGUUGUGGAAAGAAAGAACAGAUCUCUUCAAGAAAUGGCUAAAACUCUUUUAAUUGAAAGUAGAAUUUCUUCUCGAUUUUGGGCAGAAGCUGUUUCAACAGCUUGCUAUAUCAUCAAUAGAGUUUUCUUAAGAUCUAUUCUUCAGAAAACCCCUUAUGAGUUAUUCAAAGAAAAGAAGCCUAUUGUUUCAUACUUUCAUGUAUUUGGUUGCAAAUGUUUUAUAUUGAAAAAUGCAAAAGAUCGAGUUAGUAAGUUUGAAGAAAGAUCAGAUGAAGGUAUCUUCCUUGGAUAUUCUAUAUCAAGCAAAGCUUACAGAGUCUAUAACAAGAAAAGCCAGUCUGUAGAGGAGUCAAUGAAUGUCAAAUUUCAAGACUCAAUGCAAGAUGAAUCAAGUUAGACUCAUCAAGAAGAAUCUGAACCUACUUCAGACCCUCCAAAGUCUACAACUCAAGAAGCAUCUCAGACUCUUGAAAACCAGCAUCAGGUUGUUAAUGAAGAUCCAAAUAAAGAAAGAGAUCAUCAACCAGACAAAUCAACAAGUAACUGGAAGCAUAAGUCCAGUCAUCCCAAAGAUCUUAUAAUCGGCGAAAUAAAUGAAGGAAUUCGCACAAGAUCCAAAAGGCGAGAAGAGUCUAGUGCUGUGGCACUCGUUUCUGAAAUUGAACCAAAGGGCAUAGAAGAAGCUUUAUCUGAUGAAAGCUGGAUUGAAGCUAUGCAAGAAGAACUCAGACAGUUCAGCAUAAAUGAUGUUUGGGAAUUGACAUCCAAACCAAAAGGAAAAACUGUUAUUGGAGCCAAAUGGGUGUUCAGAAACAAAAUGAACGAGAAAGGAAAAGUCGUACGAAAUAAAGCAAGACUUGUGGCCAAAGGAUAUACGCAAGAAGAGGGAAUAGACUAUGAUGAGACUUACGCUCCAGUGGCAAGGUUAGAAGCUAUUCGACUAUUACUUGCGUUUGCUUGUUAUAAGAAUUUCAGGUUAUUCCAAAUGGACGUCAAAAGCGCCUUCCUAAAUGGAUUUAUCCAUGAGGAAGUUUAUGUGGAACAACCGCCAGGGUUUGAAGACCCAAAGAAGCCAGACUCAGUCUUCAGACUGAAAAAGGCUUUGUAUGGUUUAAAGCAAGCACCUCGGGCUUGGUACGACAGGUUAAGUAAUUUCUUAUUACAAAAUAGUUUUGUCAAAGGUAAAAUAGAUACGACUUUAUUUAUCAAGAAGGAAAAUAAAAGUUUCUUACUUGUUCAAAUAUAUGUGGAUGAUAUUAUUUUUGGAUCCUCCAAUGAAAGUCUGUGGUAGAAAUUUUCAAAGUCUAUGCAGGAUGAGUUUGAAAUGAGUAUGAUGGGAGAAUUAACAUUCUUUCUUGGUCUUCAAAUAAAACAAUUGAAGGAAGGAACUUUCAUUUUUCAAGAAAAAUAUGUUAAUGAUCUUGUCAAAAGGUUUGGACUGGAGAAUUGCAAAAAGACCGACAUACCAAUGUCAAGUUCUUUAAAGAUAGACAAAGAUGAAGAAGGGAAGAAAGUUGAUCAAAAGCUGUACAGGAGUAUUAUUGGAUCACUUCUUUAUCUUACUGCCUCUAGACCUGAUAUUUUGUUGAGUGUUUGCAUCUGUGCUAGGUUUCAAUCAGAUCCUAGAGAAUCCCAUCUCAGUGCUGCCAAACGCAUCAUAAAAUACGUUGCUUCAUCAUCAAGCAUCGGUCUUUGGUAUCCUAAGAAGGGAGACUUUAAACUUCUGGGAUAUUCAGACGCAGAUCUAACCGGUUGCAGAGUUGAUAGAAAGAGCACUUCAGGAACUUGCUAGUUGCUUGGAAGCAGAACAGUGUCUUGGUUUUCAAGGAAACAAAGUAUUGUGUCUCUUUCAACAACAGAAGCAGAGUAUGUAGCUCUUGGAAGCUGCUGUUCACAAAUUCUAUGGAUAAAACAACAGCUAAGAGAUUUUGAAAUCGAAGACUCAUGCACAGAGAUUAAUUGCGACAACACCAGCGCUAUCAACCUCACCAAAAAUCCAAUUCUCCACUCAAGAGCGAAGCAUAUAGAAAUUCGACAUCAUUUUAUUAGAGAUCAUGUUCAAAAUGGAGAUGUUUCAAUUCAAUUUGUUGACUCAAAGAAUCAGCUGGCUGAUAUUCUCACGAAGCCUUUGGAGAAAAAUCAAUUUGAGUCUAUACGGACCAGACUCAAUAUUUUGAGGUAUGAGGAUAUCAAAGUCUAAAGACUUUCAAACUCAGGCUUACAAGACUUUAUCAACAGUCUUGUCUCGACCUUCAGACUGUAAGUCUUUCUCUAUCCAAUCUUAUCUUGAAAAGGUACGAUCAUCAGACUGUGUUUAAAUUGUUGCCGUAAAUAUUACAUCGAUUCAUUUUCAAAAGGGAAGUUAUUUUUGAAAUAGCUAUUUUUACGGAUAAAAUCAGUUAUUUUGAAAAGGCAUAUUUUUAUUUCCUUUGUGACGAUUCGUUUUCUCUUCUUUUUAACCGAACGAGCACUAUCGAUUACUCUCUCUCAAAAACCCUAGAAAGCAUCGAUCUUCCAUUCCCGUUUGUCUACUUCUCUAAAUCUUCAAAAAGUUAUCAUCUUUUCUGGGAAAGUCAAGCUAGGAAACUUCCAAACACUGUUAAAGAUGUCUUCUUCACGAAAGUCGUCAAGAAUCGCAAGCAGUGGACCAUAGAGAAUGAGUAAGGGGCCUACGCACUUCGAUCUUACUGAAGAUGAAGUUUCUCCAGAUCAGCAACCGAGCCCACAACAUUCUCAGCAGCGUCAUUCUACAUCAUCUAGUCAUCAAGGCAUUGUUCAUCAGGAAGAAAUCAUCGAGGAAGCAGACCUCGUAAGAGUUCAAAAGCCUGCUUUUAUCUACAAGCUAUAUCGUGCUUUAAAAGGAAUUCGUACUCCCUUAAACUAUGUUGAUAGUUUUGUUAAAGAAAAAGGAUAUAGGAACGAAUAUAUCUUUCUGAAAAGAAUGGAAAGUUUGGGAAUCGCUCGUAAAGGGGUGGCUGAGGAAACCCUUGCGAAUAUCCCAAGUGAUCCUUGUGACUGGGGGCCAAAUCCUGUAGAUGGGAAUGAUGAUGACAAUCUGUUCAGUCUAUUUCAACCGAAAAUGGGUAUUGCGGCUGAAAUUCAAGGAAAAAGGGGAGAUUUGUUCAGAUCAAAGGAACAAAAGGAUCUGUACUCGAAAUUGCUGAAGCGUGGGGUAAUAAACCCUAGGAGUGUGGACUUUGAUUUUAUGGAUGCUGUGAAAGUGAACUUGAGGGAAAAGUUCAGUUAUCUUCAACUUGAAAAGUUUUGUUCUGACUCAACUGAGGCUUAUGCUAAAUUGACUGCUUACUUCUAUUCAAAUCUUAGCUUUUAGAUGCGAAUAGAUUUUCCUUCAGUGUCAAAGAACAAGACUAUGUUGUGGAUAUGGAUAUGCUGGCAGAUGUGUUAGAAGUUGAGAGAGGCAGAUAUCAACCGAUUAAAGUUUCCAUUGCUCGGGCCACACUUGAAUUGGUGAAGGACAGGAGAAUAGAAGAGAAUCACCUACUCAAGGAUGAAUGCAUUCAACAUCUUGCUUCACAAGACUGUGAUUAAUUGCCUUCGGCCGAAAUCAACUUCCAAAACUGAUGUUUCAAGCUCUAAGGCAAAAUUGAUGUAUGCCAUCCUCUGUGGAAAGAAGUUUUCUCUUCCUCAUACUGUCAUGUUUCACAUGUAUAGAGCAGUGAUGAAGGACAGAGGUCAACUCCCUUACCCAAGCCUUGUUACGAAGUUAUUCAGACAUCUGAAUAUUCAGCCUCCGCAAAUCUUUUGUGUUCGAUCAUGCGAUCAUAUGGUGGUAGGACUGAAAAUGGUGACCAAAAUGCGUCUGAAGGAACUGAGCAAGGAAUUGGAGAAAUUCAAGGAGAAGACUCCUGCCAAGUCUCAUCAACUCUCUUCUGCUACUAAGAGAAAAGGGAAGGAGCCCAUGGCUGCUCCCUCAAAGAAAAGAAGAGCUCUCCUCGUUGAGGAUGAAGAUGAUGACGAUGACAUCACCAUCUCUGCAAUGGCUUUGAAGAACUUAAGUCGUUCUGUUCCACAGAAAGAAUCGGAACAAAAGACGAAAGAAGCAGAGGAGAAGGAAGAAGAAGAGAGAGAAGCAAAGGAGAAGGAAGACGAAGAAAGAGAAACAGAGCAAGAAGCAGAGGAAAAAAAGACCCGAAGAAGAAAGAAGAGAAUGAGAACCUGAGGAAAUCUCUUCUCCACCUGUAGGCAUGAAAACAGGGGGAGUUCAGGAGAAAGGAGUGACAUCUUCAUUUCCAGAUGAAAGUGAAGGAGUCAGUCGUUCGCCUGCAGACCCAGAAGAUGUUUAUGCAUCUCAAUUUCCAGAGGAAGGUCAUGAAGCUUCAUCACCCAACCUGCGAGAUUAUGCUGAUCCACCAUCGUCUGCUUUUACUCCAUCAGAACGAGCAGAAGCAAGUACUCAGACUGAUAAUGGAGCAGAUUUUCGCAUAAUCAUGGAUAUUCUCUUGGAGAUGAAAGGUCAGAUUUAUGCAUUGGGAUGCGAAGUUCAAAGCUUGAAGAAUGAAGGUUAAGCUUCUUCCUGUUCAUUAAAUGAAAAGAUGCAAGCCCUCUCUAUUCAAAAUCAGGCAAAUGCCAAGAGUGAGGAGGUUGUACAGCUAAAGGAAGACUUUAAGAGGCUGGAAGGCAUUGUUCAGUCUAUGGAAGAUUUCCAGCUUGUCCGCGUUCCCAAGCAAUCUUGAUUUCAUCUCAUCCUUUUUAAAUGAUGACAAAAAGGGGGAGAGAUGCAUGAUUUGAAAACUUUCAAUCUUUUUAACUGUUUGUUGGAUUGUGUUUAACUGUCUGUUUGUUUUUGACAGACUUUGACUUUGUUUUGUGUCUGGAUAAGAACUGCCUAGACUUAGAUUUGACUGCUUCUAUUUAUCAAUAUUGAUAUCUUAUGAAUGGCUUAAUCAUAUAUUGGACUAACCUAUUUUCUGUGGUUGCAGAUUCUAGUGUUAUUCUAUUAGCCAUUUAUUUCUAUAAGAUAUGCAUAUGUGGUUGAGGAAUGUUUUGCAGGUCAAAGUUAUCCAAAUCUGCAGGAAGGUUUUGUCACCAUCAAAAAGGGGGAGAUUGUUGGAGAAAUCCUCAUGAAGAGUUUUGAAGUUGACAAAAUGUUUCCGUCAGUCUAGUCUGAAGGUCUGCAGACUCUGUUAGUUAAAGUCUGAAGACUUCCGGACAGCCAGACUCAAGACUCAAAGUCUAUCCUCAUUGACAGUCUCUGAUCCGUUGAAGAAAGGUUAUCCCGAACUGGAUGUUUUGUUCAGGAUUUAACCUUAUCAUCUGGAGAAGAUCUCGUGGCUGGAGAAGACGUAUCAGAAUCCUUUGAUUGAUCAAGAUUGAUUCAAUGAUUGAAGAUUCGAUGAUUAUCUAAAUAUUAUUGGAAGGUUUUGCUUAUGGAAACCGAGAUCCUGAUUGUAUGGGCGAACAUGAUUGAUGGGUUAUCAACACGUUCCUUUAAUAGCUCGAACGAUCUUCCUAAUUGAUUCUGUCCAACGGGUAGAUUGGAGGAAUUCCUUUGGAAAGUGCCAACGGGUAUGAUGGCAUAAAGGAGUAUAUAAGGAAGACGUUCUUAGUUGUUUAAGAGAGAGUGCGCGAUAGAAAAAUUCCAAAGUCUGAAGCUCCUAUUUGUUUAGAUAAAUCUCUUGAGCGAAUACUUGUAUACAAAAUAGAGUCUAUAUUUGUGAGAGACCUUGAGGAGGUGUCAAAGCUGGUUCAUCAUGGACUGUUGUCAGUCCAAGUCUUCGUAGACUAACUUUGCCCUUCUAAUGCCAUGAUAUUUCAGUUCUCUCGCAACCCCUCAUAUGCUGUUCUGUCUUAUUUUUUUUUUCUCUCUUUUUGAGAGUGGUAGCCAAUGUUAAUGGCACGGUAAAACGAGGCACAGGGAGCUUAGGUUUUAGAUUGUUGGCAUUCAUAUCAAUAUCACAUCAAACAAUCUCAUACAAUUCAUAAUCUAAUGAUUGUAUUUCAGUGCAACGGUUUUUGCAUGUAUGCAGCACUUUCGUACUUUCCAUUUAGUUAAAUUAGAUGGUAUCAACGUUUUUAUUGAUUGAUGAUAUAAUUAGCUAGACUAUUUAAAAAUCAAAGUAUUUCUAAAUAGAUAGUGUUUGUUUGCAAGUAUUUUUUUCUUUUUAUUUUCUAAAUCAAUUUUGUGGUAAUUAAACAUUCCACAUUUCACAAUAGAAAACAAAAUCUCGCUAGAUCAGAGGUAUAAAGAUGUUCCAUUAUGAAAUUCAUAAGUUCUUAAAUCUUUUCAGGCAUAAAUCCAAGUGUGAAAAAAACCAACAUUUAAGAUUGAAGUUAUUAAUCGCAAUGACUUGAUGAGUCAAAAAACACUUUUGGGAAGUAUCGAAUUCCCAUUUGAGUAGCAUCUAUUUUCACAAAUCUAUUUAUUCACUUGCUAAAUAUUAAAUCAUGAUUUGAUCAUAUCACUCAAUGUAUCGAUUUUAGUAUGCUUAUUUAAAUUUCUUGUAAAUAACUUAGAUUUAUUGGUUAAACUUCAAAUGAUGAAGAGCUCAUGCUUAUUGAGUAGAAGCACACAUAUUUUUAACAACAUUAAAAGAAAAAAAAAUCCACAUCUUGCUAGCAGUUAAAAUUAAAAUGCUAUCUGUUAUGUGAAAUGUUGAAUGCAUGUUAUUUUACAAAAUUCUUAUAGUAAUUAACCCACCGAGGACCUCAAUAGUCAUUCAAGGCAAAACUCCCUUGAAGAAUCCGACGAAAAUUCUUGUUAAAAAGCAAAGUGAAUGAUGAAAAUAAAUAAAGCAAUACAGCAAAGAAAAAGAAGGGGUCAUCCUAAUGUGGAAAAGAAGUCCCGCCAAUGCUUUAGCGUGUGCCUUUGGUAGUCCAAGUCUUCGUAGACUUGGGUCAACAUUGGUGUGAUUCCUUCUUGAGCAAGCUGGUUCAUCAUGGACUGUUGGUAGUCCAAGUCUUCGUAGACUUUGACUUGGGUCAAUCAUUGGUUUCAAUCUUCUUGCACCACCCACACGCUGUUUUGUCUGAUUUUUUUCUCUUUCUGAGAGUGGUAGCUCAUGCUAAUAGCACGUUAAGACGAGGCACAUGGAGCUUAGGUUUUGGAUUGUUGGCGUCCUUAUCAAAAUCACAUCAACCCAUCUCACGCAAUUCUUAAUCUAGUGAAUGUAUUUUGAUGCAACACAUUAUAUGUAUGUGACACAUUCCAUUUCCAUUUAGUUAAAUUAAAUGGUUCCAACUUUUUUAUUGAUUGAUGACAUGAUUGACUAAAUUUUCAAGAGAGAAGUUUUUUUGGACAUAUAGUGUUUCUUUGCAAGUAUUUUUCUAUUUUUUGAAUCGAUUUUGUGAUAACUAAACAUUCCAUAUUUUACGAUAGAAAACAAAAUCUCUCUAGAUCUGGAGGUGUAAAAUUGUUCCAUUUCAUAAUUCAAUGUUCUUAAGUCUUUCUAGGUAUAAAUCCAAGUGUGACCAAAAAAAAAAUUUAAGAUUGAAGUUAUUAAAUCACGAUGACUCAAUGAGUUAAAAAGAAGAAUCUUGGGAAGAAUCAAAUUUCUUGAAUUGAGAGUGAUGGAAAAUUGAAUUUGUUCUCUGAUAGCUUUAGCUUUCAUUGUCACUCCACUAAAAUUUUGUUUUAGUAAAAUGAAAAUCUCGUCCCAUUUUUUUUUUUUGAAAUCAGACACCAUCCAUUUGAAUCAAAAUUGAGUUUCCUCCUUUAGCUCAAAAGCUUGGGAAGAAGAGAAAAUAUGUGGGAUCCUGUUGCCUAAUUCUUACUCAUUUUAAAGGAAAAGAAAGACUUCUCAUACAAAUGUGGACCUUAAUUAUCGAUACAUUUUUUCCUUUACCCUAGAAUAUGCAUAGAAUCAUGGGCCAGUUUUGCUGCAAAAUUGGUCAGUAAGGAUGCUUCCUUGCAGCAUCAUUGCGGCUUGUCAACUGUGAAAAAAUAUUACGUUUCUUAAUGUGGAAAAUCACUAGACUAUGUGGUGCAGAAAUUUUGGGAUGAGAAUCUACUUUUGCCCCAAAAUAAUUCAUUCAAAGUCAAGUCAACAAAAGCAGACACCGAACUUCCAAAACAAGUUCGUUUCCCCCAUCCUAAUUAAGGUGAACUCCGGUCGGUCCAAUUUAAUGGGCUGAUCAGGCCCAGGCCCGGAAUAACUCUGAAGCAUAAAGCCUAGUGGAAUUAUUGGGCUUGAUCUUGUCAAAGCACUCCCCAAUGAUCAAUUGAAUUAAGAAAAGAUUACAUUUUAUUUCGGAGGUGACCCAUCCUUCGCAUUUAACCUGUUGUUAGUGUCAAAAAUUGCUUGUCACAAAACGUUGUAGUUGAACAUUAAAUCCAUGCAUUGUGCUGAUUAUUAUACAAAACAUUACUAAAAUAGAGUCCACAAAACCAAUGUGUAAGCACAGUCUUGUGUCGUAUUAAAACUUUGAGCCACCAACAAGUGUGGUAAAUAAGCUCACGAACAUGAUGUGACCUAUUAGAUCUCAUUUGGAAUUUAACUCAAUUAGCAUUUCCACAUUCACAAUUGAACUUGAAAGCCUCUAUGAUGACUGGGAAAAGUUUAGCGAAGCCUCUCUAAUGACUAUAAUGACUAAAAAAAAAUAUUGACUCCCCCUGAAUUCAAGUAUGAAAGUUUUCUAUUUCAGAUAAUGUUUUUGGAGGUGUGGCUCUUUGCUCUCUCAGUUAAUGCUUGUGGAUUAUCUAUUACAAAAGGGGGAAAAAGAGGCAAAAAUAAAAGAACUUAUGGACAACGCGAGAUUAUUCCAUGUUAAAAUUUGAGAAUUGGAAAAAAAAAAAUUCGCCACACUUCUAUUAAUUUGAAAUUAAACGAUUUGGGUUGCUAUUUCAGAUUUACCUCGACAUUAGAUGAUGAUGUCAAACCAAGUCCAUUUGCAGCUAGAAACAUUUUUUAGUAUAAUUAAGCUUGAAUCUGAAAAUAUUUGACUGGAGAAGUUUGCCAUCAUAAUGAAGUAAUUGCAAUUUCAUAUACCUCCACUAAUAUAAAUAAACAAAUGAAUUAUAUCAAUUUUAAUUUGAGUGUAUAGUAACCAACUAAUUGAACGGUAGAGCACCCAUUUGUCCAACAGAAUGUCUCAUUCUCUUUGGCUAAAAUACAACAGAAGGCGUCCCCACGCAAUCUUUCUAAAUGUUCCGAUUUUAGCAAAACUUACUUCACGACGUAAAUCACCGAAUGUGACAUUGAAAAUGCCCACCGACAAAAUAAGAUCCCAAGGGCAAAUUAGGAAAGAUCAUAAAGAAUCUGGAACGAAAUAGAUCGCGUUUGAGGCUGAUGGUUGUUCUGACAUGCUUGAUUGCUGCAAAGUGAGGCGAUACUCAAGCUUUUCAAGUUCAAGAGAUUGGAAAUGCUAUCAUCAGCUCGUCGCUCGGUAUGAAUAUGUAGACAAAGAAGAAUUUCUAGGAGUCUUGGCACUUGGGGUAUCUCAACACAUGUCGGUUUCAAAAUCUUCCAAGGUGAACAUCUCCAGAUAUCAUAGGAAUUUCUGAUUAGCAAAUUUUCACUAAGCUCUGCAUCUAUUCUUCUAGCUAUUCCUGAUUCCAUACUGCACUAGUUAUUGUUCUCAUGAUAGAGAACCUCAUCUUCAAUACUUUCAAAUACUUCAUGUUCCCGACCAACCAGGCAGCUUCUCUAUGUCCAUGUUCAAUUUAUCGAACUUAGCAAAUGAUUCCAAAUUCCAGAUUGAGUCUAGUAGUGUCUUUAUUGACUUGCAGUUCCUAGAAGACUAGUGUUCGAGGCUUACAAGGGAUCCACUUGAGUUGGGAAGCUCCACGAUCCUAGCUCCUCACAGAGAAAGCCUCGAUAGGGAAGUUAGGUGACAGAUUGAAAGUUUUAUAGUCAAUGAGGAACAAUGGGAAGCACAGAGGACCUGCAAGCUCUUCAAUUCUUGACAGUCAGGCAUAUGCUUUAUUGAUGUUAUACAGCAAUCCCUUUUUAAGGCAGUUAAGUCCAUGUCAGACUUUCCCCUUCCGUCUUGGUAAUUCCUAGAUGUAUAUUCCCUUUUAAGAUAGAGAUUAUCGAUGUUUGUCCGUUAAAACCAGCAUGCGAAAUUGCGAAUUGAACAAAGUCAACAUCUAGCAAGCUAGUCGCAUAUCUUUCUCCCAAAUAUCAUGUACUUUUAUUCGUGUGAAGUCCACCAUCAGGUUAGUACCGAGUUAUCCAGAGUUAGAUUCAUCUACUAGUAAGAAUACUUUGAGAGACCUUGUUUAGCUUUCUUAUACUUGUUUCAUCGUUUGAUUCCAUCAUUUCUCGGUUCACGCUGCUCCAUGGUUUAUAGCAGCAUCAUUAUUUGGUUUGCCCUCUCCAGUAAUCUUACUUGCUGCUCUUAAUCUUCUCUGCUCCAAUGGUCUAUAGUCGCAACUGUCGCCACACACAAUGCAACCUCAAGUGGUGAAACAACAAUUGUUGAGCUGCACAGAAAUUGGGGGUGGUCUGACUUGGCCUCGCCUCCCGAGUCGCAAUGGGUCCGAAUUUUAUUUUAUUUUGAUAAAUUAAAAAGUGUGGGAAGAGAUGACCAAUACGGUUAUCCAUUCUUGUUGUUACAUAAAGUGUUGUGCAUGUUACAAAAUAUCUCCAUUGAGCCAUAACCACUCGAUCCACCGACAAGUGUGCUAGUCUAUCACCAUAACUAAUAUGCCAAAAGCUUGACAAUAUAUCCACAUAACGUUGUAAAUACCUAAAAUACUAACCGGUGAAAAGUUCACUCAUGACAUGAUUCGAACUCAUGAAUUAAUAGAAGAUGGCAUGAUCCCUUCAUCAUUGGGUUAUCAUGCUUGGGGUUGGAUUGUGAUUCCGACUUUAUAUAUAUAUAUAUAUAUUCACUUUCAAGGUGAAUGAGUGGCGCAUGAGCCUAAUCCAAAAAGGAAUGAUCUAUAAAUCUGUUCUGUGCUUAAAAAAUUUGACUUAAGUCAAAUGAGGUGUUUAUGUGUUUAUGUUACCAAUAAAAGAAGAGGUUUGGUGACUGGUUUCUAUAAAAUUGAUUAAUUUACUCUUCAUAAUUUUCUAUAAAAUUGAUUAAUUUACUCUUCAUAAUUUUCUCUUGGAAAUUUUGUCCAGGAGCACGCCUCAUUUUAGCAAAACUUCCUUCAUCGCCCUCACGGAAACGACGAAAUCACCGGACGUGACACCGAAUAUGCCCGCCGACCGAGCAAGAGCCCGAGGUCGAAUCAGGAAAAUUCGCAAAUCCGUCGUCCUCUCCUUCCCUUCCCCCCCACCCAAAAACAAAAGCUCGCUGUAGCUUUCGAUCGCCAUCCGCCGCGAAAAUCGCUACGGAGUCCACGAACGCUGCGAAGACCAGGAUUCGAGGGUUGAAUUCGAGCAAUACGGAUGAAGACCGCAAUCGAUCUCUCCACCUCGCCGGGCGAUCGCGCCAUUUUGAUUGCGUGAGAUUGGAAUGAUGUCGUCGCUCGGCAGAAUGGGGAGUUGAGGGUGAUGGUUGUUCUGAAGUGCUUCAUUGCCGCGGGUGGGGGGCGAGAGGUAAUUGCAAUUUGUGUUCAUGUCAUCAAUUACUGCUCUGAUCCUCCCACUUGAUUGAGAUUGGGAGUCUAGUAUCGAGCAUGUCGGUUUUGAGGUUGGACAGUGAGGUUUGUAGUGUGAAUUUGGCGGAUUAUACUAUUGCAGAAAUUAUUUGGUUGGAUUAGCUAAGCUCUUGGAUUACCGAAUUUGGAUCAAUGCUACAACUGGAAUAUGGUCAGAUUGAUCGAAUUUCCUUAUAUUUGUUGGAUACAAAUAUUUCUUCCCGCUGUUUCUACUUUGGGGGUAAAAUUUGUUGAGUGUCUCACAGUGAUUGACUAUCGGCUAUUUGGCCUUUCUCCAGUCGAGUAAUGGACUGUAGCUUGUAGGUUUCAGUGGACUAGCUUUAUGGGAAAGAGGAGCCUUAUGCUUUUCACUUAUUCGCCUUUCGUUGCAUUUGAACAUAUAGUUCUUUAAGUUCACGAACGAGGAUGGCAGAAAUAUACUGAAAUAUUAUUUUGAGUUGACGUUUCCUUGAAGUGUUCCUCUUACUUGAUUGUUGAUAUACCUUGCUAGAGACAUAAGAAACUUGCUCCAUUGCUUGUAAUUAAAUGAGCUUUUGACCACAUUUUCAAAGUGAAAUUUUCUCAACUGGUAAAUGCAGAACUCAGACUAAGGUCCAAGGCUUGUAAAGCUGCUUACAAUCGCACUCUUGCCAUGACAUUUAUGGAGUAUUCAUCUGCUGUGAGUGUUCUUUAUAAAGAUUUUCACAUUUACCUAGAGCUUGUUGUUGUUAUUACUCUUCAGGUUUCACCAUUUAAAUACAAUAACUUUUGCAGGUUUGAUGCCAGAUUUGACAAAACUUAGUAGUUGGACUUGUCCUAGAUGUGAUGGAAAGACCCAGGUAAUUUAAUAUGGUUUAAUAUGACAUUGUUGCUGAGGUUGCCUGAAGAAUGGAUCCUCAGUACAGUAUUAAAUGGCCAAUUCUUCUAAUGAGAUUUUGUGGGCAUAUGCUGCCUCCUCUUAUUAGAUUCUGAACUGGUAGUUAAUGCCUUUUGAUAUGAAAGCAGGGGUUUGAAUUCAUUGAAUUGAUAGUGGGCAUUCAACACUGCUUACGCGCAGAUUAUUUGGUUGCAGUGGCUUACCAAUCUGCAAUGCUUGCGAUGCCUAUAUGUUUAAAUUGCAUCUAAUUGUUUAUAUCUAUUUCUAAACGUACAUAUAUGUUACCUGUAGGCAUACGUUGGGGUGGCCAAGGAUCUUAAUGCUGUGAUUAUAGCUUUUAGAGGUGCACAAGAACAUAGGUAUGCAUGUUAACUUUAGCAACUCUUCUCCUUACAAAUGACUUGCAAAAGGUUUUGAUGAAAAUUUAAGCUAAGAAGAGCAGCCUCCUGUGAGUGCAUACGCAAGACCCAUGGGUCGACUGUCCGUAAGAAGGGAAAAGGGUGAAUCAUUUCCACCAAGAUGCGAAAGUUACCUUCUUGUAAUUUUAGAUUGGUUCAUGAGAAGAUCACAUACUUCACUAAUUUUGUUCUGUGAAAAAUUCUAUCACCUCUCUUUGUCAUUUGAGCUUUUCAGUUAGUGAUUACUUCUUUUUAUGUCUAUAGCAUACAUAAUUGGGUUGAAGAUCUCUAGUGGAUAGUGGAAACAGCUUGACGUACUACCUUGGCAUGCAUGGUGCCCUGGAUAGCUCUAAAGAUGAUUAUGCCUCUUGCAAGCUGUGGAUUCUUCUUGUUUGGAUUGAGUUACAGUCUUACUCUAUUUGUGACAUCCCGAUUUUUCCAAAUCCUAUUUUCAAUAAAUUGAGACGGGCAUUUCGUUGGCACGCAUAUAGUUCUUUUCCUUGAGUCGGCCACUCAUGUGAAAACUAGUCUAUCGGGUGAAACUGUUAAGAAUUUCUAAUGCAUCAGACUCGAGAAUUUGACCAGGAAGCAACCUUUCGACCGAGCUAGUCUGCAAGGGUCAUUACGGCACAAUUAAAAUCGAUUAAAGAUCGGAGAUAGGUCGACUCGACAGAGGCAUGUGAUCAGGUGUGGGUGAUUCUACUAGAUCGCACAAUUCAUGUCGAUCGGCACUGGACCGACUUUUCUAUCGAUUGGGUACCCUGUGUUCGUAUUUGAAACCUUGAGAUUACCCCGACAAUCGAAAGUCGCAAAUGUUUCAAAGAUGUACAUUGUGGCUUGAGAUGAUCAACCACAGGUCAAAUGCAUGAAAGUUUCUAAAGGCUACCCGGUAGGUUGGGCCGCGCUAGUAUCGUGCCAAAGUGAAAUUAACCGUGCAAUUGAGAUCGAAUUCAGAAAUUGGAAGUCUGGGUGUGUCACAAAUCAUUUCAAGAUCAUUGAAUCAUCUUUGGAAGAUUUUUCAUGUAAGCCGAGUUUUUCAGCAAUUAAAUCAGAAAAUGGUUAAUUUGACCCGAGAAAUCAAUAGGCCCGCAUUUGGUAUUGCUAUUAGGACUUAAGUUGGUUCUAUGGACAAGUGAAGAUGUAAAUUGAAGUGUGGUGACAUUGGAUUAAUUUUAUGAACUUCAAUUGGAAGAGAAUUGAAUGGAAUUGGAGAAAUUAGUGUACAAGAAUUGGACCCCGGCGGAAAAUGAAAUUUGCAACCAUUGGAAAAGGUUGUGGGGGAUUGGGUGAGUGGAGUGUGAUGUCACCCAUGAGGUCAUGUGGUGGGCCAAUUUGUUGGAUUAAAGAAAAGGGAAAAAGGAAAAGAAAUUGGCCUCCCUUCUUCUCUCUCCUCCCUCUCCUUGCCGUGGGAGCGUUUCCUCCUCUCUCCAUCUUCAUCUUCUUCUUCGAAAACCCAACAGACCAGCGAACCAGAGCAGCUCCGCCCGUCGCCGUUCGUCCUAGCCGGAGGCCGUUGCUCGUCCAGCCGCACGCAGCUCCGCCUCUCUCUCCCCCUUCUGCUGGUGUCGGCUUCUUCUCCUUCUUCCUUGUGUUUUUCGAAACCCAGCAUAUCUGGGAAGACAACAGAGCAGCCAUCUAGCUACUGGAUCGUCGUUUCGCGCCUCCGCCCUCCGCCGUUCGCCGCCGGAUCAGCUGAUUCGCCCGUCGUGCUCAGUGGCCAGCCCCGCGAGCUUCCUGCUCGUCUCGCGCCCGUCUUGAGUUCAGCAACGUCUCGAGCUUCCCUGGCCGCUGUUCCUAGUCGUCCUCCAGUCGUGAGCUGUCGUCUCGCCGCCGUGCAGCAGCCGGAACCAUCGCCUGGACCGCCGAAGCCCGCUUUGCCCGUUUCCAGCAAGCGGAGUCGCUGGUUCUUCUUCUCUGUUCCAGCGGCCAUUUCAGAUCUGGUGGAGCUCCGCCGGAGCCGUCCAGCCCACCUCCGGCCACCGUGAAGCCCCGCCUAGGUCCGAUUUGGUCUCCUCUGUCCAUCUUGGCCCUUGUGCGCCUCAAUCGGUGUCGGAUCCGCCCUCAACCAGCAACGAGCAGAAGGUUGCAGAAAUGGGUGUGGCAGCCCAUGUUUGGCCCGUUUUGGCCGCCUUCCCAAGCCCGGAUGCUCGGCCCGCUUUGAGGAAAGUCGAUCCUCGCGUCGUCCCUGUUGUUUUGGUUCGCUCGGCUCACUAAUCCGGUGAGUUUAGCUCACUAAACCUCGCUUAGAGGGUUAAUUAUGCUUUAGGUGUGCUUAGCGUAAGUUGAUUAAGCUUAGGUGGUUAAUUUAGUUGAUUUAAUUAUGAUUUAGAUUAAGAUGUUUGUUUAAUCUAAAGUAUGUUUAAUUAAAUGCUAAGAGAGUUUAUUUAAAGUUAAGUGGGUGUUUAUAUCAAUAUAAACAUUGAUGUGACAUAAAGGAAUUUACCUUUGAUUUAUUUAAAUAUCUCGAAAUUAUUUAAUAAUUUAAUAAUAUAUUAUUAUUCGAAAUUAUUAAAAUAUUAUUAUUUAAUUAUUUUCGGAAUAAAUUUAAUUAUUUAUUAAAUUCCGAAAAUUUUCAUUGGGACCUUAUUUGCUCAGAAUUUCGUGCCGAUCAUUGCUGUGCUAGUAGAAUUUGAAAUUGAUGAUUGGUUGUGAUGAAUUGAGUGUGAUUGUGAUUUAUAGGGAUUCUUUAUGAAAUCCCAAGUGUAGAAAUUGAUGGGAGAUUGGCUGUGAAAUACCACCUAUUAGAGGUCGUGCCCAGUGAGGCCGUGAAAUACCACCUUGGAAAGGUCGUGCCCAAUGAGGCCGUGAAAAACCACCUACAAGAGGUCAUGCCGAUGAGGCCGUGAAAUACCACCUAUUAGAGGUCGUGCCCAGAGAGGCCGUGAUAAACCACCUAUGAAAGGUCGUGCCCAGAGAGGCCGUGAUAAACCACCUAUGAAAGGUCGUGCCCAGAGAGGCCGUGAUAAACCACCUCUGAGAGGUCGUGCCCAGAGAGGCCGUGAUAAACCACCUAUGAAAGGUCGUGCCUAGAGAGGCCGUGAUGAACCACCUUGGAAAGGUCGUGCCCGAUGAGGCCGUGAAAAACCACCUACAAGAGGUCGUGCCCAGUGGGGCCGUGAAUUGCCACCUGUUAAAGGUCGCGCCGAGUGGGGCCGUGAUGCCACUGAUUUAAAUUUGCCGAGUAGGGCCGUAGUUGAGAGCAAUGAUUGAUUUGCUAGAAUGACAUGAAAUCGGCCGAGUCGAUUGAUCGCUGAGACGAUCCAAGUGGUUGAAUGGUUUGAUGAUGUGAUUGUGACAUGGUUGUUUGGUUAUCAUAAUUGUACGUGGUUGGAUUAUAUAAAUUGUGCUAACCUGUAGAUGAAGGCUGAGGCGAGGUAAGUCCUCUGUGUGAUGUGGCUAGGCCACCCGGGGCGUAUUUUCUUUCUAAUAGGGAUUUAGGGGGUUGAACUUGCUGAGACAUCGUCUCAUCCCGGUUGUGGGAUUAAAAUUUCAGGUCCCUGGUGGACGGAGCGGCCAGAUCGCUUUGGUUGGCCUUGAGAAGUUGCAGAGGUGAAGUCAUAAGGGUUGGAGAGCGUGUCCUGCUAGUUGGUUGUAGGAUAGUCCCCCUUUUGUCGAGCUGGUCUAUUUUGUAGAAAGUCCAGUGUUGUAUUUAAACCCCCCUUUGUGUUUGUAAAUGAGUGUUUGGUAUUGUGAUUGAUUGCCUGCUUUUCUAUCCCAAGUUAAAUGUUGUCAGGGGAUUUGUUUCGCUUCCGCAUGCGUAAAGAAAUGAAUGGGUCGGCGACAUAUCCUGGGAUGUCACAUUUUUUAUCGACCGCAGUGGGAUGUGCGCGCGCUCGGGGUUCGGGGCGUGACACUAUUGAUUUCUGCUUGGGUUAAUCAUGGAUUUUACUAUUCUUAUUGAUAUGACAAUUCAACCUGGUAUUUUGGAUCUUGUUAUAAGAACCAAGGAUUUAUAAGGGGACAUCAAUGUCAUGGUGACAGAGCAUUCUAUGGGAGGGGCUAUGGCAUCCUUUUGCGGAAUUGAUCUUGUGGUAAGAUAGUUAAAAACUGCUAUGGUCUGGAAUUGUGAAUUUUAUUGUUUUUUUUUUCCUAUUGCGUUCUUCCAAUAUUCAUAUGGUAAUAUGUUAAGAGUCAACUGGAAUUCUCUGCCAAAUCUGUGCUGAAGAGUCUAGGCUAUUUAUACGGAUCUUGAACUUUCUAUUGCUCUCAUAUUUAUAUUCACAAUUCGUCACAGACAGCAUCUUGUUUUCUUUCGGUUUUGGUAAGUCAAACCAUAGACAAAACACAAGCAGAAUGGGGUGCAAAUAGCCAUUUAUGCUAACCACCGAUUGUUUAAGUAUCUGGCAAUGUAAAUUGAGUCUUACCCAUAAAGCUAUGGAGCUUCAAGUUGGUCGAAUACCUAAAUAUAGUGGAUAAGGUCACUUCCAACUAAUCAUUACAAGGUUUACUUACUUGCUGGAAAAUUUAUGGAAUUGUCGAUAUGUUUAUGGUAUGGACAUAUAACUUUUUAAAGCACUUGAAGCUCAAGUUUUAUGUCAUGUAAUCUUGAAGUGCUAAUGCAUUUUAAGAUAGAUUAUAUAUCAAUCCUAAAUUUGUGUUUGGUGUACUGUUUCUAUCUAAGCCUCUCUCUAAUCAAAAGAAGCAGCUCCUCUUCAGUAGGACUACAAGGCCAGAUAUGUUGUAGGCUGGAGCCAAUGCUAAGAUGUCUAAAUUAUGCCUUUUCUCUCAGCUUUAUUGGACAGAGUGUUCCAGGGUACAUUUGGAGGCACCUGUUGCUCAACUGCUACCAGAAAUGGUGCCCAAUCCAAAAUCAUGUCCCAUUGAUUCUCUUCUCCAUGGCAAGUGGUGAUUUUUUAGAGUUAAACUUUAUCUUGAAGUCUGAUUACACUCAUGUUCAUGUGGCCUAUGAUAGGAUCAUAGGUUGCAUGGACUUUAGACUAUACCCUUUCUCAAAAUAUUAGUAGCAAGUAUAACACUUGUCCUAAAACUUUUAAAUGAUUUAAAGUUUUAUUUUUGUUUACUGGUUUCUUGCUGAAAAUUUUGUCGAGCCAAUUGUGACGUCAUGCCCAUUCGUUGCAAUCCUUUUUAAGAUUGAGUUUCUCCUUCGCUACUUGUGUCAGUAAAUUUUGUAGUUCAAGGGGCCUUUUCAUCAGGAACCGGGAAUUUUUUGUUUAUGUCAUUAGCAGGAUGUGACUAACCCCACCAACAUCCAAGUGCUUCUUGUGGAAGCAAUUAAAUGCGCUUCAGUUGUAAGUUUGCGCCCAAUCCCACUAUUCCAUAUCAUUAACACCUUUUUGUGGUGCUGACUGCUGAGGGUGGGUUUGGUUUUGUUGUGUGUGGGGUUUGGUGUUGGGAAACUUAUGGAUGGGAUCUUGACAGAGUUAACGCUAGACCUUCAACCCUUAUGGAGACAAAGGGCUGUUCUAUUGUUCACCUUUGUAUAUGAAAUGCAAUAUAUGGUUAUUGAUGCAUAGUGUUUUUUUUCCCAUCUUGGAAGGGCUAUUGAUGUAUUGACAUUAAAUUUAUUUGGCUGUCUAAUUAUGUGUGCUGAAACUGUCUUUUCCAGACCAGCAUUUGCCUUAUUUACUAAACAGAAGCACUUUAUUUCCUGGUUAAUCAUGAAGUACAGAAUAUUCAGGUUUAAACAUUUGGACAACUCUGUAUUGGCAAUGCAGUGUUUGCAUCUUACUACAGUGACUGCAUACCAAAAACAUUACGUAUUCCUCCUGGACAAGAUUUUGUCUUAUUUGCCUCCGUACUAUUUUUGGUUCCCACAGAAGACGUACCAUCAAUUCCCUAGAGAGGUAUGAUGUUGAUCAUGACAGAAUAUCAAAUAAAUUAUGGGGAAUUGUUGAUGACUGAAUUUGAGGUUUGCUUUGCAUCUCAUUUGACCUGUCUAACAAGUGAAGUAUCAUAUAUUCCGGCAUUGUAUGUACUCUCUUUUUUCAGCUUAUAAAUUAUGACUGUCUUGUUUGUUUUUCUUCUUAACAAAGCAGGGUAGUUUGUAGGACUCAUUACGUUUUAAACUUUUUUUGAGUAACUCUCAUUCUUGCAAAAGCCAUCAUGAGUUUUUCAUAUCGAUUCCAAAGUUUAGGACACAUAAUAAUGUUUAUUAUACUCUCUCUCUCUCUCUCUCUCUCUCUCUCUCUCUCUCUCUCUCUCUCUCUCUCACUCACACACAAACGCACGCGCGCGCGUGCACGCACACACGCACUAUGUCUACUAAUGCGUAUAAUUAUUAGCGACUAGCUCAAAGACAGCCACGGUUGAACAUUUUAAUGUGAGAUGAAAAUGAUUUGAUUCCACCUGCUUCUCUAAUACCUAAUCAUACUCAUAACAGUUUUCAUGUAAUCGGAAUCUUCCCUUUAUUGUAGGUAUGGCUAUAUAACAUAUGAUUUGGUAGUUAUCAGGUUGAGAAAGUUUGUGAUACCUCAGGAGAAGAUGCAUUAUGCAGCAAGUGAUGAGCUAGUUUCAGUCGAAGCUACUUGUUCAAACAAUUAUUUUGUGGAUUUAUCAUGCAAGAUGCAAUAAGUUGUGAUGGACCAGCUUGUUCUAGAGAAUCUCUGUCCUUUGUUACUAGGAAUAUUUGUGGACAACCGAUCAGGGUAUUUUCCUGCAGAUUGGUACCGGGUAACAGCAUUGUGGACCAUUUAGUCUUUCUAUAGUGUGCAAUUAAUGGCUAAGACAUGAGAAUCGUGCAAAAUCGUCACGGACAUUAUUGACGGAAUGUGGAGGCGAAGAUGUCAAAGGAAAUCUUAUGCUUUCCAGGAAUCCUUUUGUUUCUGCAUCGAGGCCGCAUUCAGACUCUGAUGCCAAGAGGAAAUUCAGUUGAAAUGCUCCUUGGUCAGUACCUGGAUUCUCAAAGAUCAUCAGGGACCUUUGUGAUGAAGUUUGGUCACAAAAUGCAUUCCAUCGAUCUGUUGUCCAUAUCCAUCACAAGAUACAGAGGAGCUCUACUCUAAUUUACUCUGAAUGUAAAUAGCACAAAGUUGAAGGUAUCAUCCUUGUAAAUACAACUCCGUGGUUUCAAUUGAAUGAAUAUGUUCGCAAGUUUGCCUGUCAAUCUAUUAUUGGGCUUGGGUCUUUGUUACCUGACUUGAUGCGUGGAGGCUGAGCUGAGCUAUAUUCAUAGUUGAAUGACGCAGCUAUUCCCUUUUUAUAAGGUGAAACAAAGACUACGUUCACAGACCACUUCUCAAUCUAUGACACCUUACCUUCUCCUACAGGCACAUUGGCACAUAAGAUUUCUUGGCAGAACUAAGUACUUCAACUAUUUCCUCGUAGGGAAUUGUGCAGAUGAACUGUUAAAUCAAACCAUCUCGGAGACAGAUGAUGACUUUGUCUUACAUCAUUUCCAGUGGCAACCUUUGCAAAUUUUUUACUUUAGGAGGUAAACAAUUUAUAUCAUCUUGCCUUUGAUAUGUAACAAUGAUCAUAUGAGCAUUUGGAACAAGGGUUGUAAGCUUUUACCUUCUUUUUUUAAUAUGUGGGAAUUAACAUUAGUGGAAACCUGAAGAACUAAAAUGCCUUCGUCAUUUCAAAGCAUAUAUUGCCAAUUAUGACCAUUUGAAGCAGAUAUAAGUCCUUGACACUGUAUGAUAAGCUAGAGUUUGUACAUUACAGUAAAAGCUAGAGUACAACACCAAAACAUUGGGAAAGGUAUAUUGUUCUGUCGUCUUAACCCUCGCCAUUGUGAUUUAGGCACUUCUGCAAUCGCAAAUUGCCAGCUCCAGAGGCGGACAUGGCAAUCUGCUCUUGCUAAAAACUGAGAGGGCCCAAAGUAGAUAGAGCAAUUGGGAGUUUCUAUCAUUAAGAAGAUAGAGCAAUUGGGAGUUUCUGUCAUUAUUCUAAUAAAAUAGGGCACGAUAACUCUUGAAACAAGAUGCGACUAGUACAUCAGAAACUAAAUUCGGAGUUCCACGACCAAUGGGCAGCGAGAUAUGCAUAAAUUAAGACGAGCUCACGAGGAACUACAUCUUCCUCACUUCUUCUCAAUUAGCUUUUCGAUCAUGUCCGCAGCUUCCUGGACAUUUGUGAUACUUUGAGCACUUUCUUCCUCCACACCAAUCCCGAAUUCCUCCUCAAGUCCCAUCACAAUCUCCACCUAAAUUGCAAAAGAGCAAUGGUCUCAUCACAAUCCCAAUUUAUUGAAUGGAGUAAGCUGGUAAGCGUCGGAAUCAGAUAAGCAGAAAAAACAAUUCCAACAUCGCAGAAGUACCGUCCUGCACCGCUUCAUAAUGAAUGGAUCAAGUGAAAGCUCAUUAAAGUCUGCAGAAAAGGAAAGAAACAUGUGGAUGAACGGCUUAGGGCCCGUUUGGUUCGGCUUUUGGGGGAUGCAUUUGCCAAAAUGCAAAUACCUUUGGGUGAAUGGGGUUUUCCGAAAUGCAAAUAUCGUUUGGUAAAAUUUGCAUUGAGAUGCAACUUUGGCCAAAAUGCCGUUUGGUAAAAUUUACAUUUGCAAAGGACUUUUAUUAAAUUAAAAAAACAAAAAAACAUUUUUCUUUUAUUUUUUUGAAAUCCGGCCACCGGACCGCCGGAUCCGGCGGCCGGACAGCCGGAUCCGGCGGCCGGACAGCCGGAUCCGACGGCCAGACAGCCGGAUCCGGCGCCGGAUGGCCGGAUCUGGCCGCCUGGGUCGCGCGACCUCAGGCGUCGCCUGAGGUCCGGCGACGGUCGCUGGGGUCGGGGGACCCUUGGCCGGCGGUCGCCGGCGCAUUGCCGGCGCGCGCGACCCCUUGGCCGGCGGUCGUCGUCCUCCGAUUGGCUUCUCUCCGGUGAAGAUGAACAGUAGAAGUUGCAUUCCGAAAGCAACUUCCCAAUGGACCUCUCCUCCUCCAUUCCUCUAAAGUCCCUUCAAGCCCUUUGAAGAUGCAAUUGCAUCUCCCCAAAGUCCCCAAAAUAUUGAACCAAACACCACUCACUUUUGCCCAAACCCCUUUAGAGGCCGAAAGCCCCUUCUAAAUGCCGAACCAAACGGGGCCUUACAAUGUACAGAGAAUCGGCUUCCAUGUUAGCAAAUUUUGACUCUCCAGUCACCGUAGCAUCAUCUGGUAAAGCCAGCUGCUUCCUUACUAUUUGGCACACUUUAUCCACUGUCUCCUUUUUAGCCUGCUCACAUCUCAAGUGGAUUAUUUACAAGUUCUAAAACCUACUUAUGGAUGGUCUUCACACUGAGUGGUUAGAAGAUUGGCAAGACCAAUCCAAGCAUUCCUCCAGAGCAAGCAAAAUUAUAUGUUGGAACACGGUAUGAAAAAUAUUCUGGGCAUCCACUUUCCCAGAAGAAGCAUGUUUCAAAUGACAUGAUUAUAAUCACACAGCAAGAUCGUUCAACAUGAGACGAAAAUAAUGGCCCAGACUUCAGAUACAUAAGAACUUGUAGUCACUUUGCUUUGCUUUAGUUUUGCUGUUAUAGUUGGCUUGACAUAGUAAUACAGACCGCACCCGAAACCUGGAAGCGGCGUGCCUUGAGAGAAGGGAAACUUCUGCCACUGAUAGGAAGGGAAACAGAAAAGAAAUUAGAUGUCUUGCUGACAGGUACCUUUUAAAAACGUCAAAAGUGAGCAUUACCAAGGUGCUAAGUAAGCUCAUGGUGCUACACAAGUCAGGUCUAAAGUACGAUGCCAAAUGUUUACUAAUGUUUCAAAGAUCCAAUCUAGUUCAAAGGCAAAACCUCAACCAGGUCAGCCAAGCCACAUCCCAAAUUGCACAGAAAAUUCGGGCGAAUUACACUUUGCCGCCAAGUUUUUGGCAUAAUGGCAAGCUACCCAUGAUGUUUCAAGUUUUGCAUCCUAGACUCUUUGAAAUUGGACACCACUUGCAGCAAAAUGUUCUCGUAAAUCUGACCACGUGACCGCACGUGAUUAGUUAUGACAGGAAAAUUGGACAUAUAUCAUAUUUAUAUGUGGAAAAAAAAAACGGGGACUACCCAAAAACAUAUUUUAAAACUAUCUAUUGAUAUACAUUUGGCAUUGAUCCAGUCAAAUCCUCGUCGGAAUUGUAGUCUCAUGCUCUCAAGUGCAAUAUAUUUUUUUAUAAUUAUUCUUCUACUUACUAUAUGUAUGUGCUAAUAUGACAAAUUUCCUCCGUACUCAGUCACGUUGCUGGAGCUCCAAGUGGAAAUCGAUCGAAGUCAAUCCAGGGAACGCAUUGCAAUCUAUUUCUAAAAUUCAUGGGCAAAUUGCAAAAAUUGAAACAUCACUGGCCAAUAGACGACAACUGUGAAAGCUUGGGGGGCAAUAUGUAAUUUGCCCCAGAAAAUUUACAUAGUUUUCAGACCAGUAGAUUACUAGCAAUUAUUAGACCAACAUCAAACCUCAAGAGCCUUCGGAAGCUAAUGGAGAUGCUACUAUCAGCAUCACCAAUAACCACAAAAAUGAGACAGAAAAAACAAACUGAAAUAAGUUGGAAAAAAAAAAUCGCAUAAACAUGCAAAAGCUGCUAACUGAGAGCAACUCAACAACACAUCGAAAAAAAGCGAACUCGAUUAGGCAUCCAUCUAAUUAAUUCCGGAAUACAAAAGCGGUAGGAAACCAAAAUCAAGUAUAGCUGGCCUGAACUCAUUAUUAACCCCAGACAGCUCAUCUAGUCAAGCUAGACAUUUGAAAUCCUUAUUCGGCGGUGCUGUAGCUUUCCAAUGUGCUCACAAAUGCAUGCUUUAGCGAUGCUUACGCAGUUCGUCCAUUCCUAUAUCUACCCAGACUAAUGCCGCAAACGUGACCGUUUUUUAACUUUAAAACCGCUAGAACAUGUACUCAUCUCUCAAUCAAAUCCUUAACAUAGCCAAUAAUUCGCUCUGUUCGAUCAAUCAUCACACAUAUUUUCCAACACAAACAUUCCGAACCAGCAUCUCCGGUCCCAUCCGGCAGAAUUCAUAAAUCCAGGCACUAAACAAAUUGAAAGUAGACCAAUUUCUUCCCUUUUUUUUUCCCUAUCAAGAAGAAUGGAAAUCCACUCCUCGAUCAAUCCACGGAAAAAAGCUGAACAUUUACCACAACCCAAUGGACAGAAAAACACCUCCAGCACCAAAAACAUGAACACGUUCAUCCCAGUCUGGUAAAAAGCUAACGUCCAAGCUGACAAUACGCUUCGAAAAUACCGCCAGCGAUCAAGCGCCAAUCAAACAAAACUAAAUAACGCAGAAUCGACACUCCCCAUCGUUAAAAAACGCAUCAAAGCCUCGUUAGUGGCUUAAAGAACAGUAAUAUAUCUUCCUUUGAUUUGUGAGUGGGGCAAUGGGGUGCAUAUCCUGAAAAAAUGCAGCUCAACCAAAUGAGUGAUGCCGCUUAGCAUAUGAAAGCCUUUUAUUGAUCAAGAUCCCACGAGAAAUUUUACCAGCCCAAGUUCUACUUCCAAGAACAACUUCAAUUCGGCAUUCGGAACCUUAUUUGACACUUCUCUCAACUAUCCUACCUACGGUUCAUCAAAAAGAAAAACAAAUAUGGUGGGAAAGAAAGUAGAGACCCAAUCAAAAGGCAUUGGAACAGUGGAUAAGCACGACGAAAUGAACAUAAGCAGUACGGAAAAGUUAAAAAGACAAACGAAAGAACAAAAGGGAAAAAUCGAAAAGAGGAAGCAUCUCUGCCAAUAAAAUGCAUAAUCAAAAGAUAUCCUCCCCAUGCAAGUAAGAGAAUAUUAGACCUAUCACUCUGAAGAACAAUUAACUCCUACAAGAAUAAGCUGAACAAGCUUCUUCCCCAUUAUUUUCCACUCGUACACAAAAAUAAUCAACUAAGUGAUAAGAAAAACUCAAGUACCAGAUAAUAGAAGGCAGGUAGUGCAGCACAUUAACACAACAUUACGUAGACUUAAAAGGCUAAAUGAUUACCCAGCUGAAGCUAAACAGAAACUAAACCAAAAAUAAAAAAAUGCGCAUGAAAAACAGUUCUGAGAAAUGUGCACCGGAACGCCGAAUUCUUUAGCAACCUCCUCCUGAAAAAAUACAGCAGUUUUUGUAUUCACUUGGUUUAAUAUGUGUUGAAGAAAUCCUUGAAACUGUAAACAGAAAAGACAAUCGCCAGAGAUGACCAAAAGCUAGUUUGCUAGACAUGGUUAUACUGUUUCGAUAGGAUAUUGCAGCGUAAUUUCACUGUGACAAAGUCAACGAUGCCUGGUGUACACCGUCCAUUCGUUUCCAAUGUACAGCCAAACAGCAGUGUGGUUUUGUGCUCUUCAGUAUCUAAUGCAUAAUGUAAGGUUCAUCAGCGAUUUCGUGGAUGAUUCCGACAAUUUGUUUUCAAUAAUCUAACCGCAACGAUUGAGAGUCCACUGGGGAAGAAUGGACACAAAACAUCAGAUCCCUAUCCUAUAUUAGGACGGGCACAUGCCCACAUUGUCAGGCAUAUCAGAGAUGAAGAUGUCCACUGUUAAUGAUUGUUCAAUAAGUUUUAUCACUAGGCUCCAAGCUCAUCAUAGACCGCAAUUUAGGAAAAAAAGAAAAGAAAAAAGAAUGGCUCCUCUCAUAUCUAAGCACGAAAAUUGGUUCUUGAUGUGCUGCAACAGUCUCAAAAUUCUCUCUGUCAAGGACUUGCGGACAUCGUGAGACCAUUAGUCUAUAGGAAUUUCAAGUUCAGAAUAAAAUACUGAUACACUGCCAUUCAUUUGAUAUGUCAAAACAAAAAAUAAAGCGCCAGUAUUCUGGUCAUUAUUUCAAGUUUAGCUCAACUGCACUUGAACAAGUAUAUUUGUUAUAAGUCCUUUAAAAUCUAACUCCGCGACUCUAUCAUUAUGAUUUGACAUGUGAUUCAAGGUCCUCUUGUUUUCAACUUCGUCUUCUGAUGAGUGUAAAACCACAAGGCGAUAGCAAUAGGGGGAGUGAUAUGUAGGAACAACGAUCAUCUCUCCAACCCCAAUGCGCACAUAGAAAUCCCAUAAAUCACAUCCAGUUGCUCCAACCCUUGAGUCUGUUCUCUGUUUGACAAUUUUUGGUGUCGAGAACCGAACCACAUCACUGUAAUUUUACGUAACUAAGGUAUAAAAGCUGCUUAAGAUUAGUUAUGGAUUCUCGCGAUGCUGCUUAUUCGAUUCAGUUGCUCUUUGCUACUUCUCCAGUUGCUAAAUGAGCCACAACUUCCUGCAAAGAAACAUAGUACCAUUAACUUUGUUAAGAGUUAACCAUCUAAAUCAGAAAACCAACUCAAACAGUCCGUCUGAGAUGUUUGUACCUCUUGGUCUUCACGUCAAUGUUUAAUGCGCAGUAAAUGUAUCAAAAUCAAUGGAAAAGCAUGGGAUGCGUAGAUUAGCGUGAACAUAAUCUGCGUCAAGACAUAUGUCUGCGAACCUGUACGUGUGAUCUUAUGACCCCGAACACGUCUCUAUUAUUCAAACUCAGCAGUUAAAUUCUCGGAAGAUUCAUUCAGGUACAUCAUCAGGAGCAGGGUCAUUUUCCUUCUUCCCCAAUUCCUCUUCCUUUUCCAGUCCAGUUGGAUUCUUCUCUUCCACCACCACUUUAUCAUACUCGCCCUCCUUCACCUGUUCAUGCCGAGGCAAGUUGUACUCGGAGGAGAGACCCUCAGACACAAUCCCUUCUGGCACUUCCUCGUCUCUUCUGGGAGAGAAGUAAUGAUCUGGCGAGUCGUGGGAUGUGAACCUCCCUGGCUCUGCCUCUUCCUCUUCUACUAGCGGUUCUGUCUCCGGCUCUAGCUCCUGCCUCCAGCUCAAUCUCCUUUUUCUUCCUCUACACGCUUCUCUUCCUCUCUGUCUUCAUCCACGGCCUUUGUUUCUUCUACUUCUUUGUUCUCUUCUUCUUGUUCAGGCUCGGGAUGUUCAGUUAUGUCCUUAACAUCAGCCGCAGUUCCUGUACCCUGGCUCACCGCAUUAUUGAUUUCUUGUUGCACGAGUAAUGCCGCGCCAUUCCCAAUUGCUUCCAUCUGAGGAAACGUUCUGUUCCACUUGUUUGUUCUUCUCGGGAUUGGUGCUCGAAACUCCUGCUUUCAGUAAUGGUGUUUCCGGUGGCACCAGCAUGCUUCGACUCCGCGCAACGCAUUUUCGUAAAAGGAAACGUCAAUCGAAAGGAAUUAGAUUUGGGUAUUGAUUCUCUCUCCCUUUGUGCGUCAGAUUGAAAUGAAGUUUCGGCUUUCGUUUUCUUUGGCUGUUGCAGUUUUGAUUUGCUGAGGCGGGUUGUAUCCGUGGUUGACAAAAGGAAGGAGUUUUUUCUGUUGUGGAUUGAGGGUGGAGAGGAGACAGUUGCAGCUUAAGUUAAAAAGGGGAGUUUCUCCCUCCAAUCUAGAAAACGACAAUUCGUUUCUUAUUAUCGGUGGGGUUUUCCUUUCAUUUUUUCCAACCCAACCUUAGUUCAAUGAAAAAACAUACUUUAGAAUUAACAAAAUUCAAUAUUUAAAAGACCGAAUUAGUCCUACUCAAAAACUUAUUUAAGUUUCUCGCCCCAUGUUUGAGCAAUUUAAUUUUCAGUUGAUUUUGAGUACUUUUGAUGGUAAGACUUUAGGACUUGUGGAUGGACUUUUUUGAGAGAAAAUGACAAUUCUUUUAUGCAAAGAAACACAAGGUUAAUCGACAUAGAAAUACGAAAAGUGAGGUAUGUUUUUGAUAUUUUAUAAUGUCAAUCGACCUCAUAAAUCAAAAUUCAUAUGGUCGUGAAACAUGAGAUUGUUUGCACUUAAUCUGAUCGAAAAUUGAACUUACCUAAUUUUCCAAAUUCACAAAUAAAUCCUUUCAUGAACCAUUAAAAUAAAAUUGAUCAAGAGUAGGUAUGUAAAAAGUGAAAUAUCACAUAAAGAAAAAUUAUAAUAAUGUUAGCAAACGAAUAAUCAAAAUAUUACCAAAAGAUGAAUUAUGAUUGUUCCGCACCGUAAGUGGCGAUGGACGCCGCCACAGGGGAACAUUACCGUAUUCCCUUCUUCCUCCUCGUCGGAGCCGUGCACGCCGCCGCCACCGCCGCCGCGAGAGCUCGCAGGGUCCGCCGCAUUCUCAAGCCUCCGGUUCAUGUCGGCUCGGCUGGAUUCGUCCCUCCGGAUGACCACCGAGUCGCUGAAUGCGCUCGGAUUCGUGCGCAAGCAAGUCGAGAUCACAGCUCCUCCUCCUCCGCUGCUCAGUCCCUCGGUUUUCGCAGGUAGCGUGCUUGUUGUCGUCUGUUAGGCUUUUCUUUUUUCGCUGCUGAGGAAUCUCGACGUGGAUUGUAGAUGCCAGACUGAUGGGUUCUUGGUCAGUAGGGGGCCUUCUUUAGGUUGAGUUUGAUGUCUAGAUAUGGGGCGGCGGUUGGAGAAUUUUAUGAUUGAUGAGGAAGUCUGAAUAACUUAUUCAAGGGAUGUGUACCCGGUGGAGCGGUCGAGUUGAAGUGGAGGGAUGAUUAUGCUGUCGGGAUCGUGCUUGUUGAUCGAGACGCCGUAUUUUUUUAUUGUGUUCAUCGUGUUUGCUUCGUAUAUUUGAUAUUGGAGACAUGAUUCUGUAAUAGAAUGAAUCGCAUCGAAUUGUUUCUUCUAGUCUAGCGCUUCAUGUUCUUCAAUGUCGGUUCUGGGUUGAAUUAGUUUGUUGAUACAAAACGGAGCUGCGUUUCUCUUGGCAGUAUAUAUAAGGUUUUGAUGUGAUUGUCAUUGGAAUUCACAGGGCCGGCUCGUGGAAAUAGAUUGCCUGCUUCCCCUUGGUCGAUAAUUUCUAGUUUACCAUAUUCUUCUGAAGCAAGUGCUGAAAUGGAGGAACCCACAAGAUUUUUUGCUUUUUUCUAUCUAAUGUGUGUCUUUACACAUUGUGGAGUUCUUUUUCCGAUAUUUGGUUCUUGUAAUAUUAUGCAGAGACCGUGAAGGAGAUGUAUCAUAAAAUUCUUGAAUCUGCUAAUAUGAAAAGAACAAUGGCUCCAAACGCAUGGACGUGGUCGAUGAUUGAAAAUUGCAAGAACAGAGAGGAUAUCAGAGCUUCUCUUUGAUGUCUUGCAGAACCUACGCAGAUUUGUCAGUUGACUUCUUGCUCCAUUUGAGAAAUAAAGUUUUGAUUUGUGACUAGUUGAUAAAUCAAUUUGUUUUUUUCUUUCGUCGCAGAGAUUGUCAAAUCUUCGAAUUCAUGACUGCAACCUUUGUCAGGAAGUCACAAAAGCAUCUGUGCAUGCAAGGGCUCUUCAUUUUGGUGAGCUCUAUCUACACAAGUUGUGUGCCAAGUUCAAAAAUUUUGUAUCUUGCUAAUAUAUUUACCUGAUACUUCUUCUGCAUUCGAUUGUUGCUACUUACCCUAUCAUUAGCACAAUCAUUUUGUUGUGUGUUGUUGAUCUUUUUACCUCAAGCCUGUCAUGCUUGGAGAACAUAUUCAGUUGCUUAAGAAAACUUUUGACCACCUCGCUGGUACUGGUAGCUAGUUAUGCUUUUGUGUUUCUUUUUCCCCCCUUGAUGCGUCCAUUAUGUAAACCAGAAUUUUGUCCUACACAGAUGCUACAUGUCUAUUAAGCAUGGGUAUGGAAAUAACAUGACACAUAUAACAUAUUCAAGAAAUAGUUUUUCAUGUUUGAAUGUGUAAAGGCACAUUCAAUUUAAAGCACUUAGGACAUUGUUAAAUGUGUAUUAACUUGUCUUUUGUGAGUAACAUGUUAACCUGCUCGACACGCUGCAAUGUGUUUAAGUAGUUAAAGGGGUCAAUUUAUUUUACAUGUACAAACUUGUUAACUCGUUGAUGACUCAGACAAUUUUAAGCUCAAUCCAACUUAAUAUGUGUCAAAUGCUUAUUCUGUAAAUAGGUCUUUUUGCACAUUGCUGGCUCUGUAAGACUGAUUUCUUGAAUGACACCUCCACUUCAAGUUAUUGAGUUCAUUAUCCAAGCUUAGCAAAGAGCAUUCACUUUUUGCAGACGUGUUUUUAUGAACAUUAAGCUUCAGUAGUUAUCAGUUCGAGCUGUUUCUAGUAAUUAAGCUCUUCAUAAUUUUCAAGAAAAAUAAAUCAAAUCAAACUGCAGUUCCAUGGUGUAACUCAUUUUAGGAGAUUGCAGCAAUUAAUUGUCACUGGGCGUACAUGAUUUAAUCAGAACCUACAUCUGUAAAUCCUUAUUUAGGCUAAGAAAUUAAAUUGCAUGGUGCACUUAAUCCGUGAUGAUAGAAACUAAGGGUUGACAAAAUUGUAGGUAAGAAGGCCUUGUGGGAGCAUAAUGUCUAUGGAUUCACCCCUACAAUUGGCUCGGCAAACCAUCUUUUGGUAAUGAUGAAGUGUAUCUAUAUCAAGCAAUUCUUUUUUCCAUUUGUUUUAUUUACACAAUUCUUCUGCUAACUUGGGGUAUUGCAAUGCAGCAAUAUGCUAAAGAGCACAAAGACGCUACCCUCAUGCAGGAAGUUAUGAAGCUUUUGAAGAAGAAUAACUCACCAUUGCAACCCACCACGGCCGAUAUUGUUUUCAGGUUCACUUCCGUGCUGUUUCUCCUGAGAAGGAUGUUAUUAUCGUGUAGUAAGCCAUUAUUGCACUUAAUUGUGUGUUAUGUACUGCAUAGUUAUCAAGCAAUUUAUCCAAUUUAUAAGUGUCAUUUAUAUGCGAUUUAAUCAACUUGUUUUUAUUUUGAAUCAUUUUGUCUGCACUACUACUCUCGAUCUAAUAGUUUGCUCAUGUUAUUUGACAUCCUUUCUUUCAUGGAAAAAUUUUGCAGCAUUUGUGAUGAUACAGACAAUUGGGGGUUGCUCACAAAGUAUUCAAAGAGAUUUGUCAGAAAUGGAGUGAAUUUGCAUAAAGCUGCAUUUGACAUCUGGAUGGAGUUUGCUGCAAAAGUAGGUGAGAAACACUUGCUCUGUCUUCCUUCGCUGCUCUCAAGCCCUUGUCCCUCAACAAUCUAAUUUUCCAUUUCUUCCCACAAAUAGUUCUCUCAUCCAGGUCCUACCUCUUACUACAAAAGAUGGGAUGUGCUAGAAUAUUUUCUUCUGUACAAUGAUUUCUUUCUCUCCUUAAACAAAAGGGUAGAAAUAAGAAAUGAAAAGAAUUUUCGCUGCGCCGUGUCUUUCAAUGUCUUUGUUUCUUUAAUUGUUCUGAGAUUAUGCUUCUUUAUCUUAUUUAGUGGUUUGACGAAAAUUACCCUUUUCAGGAGACAUUGAAUCUCUAUGGAAAAUUGAGAAGUCAAGAUGUGAGUCCAUGAAGCAGAACACUGUGGGCAGUGGGUUCUCGUGUGUGAAGGUAAUUUACAAACACAAACUGUUGAAAUCACAAAUAUCAGACCCUGAAAGCACUAGGUCUUCUUGCAUUAGAAAAUCUGAUAAUGGGAACACAUUAAUAUUGCAAUACAGAUCAGUACAAAGUUCUUGGUAAACCAGGUGAGAGGUCUAUGGCCCUGUUUGGUUGGACUUUCCCAAGGGGCUUUCGGGCCCGAAAGCCCCUUGGGGAAAAAAAUUUGUGUUUGGCAAUCAUUUUCAAAUGCUACUUGGCCAAAUACCAGCAUCCCAAAUGCUGAAAGCCCAAUGCUGGGUAGGACCAGCUUUGGGCAUUUCAGAAAUGCCGGUUCACUGUUCAUAAUCCACUGUUCAUCUUCUUCCCCCUUUCUUCUUCGUUCGUCUUCGUCUUCCUCGCCGGCUGAGAGUGCGGCUUCUCCGGCAGCCACCACCGCCGCGUGGGGGUCCCGCGUCCCCGGUGACCACCGCCCGGGGUGGCGAGACCCGCGGGGUGGCCUGAGGUCGCGCGGACCUCGGCCGGCGUCGCCUGGUCUCGCGCGAGCCAGGCGACCAGGCGAGGCCAGAUCUGGCUGUUCGGCGGCCAGAUCUGGCGGUCUGGCCGUUCGGCGGCCAGAUCUGGCGGUCUGGCAACCAGGCGACGCCGCCUGAGGUCGCGCGGACCUUAGCCGGCGUCGCCUGGUCUCGCGCGACCAGGCGACGCCGGCUGAGGACGCCGGACGGCCAGACGGGGCGGCGGGGAUCUCGAGAGGCCAGAUCUGGGGCGCGGGCGACGCGCGANNNNNNNNNNNNNNNNNNNNNNNNNNNNNNNNNNNNNNNNNNNNNNNNNNNNNNNNNNNNNNNNNNNNNNNNNNNNNNNNNNNNNNNNNNNNNNNNNNNNCGGAUGACAUGGUCUCAUGCACCAGAGAUCUGCUGCUGAGGUUACGUCGACGUUAGCAGCCCUGCCCAGGUAUCGCGCGACCAGGUGACGCCGCUUGAGGUCGCCCGACCUCGGCCGGCGUCUCCUGGUCUCGCGCGAGCCAGGCGACCAGGCGAGGCCAGAUCUGGACGCCGGACGGCCAGAUCUGGCCUCCGCGACCUCCGGCGGCCAGAUCUGGUGGUCCGGCGACGGCCAGAUCUGGCCGUCCGGCGGUGGCCGGCGGUUGGCCGGCCACCGGAAUUUGAUUUCAAAAUUUAAAGAAAAUAAAAAAUACCAAAAGCUAAUUACAAAUGCAAAGUUUACCAAACGGUAUUUAUGCUAAGUUGCAUUUCAAUUCUAAAAUUUACCAAACGGUCUAACAUUUUCGAAAGUUCAUUUCUCUAUAUUUGCAUUCUCCAAAUGGCAUUUUUUAAAAGCCGAACCAAACGGGCCCUAUGGCCAGAAAAGGCGAGAGUUAAUGCUUGAAUAAACCAAAUUUUGGCUUACCCCCUAGGACAUGAAACAGCUAUGGGCAUGAGAAUGCUCUGUCAUCACAUGAAGGAGAUAUAACUACUUUUUCCAUAUUUGGAAGCAUUUAUUGUGGCUUUUAGCACUCCAGUUUAGGAUUAAAAUUUAACUGUCAUUUACUUGUUUUGUGGUGAACUAAAUGGUUUUAAAACCUAUUUUUUGUGCAGGGAUAUUUACUUGAAGGCAAACCUGAGGAGGCUGCUACAGUCACGUCUUGAAUCAGGCGCUCCUCACUUCUCAGAGCAUCUGUAGCUAUUAUUAAUAUGCUCAUCAUCACCGUCUGGCAUGAUUGCAAUCCUGAAUUACCUCAGCCUCUGAACUAGUCCUUCAAUUUUCCAUAUACUGUCAAGGAAUAAAGCAAUUAGUGGAAGAUGUACAGAAUUGUCCCCCAAAAUGUGCUCAGAUAAAAUUACCGUGACAUAUCCUCUCUCGAGGGGGAUUGGGUGAUUUGGGUUUCGUAUUUGGUGCAUGCUAUACUAUUAAAAUAACAUGAGUUAGUUCCAUGGAUCCUAAUAGAGUUCGAAAGUUCAUCUCAGACUCCUCCUGAAUGGAAUAAAGUUGGAAAUACACCUAUGUAGGCUCUGUUUGUUCAGAUGUCGCUUCUUAGGUCCCACAAUGUGAAUGCCUUGGAUUGAUGCCAGAGUUUACCUGAUGCUAAGAGGUCCAGCAUCAUGGUUGAACUUCAAAAGCUUGUCAGUGAGUGGCUUUUCAAGGUUAUCAAACGGAAGAAAGAAGAUGACCGCAUGGUACUUCCUUUGACUAAAUAUCCAUCACUUUGGGUAGAAGUAGAAAUAUUGCUUGUUUGCAGUUAUAUAUUGCUCUGGUAAUGUUUUCUCAAUCGUUCCUGUUGCUGGAUGUAUAUAUGCUGCAUUGAACUAUCUCAAAAUAUUUAAAACCUCUCAUUCUUUUCACUCAUGUAGGCAUUGGCUGCUUCUCUCAAAUCCGAUAUCCCGGCCAUGGUUAGUUCCUUAUUAAACAUGGGCUUGGAGGUGAAUAUGGAACAACUAACCACCGAAGGCACCCUUUGUUAAAGUAUGACGGAAUUGGAGAUUGAAUGCACUAGCUGCAGAUCUGUCUCCUAUGUGGACCGCUAAGGUUGCCAUGUUAGUUUCAACCGAUUCCUCUGAGAAGCAAGACAAGCGUGGUACUCAUGUCUCGAGCAACAAGCAUCUGAAGUUCUCUUGUGAAGGUCCCUGAACCAUGAAAAGAUAUGCUCCUUCUUGAUUUGAAAGUUGUCACUUCUGUACUUUCGGAGAAUGAUUCUUUUCUUUCCCCAAAAAAUCUGAGUGCGUUGGAGACGAUAGAUGCAUCAUCAGCAAUUGAAUUCUGAGAACAACCUCGGAUGACUAGUUUUUGCAGAGAGGAUUCUUUUGGCUCACGCACUUUAGAUUGGACCAAAUGGGCAGGUAAGAGAGACAAUUGAUAAAGUGGUCCUUUCAAUUUCAAUCUCGUUUGGCAGCCUAUUUUGUUAAAUUUCUGACAGAAUUUCGCUGUCCAAAAUUAAGUGAGUGCAUUUAAUGCCGACUCAUUCGAUGUUGGCAUACAGUGACCGCCAUCGCUUCCUGAUAUAAUCGGAUUGAACUGUCAAAUUGUGGUGCCAAAGUGCAUAACAUACAUUACAUCCCUUUUUACAUCAUCAAAGUUAAUGAAAAACCUGAAUUACCAGAAAUGGCUUUGGUACCCACAUGCGUGGGUGGGUGCAUGCGUGCUUGCAUGCAUUUUGUACAUAUAAGGCAUACAAGAGGUAACAAACGCAAUCCUCUAGAAUUAAAAUAAUGUGCAUUAAUUAUAUGCAAGUUUUAGUAGGGAAUUGACAUAAUUGUAAUAAGUGUGGGACUUUUUUAGUAAUUUUCCCGUAUUUUCACUCAAAAGUUUAGGAUUACUAUAGGACUAAAUUUGAAUUAAUACAAUAAGCUUACAACCGAAUUUGCAAUUCUCCCAACUCAACACCUAUGCUUUAAGUUUUUUUCUUCUUUUAAUAAUUCUCCCCCUCUUCUAUCUCCUCUCCUCAUAUGUAUAAAAUGGGCAAUGAGGGGUGGCUUGGGUAGUGGAAGGGAAACCGUCCCCAAUGAUCUUAUUGGUGAAAGUUGACACAACUUCAAAUUAAAGGGCAAGAAAACUAACCUCUACUCACUUUAAAUCACCACGCUGAGUGUUGAUUUUAACUCCUUAAAAUCCUUAACACAUCCAACCCCUCAAGAUCCUGGCAUCAAAAGACAAUCCUUAUGGAUAAUAAGAGCGAGAGUAGAAGUCAUAUCCUAUGAUUUCCAAUCUUUCAUGAGACAUACCAAUGGAUUUGCAUAUGGUUAAUAUGAGAAAAGAGCUAUCCUAUACACUUGCAUUUAGUUGAUAAAAAGGUUGAUCAAUUUAUAGAUGACAUGAGUGACUUGAUUUCCAUUCACAUAUAAAUAACAUGCAGCCCAUCCUAGGUUGUGUCAAAGCCCCAAUACAUGCAUUAGACACCAUGCCAUCUCAAUCCCAAAAAGCAGAAGGGAAAUAUUGAUGUUUUCCGGUCAUCACACCCUGAGAAAAGACUAGGCAUUUUUUAUUCCAGCAAGAGAGACAUCCCUCCGACGGAAAUCUCGAAAGAUGAAUCUUGCUUAUGGUCUCCAUAAUCUAGCAAGAACGAUGGUGAUUCCAUUGGACUGGUAAGAACUACUUUUAUCUUCCUCUCCUCUAUGUAUUUACCACUUCCUUUAUCAAACUAGAAAUCUAAAAGAAAUUUCGCAAGUUACUUUACCAAAAGAUUAUGGAACAUAUAUUAGUAAAACUUGCCAUGCCAGCAAUAAUGUCCUCUUCACCUAUAUCGCGAACUUGUCUCUGCACCACAGGUGGAGCUACCUGUUGUGCUUACAUAGUAACUGCAUCAAAUAGAAGAUAGGAUGAAAGGCUACUCCAAUUCUUUCAAAAUAUCAAGACAGCUUCUGAGGCCUAUCAUGGUUUCCCUUUAUCUCAAGGUAUAUUAGGCUACUAUGGCCAGCAUUCAAAAUCUUAUUCAAAGAUGAUCUUGCUACAAUGCGAAUGACUCCACCUUUAGCUAUUCGUACCCUAUCAAUAAUAUAGUCCAGUUGACAUGUCACGGCAAAGAAAUUGCAUAAGAAUCUUUCAGCUGAUUCAAGUACUGUGGGCAUCUCUCCUCACAAGUAUGAUAGGGGCUUUAAUAUGUAUAUGAACAUGAUACUCCUUGGACUUGAGCUGCACGAUUUUGAAUCAGAUGCUCCAUUUGGCUUGAUAAUACCUGCAUUUGGCCACACAGUAUUUCUUCAGAGAUGUAGACUUAACCUAGAAUGCUCUGGAUCUCCAAUAUAGAGUUCAUAAUGUCUCCCCAAUACAGAGCUUUAAAUGCACUAGUGUCCUCUGAAAAUUAAAUUACAUCAAGAGAUACAAGAUCGAAGGAAAUUAUUCACCCACCAUAACCUAAAAAAAGUAAAGCAUGAUCAUGGUGAAAGAAAAGGUCCAAAAAAUCCUCCCCUUGAAAGCAACAUAUCGAUCAGUCUUGUCGCCUAACGGAAUCGAGCAUGAGCUUUGUUUACCCAACUCAACUGCAUAGACACGGAGAAGAGGCUUUAGAUAUAAGAACUUAACAGGGUACAUCACGAGAGCAGGAUGUGAUGAAAUGUACCAUCGUACAUUUUCUUUGAAGAUAUAAUGCAGUAAUGCAAUCUCGAUGGAUAUUCCAAAGAACUUACAAUAAAAACUCCUAGUAACUACGGGGUACAAUGGAAAUGAACAUUCAAAGCCCAAGAUUAAUUCUGGGAAAAAUGGAAAAGUGUGGAACAACAAACUUUGAUUUACAUCACAUGAAGUAAGAACGACGUGAUAAGUGAAUUCAAGCAUCCCAUGGAAUUCUAUUAGCACUGGCAGCUUCUACUGAUUCCAGUUCUGCCACAACUUUAGUCCUGGAAGGCUGCUCGUUAGGAGUCAUUUGGAGGCAUUGUAAAGCAAGCUGUGCCAUUUGGAAUGCAGAAUCUACAUAUGUAAGGUAUAGGGAUGGUAUAAAUUUGGUUCCCAUUUCCUGCAGGUCGCAACAUCGUGAGCGACCAGCUUCUUCUAAAAUAUCCAGUGUUUCUUUUUUGGUAAUUGGAGCAUCUGCAGAAAAUGAAAAGUUAUGUAGGCAGUACAACUGUAGAUUCCAUGCCAAAGGAUUUAAGUAGCUAAAAGCAAAACACACCUGGUAUUUCAUAGAGAGGAUUAUAGUGAACCUCACACCAGAAACUCAACCAAAACUCUGCAUCAAUUGAAAGUAAGGUUAACAAAAGGAAAAACUCAAAAUAAAGAGUUUCAAAAGACCAGUUGCACAUUGAACAAAAGCAACAGUAGAUCAAUUGCAAAUGUUUACACCUAAAUUUAAAAUCAAUCAAAUAUAUAUUGAGCUGUACCCAAGCAGCUGUUCUAAGCAAGCAAAAGAACAAAUAUUUAAUUUCCCAGAUGAACAACAAGCAAAGCAUCACAAAGGAGGGUCUAUGCGUAUAUGUAUGCGAGCAACGCUCUUUUUUCCAAGACAAACGAGAAGUAAAAUAUCAACUUCACAUUCAUCACAUUGCACCGACUGAUCAUUUGACCCAACAAAACAACUAUGAAGAAGACUAGCAAGCAAUACCCUAGGCAGAGGGAACUUAUAAAUCCAAUGGCCCAACAAUAAUCAAGCUAUCAAUAUAAGUAUCAUCAAGAGGUUUUAGCCCUCCUUCAGGCUCUCCAACAUCUACCAAAUAAGCAUUGAACAUCAAUGACUCACCGGAACAAAUAACUUCAUUCUUCAAAAUUCUGCAUCUCGACAGCUGCUCGCUGCCAUCAUGGCAUUACCUAUCAUAUAUCCAACCAUCAAUCACAGCAUGGACUAAUCUACUCCAAACAAGCUCAAUCACGGAGAGUAUUACAACCAAAAGCACAAAACAGAGCAAUCCAUGAUGAUAGAAAGAAUGAAACCCUAAGCAGCAUCGAGCUGCUGCCAUUAAGUUCGAUCAAGCAAGCUAAAUUUGGGGGAAAACGGUGAUAAAUCGAUAGCCACUGCAGUUUUGACACAGAUUAGCCAAUCAAACCAAAUUAUGUCCAAGCCCAAUCAAAGGCAACUAAAUUGCUGACCGGGUUGAGCUGGACAUCACUGGCAGAGAUUAGUAGUGAAAGCAAAGGUACCUUGCCGGUGGACGUGCAAAGUGAGAGGAAGCCGUCACAAUAGACCUUGCGCUUCAACUUCUGCUUCAGGUGCUUCUUGAAGGUGACAUUCCAGCAUACACAAACUCAAGCACAUAACUCAUUUCAUCAAACACCAAAAUUGCACAUGAUCACCAAACACUGGACAGGCAAAUCUAGAUGGUUCACACUCACACAAAGCAUAAUUUAGCACACUAAUUACAAACACGAUCCAAGAGCAGUUUAGGAUUGAAGAAGAAAACCAGAGCACAACACCAAUCUGCUCCUAGAACCUGCAUUGCCGGCUCAAAAUGCAGGCGUUGAGUCCAUCACAGAGCUGAAAGCUCUGAGGUAUUCAUCCGUGGGAUUCUGCUGAGUCUGGAUGUUCUGUAUAAGGUCAACAAGGAUGGUGAUGCCAGGUUUUUGUCCCUCAAGAUUCCAUUUGAUGCGAUGUUCAUUUUCCUAAUCAAAACUCCAGAGUUAGAGCUUAAGCUGGCAGACUUGAAAUCCAUAUCCUAGGUGCAAUUUCUCCCUCUUUACCCAACCUAGAUUGAGGAUGAGGACCAUGAUACCAAUGUGUGCGCAGAAGCUCUCCCUGAUGCUCAUAGAGUUCAACUUGACUAAAAUUUCUGAGAUUCUACACCCAAAGACAGUCAGCCACUGCUUCAGAUUUUCACUUGGCGAUCUGUCCUGUGCAAAUGUGAAUGAUGUUGAGCUGCGCAUGGCUCUGGCAUCGGCUCCAGAUAUGGAUCCUGAGUUGCUUUCUCAGCUAUAAGUAGCACGGCGGAUUGGAAAUCUUUUGGAGUUUGUACAUGGGAAGAAUUUGGAAGAUUUUUUCAAAUUGAUGCUUGGCUUGUGCAAAUCUCUUCUUUUAUGAUCACCAGGUUCUACGAAAGUUUUCACGUACAUGGAAGAGCCAACACUACCUGAUGAAAGUUCUUCUGAGGUGGCAAGUAGCAUAUGACACAUAACUGACUUUGGUGGUAGUGCCAGUGUUUUCCUAGAAUUGAGUGGGUCUCAUGACAGAAAAUGGCAAUACUGCUUCUGAAUGCACAGUUCUAUUACUGAAGGCAGCCUCGAGGGAAGGUGCUCUCUUUUUCUUAACAAUCCUUUGUAAGUGAGUGCAAUUCUCGAGUCUUGGCAAGACGGCCUCCUUCUCUACUGGUACAACAAAUGCUGCAUUCUCUCAGUUACAACUGCAGGUGAUGUUUGCUGCACAGAAUGAUUUUUGUCGGUGUGCCCCUCAAAGAUUGCUAUGAUUGAAGGCAUCCUUGCUGAGGUAAGAUAUUCUGGUGCUGCUGCUUUAGCCAGUGCUGCCACACUGGUAAUCUCAGAAUUUCGGUGGCUCCCUCAUUUAUGACUUCUCCAUAACAUUUGCAAAUCCCACAAAGAAGCACACCUUUCCUGAAAAAUAAACUGAACUUAAGCAUAGCAAUAGAGUGUCUGCCUACUUCAAAGUCGCAAUAAUGAGUUGAUUGUGCUGUAAAAUCCCAGGAUGAGAACCAUAGUCAUAUGACCUUCCAGCACACAUUCCAUCUAUUUGUUUACAGCAUAGCAAAGUUAUCUCCAAUGCGAAGCGAGGUUAUCAAUUUCAAAAUAUAUGAAGCAGCAAAUCGACAAGGAUCUCUAAUAAUUUGGUACAUAUCAAAUAAAAAUGAUGCAAUUGACAUGCAUAUCUCUAGGAGAAAUCAUCCUAAGAAAAUGUAGAUAAAAAAGUCCAGCCAAACUAGGAAAAUAACACAAAUACUUGUACAUAAUUAAGAGCCCUCUGGCCGUUCAGAGGUAUCAUAAUUUCAAUGCUUCAUCAGAUUUUCAGACAAGAAUCCGCUAAAAGGUCAUUAAAAAGUGCAUGCGAAACUACUCUGUUCAUAUUUGCGAAAGAAUUUGACUGCAAAAAAAAGGAAAACAUUGGUACUUACCUCAAUUUGUUUAAGGUUUGAAUACAAGGGAACAAUUUGUGGUUGUGCAUCAAGAAGCUUACACGUACAACAAGAAAUCACCAUGGUCUUCUUCAUCGUCUUAUUCCACAAAUUUGAUCGACUUCUCCAAGCAAAGCCGAGAAAUUUCCUCCACAUCUAAUUUCUCGCAACAUUUUAUUACAACCAUUCGCAGUCCCUUCAAGCUUGACAGAUCAGGCAACUUCUGUAAAGAUCCACAGUAUUCAAUGUUUAAUUUGUCCAAAGAUUGGGAUAGUUCACCUUGAAUCUCAACCAGAUUACCGCACCCCUUUACUAGAAUACUCCUUAGCUUGUUUAACUUGCUUAGAUCAUGUAGCACCGCCAUCUGUCCGACGCACGUAAGGUCCAAAUCUCGUAGGUUCUCCAAACAACCAAGGCCUUCAAUCUCUGCAACUGCAGAGUACAAAAUCGAGAGAGACGAUAGUUUCCUCAAAUUCGAUAGAUCCAUCGAGCAAAGUGAGUGGAAACCUUCCACAUAUAAGGAGGAUAAAUUUGAGGGAAGCCUCGGGAGGCGACGCGGAUGAGGAGGGAGGCUAAGGUCUGUUGAUGAGGCGCUCCCCCCAGAAUAGCAGAGUUCCAGAGACUCCAUUUUGCUUAAGUUCCCAAUCCACCAUGGUAUCGGUUCUUCCAGAAGCCCAUAAGAUUUCCCAUCGAAAUUAGGUGGGCCAAAGCCCAAACACAAUACCCUUAAAUUAGUGAGAUUUGAGAGAUCCGGAAACGUGUCCACCCUCAACUGCUCCAGUUCUAAUUUGGUGAGACUUUCAGGAAGCCUUGGUAGGGCAUGUAUUCUCGCCCCUCCCAAUCUCAAGAUCCUCAAGGAUUUAUUCUCAUAGAUGCAAUCACUAAUUUCCUCGUUAUGAUAAACCUUGCAGUUGAUUUUUAUUUUUUCAAGCUUCUCCAUCGUCCAAAAAGCAUCGUGUAUUUUGCUUAUGUCACUAUACUGCAUCUUCACUACUUUCAAAUUCUUCAACUUUUCGAUGGAAUCAGGUAGUUCUUUGAUGUUUGUGUAACUUAUGUUCAACUCAAUCAGCGAUUCCAAAUUCCCGAUUGUCUUCGGAAGCCUCUUCAAACUCUGGCAGUUUCUUAGAGAUAGGUAUUCGAGGCUUGCAAGAUCUCUACCCAACUCAUCUGGCAGCCUCUGAAGAUUCAAACAAUCGCUUAUAUCUAAGAAAACUAAGCAUUUCAACUGAUAAAUUGAUUUAUCAAUUUCAAUUAAUGAUUCACAGCCUAAUAAGAUCAAACGUUGUAAAUUUGAAUGAGUAGAGAAGUUGGGGGUUCUCUUCAAGCAUUGGCAAUUGGCUAGAUCUAAAACUUUCAAAUUCUUCAUUGCCUGUAAAAGAAAAAUCUUGCAAAGUUUACUUUUGAAUCUAAUAAAACAGAAGAAUAUGCGUUGUCUAGCAUAUAACAUACCUUCAUGUGGUUCCACCCCUUCCAAUCAUGUGUAAUUUCACUCCUAGAGAGAUCAAGGAUAAUCAAAUUCUCCAUGGAGAAAUUUGCAAUCUUAAAUGUUGGGCAAAUAUUAUGCCAAGAAAGCCAUCGUAGUUGUGGAACAAGAUCAGAAUUCUUCUGGAAAACGUUAGUUGGAAUAACAUUUGAUGGCCAUUUGUGCCGAGAAGCAUCUUUUUUGCAUGAAAAUUUUCCAAGUCAUCGACUUCAAGGAAUUUUAGAUUUGGCAGGCUCUUAAAGUCCUUAUAGGUAAAAUGGUGCUGAUCGUCAAACUUGAGAUGAAGAGCUUCAACUUCUUUUUUUUCCUACCCAAAGGAAAAUUUUUAAACAAAAAAGUUGAAAGGAAACACAUUUACUCAAGUUCACUAUUUUAAGGGGUUGAGUUGAGUACUAUCAUUCCUUUCAAUUUAAAAGAGCAAAAAUAUUAGUUGAGUAGGUCGUGAUGGUGCUAGAGAACGGGAAAAGUAACUGCCCUUUUUUUUAAAAGAAAAUGUCCAUAAGUAAGUUGUGUUGCACGAGGCAUUUUACCUCAUGUCUCCUCAGCAAAUCCAAUCCUUCCUUGGGAUUCCACACCCAACGUUGCUUCUCUAUUUUCAUCUCACUUUCUUGACGAAUUAUUUCUCUUCCCAGGUCUCUAAGUUGAUCAUGCAUCCACAAUAUUAAAUGUUUUCCAAUCUUUAUCAAAGACAUGUUUUGCAAAACUUCCAAGGCUACUUCCGAAAAAAGUUCGGAUGCAUCCCAAAAAUUAACUACAAUGUCUUUGUGAUAUCCAAUGAAUUGACAAGCUAUAUCAAGGAAUAUAUGCUGCUGCCGAUUAUCUAAUGCAUCAUAACUUAUUUUCAGCUUACUCUGAACUUUAUCAUGAGGAACACUUUCUAGCUUCUUCAAUGUGGCAUCCCACAUUUUCUUAUUUUUGCCGGAUAAAAGUGAACCUAUGACCUCAAGGGCUAAUGGAAGACCUCCGGCAAUGUGUACCGCCCUCUUGGAUUGGUCGAUAUACUCGUCUAUAGGAGAAUCUCUUCUGAAGGCAUGUUUGCUAAAAAGUUGAAGAGAUAGAUCCGGAUCCAAGCUCGUAAGCUCAUACCUCCAAUCCACUUCCGGGACAUGGAUAAUAUCUUUCCUUCUCGUAGUAAUAAUAAGUUUGCUCCCUUUACCAAACCAAUCACGCUUACCUACAAGUGCAUCCAUAUGAUCCUUUUCUUCCACAUCAUCAAGAAGAAGCAGGACUUUUUUAUCAGACAAUCUUUUUUUAAUGAUCUCAAUCCCUUCAUCAAUGUUUUUUAUAUCUGUCCAUUUCAUCUUAAGGAUGUCAGAGAUGAGCUGUUGCUGCAAGUAAUAAAUGCCCUUGAGCUUUGACAUUUCACAAAUGUUGGAAAGGAAGCAACAAUUGUUGUACUUGUUGGAAAGCUCAUUGUAGAUUAAUUUUGCAAUCGUUGUCUUUCCAACGCCACCCAUCCCAUGAAUGCCCACAAUCCGCGUUUCACUUGUGUGAGCACCUAUCUUUUCCAUGAUUUUAUCCACAUGGUGGUCCACACUAACCAAAUUUUUCGAUACCACCAAAUAAGCCUUCUUCAACUCAUUGAAAAUCUUAUGGGUAACUGUUUUUGCAAUCUCACCUUCUUCCCUAGUGUUUGUUGGAGGUCAAAUGGCAAGGAGUUAGAAAAUUGUAUUAAACUAAAUUAUGUUCUCACAAGACCAAAGUGAAAACUAAAGACCUAUUUGAAAUGCUUUCUACAAGGAUUUACUCCAUUGUAAAUGAGUUAGUGUUGGCACAUAUGGUUGAAUAACCUUAACUGAAAAAAAAAAAAAGUUAUUUGGAAUGAUAAAGGACAAAAUUGGGAUUGUACCACUAUUUCGUGUGAUUUCUGCAGUAUAAUUUCAAUAGCAUAAAAUUCAAUUUCAACAAGGCUAACACAAAUCUAGAAAAGAAACCAAUUGAACCACAUUAAAAGUUUUAAUGGUACAAGGUACAUCAAAUGGAAUGAUAGAGGUAGUCACCUGUUGGUCAUGUCGUGCAGAUCCCACCCGUUUACUGCCCCAACUGCACUUAGAGCAGCCUUCCAUUGACGCAUAGUCUCUUCGUCAUAUCGAUUCUUCUUUUCAUGUGAAAGAAAGGCCUCUCCAUAACCCCUAGUUUGGUGUCGAACCUCUGAAGGUGCCACAUCAUAAAAAAUGGGCAUGAUCUUUUGUCCCCUAGUAUUGUGGCACUUAACCAUCUGGACUAGCUCAUUGAGACACCAUACGCUAGAGGCAUAACCUUUCGAAAAUAUAGGUAUUGAGAUCUCCGAUUGAUUAAUUGCUUGGAGAAGUUCCGGGCCAAAUUCUUCCCCCUCGUAGAGCUCUUUGUCAUCCUUAUAAACGCGGAUUCCCGCAUCUAUCAUACUAGUGUAAAGGAAGCUGGUAAAACCUUUUCGAGUAUCCUCUCCUCUAAAGCUCAAGAAUACUUCAUAUGCAUAUCCUGAUGAAUUAACCAUUCCCUGACCUUCUGUCACAGUGUGAGUAAAAGAAGCGCUCCCUGCUAUUCCAUCAUUUUUAUAGGUAUGUCGUGUUUCUACGGUCCCCUCCAUUGAUUUACUCGAUCAGAUUUUCAAGAAAUACCGAACAUAUCAGCAAAAGUAAAUGUGUAGAAGCCUAAUUGACAAAUAAUGGAGAUCUCUGUAGGUCAUUAAACGUAGUAUUCGGGAUUAGCUAAAUAUGCAGAGAGUCAUGGGCCAGUGUGCUAUAAUUGUUCAAUAAGAAUGAUUCAUUGCAGCAUCACUCUAGCCUAUUAAAGUUGACAAUGCACGUGAAUAUAUGAGUAUUAAAUCUUGAGGGGCGUUUUAACACCUUAAGGAGAUUAAAUCUCCUAGGGAGAACGUUAACAUAGCACAGAGCAAAGUUUUCAUUUAAAAAAAAAAAAAACAGCUCUCUUCCCAAAUCUUGAGAACAUAAAUUAAUUCCUAGGAGUUUUAAAUCUCAAAGGGAAAGCAUGAACAUGUUCUCAUUUGACAUAACACGAUGCAAAGCAUCCUUUUUAAAAAAGAAAAGUUCCACACUUCUUGAAUUUCUACAACAUAAAUUGUUUUUCUUUAAUGUCAUUUCCACAAAAAUGACCACCACUCUCUCUAGAAUGGAUCAAAAAAUCAACCAAAGCUAUUCAUGUGAUGGGAUAGUUGUAGUUUGUAAUCUUACACAUUUCUAAAAUUCCGUAAACCAAAAAUGGAGUUUUGUUUCAUGCGUGAUAGUUUAAAGAACCAAAUAUAAACUUGAAGAAUCACUGGUAAGUAAAAAUUAAUCGAUAAUUUGUGAAUCUGGGCAAUUGUUAGAAAGCUAUCAAAAAAAUAGUUUUUUCAUCCUCAAACCAAAUAAUGGAUUACCAUUUUUUUCUUUUAGAUUUUACAAAUGGGUUUGUAUUUUCGCUUAUAGAAUAUGAAUGCUUACAUACUUUAUUAAUAGUCUCGAUUGAUGUUCCAACUUACAAACAAGAUACCUAUUUUACCCCCUCUAAAUUCAAAUAUGGCAUUAACAAUGUUUCGAAUUUAUGAGUAGCAAUGUUCAUUUGUAAUUACCACGUGAACAAAAUAAUCGAUUUACCAUAUGGAAAAUACUCUUGUAACUUACAAGCAAUUGUUUGCUUUUAUAAGAGGGCAAGUAUUUUUGGUAGUAAACUACAAGUUGUUUGCAUGCUUUGUUACUAGUCUUGGUUAAGGGUAGUAACUUACAAAUAAAUGAGUAUUUUACAAGUAUAAAUCUCUACUAUAUUAUUAACCUUGCUUUGAUAUUAUGAGUUGCAAUUUAAUUGUUAGCAUGCUAACGAAACAACUGAUUUACCUGCUUCAAAUAUUCUUGCAGAUCACAAAUAGUCGUUUGCUUUUACAAGUGGGUGUGUUUUUCCUCUAGUAGAUUACGAGUUCCCUAAAUAUUUUUUACUAGCAAGUCAUAAAAAAAAUAACCAUUUCAUUACCCUAAAUUUUUAGUAGAUUGUUAACACUGUUUCGAAAUCUAUUUGUCAGUAACAUUACUAACAUUUUUUAUGCAACUGUAUGUACUCCGGACAAUUGUGUGUACUUCUUUACUAGUGAUAUUGAUGAUUAUUUGUAUUUAUGAAGCAUUCUACUUGUUUAUAUAGUCAAUUGUAAGACACCAAUUAAAAGCUAUGAGAUGACUAAAUAUGCCACAACGAGAUGACACGGUGGUAUUUUUUCAAAAUGAAGUUGCAACGUGAUCGGACAUUGACAAAGUUAACGAUAUAUAAGGUUUGGAACUUAUAUAAUUUACAACCAAAUAAUAGCGUGGUUCUAUGUUAUUCAACAUCUAAUGCCCAAUACAAGAUUCAAUAGCAAUUUCGUGGAUGCUUCCAAUGUAAUUUGUUUGUUUGAUAAUCUAAUCUUGGUGGUUGAGAGUUUGCUCUAUCUAGGGAAGAAUGGACAUAAGAGUAUUAGCUUCCUCUAUAAUUACUCUAUAGAAUUAGGAGAGGCACAUGCCAUCAUUGUCAGGCAUCUCAAAAUUAAAGAUGUCCACACUGAAUGAUUAUUGUAUUAGCACUGCCUCCAACUUCAUAGAUUACUAUUAUGAAAAAGAAGAAGAAGAAGAUCCCUCUCAUAUCUAAGCUCGAAAAAUUGGUUCUGUUUUAUAUUUGUCCAAGAGACGUGCCCCUCCACUUUCCAAUAUACUAAUAGUGUCAAAAAAAUUUCUGCCAAGGACUUGCAGACAUGGUGAGACCGUUAGUCUAUAGGAAUUCCAAGUUGAAGAUAAAAUACCGAUACACUGCUAUUCAUUUGAUGUGUUAAAAUAAAAAUUAAGUGCCAAUAUUGUAGCCAUUACUUCAAGUAUAGCUCAACAUUCAAAUUGGAUUUGAACUAGGGUAUGAGUUUAAGUAGUUUAAAUCUAGCCUCCAUGACUCUGCCUUUAUGAUUUGAUCACCUUAUGUGAUUCAAGGAUCCUGUCACUUUCAACUUCAUCUUAAGAUAAAGUGUAAAACCAAUUGAUGAUAAGAGUUGGCAAUCUACUGACCACGUGGAUAAAAUUUCAUAGGAGUUGGUUAACUCCUUCAUUAAUAUAUUGGUGUAUAUAUAUAUUUUUAUAGUGCUAAUAAGUAAAUUUCAGAGGAGCUGGUAAUAUAUUAAUUCAUUAAAAUGUUGUUAAAUUCGUGUAUGUGCCAGUAAUUUAUUUAUGAUUCUGGUAAUAAGAGUUGGUAAUUAACCACUUAACUCGUAUGUCAAUGAAUUCUUGAUAUUGCUGAUAAUUGAUUUAACACGUGGGUAAUUUAAUACUUUGAUGUAAUGUUUGUAAAUUACUGUGUCGGUGAUAUACUUACCACACUCGAAAAUUUUUGUAGGAGUCAGUAAUUUACUACUUUAUCGGCAUGUUGGUAAAUUUCUAAAGAUGUCGGUAUUUUACUUACAGCAAUGAUGAAAACUUUCAAGUGAGUUAAUUUACUACUUCAUUGGAAUGUGGUAAAAUUUAGAUAGUCUUGGUAAUUUACUAAUCACACUGAUAAAAUUUCAUAAGAAAUGGUAAUUUACGAAUAUUUUGUCAGUCAACAACCAGAAGGUUUCAAGCUUGAAAUACACUGAUGAAUGGAAGAAUAGCAGAGAUGAGAGCUAGAGAGCCCAAGAUCAGGAUGCAAGAAGCCAAGUCUCCAAUCAGACGAUUACUACAGUACUGUGAAAUAUUUGGAAGUCAAGAAACCAGGCCAUCUUCAAGAAUAGAAAACCAGAACCAAGCAACCUGUGUAGUCUGCUUUAGCGGGGUUAAAGAGUUUCAACAGAUGGAACCCAAAAUCGAGCGAAUCUAGUAAGACCAGGGACGGAUCGUCACGAUUUUGGAACCCACCGCAGGCUGGAACACUAAAGACAAACAUAGACGGUGGCUACGAACCUGGAGCUACUGGAGGCUCGAUCGCUUGCGUCUGUCGUGAUUCCGCCGGGAGGUUGGUGGACGGAGUGGUACGAGCAGUAGCGAAGCCUUCCGCGUUCGGGGUUGAGGCUCUUGCCCUCUUUUUGAAGUCUCACAGCUUAGAGUUGGUCAAAGCAGUGGAAAGUUCAGACAGGUUCACGUGGGAAGCUCAUACUAUUAGUAUUAUCCCGAAGUGCGAAGAUUUAUUAGUCUUUUUCAAAUAGUCAGGUCAGCCAUGGGGUUAGAGAGGCCAAGUCGCGGACUGGGUAAAGCCCAUGAGAGAAAGCCCAUUUAUCAGACCUUUCGAUCUUUUCUGCUUAGAGAAGUACUUCACUUUAUGACAAAAAAAGAGGAGGUAGUCUCCAAUCUCAAGGAGCGAACGUGCGAGUGUUCGGGGUUGACACUUCAUAAUGCACGAUGCACACUUUGUUUUUUCCCCAGAAUGCCUGUAUUUGAUAGUGAUAACAUUCAAUUGCAACCUUAUAAAAGCGUCUAAAAGAAUACUCUCCAAGAUUUCACUUUUAUUUGUUUUUUCUUUGAAGAGUGGUAGCUAAUUCAACUUUUUGUCUAAUGAUUGUAUUUCAAUGCAACCAAAAACCACAUGUAUGCGACACUUUUGUACUUUCCAUUUAAUUCAAUUGGACGGCAUCAACUUUUCUAUUGAUUGAUGACACGAUUGGCUAGACUAUUUAAAGAUCAAAGUAUUUAUGAACAAAUGAUGUUUGUUUGCAAGUAAUUUUUUUUAAUAUUCUAAAUCAAUUUUGUGGUAAUUAAACAUUUCAUGUUUCACGAUAGAAAACAAAUCUUGCUAGAUCCAGAGGUGUGAAAAUGUUCCAUUCCAAAAUUCGUACGUCCUUAAGUCUUCUUAGGCAUAAAUCCAAUUGUGACCUAAAAAUAAAUUGAAGAUUGAAGUUAUAACUCAUGUUGACUCGAUGAGGCAAAAAAAAAAAAAAAAACUCUUGGGAAUUAUGAAUGGAAGAUCAAAUUUGUUCUUUAGUAGCUUUAGCUUUGAUUAUACUCCACUAAACUUUUGUUUCAGUAAUCAAAAGUCCAAAAGUCCCGUCGCAAUUUUCCAAAUUACACUCCUUCCAUUCAAACCGAAAUUGAGCUUUCUCUAUUAGCUUAAAAGCUUGGGGAAGAAGAGAAUAUAGGUAGGAUCCCACUGCUUGACUCCUGCUCUUUUGAAUGGAACUCUUUUGAAUGGAAAAAAGAAAAAAAAAAGACUUUUUAUAUAGAUGUAGUAGGCCUUAACUAUCUGGAGCUUUGCUCCUUCCUGCAGAAAAAUUAAGGAACUAAAAAGGAAGGUCAUUGAACUUAGAAGCCAGGAGGGAUUGGAUGAAUAUGCAGAGAAAGUUGUGGGCCAAUUUGCUACAAAAUUUGGUCAAUAAGGAUGGUUCCUCAUAGCAUCACUCUGGCUAUCAAAUUAUUGUAUUCCUUAUGCGGAAAAUCAACGGGAUAUAUGGUGUAGAAAUUUUAGGAUUACAAUCAACUUUUGCCCCCAAAUCAGUGGGCGGAUUCAUUCAAAGUCAAGUCAACAAAAGCACACAUCAAACUUCCAAAAAAGUUUGUUUCCCUCCAUCCUGGUGAACUCUGAACGGUCCAAUUUAAUGGGCUGAUCGGGCCAGGCCUGAAUUAACUCCGAAGCAUAAAGCCUGGUGGAAUUAUCGAGCUUGAUCUUCGUCAAAGCACUCCCCUAGCGAUCAAUCGAAUUGAGAAAAGAAUGCACUUUAUUUCGAGGGUGAACCAUCCUUCUUUAACCUGUUGUUAGUGUCAAUAAAUUGCUUGUCACAAAGCAUUGUAGUUGGACAUUAAAUCCAUGCAUUGUGCUGAUAAUUAUACAAAACACUACUAAAAUAGAGUACAUGAAACCAAUGUGUAGGAAGAGUCUUGUGUUGUAUUAAAACUUUGAGCCACUAACAAGUGCAGUAAAUAAGCUCACGAACAUGAUGUGACCUAUCAGAUCCCAUUUGAAUUUAACUCAUUUAGCAUUUUCAAAUUCCCAAUCGAAUUUGGAAGCCUCUCCAAAGACUAGUAAAAGUUCAGUGAAGCCUCUCCAAUGACUAUAAUGAUUACUAAUUAGAAAAAUAUAUAUUGACUCCCCCCAAUCUCAAGUAUGAAAGUUCUCUAUUCAGAUAAUGAUUUUUAGAAGUGUGGCUCUUCAUUCUCUCGGUUAAUGCUUGUGGAUUAUCUAUUAUGAAAGAAAAGAAAGAGGUGAAAAUAUAAGAACUUGUGGACAACAUGAGAUUCUUCCAUGUUAAAUUUUGAGAAUUGACCAAAAAAAAUAAAAAUUGCCACACCUCUAUUCAUUUGAAAUUAAACGAUUUGGGUCAUUAUUUUAGAUUUACCUCAACAUUGGAUAAUGUCAAACCAAGUCCAUUUGCAAUUGGAAACAUUUUUAAAUAUAAUUAAAAAUCAUUACACCUCCUCUUCAACUUCUGUGAAUCCAACUUAAGAGUCAUGCUUUACUCGGAAAACAAAUUGGACAUGCGUUUACCGAUGUGGAGUAUACAUCUUCAUGUCACAAUUUUACGUUGGUUACUGUUGUAGAGGUGAUGCCAUAAGUGCUGAGAUACUUUCAUGCACAUUGUAACAGCUACUUUGAUGUAUACGAUAUAAUGAGGUUAACGUUCUCCUAUGUGAAGAGUGGGCAUCAACCAAUUUCAAACAUAGUAAGACAAAACAGCAAUUUAUAAGGUAUCUCAAUUCACCUGACAAAAUAAUGCACUUGGAAUUUAUAUAAUUUGACUUGACCUCACUCGGUAAGUUAAUUAGCAAUUCAAAGCCAUUGAAACGUCUAAACCAAACCAAAACAAAACAAAGAAGAUCUGGACAAGGGUACUUGCAGAACUAUAUCACUAGUCAACAUACAAAGUGCACAUGAGAAGAAGAUUUACCUAAACCUCUUUGUAAUUGAUAUGUAUAACAGAAUGGGAAGCACUUCUUAUCAGAAAAAAAGUACUCGAGAGAGUAGGUGUCCAUUCUUUUUUCUCGUGCAGAAAUUUGCCAAGUUUGAUCAAACAACUCCAUGACGUGCUGAGUUUCCAAAUCUCCCGUGGUGAAUGCCUACCCGAUCAGACUGAAUUGAGGUCAUACAGCAAUCCCUUUUUAAGGCAGGAAGUCCAUGUCAGACUUUCCCUUCCAUCUUGGUAGUUUGUAGAUGUAUUAUCUCUGUAAGAUGGAGAUUCUUGGUGUUUGUCCGUUAAGACUAGCAUGCGAAUCGAACAAAGUCAACCCCAAAAUCAUGCGCCGCUUACCAAUUAGUUGGGGGUUCACACCAAUAGCUCUUACAAUACUUUCUCUUCAUGUGAAGUCCUCGGAGAUGUACUGACCGAGAUAUACUCCUGUCAUCACUUUAUUCAAAUCAUUUCACUGUUCCCGCUACUCCAUGGUUUAUUGCGGCGUCAUUAUUUGGACUGCCCUUUCCAGUGAUCCAUCUUGUGCUUGUUAGACUCCUCUGGAAGAAAUCUUUGAACGGAACAGCAGAAACAACGAUGGUAGCAACUGUGACCACACGUAGGGCAACCUCAAGUGUGUCAGUCGUUUUGUGCUAAGCACAAGUGGUCCACCUCGGCAGAAACAACAGUCAUUGAGCCGCUGCUGCUCCCCCUCCUCCUCGGACGCAUCGGACGAUGCCUACUGGUUCGAGGGCUUGGCCAUGGCAGUGCUAAGAACCUAUUUCGGCAGAGAUCGACCGAUCGAGUUCGUCGCUGCUUGUUCUAGAGAGAGAGAAAGAGAGGGGCUGAAUCAGAAUCCGAAGUGACGAUCUGAAAUAAAAAUGGGAGGAGGAGAGAGUCGGAGGGGGAUGGUGGGAUAUUCGAAGUCGUAUCAGAGUCGGUGUUGGAAACUGGUGGAAGCAGAGGAGGGUUCUUUGCGUCUCUUCGUAUUUUUGUUUUAAUUAGUUUCUCGCUUUUCCUUUUUAUCUUUCGGGGUUUGGGUUUUUCCUUUCGGUUGUUCUUUUCUUUUUUCGCAACACGCGAGUAGCGCGAAGAUUUCCCGCCAGCAAGAGACGGGGGCAAAAUUGUAUUUUCGUUUCCCCUGCCGCAGAAUUGAGGGCAGCAGCGUCCGCUCCCGCGCGAGAUGAGACUUGCGGCUCGAGAAAUAGAGGUGGUCCGACCGACCUGCCCUUGCUGCCUGACGCAACUGAGUCUUGAUGGUCUGGGAUUUUUUCCUCCGUAUAUUAAGAGGGUAGAGAGGGAAAAUAAAACGUAAUUUCCCCCUCUGACGUUUUCGCUGUGGAAGAUUAAGUUUAAACCAAAACUACUCAAUUUACACGUACGUAUACAGGCCUUGUAGAAAAUUAUUCAUAUGAAUAAUUAAUCAAUCGUGAAACAAAUGGAUCCAUACAUGAUUGUAAAACACCGAGAUCAAUAAAUACAGCGGAAUUAAAGCGUACAUGUUUGAGCCAUUGCUUUACUUAAAGAAAACUAGAUCACUCUGAUAAUCAGGGAUCUCCAACCAGAUCUUCCUCUCUAUGACCUAUUUCGAUAUAGCAGCUUUCAAUGGGAUUAAAGCAACUGAUAGGACCUACCCUUUUAUAGGUUAGAGAGGGGACCUAGCAAAUCCUAAUCAACAGCGUGUCAACUGGACCCUUCCCAUUACGGGCUUCAGUCAAACACAAUUGCCUACACUUUGCUGCUCAACUAGGCCCGUUAUCAAUAGAUGCCAAUACCCAAUUCAAUCAGAUCACUUUAGGGUUCAACAAAUAUUGGAAUAUCCAUUAACCCGAUUAUUUAAAAUAGAAAAUCAAUUAAUUAAUGUAAGCCCAUAUUAUAGGAAUUUCCAACAUUCUCCCACUUGGGCUACAUUAAUUAACUUAUUUUAUUUCAAAAAAGAUUUUAUAUUUGAAAACGACACUAUCGGGUUAAUAACUGAAAAUUUUGUUUUAUGUGACCACAACUUUUUAAAAGUAAUAUUCCAAUAAUGGCAUCUCAAUACCAAUCCAAUCCUAUAUAACCUCAGUAUAGGACUAUGGAGAUCAAUGUGUUAAGAAAAUACCACAACACAUCACCUUCCAUAAUCACAUAUAAUAAGUAUUAUAUUUUCAUGGAUCAUGGACCUAAUAGUGUAGUAAGAAAUAGUGCCAACAUGUGAUCAAAAUUUACAUUAUUUCUUAUCGGUCCUCAAUGCAAUUUCUCAACAACAUGAAAUUGCCUCAGUGCAAUUUCUAAACAACAUGAAAUUGCACAAUUAUGUCACAAUCCAACAUGAGAUCUCAUAAUUAGUGACAUCUAGUCAUCUUUAAACUAAAAAUUUGUUUAAAGAUAUUGUUUUAUACUUCCAUUUCUCAGUCAACAGGAGAAAUGAUAACAAUAGAAUCAAUAACAACAAUCAUUGAAAAUAAAUGCUUUAAUAAACAUUAUAAAAGCAUUAUCAAUCUGCAUAUAACUAUAAUAUCUAGAAAUACAAAUUAUAUAACUCCCACUAACAAAAGAAAUCAAAAGAAUCUAAGACACCCAUAUUCUUUACAUGUUCUUUAAAUAAAAUGGGUCAUAAACCUUUUGUUAGAGGAUCAGCCAAUAUGGACUCAGUUCUAAUAUUCUCAAUCACAAUGUCUCCCCCCUUUUUUUUUUUAUCAAGUCCUUAACAGUAUAAUAUUUGAUCCAAUUAACAUUUCAAUCAUGGCUUUGUUGUUUAUAGAGAUAAAUGUUUGUCACACAUAAUGCAAUUAGAUCAAUUAUGGGCAAUAAGUAAUUCAACAAAAAUAAUUAGUACAUUAUAAACUCCCCUUCAGGCAAAGUGUAUAAUGCACAAUUAUUUUUCAUAGCAUGAAGUUUAUAAAGCAACAACAAGGAGAAUUACAUAUAAUUGUCAAUGAUCCAUCCCCUUUGGGCAGACAAAUCAUUUAAAUUAUACAUCUCUAUGAUAUCAAUAUAUAGAGACAACAAAUGAGAAUUACAUAUAAUCUUCAAAGAUCAAUCCCCUUUGGGCAGAUAAAUCCUUUAAAUUAUACAUCUCCAUUAUCUCAACAUAGAGGGGAAUUACUCAUAACUCUAAAAAAAUUAUCCCAUUUGGGCAGAUAAACCUUUUUGAGUCACACAUCCCCAUCAUUCAUCUCUAAUAUAUCAAUAUAGAGGGAAAUUACAUAUAACUUUAAAAAAUUUAUCCCCUUUGGGCAGAUAAAUCUUUUUGAGUCAUACAUCCCCAUCUUUUAAUUUUGGAAUUUAUCUUCAUGCAAUUUUCAAAUUAAUAUACACAAUAACCCCCUUUGGGCAGGUAAUUGUAUAUACUAAUUUUUAUCAAUAGGAAACUCCAAAAAAUAUAUGCCCAAAAUUCAUCUAACAAUAUGAAGCACUUUACGACAUGUACUUCCCAAGAUCAUAUUGCAUUUAUCAAGUAACAAUUUUUGCCACAAUUUUUUUAAUUAUUAUUUUAAUAUUUCGAACUCAUGGCAAAACAUGAAUGAAUACGAAUGGUUACUAGAAUUAAAGGGAGCCAAAAAUUUCGUAGCUAUUAGUAACCAUUACAUCAAAAAGUCAUGAGGACAAUCUUUAUCUCACACUUCCUCACCGUCAACCCUUGGUUGGCAUGUUUAAAUUUGGCAUCUCUUAAAUUUGGGAAAUUACGUAGUCAUGCAAUAACUCAAUCUCCACCUAUUUGACACAAUCAUAUCAUCUGAAUUUAAAAGUAUCCUUCAUGCAUGUUAGCAUGAAACCCACAAGAGAUCAAGCAAAAUCUCUAUAAAAAGAACUUCUAAACCUCAAUCAUGUUAAGCCAGUCCACUCUGAUGACUCGUGGUAAAACCACACAAGAAGACAUGAAGGGUCCGUUUGGUUUGCCAGAAUUUUCAGUAAUAUUGAUUAAUUCGUAUUUUGACGCUAUAGUCUUCCGUUAGUCACCAGUCCAAAUCUGAAAAAAGACUGUAACCUCGAACAAAGCCAACAUUCAAAUUUUCUAUGGUCCUUUUGCUCUUCUACUUAAUAAAAAUUCUCUAAAAGUGUUACGAGAUUCACCAACCCUAUUAAUCAAACCGCAUCUCCUUUUUUUUUCUUUAGUGUAAAUCACUUCUCUGCUUAAUUGUACCCAUCAAGUUAAAAGGAAGACAAAACUUCGAAAUUCCUGAAAUUAUUAUUAAAAGGAUAGCAUCUAUUUGAAAACCCAAAAAUUUCAUAGCCUCCAACUGACAAUUCACAACUUGUCCUGUGGGAUUAUGGGCUAGCGGACAAGCAGAAAAAGAGGUAUAACCAGUAUGUCGCAAAUCCAGCGACAUGACAAAAAACAAGCUCAUCUCUCAAAGAUGCUAAAGAGUUUCCAAAGAUCAAACCGUUUCAAUACCAUGUUAUCAAUUUCCAAAGCACUCCACAUUCAAAAAUCCCGAAAAUCAAAUCUUUUAGGAAGGAAAUUCUCAAAAAACCGAAGCGCACAUACAAUCAGCAACAUCAAGAUCACAAGGUCAUGACAUGACAAGGAUCAAGCAUUUUGAAUUUAAGUUUAAAUUACUCGUGCACCAAAUACCAAACAAAGACAUCCAGGUAGGAACUACAAUCUUUACAAGAAAAAGAAUGGCACCCAAGCUGCAUACUCGACCUCAACUAAAAUAAAAUGAAGAACACUCUAAGCAAGCACUGUAACCAAUUACAUCAUACAGGGAAAACAACCCACCAUUUUGUCACCUUUAGUCAAUAGGUUCUCAUGUUUAAAUCAAUAAAUAAAAGUCCCACUAGCAAUCUUAAACUUACUUUCCCUUUUCUUCUACACAAUGGUCGUUCACAUAAAACACUAUCACAGACCAUUGCUUAUAGAGACAUAAUUGAAUGAGAAGUUCAUCAUCCAUCAAAGAAAACCAAGUUCAUCAAUCCAUAAGCAGUACCCACGAUUACCAUCAAUGGAAUUCAUAUAAAUUUCAUUAAAAAAAAUGAUCUUGAAUCCACCACAAACAAGGAUAUGAAAACACACAUCAAUCAGUACAUUAGCCACCAGAUUCCAACAUAUGUGAAUCAUUAAACGCGAACCUACACGAGAAACCGAAGACGUUCAAGCCACUCAGCCCUCGAACCCGAAUUGUUCAUGCACCCUCCAGUCAAAGCAAAAGAUACUGCACAAUAAGGCUCAAUCCCAUGAAUCUAGCCCAAAUCACACCAACACCAUUUAUGUUUCGCAGAUCUAGUCCAGCAGAAGCAAAACAGAGAGCCACGAUUUGCCAACGGAAACCCAUGACGGGUCCCACAUCAAGCACUCUUUUUUCCGUCAGAUCCAAAUGUAAACUUUCCAAAAAUAUUUAAGGUCCAGAUGAUUGUUUCCUCAAGCUGGACCACUUUUGCUAGGUUAAUAGCACCAACCCAUGAUGGGAGAGAACUUCUCCCACAAGCUAAAACAUAAGCACUUAACUGAGUACCUCCACAUGUUAAUUGGAACGGCAGCACUCUUUGUUUUAUUGUAUCUCAUCAAUUAGUCCUCCACCAGUCAGUGUAGUCCAUUAACCCUUUCUCGAAUUUGUGUAGGAAAGAUGAAGCAUCCAUGUACGCAAAAACAUUAUCUGUCCCAGCAAACAAACUUGGCUACUUUAACUAGGAGUAGACGUCCUAGACUAGCCAUGGUGGAGCACUCAUGUCUGCUAGGACAUUUGCAUGCUCGAGUUCACAAUUUUCCAUGCUAAUUAGUGGAAUAACAAACCUUUCAUGUACGAGGAUUCCUAGAAAAUAAUGGGAACUCUCUUCCUUGCACUUGCUUUUCUAAUUACAAAAGCUAUCAACACUCUAUCUUUACCAAUUAGUUUACAAUUACUUACCACACUUUGGAGCCGAACAUAACCGACGAAUCAUCUGUCUCUUGCUUGUGAGAACUAACAACAAUUUUAUACUAUUAAUUAAUCACAACUUUCUCAAGCAAGCAUGUUGCAAGACCCCAAUCAUUAUUCCAAUUAAAACACUCAAAGCUUGAUCAGCUAGAUAACUAUACAUAAAGAUCAGCAUCAACCUGUAACAUUGAAUGUGAGCCCCACACGUUCAACGUGGAAUAAAAUCGUGAAAUCCUAUGAUUGCACCAUAUAACGCAAUCUACCAAAAUUUAUUGUAAAAAAAAAAAAAAACAGCAUCAAGCAAGCACGUUCACACUCCUUGUCAUGAAAAAUUAGCUAAAAAGAGGGCAAGCCUCGAGUCCAAUCCAAAGAAAUUUUCGGUGGUUGCACGUGACAAUCAGGAUGAAGCUAUAACCCAUUAAAGUAUGAGGGCGACUAGAAGAAAAUAAAGACUAAUAGUAUGAUAAUCGAAAGAAACACACUCUUCCAGCAUUAACAGAAUAAUCUAAAAGCACCAAACAAAAUAGAUGUGGACACCUGACAAUAAGAUAAAAGCGCAGAUGCCAUGGAAUAUUAGGAUUCAAAACUAAGUCUCCUUCAAAGAGCAUUGGCCAAAGAGAGUGUACACGUAAAAGACUUUCGCACAUCAACUGCGAUUUCUAGCGACUGCCACCGCACACAUGUCGCAUUAUGCAUUGGCACCCUAAAAAUCUUACAUGCAUAGUUGGUAGAAUACUGUCCCUUGAUCCUAUUUGAUAUGCAGGUAUCUACCCUUAGCCUUCACCAAUAUAUAUUUAAAAUUGGCCACUUUUCUAAAUAUUUUCUUACGAAAAAACUAUUAGCCAUCAUCUAACAUAGGCCCACACAAAUGGAUCCUUCGCCGACCCAUCACCGCAACACGAUCGUGGUGAACGAAUUUCAUAGUCGCCUACCACCAUAAAAAUACAAAUCUUCACAAACCCUCCAUCCUCCUCGUCGCAAACAAAUUCGGCAUUGACUAGCGACUGUGGGCGAACUCGCCACGGCAACCGAACAAAACCGCCGAGAGGAGCAAGUCGAUUCCGAAAUCAAAGAACGUCAAGUAAAAGAGCGCGCGUUGACCAACAGUUCAUAAUUCAAACGACAUGGCACAACGCAAAGAAAAGCAUCGAGUGGAGAAGAAAAACGAAGGUAACACUAGAAUGUAACUUAAAAUUCUAGAACUUUUUCAUGUAUAAACCCUAGAAUUUAAAAUUUAAAAUUCUCUCUUAAUUCUCAACGAAAUUAUGCAAAUUAUAUAUGGUUGGAAAGAUCUCAACAUGUAGAACGAAAGCCCUAUGGUUUCAGGAUCAUUCGAGCAAAAAAAAAAAAAUCCAUAUGAAAGAAUAAUGCCCAUAUUCGGCUCAAAGAGGAAACUUUCGAAUUUGUCCAUAAAAAGAUAAAAUUUGGGUUCUACAAUCAUAUAUGACUAGAUCUGAUACCACAUGUAGAAAAUUAUUCACAUGAAUAAUUAAUCAAUUAUGAAACAAACGGAUCCAUACAUGAUUGUAAAACACCGAGAUCAAUAAAUACAACAGAAUUAAAGCGUACAUGUUUGAGCCAUUGCUUUACUUAAAAAAAACUAGAUCACUCUGAUAAUCAGGGAUCUAUUGGAAUACUAGAUCUUCCUCUCUAUGACCUAUUUCGAUAUAUCAGCUUUCAAUGGGAUUAAAGCAACUGAUAGGUAUAACCUACCCUUUUAUAGGUUAGAGAGGGGACUUAGCAAACCCUAAUCAACAGCGUGUCAACUGGGCCAUUCCCAUUACGGGCUUCAGUCAAACACAAUUGCCUACACUUUGCUGCUCAACUAGGCCCGUUAUCAAUAGAUGCCAAUACCCAAUUCAAUCAGAUCACUUUAGGGUUCAACAAAUAUUGGAAUAUCCAUUAACCCGAUUAUUUAAAAUAGAAAAUCAAUUAAUUAAUGUAAGCCCAUAUUAUAGGAAAUUUCCAACAGGCCUGUCAUUGCUGCCUUACCGCGUGCUAAAAGCCAGGAAAUAUCUCCGUAUGAGGUAGCAAUAUAUGCAAGAUACAAGCUCGCCAAGGAUUCACUCACAAUGUGGCUCGAAUUUGUCAACUCAGAAAAAAUAGUAUGACCAGCCUAUCGUUAAGUCAUCGCGUUUUAGGGUGGGCUACAAUUUUUUCACGUUCAUUAUUCUUUCUUUUUCAACUCGUUUCAAGUGAAUGAGUCAUGUAUGAAUUUGAUAAAAGCAUGAGAGGUGUAUAAAUAUGUUUGGUAAUUAAUAGCACCUAAGUUUGAUGAGUGAUUGAUUUAUCAAUGCUAGCUAUAAAUGAAGAGAUUUGGGGAUUGUUCUCUACAAAAAGUUAUUGUUACACCGUUCACGCUCUUGAAUCACACCUUGUUCUUCACUUCCGCUUGUUGUUUUGUGUACUAAUUUCUUUGUACUUUUUCAAUAACACGAAUUUUUAGAUUAAGCUUGAAUCUGAAAAUAUUUGACUUGAGAAGCUUGCCAUUGUAAUGGAGUAAUUGCAAUUUCAUAUACCUCCACUAAUAUAAAAAAAAUGAAUGAAUUAUAUCAAAUUUAAUUUUAGUGUAUAGUAACUAACUAAUUGAACUGUAGAACACCCAUUUGUCCAAAAGAACAUCUCAUUCUCUCGGGCUAAAAUAUAAUGGAAGGCAUCCCCACGCGGUCUUUUUAAAUGUUUCGAUUUUAGCAAAACUUACUUCAGUGCUCUCAUGCACACAACGUAAAUCACCAAAUGUAACAUUAAAAAUGCCUGCCAACAAAAUAAGAUCCCAAGGGCAAAUCAAGAAUGAUCUGAAGAAUAUGGAGUGGAACAAAUUGCAUUUGAGGGUGAUGGUUGUUCUGACAUGCUUGAUUGCCGCAAAGUGAGGCAAUACUCAAUUAUGAGUUCUAAUAGUUUCAAGUGAGGGAAGCGUUGGGAGGCACCGCAAACAUCUAUUAGAGAGUUCAAGUCUUUUGAGAUGAGAAAGUUGUGCAGUAUAUGGUGAUGUGGUGGUCGUUGUCGAAGAGGACAACUAUAAAGACUCCAGUUUGUUUAACCUAUUGAUCCACCGGGGGAUAGCAUCUUCUGCAAGCUUAGACGGGUCAACAGGGCGAGGAGACUUUUGGCAUCCCAAAGACAAAUCUCUUAGGCUUUUCAAGUUCGAAAGAUUGGAAAUGCCAUCAUCAGCCCAAUACGAAUAUGUAGAUACAGAAGAAUUUUUAGGAGCCUCAAUGCUUGGGGUAUUUCAGCACAUGUCAAUUUUUAAAAUGUUCCGAGAUGAAUAUCUCCAAAUAUCAUUGGAAUUUUUUAUUAGCAAAAUUUCACUAAGCUUUGCAUCUAUUUUUCUAGCUUUUCCUGCUUCCAUAAUACACUAGUUAUUCUUCUUAUGACAGAGAACCUCAUUUUCAAUACUUUCAAAUACUUCAUGUUCCCGACCAACCAGGCAGCUUCUCUAUGUCCAUGUUCAAUUUAUCGAACUCAGCAAGUGAUUCCAAAUUCCAGAUUGAGUCCAGUAGUGUCUUUAUUGACUUGCAGUUCCUAGAAGACUAGUGUUCGAGGCUUACGAGGGAUCCACUUGAGUUGGGAAGCUCCACGAUCCCAGCUCCUCACAGAGAAAGCCUCGAUAGGGAAGUUAGGUGAUAGAUUGAAGGUUUUAUAGUCAAUGAGGAACGAUGGGAAGCACAAAGGACCUGCAAGCUCUUCAAUUCUUGACAUUCAGGCAUAUGCUUUAUUGAGGUUAUACAGCAAUCCCUUUUUAAGGCAGUUAAGUCCAUGUCAAACUUUCCCCUUCCAUCUCGGUAAUUCGUAGAUGUAUAUUCCCUUUUAAGAUAGAGAUUACCGAUGUUUGUCCAUUAAAACCAACAUGCGAAAUUGCGAAUCAAACAAAGUCAACGUCUAGCAAGCUAGUCGCAUAUCUUUCUCCCAAAUAUCAUGUACUUUUAUUAGUGUGAAGUCCACCAUUAGGUACUAACCGAGUUAUCCAGAGUUAGAUUCAUCUACUAGUAAGAAUACUUUGAGGGACCUUGUUUAGCUUUAUUAUACUUGUUUCAUCGUUUGAUUCCAUCAUUUCUUGGUUCACACUGUUCCAUGGUUUAUAGCAGCAUCGUUAUUUGGUUUGUCCUCUCUAGUGAUCUUGCUGCUCUUAAUCUUCCCUGCUCCAUGGUCUAUAGGAGCAACUGUCGCCACACACAAUGAAACCUCAAGUGGUGAAUCGUUUUGCACCAGUACAAGCGGUCCACCUCAGCAGAAACAACAAUUGUUGAGCUGCACGAGGAUUGGGGGUCGUCUGACUUGGCCUCCCCGCCCGAGUCGCAAUGGGUUAGGAUUUUUUUUUUUUUCCUUUGAUAAAUUAUAAAGUGUGGGAAGAGAUGACCAAUACAGUUAUCCAUUCUUGUUGUUACAUAAAGCGUUAUGUACGUUACAAAAUAUCUCCAUUAAGCCAUAACCACUCGAUUCAUCGACAAGUGUGCGAAUCUAUCACCAUAACUAAUAUGCCAAAAGCCUAAAAAUCUUUCUACAUAAUGUUGUGAAUAUCUAAAAUACUGAGUGGUGAAAAGUCCACUCAUAACAUGAUUCGAACUCAUGAAUUAAUAGAAGAUGGCGUGAUCCCUUCAUCAUUGGGCUACUUUUUUUUUUUUUUUCACUUUCAAAGUGAACUUGAUCCAAAAAUGAGUGAUCUAUAAGGUUGCGGAUGACAAAAUUUCUGAAACAGAAAUCAAUUUCUCAAUUUCUAUUCCCCGGACAAAUUUCUAAGCAAAGAAACCCGUUUGAUAACAACUCAAAAUUUCUAUUUCUGAAACAGAAAUCCAUUUGAUGACAGAAUAAAAUUUUUAUUUCUAGGAAUAAAAAUUGAUUAGAUAACAACAUAAGAAAUCCUCAAAUACAAAAUUAUAGUCGAAAUAAUACUAAAACAAUAUAGAAAAUCCUCAAAUACAAAAUUAUAGUCGAAAUAAUACUAAUACAUUAUAAAAGUUGAAAAUACAAUUUCAUGGAAUUUUUGGCAUAUUAUUAUCCAUUGUCAUUUUAUUGGCAAUGGUUUUCCUAAGCGUAUUUAUUCGGUUUCCCUUCUCGGUCAAUGUAUCGUUUGCAAGCUCAUCCUGCGUAGAUUCAGACAAGUAUUGCAGAAGCAUGAAUAUGGGUACCAUCAAUGGCGCCUAUACAGCCCUAUUAUUUUAUCAAAGACUAGUAUUAUAUAAGAUUAUCAACAAAAUAAAAUUGAUGGUGUAAAGGAAUAUAUGAGAAUUUUACCUUGAAGUAACGUUUAUGGUUAGGAACUAAUCGGGGGAAGGUCGGUUUAUUUUGAUUCUCGAAUUGAAUCAAUCCAGUUGCUCAUCUCUAAUUUCUUUAUUGUUGUUCAAUGAACCUUUAAUGGCUCUUGCAUAGCAAAGAGAGAGAUUCUAUUGAAUCUCUUGCCUUCGAAUUAAAAUUCAAGAUUGUGUAACAAUCUAAUUAUUUUGAUUUUACAAGAAUUUUGAAUCCGUAAAGAAACAAGGUUAAAUUUCUAGGCAUUUUUUUAAUCAUCUAUUACGUAAGAACUUUUUCUUCAACUAACCAUGCACGUGUCCUUUCUAGGAGGAAAGAGCCCAUUGUUUUUAAGUAAGCAUUUAAGAACUUUGAUCGUUUUUUAAAAUUGGGGACCCAUUCGUUUGCCUUUCAUCCUAAAGAGGAAGUUAUCAAAAAAAAAUUGAAAAAAAAACACGAGAAAAAUAAGAAAAAGAAAAUUAGCAAUAAUUUGUGAAGUUGUGGUUAUGAGUGAAUUAAGUUAGCAAGAAAGCGCACGGUUAUUUUAUAUUGUUUGAUUUCAGCUUCUGAUUUCUAUUUCAAAAAUGGAGAAGUUAAAAAUUUCAGCUUCUGAUUUCUUCAAUUUCUCUAUUUCUGGAAUAUAAAUCUGUUUCAGAAAUAGAGAAAUCAAAUUGUGUUACCAAAUGGAUUUCUAUUCCAAACCUGUUCCGGGGAACAGAGAAACAGAGAAAUCGAGAAAUAGAAAUUUUGUCAUGCGUGCCCUAAAUCUAUUUUGUACUUAUAAAAUUUGAUUUAAGUCGAAUGAGGUGUUGAUGUGUUAAGGUUACCAAUAAAAGAAGAGGUUUGAUGACUGGUUUCUAUAAAAUUGAUUGAUUUACUCUUCAUAGUUUUCUCGAGUUUCACUUAUUAUUUAACUUCCAUCUUUUUGUUUUGUGUACUAACUUUUCUGUGCUUUUUAUAAACAUUUGACUGUGAAUAUAAAUCCAUGAGAGCCACCAAACAUCACGCAUGCCAUGCAGCAGGGUUCUUAUAUUAUUUUGUUUGCGUGAGCUAAUUGCGAUUUAAGGGAAAAAAAAUCUUCCACGUUCUUUGAUAAUUUGAAAAUGACAUUUUGUGACUUUUGUUGUAUAAGGUUACAGACUAUUUUUACUUCGAACACAAGCGAUGAAAAAGUCCAAUGACUUUUGUUCUCAAAGAUUAUGGACCUUUUUACUUGUUUAAAGCUUUUACAUGUAAAGUAUCAACUCAUGCAUCCAAUAAGCAAUUAUGAAAUGACGAUGGCAUCCUUCUAUAAGAUAGUGAUCAGUCCGAUCAUAUUCGCACUAAAUAUUUUGUAAAUUCUAAAUAAAACAUAUACAUUCAUCUACAAAUAAAAACUAUCGAAUCCACUUCCAUAUAAAUUUUAAAGAAUAGAAUCGAUUUGUCAUGGUAAGUCAUGUUUUCGAAUUCUCUCUCAACCCGAGAAAUAUGGGCUCCACAAAUAAGCUUAAUUCACUUGUCUCACAUGUCGAAUGAUAUUCUUUUCAAGUUUGAAUAUUAUUGGCAAAGAAAAAGUUUGAAUAAUUCGAGUUAUUGGAUUGAUUCGAGCUUGGAAUCGGAAAAAUUCUACUCAAGAAGCUUGUGAUCAAAGGAAGCGCCAAAAGAGGAAGAGACAGAGAGAAUGGAAAUUUGUCCAGGAGCACGCCUCAUUUGAGCCAAACUUCCUUCAUUGCCCUCACGGAAACGACGAAAUCACCGGACGUGACACCAAAUAUGCCCGCCGACAGAGCAAGAGCCCGAGGUCGAAUCGGGAAAAUUCGCAAAUCCGUCGUCCUCUCCUUCCCUUCCCCCCCCCCCCCCCCCCUCACCCAAAAACAAAAGCUCGCCGUAGCUUUCGAUCGCCAUCCGCCGCGAAAACCGCUACGGAGUCCACGAACGCUGCGAAGACCAGGAUUCGAGGGUUGAAUUCGAGCAAUGCGGACGAAGACCGCAAUCGAUCUCUCCACCUCGCCGGGCGAUCGCGCCAUUUUGAUUGCGUGAGAUUGGAAUGAUGUUGUUGCUCGGCAGAAUGUGGAGUUGAGGGUGAUGGUUGUUCUGAAGUGCUUCAUUGCCACGGGUGGGGCCCAGAGGUAAUUGCAAUUCGUGUUCAUGUGAUCAGUUACUGCUCUGAUCCUCCCACUUGAUUGGGAUUGGGAGUCUAGCAUCGAGCAUGUCGGUUUUGAGGUUGGACAGUGAGGUUUGUAGUGUGAAUUUGGCAAAUUAGGCACUUCAGGGAUGGGGUGGAUCGUCGACCGUGUUGUGGAGCUGUAGUGCCUGAUUUAAUGGGGCAUACUAUUGCUGAAUUAUUUGGUUGGAUUAGCUAAGCUCUUGGAUUACCGAGUUUGGAUCAAUACUACAACUGGAAUAUGGUCAGAUUGAUCGAAUUUCCAUAUGUUUGUUCGAUACAAAUAUUUCAUCCCGCUGUUUCUACUUUGGGGGUAAAAUUUGUUGAGUGUCUCACAGUGAUUGACUAUUGGCUAUUUGGCCUUUCUCCAGUCGAGUAAUGGACUGUAGCUUGUAGGUUUCAGCAGACUAGCUUGAUGGGAAAGAGGAGCCUUAUGUUGUUCACUUGUUCGCCUUUCAUUGCAUUUGAACAUAUAGUUCUUUAAGUUCACGAGCAAGGAUGGCAGAAAUAUACUUAAAUAUUAUUUUGAGUUGAUGUUUCCUUGUGAAGUGUUCCAAGGCUUGUAAAGCUGUUUACAAUCACAUUCUUGCCAUGACAUCAGCGGAGUAUGCAUCUGCUGUAAGUGCUCUUUAUAAAGAUUUUCACAUUUACCUAGAGCUUGUUGUUGUUAUUACUCUUCAGGUUUCACCAUUUAAAUACAAUAACAUUGUAACUAGUUGCACAGCUUUUUAUUUUGCAUGUUUAAUGUCAGAUUUGACAAAACAUAGUAGUUGGACUUGUCCUAGAUGUGAUGGAAAGACCAAGGUAAUUUAAUAUGGUUUAAUACGACAUUGUUGCUAAGGUUGCCUGAAGAAUGGAUCCUCAGUACAGUAUUAAAUGGCCAAUUCUUCUGAUGAGAUUUUGUGGGCAUAUGCUGCCUCCUCUUAUUAGAUUCUAAACUGGUAAUUAAUUUUUUUUACAUGAAAGCAGGGGUUUGAAUUCAUUGAAUUGAUAGUGGGCAUUCAACACUGCUUACGCGCAGAUUAUUUCGUUGCAGUGGCUUACCAAUCUGCAAUGCUUACGAUGCCUAUACGUUUAAAUUGCAUCUAAUUGUUUAUAUCUAUUUCUAAACGUACAUAUAUGUUACCUGUAGGCAUACAUUGGGGUGGCCAAGGAUCUUAAUGCUGUGAUUAUAGCUUUUAGAGGUGCACAAGAACAUAAGUAUGCAUGUUAACUUUAGCAACUCUUCCUCUUACAUAUGACUUGCAAAGGAUUUGAUGAAAAUUUAUGCUAAGAAGAGUUGCCUCCCGUGAGUGCAUAAACAAGACCCAUGGGUCAGCUGUCCAUAAGAAUGGAAAAGGGUGAAUCAUUUCCACCAAGAUGCGAAAGUUACCUUCUUGUAAUUUUAGAUUGUUUCAUGAGAAGAUCACAUACUUAACUAAUUUUGAUCUGUGAAAAAUUCUGUCACCUCUCUGUCAUUUGAGCUUUUCAGUUAGUGAUUACUUAUAUUUAUGUCUACAGCAUACAGAAUUGGGUUGAAGAUCUCUACUGGAUAGUGGAAACAGCUUGAUGUACUACCCCGGUAUGCAUGGUGCCCUGGAUAGUUCUAGAGAUGAUAUGCCUCUUGCAAGCUGUGGAUUCUUCUCAUUUGGAUUGAGUUACAGUCUUACUCUAUUGAUUGUUGCUUGGGUUCAUCAUGGAUUUUACUAUACUUAUCACAAUAUUACAAUUCAACCUAGAAUUUUGGAUGCUGUUAUAAGAACCAAGGAUUUAUAAGGUGACAUCAAUGUCACGGUGACAGAGCAUUCUAUGGGAGGAGCUAUGGCAUCCUUUUGCGGACUUGGUCUUGUGGUAAGAUAGUUAGAAACUGUUCUGGAUAGUUAAAAACUAUUAUGGUCUGGACUUGUGAAUUUUAUUGCUUUUUUUUUUUUUUCCUUCUUCUAUCGCAUUCUUCCAAUAUUCAUAUGGUAAUCUAUUAAGAGGUAAUCUGUUAAGAGUCAACUGGAAUUCUCUGCCAAAUCUGUGCUGAAGAGUCUAGGCUAUUUAUACGGAUCUAGAACUUUCUAUUGCUCUCAUGUUUAUAUUCACAAUUCGUCAUAGACAGCAUCUUGUUUUCUUUCAGUUUUGGUAAGUCAAAUCCUAGACAAAACACAAGCAGAAUGGGGUGCAAACAGCCAUUUAUGCUAACCACCAAUUGUUUAAGUGUAUGGCAGUGUGAAUUGAGUCCUACCCAUUAAGCUACGGAGCUUCAAGUUGGUUGAAUAUUUAAUUAUAGUGGACAAGGUCACUUCAGACUAAUCAUUACAAAGUUUACUUGCUUAUGGAAUUGGAAUUGUUGAUAUGUUUAUGGUCUGGACAUAUAACUUUUUCAAAGCACUUGAAGCUCAAGUUUUAUGUCAUGUAAUCUUGAGGUGCUAAUGCAUUUUAAGAUAGAUUACAUAUCGAUCCUAAAUUUGUGUUUUGUGUACUGUUUCUGUCUAAGUCUCUCUCUAAUCAAAAGAAGCAGCUCCUUUUCAGUAGGACUACAAGGCCAGAUAUGUUGUUGGUUGAAGCCAAUGCUAAGAUGUCUAAAUUAUGCCUUUUCUCUCAGUUUUAUUGGACAGAGUGUUCUAGGGUACUUUUGUAGGCACCUGUUGCACAACUAGUACCGGAAAUGGUGCCCGAUCCAAAUUCAUGUUCCAUUGAUUCUCUUCUCAUUGACAAGAGGUGAUUUUUUAGAGUUAAAUUUUAUCUUGAAGUCUGAUUACACUAAUGUUCAUGUGGUCUAUGAUAGGAUCAUAGGUUGCAUGGACUUUAGACUAUGCCCUUUCUCAAAGUAUUAGUAGCAAUUAUAACAUCUUGUCCUAAAACAUUUAAAUGAUUUAAAAUUUUAUUUUUGUUUUCUGGUUUCUUGCCGAAAAAAUUUUCAAGCCAAUUGUGACGUCAUGCCCAUCCGUUGCAGCCCUUUUUAAGAUUGAGUUUCUCCUUUGUCCACGGUAACAUCAAAGUUCUCCUCAAUUGCCAUCACAAUCUCCACCUAAAAUGAGGAAGAACAGCGUUCUCAUCACAAUCCCAUUUUAUCCAACAAAGGAAAUAAGGUGGUAAACGUCGGAACCAGAUUUAAAAAAAGAAAAAAAAAAAGAAGCAAAUCAAUUCCCCUAUUGCAGAAGUACCGUCCUGCACCACUUAAGAACACAUGUGUUGACACCUAAAUUUUUGCCUAAUCAUUUAGUAAUUAGUUACAUGAAAAAAAAAUAAAAAAUAAAUAAAAAAUAGUAAAAUUGCAUUUCAUGUAGUCGCAUUUGCAUCAGUACUAAAAGGGCAACAAGACGCAUCGGCUCGUGGUUGAUAAUAUUCACAAAAAGAUGGUCUCUCUCUCCACUGAUCUGAACGCGCAUUAGAGAAAGCAAAAGGAUGGUCUCUCUCUCCACUGAUCUGAACGCGCAUUAGAGAAAGCAAAGAAAAAAUUCUCCACUGCACACGCGAGAAUUCCGGAGAAAGUUUGCAAGAAGAUGGGAUCACAAUUUUAUAAAAUUUUAUAGUGAGUUGUUGCAAGGAAUUCUCUCCUUCCUGGAGAGCAAAUCGGCUAGAGAAGAAAGAAGUUCCUACACGUCCAUUGUCUCUCUCUCAUUAUAAUGCAUGCAUUAAUUCCGCGGACGUGGUAGGGCCCUCGAUCAAUAAGGGUGCGAAUGGUAACGUUUCUGUUCUUUUUUUGUUCUAGGGAACAGAAACAAAAAAAAGUGUUUCUGUUCCGGGGAACAAUUUUUGAACAAAAGAACGCGUUUGGUAACGUUUGGUCCGGGAAUAAAAAAUGAACAGAAACACGUUUGGUAAAUUUUAUUCUUUUUUUGUUUCUUUUAAUUUUUUAAACAUUUUUAUUUUAUUUUUUAUUUUUUCCUUUCUUUUUAUUUUUUCUUUUUUAUCGGUCGGUCACCGGCCUCCGACGACCGGCCGACGUGGCCGGCAGCCUCGCCCAGCCACAGCAAGGCUUGGCGUCGCCGGAUCUGGGUGAGGCCGAGCCGGCGACGCCGAGCCUCACCGGGGGCCGGCGACGCUCGGCCUCGUCGGAUCUGGGCAAGGCCGAGCCUCGACGGCCAUGGCCGAGGCCGAGCCUCGACGGCCAUGGCCGAGGCCGAGCCUCGACGGCCAUGGCCGAGGCCGAGCCUCGACGGCCAUGGCCGAGGCCGGCGACCGGCGAAAGAAAAAAGAAGAAAAAAAAGAAGAAAAGAAGAAGAGAAGAAGAAGAGAAGAAGAGAAGAAAUGUUUCUUCAAGAAAUGUUCCUGAGCAAGAAACAACAAAUUGUUGUUUCUUUUUUUUGUUCUUAUUUCAUUCCAGAAACAAAAAAACAAAAAAAGAAUAGAAACGCAACCAAACGCGUUUCUGUUCCUUUUUUGUUCCCGGGAACACUUUCCGUAAAGAAGUGUUCCGGAAACGUUUCUAAGAAACGUUUCCAUGCACGCCCUAAGAUGCGCGAAAGGUGGUCUCUCUCUUGCUGGUAUGAAAACACACAAUAAAAGUCAAAAAAAUAGAAGAAAUAAGAGUGCUUCACGUCCAUUGUCUCUCCCUCAUUAAUGCCUGCACAUGCACGCAUUAAAUGGGGGACGUGAAAAUUCUACAGACGCCUGCAAGAAGAUGGACUAAUAUUUUUUAAUAUUAUCCUUGCUGAAGAGCAGAUGGGUAGCCACCAUAUUUGACAAAAAGAACCGAACGUGAGCACCAAGGAAAAGUUACGGCUGCCUCCUGUUCACCUGUGCACGCUAAAGUCGAUUGUUGCCUAUAAAUAAGCAAGGAUCCUCGGCUUAAAAAGGGGGGCAGAGGGAAAAAGCAAUGAAACAUACGAGACAUUCACUGGAGAGGUUUGUGAGAGAAAAAACUAUUAAAAAGAGCCCUUAGAGAGAUAGACGAGUGGAGAGAUUAAGGGCGUGCAUGGAAACGCUCCAAAGAAGGGUUUCCGGAACACUUCUGUACGGAUUUUGUUCUCGGGAACAAAAAAAGAACUUCUUUUUUUGUUUUUUUGUUUCUGGAACGAAAUAAGAACAAAAAAAAGAAACAACAAUUUGUUGUUUCUUGCUCCAUAAACAAAAACGAAGGAAACGUCUCUCUUCUUCUUCUUUUCUUCUUUUCUUCUUCUUUUUUUUCUUCUUUUUUCCUUCGCCGGUCGCCGGCCUCGGCCAUGGCCGGCGACCAGCCGUCGAGGCUCGGCCUCGCCUUGGUUGGGCGAGCUCGGGCUCGCCCAGAUCCGGCGAGGCUCGGCGUCCCCGGGGGGCCGGCGACGCUCGGCCUCGCCGGAUCUGGGCGAGGCCGAGCCUCGCCGAGGGCCGACGAGCCUCGCCGAGGGCCGACGAGCCUCGCCAUGGCUGGGCGAGGCUGCUGGCCGAAAAAAUAAAAAAUAAAGGAAAAAAUGAAAAAUAAAAUAAAAAUGUUUAAAAAAUUAAAAGAAACCAAAAAAGAAUAAAAUUUACCAAACGUGUUUCUGUUCAUUUUUUAUUCCCGGACCGAACGUUACCAAACGCGUUCUUUUGUUCAAAAAUUGAUCCCGGAACAAAAACACAUUUUUUUGUUUCUGUUCCCUGGAACAAAAAAAGAACAGAAACGUUACCAUUCGCACUGUCCACCUGCAUCUCGUCCUCUGCCCGCUGGACACCGCCGACUCCAUCCUUCCGACGAUUUGAGGACGUAGAUGUUGCAGCAACCCUCUGCUGCCUUCCUGCUCCCGGCGAGUUCCGAACGCCGCUGGCCGCUGUAGUCCCGUUCCUCCGCUCCCGCCUCUUGCUCCUCUUCCCGCCCGUUGACGCCAGCAACCUGACGCCACGAGCACCCGCCUCUACGCCUGCAGCUUGCGCCUUCGUUGCCGCGCCACCGUCCCUGCCGUCGCCGCUCAUCCCUUUGCUCGCCCGUCGCCGCGCCCUGCCCAUCGCCGCGCCCAUCGCUGCACCUCUACCCGGCGUCAGCAUCUCCUUCCAGCGAGAUCCGAGCGCGCCACCGUCUUCGCCCGAACACCAGCAGCAUCGUCCCGGACACCUGCACUCGCAACUGCGCCUCUGCACGCUCGCGACUCGGUCACGACGCCGCUCCUGCUGUCCCUCAUCCCGUCCGUCCGUGAAGCCGCCGCUGCCCGACGCCAUUGCUCUCCACCGCCACUCAGUCCCUUGCCACACCGGCGCCUGCACCACCUGGUAGCCGUCUAAAGCUCCGCUGCCGUGACCGUCCCCCGCGUCCAUCAUCGUCGCUGCACCACCGGAGUUGCCCCUCGCCGCGGCACAACUACUGCUCGCUGCUGCUGACCUGCGACGACUUGCUCGACUCCAGACGCUGCUGACAUCUUCCCCCUGCUCGCCUGAGUCGGUCUUGCACCAGCAAACCACACGCGACUCCUACUGUGGUCUUGCCGGAGCUCCUCACCGGCGUCUUCCCCCUGUCGGAGCUCUGACCGGUGUUGCCUCUCUCAUUGAUUGAGCUGCCAAGCCGUGCGUGGGAGGAAAACAAAAAGGCAAAAAAGGAAAAGCAAAUUAGGUAGUUUUGUUUAUCUACUUUAUUUUUUUUAAUUAUUAUUUUAUGUUACUUUACUUUUUAGUAGAAUUAUUCCUUAAUAUAAGAUUGAGAAUGUUCGACAUUAAAUAGCCUGUGAAAUUUGUGAUUGACAGUCCGAUUUUCGCGCCCAAAAUCCGACUUGCAAUUGCUUGAAAAAUCGCCAAUUCGAUCUCACGCUCGAGAUUCGAUUUGCAAUUUAUUUAAAAUUGGCCAAUCCGAUCUCAUGCGCGAGAUAUGGUUCGUCAAUUUGGAUGUCAAUCUUGCUCUGAUUUGCUGUCGUGCCGUUUAAGUUAAUUUCGCUUUCAUAAAAUAAAAUAAAAAAUCCAAAAAAUGUAGGCUAGAAUUAGGUUUAUUUCCUGUUUUAGGGAUUGCAUAUUUAGAAUGGGAAUUUUAUUUCGAAUUAAAAAAAAAAUCAAAUCAAUCAAUUUAGGUUGCUAGUUUUUUUUAACUUAGGUUUCAUGUUUAAUUACUUGACAAUUUUUAAUUUCGAAAUUAAUACAAAAACAUUAAAAAAAAAUAGAAUUAGGGCAUUCCUUGCAUGUCAUUGCAUUUUAGGGUAAAAUUUCAUAUAAUUUAAUUAUAGAUAAUAGUUUUUAUUAUUUAUUAUAAGUUUAGAUAAUUUUUUUUAGAUAGAUUGCAUUUUGGUUAGGGAUUUCUAAGUUAGGAUAACAUUCUAGUUUAAAUUAGGAUUUGGCUUAACCCAUUCCUAAUACAAAUUAGAUGAUAUUUUAAUUUAGAUAGAUAAUGUUCUUUUUUUUUUAUUUCGAAUUUCAUGAAAAAUACAAAAAAAAUGUCUUAGAAUAAAUUAGUUUUAUUUUCUAGGAUAAAUUGCAUUUUUUAAGAAAAAAAGAAAAAAUGUCAUGUGCAUGUCAUAUAUAAUUAGAUUCAUGAAAAGCAUGUCAUUUAGUGAUUGUUAUUAGGUUCAUUUAAUUAGAAAUUGCUCGUCAUUAGAAUUAAGUCAUUAGGUUAAUUUAGGUUGCACAUUUAAUUAUUACAUUUCUAAAAAAAAUUAUUAUUUUGCUCAUGUCAUAUAGUUUAGGAUAUACUACCAUGACAUAUCAUGUUAAAUUAAUAGCACGCAUUGCAUAAAGCAUGAUUCUCAUUAAAUAAGUGAAAACCAAAAAAAGGAAAUUGCGUGUUAAUUAGAAAUCAUAUUUAGGUCUGUUGAUGUGAAUUCCGAUCUAAUAAUGUAGAUGCUUUCGUAGCUAUGAGGUAAGUCCUGCAAUUUAUUCAUCGCUUUCUUGGGUGUUAAAUUGGUGGUUUGCAUACCCACAUAAUCACCUCACAUGUUAGGAAGAUAAAUUAAAAUCAAUUCAAGUUACUUGCAAAAACAUUUUUGAAAAUAAAAGGAUGGUACCGAAAGGGUAUUAGAGAAAUUUAGUGUAACCAAGUCCCCGAACUCACUAUCUCUGGUUCGUAAGAGUGAAGUAAUUCUCCAAUUGCUUUACUUGGUUUCUAAUCGACCCACCAAAAAUAGAUUAGUGACGACUCCAUGAUAAACAUCAUUUGCAUAUUAAGAACUUAAAUCAUAAGUUGCGAAUUGGUAUGAGCUUGGGAGAGCUCUAUCUAAGUCUAGGCUUAGCAAUUCAUUAGCCGAACCCUUACGUGAUCUAGGGGUGUCAACAGUUCGGUUCAGUUCGGUUUUUCGGUUUUUCGGUUUUUAGCUUUUGGUUUUCGGUUUUUUUUUUUUUUUUUUUUUUUGGGUGGGGACGGCUUACCUUCUGUAUAUGCUCCUUAAAAAAUUAUUAGAUUAAACAAGCAUCUCCUGGCAAAGCUAGCUGCUUCCUUAUUAUUUCACACACUUUAUCCUCCGUCUCCUUUUUAGCCUGUUCAUAUGUCAUUCAAAAGUUUAAAACCUACCUAUGGGCUUCGCUCUGAGUUGCAACAAAAUUGGCAAGACCAUUGGCAAGACCAAUUCAAGCAUGCCCCCAUGAACAGGACAAUGAUAGGCUUGAACCUGGUAUAAGCAAACUCCUGCUCAUCCCCUUUCCCCAGAAGCGGCAUGUUUCGAGCAACACAAUUAUAAUCACACAGCAAGAUCGUUUGACACAGGACAAACAUAAUGACCCAGACUUCAGAUAUAUGUAAGUUACUUGCAGUCACUUUGCUACGCUUGUUGUUAUAGUUGACAUGACAUGGUGGACUACUUACCGCACAUGAAACCUGGAAACGGCAUGCUUUCAGAGAUGGGAAACUUCUGCCGCCGACAGGGAGGGAGACGGACCUGACAUUCGAUAUCUU
rnacentral:lncRNA from 1 species